UUACAUUAGAGACGUGUGGUGCGUCUCCCUUCCUGCCACACGUGUGGCAGUUAGCGCGACCCUUUCUUUUUAGCACCCUGUCCUAUCCAUCACGUUUGGCUGCGGUUGGACAUACUUUUGUACAUGUCGUUAUUACUUGCCUAUUGCUAGUUUUUUUUACGUGUAUUACAUGAGGAAAUCUUGAUCGUUGAUACAUCUUAAUAUUAGAGUGUCAAAUCAGCACCGUUCGUUUUCUAUCGUUUUAUAAGUAUAUAAUAGAUGAUAGAUUUCAGACAAAAUCUGCCCUGCUGCUCAAGAAUGUAAAGCCAUGUCAUUCAACUUGUUGUCAAUUGAUUCUAAUGGUAAAUACAAAUACAAUGUCACUUAAAAGAUUAUGCCAUUAUAGUUUUCUGAAACAAGAAUACGCCAUAAUAGCAUAGUGCCAGAAUUAUUUCAGUCGCUAUACAGUUUGAUGCGAUUCACAUGCAUGAUAUUUUAAUGAGUAGGCAAAUCGAAAUAUAAGGCAAGUAGAAGGAAGAGGAACCAGGAGUGGUGAUGUUGUGCUCAUCUAUACCGUCGCUUGUGAGCUAUGCAGUGGCAGCUGCCCUACAGAGAGGAAUGGUUGUGGCCCGGGAACAUGGCGCCUCAAAAGCAAUGUUAUAUGCUGUUGAGGAAGGGCGCCUCUGAUGGUCGCGCUGCGUCACCAUGUCAUCGCCAGUGCCGACAACGGGCCAACGCCGGGAGGGAGGUGGCACACCGCCGCAGGAGAGCGGAGUAGAGCACGGGACAACGUGAGGAGGGGGGCAACUUACCAAACCUCCCGCCAUGGUCACCCUCGAUUGGAUCCACCAUCCUGCACAUGUCGUCAUUGCCGUCCUACGCCAGUGCCUCCUUCAGACACUGCAUAGCGGCCGCUCCACCUCACCAUUGCCUUGACACGGAGCAGCCAACCAGGACGGAGCGAUAAGGUGUUGGAGCACCUCCUUGUGUCAGCUUCAGCGCCCGCUUAGCCAAGGCGGCAACUCCCGACGACGCCGUGGGUGGUCGGCUCUGGUGGCAUGCGAUGGCGGGCGUCGGCGAUCUGGGCAGGAGAAAGGUCGAGGCGCAGGGUGGCUCGCAGCGUCGAGCAUGUGGCACACUUGAACAACGGGGACGCCGGGACUCCAGCACCUGAACGACGUGAGGCCGCGAGCUCGUGGUCGAGAGCAAUGGCAUUGGCCCAAGAUGACGGCAACGUCGACGAUGUGCAGCUGCGGCCUGAGUUUAGCCUACCGCGCGGAGGUACGCCGCCUUCCUUCCUCUCCUCCGUCAUGGCCUCUGACCGUGGUGGGGGCGACGGGAGAGAAUUUUGGAGCCUGUUGGUGGGACUACGCCGCCUUCCCUUCCUCUCCUCCGUCAUGGCCUCUGCUUGUGGUGGGUGCGACGGGAGAGAAUUUUGGAGCUUGGUGGUGGGACGAGGAGGCGGCGGUUUUGUUGUGUCGGGAUGAGGGAGAGACAAUUUAUAGAUCUACAAUAGCGAUGAAGAGGACAUGAGAUUGGACUGGAGUUUUCUAGAGAGAAGAUACGGGACGACAUGAGAUUGGACUGGAGUUUUCGAAAGAGAAGUUACGUGUCCCGACCGGACCCAUCUUCCAUAGUAAAAAAACUAAAACCGGUGUAAAAAUUGUAACGUGGCAAAAGAAGGAACCAAAAUCAAAGCAACGAUGGACACGUAUGAUCGGAACACAUGAAAGGAAACUGGCGUGACCCUUCCAUUCAAUAGAAAGAAAGACAUGGUAAAAAAACGUGCAACAUCUAGGUAGCUAAAAAAUAGGAACGACAAGGAAAGCUCCCGUCACACGCGUCAUUUUCUCACGGGCGUAAAAAAAUUCCGGAAAAACUAGAAAAAGGGAACCCUUACGGGCCUAGUAUUCUUAGUAUUAGGCAAUUUUGGUAUUUGGUGCCAAUUAAAGCUUGAACAAUUUUAGUUUUUCCUGUGACAUAUCACGAGCUGUCCUACCUGUAGCUCCUCUACAUUGAGUUCGUAGGAUUCGGCUUGCCUACUCCCUCCCCAUGCUCCCAUCCAAGCUCCCAAUUCAUCCUACGGUUGUUUUUUUUUCCUUUUUCCUUCCUAAUCUAAUCAUCCCUCUGAUUUUAACGGAGUGGGCCCGGACCUUAUUUUGUUCCAAUCAAAUCAAGCCACGUACGCGGGAGUACGGAUGGGCGCACGCGUGGGGCUCAGGCAAGUCUCAUCUGAGUUCGUAUGCCCCUCUCUCAAGCCGGCCCUGAUGGAUAUUUAUUGGGCACCAAUACGCGCCGGCGUACCAGCCGAACGAUUCAGCAGGUCAGCCCCAGCCGCACGAUGCGUGCGUCUACAUCGCNNNNNNNNNNNNNNNNNNNNNNNNNNNNNNNNNNNNNNNNNNNNNNNNNNNNNNNNNNNNNNNNNNNNNNNNNNNNNNNNNNNNNNNNNNNNNNNNNNNNNNNNNNNNNNNNNNNNNNNNNNNNNNNNNNNNNNNNNNNNNNNNNNNNNNNNNNNNNNNNNNNNNNNNNNNNNNNNNNNNNNNNNNNNNNNNNNNNNNNNNNNNNNNNNNNNNNNNAGCUCCCCCAGGCCUCCCGCUUCCUCCUCUCGCUGACAAGCCAUGACUCCGUGGUUGCCCCUGCACCGCCCGCCGCGGUACCACGCUCAUCCUCAUCGGCCGCCCGCGCCACCGCGCUCCCGUCGCCGUCGAGUGGUUGCAGCUUUUUUGCCAGGCGUUUCCAGCAUCCUUGAUGGGAAGUUCCAGCACUGCCGGUGGUGACACUAUAGGAAACAGGCAAUUUGCCGUCUGAGGAUCACAGACAGCAAAGACCUAAAUCCAGACGGCAAAGACUUUGCCGUCAGGAAGCAGACGGCAAACUCAGACGGCAAAGAUAAGUCGGCAAAGAAUAAUUUGUCGUCAGCUUUUUUGUAUGGAAGACGGCAAAGACUUUGCCGUCUAACAAUCCCAAUAACACACGGCAAAGCAAUAUCUUUGCUGUCAGCCGAAACAAAAUCUUUUCCAUCAGCUGAUCUAAUUUACAGACGGCAAAUAAUUUUUUAACUUAAAAAAAUCACAGGAAAUUUUCUAAAACAUUUCUCAUGGCAUUCUUCAUAGAUCAAUUUACACAACAAGUCUAUUACAAUCUGUUCGCAGAAUACCUAACCAUUAAACAUUGGUAGUUACAACAUUGUUUGUAUAUCCAUUUACACAACUUAACAUCAAUAUUUUCGAUAAUCAAGAAAUACAUUCAUGAUAGAGAGAAAAAGGGCCAAGAAACUCUGUCGCCCUGCUGCAGACCGCACCGGGCACGGGGCAGCGCCUGUCGACAGCCGCUCGGUGUCUUGCACCCGAUGGAGACGAGCAGCAGCGGCCCUCCGCGCCCGACGCUGCUCCCUGCGACAGCCGUUGAGGAGAAUGAGGCGGGCUCCGGCAGUCGGCCAGCACGGGCGGAGGCGGGCACACGCGGGCUGAGGCGGGCGGCGCUCAGUGGCGCGCGCGGAGGCAAGCUCCAGCGGGCGGCGCCCGGUGGCGCGGGCGGAGGCAAGCUUCGGCAGGCGGCAACCGGUGGCACGGGCGGAGGCAAGCUUCGGCGGGCGGACAUGGGCGGAGGCGGACGCGGGGGCGCUGCACCUCCUUGUCCUUCUGGCCGUGGACGUCGUCGUUGGCGCCGUCAUUGGAGAGCGCCGCUCUCGGUUGGCCUUGGACAGCGCGGCGUCGAGGAGCGCCCUCAUUCCGGCGAGGGGACGCCGCGGGGUCCGGCGAGGGGCCGAGGCGGGGUCCGGCGAGGGGCCGAGGCGGGGUCCGGCGUGGGGACGCCGCGGGGUCCGGCGAGGGGACGACGCGGGAUCCGGCGGGGGGGACGCCGCCGGGUCCGGCGAGGGGACAAGGCGAGGUCCGGCGAGGGGAAAGUGGAUGGGACCGGCAGCGAGGUGGUGGCUGGCGAGGCGAAGCGAGGUGGUUGCGGGCGCUGCCUUCUCGAUUUGGAUCACGGAGAGAGAAACGAGAGAGAGAGAGAGAGAUCGUGGUAGGGGUGGGCCGCUCGGGUGGAUAAGGGCAGAGGAGUGGAGCCCGUAGGUGCGUGUGUGCGUCGGUGCGUGGGUGCGUGGGCGCGGGGGCGCGGGGGUGCGUGCGGCGUCAGGGGUACGUGAGGAUGUGUGGCUUAGAUCCCGCCAUCUCAUCGAUCCAUGUGAUCGAUCUGUGUAUUGUGUUUCUUCUUUACCGUCUGCGUUUUUUAAUACAGACGGCAAAGAGCAUACUUUGCCGUCUGUAAUAAAAAAGUAGACGGCAAAGAUCUUUGCCGUCUGUAAUAAAAAAGUCUUUUUUGCCCUUAGUUUUUCUUUGCCGUCUUCUGGUGACGGCAAAUCCACUCUUUGCCGUCUGGUCGACGAAAACCUGACGGCAAAGACGCCUCCUGACGGCAAAUUAGCAGUUUCCUGUAGUGUGACCGCCCAACUCCGGGGAGCAGCGUCGUCGGUGCUUCGUCGGACUGGUUCCAGCAUCGAUCUCGCUCUGCCGGUCCACGGGUGUGUCAUCCCAAAAAUCAAGAGGUCGUCCCCCUCUCCUAGCAGCUCCACUGCACUGCGGUUCCAGCUUGCCGGACAACAGUUGCAACAUCCCAGCCGCAGGGGGUCGCCUUGCAGCUCCACUGGACCGCCGUUGCAGAUCCACUGGACUGCGGUUCCAUCUCUUGUGGCAAUGGUUGCAGCUCUCCUUGCAUGGCUGCGGCACGCCAUGCCGGCGGCCAUGUUGUCCCGCCGUCACCGAUGCAGCAAAACUGGUCACCCGUAGUAGCAAAGCAAACCACGGUUACAACUCUCGUGCAUUACCAUUGUAUCUUUUCUAGAAUAAUGUCGUAACUUUUUCCUUUGGUCGCGGGCCGCAGCUCGCUGUCGCGCCCCCACGCAUCACGGAUGUAGCAAUUUUGAUCACUGGUUCCAGCAAAUCUAGAUGCCCGUUCCAGCAAAAAUAACUGCCACCAUCGUUGCUUCAACCAGUUGUAGCAAAAAAGACGGCCAGUUCCAGCAUCUGGUGUGGUCGGUUGUAGCAAUAAAAGUUCUUGGUUGUAGCUCCAACCCUGACCGGCUCCAGCGCCGGCGAUGAAGCUGGUAGCGUCCCCCCCAUGGCUCGGCACCAGGGUCGGUGAUGGCCGAAUCCAGUGUUGGUGGUGGCAGCAGCGUAGCGUCAACCCGUCGGCGGCCGGCCGCGAGGGGAGCUCGCAAUGGUUCGUGAGCAGCGGGGAGGAGAGAAAAGUCAUGGUUGUGGAGUCUUGGCUGAACGUAGAAGAAAGGAAAAAAGGAAGGCCAGGAAAAAAGAUAAGGAUAGGAGAGCGGGCGGUUGUGCGAGGCCCACCACGUACACGCGUCUUGCUCGGGACCAGAGUGGCGUGCGAGCCGGCCAAACGUUCGGCCGACGCCCCAGCCCAAAUCGUUUUCCAUAUGGGAAACGUUUAUACCCGGCGCACCGGCUGAGUCUUCCGCCGUUCGCGCACGUGGCGUGCGGUCCAUUUUUCCUUGUUGCACCAAGUCACUCGUCAACGCAACCAGGCCCACAUGCAACACCCUCUUUCCCUCUUUCCUAGCCACGCAUCUACAGCCUUAUCCAUCUGCCAACCGCUCUUCUUCCUCCCCAGCUCUUUCUCUCUCCACGAGCGACCAAAGCACAUGCCAUGCCGAUGAAAGCCAACCGGCUAGACCAGAUCCCACUCGCCGGGGCGGUGCUCCUACCCNNNNNNNNNNNNNNNNNNNNNNNNNNNNNNNNNNNNNNNNNNNNNNNNNNNNNNNNNNNNNNNNNNNNNNNNNNNNNNNNNNNNNNNNNNNNNNNNNNNNNNNNNNNNNNNNNNNNNNNNNNNNNNNNNNNNNNNNNNNNNNNNNNNNNNNNNNNNNNNNNNNNNNNNNNNNNNNNNNNNNNNNNNNNNNNNNNNNNNNNNNNNNNNNNNNNNNNNNNNNNNNNNNNNNNNNNNNNNNNNNNNNNNNNNNNNNNNNNNNNNNNNNNNNNNNNNNNNNNNNNNNNNNNNNNNNNNNNNNNNNNNNNNNNNNNNNNNNNNNNNNNNNNNNNNNNNNNNNNNNNNNNNNNNNNNNNNNNNNNNNNNNNNNNNNNNNNNNNNNNNNUGCUACUACCGGCGACGGAUUUUGCUACAUUCAUCACGGCGGGUCUGCGACCUACUAGCGCGGUGGCUUUUUUGUUUCAACCUUCCUAAGAUUUUGCUACUACCGGCGGGAUUUUUGCUACAUCCAUCAUAUGUGGGGGAGACCGCGACCUGCAACGGCAACGGCAACGAAUUGGUGCAUACGGACAUGGAAAAAAGCUUCAACCGGCCUAGUAUAAGUUCCAACCGAUGGAGAAAAAAGCUUCAACAGGCAUGACGAAAAAGCUUCAAUCCUCAUGGAAAAGCUGGAAGCAGCUACGAAAAAAGCUUCAACCGACCAUGAAAAAAGCUUCAAGCUAGAGCCAACAAUGGUUAUGACGGUGAGGCUACGACGGGUUAACGGCAAGGAGCUGCACGCGAUUUUUUGCUGCAAUCGACAAUGGGAAAAGCUACAACCGGUGCCACGUCUUGCUACUCCCGGCAAAACCCGACGAAGGUUGAAUCAAAUCGUGGUCGGCGCCGUGACUGUCGAAAUGAUUGGUUGUAGCGAUUCCUGUCACCGGUCGUAGCAAAAAUGAACCAUGGCUGAAGCAAAAUAUAUCUGCACGUGGAUGAUGAAGGGGAAAAGAUUGGCUGGGCGUGGCCAUGGCGACAGGGCUGCGGCGAGGGACAGCGGCGGAGCUGCAACCUGAGCUUCACCCGUCGCUGCUGAGAGCUACAACCGCAGGCGCAACUAUUUCAUGGGUCAAGGCGGUGACGAGGACAGACGACGAAGAUGGGGACUGGCGACGAGGACGGCCGACGAGGAUGGGGACCGGCGACGAGGACGGCCUGCAGGAGUGGGGACCGGCGACGAGGUCAGGCACCGGAGGGGAGAGGACGCGCGCGCCGACUGGGAGAUGUGAUUUCCAGCGAGAGGAAGAAGAAGCUGCGGGGCAAACCCUUUUUUUUCGCCAGAUCCAAUGGCCCACGCGGCUCAAAUCCAACGGCCCUGACGUGACCGGCCGAACGGUUGGGCCGGUGCGCCGGCGCAGAUUAGUGCCCUUUCCAUAUUUAUUUUCUUUGUGAUUUUGAGUCAGAGCAAGCAUGGCAAGUUGACAACACUACUGCACGUUUGUAGUAACUGGACGGGAAAAAAAAUCAUGUGGGCAUGGUGAGAUCCGCACUUCAUUCAAACUCCUUUCUUUUUCUCUUGCUAUAUCCCUGUCUUAUAUUUUCUUCUCAUAUUUUAAGAUACAAAAAUAGAUGGUCUGAAUUUCGCUAAUGCGGACUGGUCGACAGAUGACAAAUCUAUUUGGGGCCUGGAUCCAGAUAUUCACUUGUUUAGUACAACGUGCAUAUGCUAUCUUUAUAAAUCUCUGAUAGUGCGUUGCGGCCGGGGAAAAGAUAAGGAGAGAAGAGAACAGCUCGACGGGAGAAGAAUAGAGAAAGGGGCAGCAAAAACAUUGGUCAUUGCUGCUGUGCUAUUGCAUACCAUGAACAAAGAAUGAAGAAAGAUGAAUAAGAGAAGAUAAACAGGAAAGGGUGCUGCAGUUGUGCCGCUGCAUUCUUGGCAAGUUUUGUCAUAUUCAUCAUCCACACUUCAAGGGUAACCUUCUAUUUAGUCCAAAACUAUAAUUCACAAGAAUUUGUUUUAUUCCUGUAGCCCACGGCCGACCUUGGGUUGACCACACUGGAUGCAUUUUGGGGGUCAAAAAGAGGAUAAGCGAUGGCACGGGUGGACCGCAGUGUUUAAAUAGAGGACAUUGACAUGUGUGGGAGAUGUCUUGAGUCAUUUAGUACUUACUAGCAAAAGGACCCGUACGUUGCAACGGGAGAAAAGAAUAACACACACUCUUAAUUUAGAAAAAAAUGGUAUAUAAUUUGAGUAUUUGUAGUUACGGCCCAAACAAAGAUAGUCUUUGCCAACAAAACGUGAAUUCAAGAUUCCACAUGUCUUCUAUUUAAACACGGCUUGCAUGUAGAUUUAAUACGUACGAACAAACGGGCAAAUAAAUAGGCAAGUGAUUUUCAAUUUCGUCUCUAAUCCUGAUUUUGCUAAGAUGUUUAUUUAUCCACAAUUCGGAUUAGUACCUAUAUGAAAGAAAGACGGACAAUGCACUGUUGAUUAAGAUUGCACCCUAAAUAGUAUUAUAUUUUAAAUGGUUAACAGGUAAAAUAACAUCAUAUUCAGAUUCUAUAUUUUUUCUAAUCAAAUUCCAUAUAUAACAUGUAAAUUUGGAGUUACGGUUUAGAAGAUGAGUAUUUUAAAAAACAUUUUAUAUGUACUGCAGGUUUAAUAUAAGAAACAUUAGGGGGUUUUCUAUAAAAUAGUACGAAGGACUAAGAAUACCUAUUUCUUUUAUUAGUAGGUAUAGGUAUACAUAUAGAUUAUUGGGCUAUGAUUAUGUGACAAUUUUUUCUCCCCGUCGUAACGCACGGGCAUGUUUGCUAGUAUAAGAUUAAGUGGCUAAGGGCAACUCUAAUGGCCCGACACAAACGGACACAAAAUGAGUACGCUUUGUCGGGCCCGUGGGACUGGGGAUACCUAGGCCCGUCUGCAUGCGGCCCAGGGCGCGACGCUUACCCUAGGGCCCAUGAUUGGCCCACCUUUGGACUUCAUGAGCAAGACCCUCACGAGGCUCUCGCUUCGCGAGGCACCCGUCAGCCCGUGUCGUCAGGGUCCUCGCGAGACCCCCUCACGAGGCGAUCUUCCAAGGCUGCCUCCUGAGGCCCCUCAUGGAGGCGGAUAGAUCAAGGGUGGCUCGGCAGGGUCACGCGGUCCUGCGUCCUCACGUGGGUGACGUGCGCGACGACAGGCUGCGCCCAAGGCCAUGCUAGCAGGCGCAGAUGUGGAGGCUUUCCUAUUUGAUGCUAAGGGAGCGAGGACAGCGCACCGGUCCCCGAAAAAAUUCCCAAAGAUUUCCCGCUCGGUGCAAGAGGACCGAGACAACGGGCGCGCCAGGACAGAGGUCACCACUGAGCCCAUCGGGGCGUCACACAGGAAGCUUUUGCAGGCGAAGACCACAUUUAGUCAGGAUAAGCUGCAACCUUGCCCCCCUUCAAACUGGCCGUUGUGGCAACCCUUCCCGCCAUGUGUUUUUAGUGAAAGAGGACCAGAGGCAGUAUAAGAAGAGGGCGAGGUGUAGCCCUAGGGAGGAGGGGAUCGUCUCGUCCUUGGCAACUUGUGCUCGAGGCUUACUCUCUCUCUCUCUCUCUCUCUCUCUCUCUCUCUCUCCCAAGCAAUCUAGACAAGCAGGAGUAGGGUCUUACACCGCGAGAUGGCCUGAACCUGGGUAAACUGUCCUGUCCUAUGUUCUUCUUCCCUAGCUUGAGCACGCCGGAGCAUCGCCAUGAUGUUGUGAGGUAGAGUAGGGCGGUAGGAACGCGCCCCAAAGUUUGAACCUUCUUGGGUCCUCGAAGCCCCGAUUCCGACAUUUCAUUCCAGGUAGGGGUGUGCCGCCCUUUUUUCGCACCGUUACGGCUUUUGCUUCACCGUUUUGGGCCGUGCUCCUCAAGGCGCGCGAGCUGCUCUGCUACCGUCCUGCGGACACGGGCUACGACGCCUGGCUUGGCCGCAUCAUCGAGCUUGUCAACGUUGCCGGAGAAGCCCCGGUGCCCUCCCACUCGCUCCGCCCUCCGCCGUCUCGCAUCGGGGAUGUGGCGCACGGUGCCCUUCCACCACCUCGCAUGCGCAGCGACCUCGGCAAACCCCGUCGUGAGGUGCCCCCGUGUGACCAGCCCCGCGGAAUGCCGCCGCCAGCCCAAGACGAAGCCAGCUGACAGAUCGUCCAACGCGCGCCGCCUGACGCGCGCGUCCUCCUCGAGCAACAACAUUAACGCCAGUAGCACAUCGUCCAAGAAGUCGUAGUGGCCAGGUGCCAGAAUCGCGCCACACUCGCGCGUGGCAUUGCUUCGAGCAGCGUGGGCUGUCGGGCCUUCAAUCGCGAGCUGCGCCGUGUGGUUUGGCCCGUCAAGUUCAAGAAGGAUCUCCUUUCGACUGAUUCAACAAAGAUUGCUUUUGCUCUUCUCGGUCCAGCUGGUGGUGUUGGGUGCUUGUCGUAGCUCUCUUCUGGUUCGUGUUCUGUUGUUUCUUGUGCCUUCUUGUGCGUAUUGGAUCCUAUCUGUUGUACCUGAUGUCUUGUAUCUUACUCUUAUAUAUAAUGAAAAUGGUUCAGGCCGGCGUAAGCCCGCCGUAGNNNNNNNNNNNNNNNNNNNNNNNNNNNNNNNNNNNNNNNNNNNNNNNNNNNNNNNNNNNNNNNNNNNNNNNNNNNNNNNNNNNNNNNNNNNNNNNNNNNNNNNNNNNNNNNNNNNNNNNNNNNNNNNNNNNNNNNNNNNNNNNNNNNNNNNNNNNNNNNNNNNNNNNNNNNNNNNNNNNNNNNNNNNNNNNNNNNNNNNNNNNNNNNNNNNNNNNNNNNNNCCCCCCCUCCUUUUUCUUUUGUGCAAAAAUAAAAUUUUCCAUUUUCUGUUCGCAAGUGGUCAAAUUUUGGUUACAAUUUUGAAUUCUCGUCACUCUAUAAAUGUGAUAUCACAAAAUGUUAUCAUUCUGCAUAAUGUCAUACAAAUGAGAUUUGUUUUUCCAGUUCAAUGUUUGUUAUCUUUAAUUUAUAGAAGCGGACUUUACAAAAACAGUAUGCACCGCAAGACUGAUUCGGUGAAGUAAAUACCACAAAUGGUCGUUAUACUUACAAGAUUUUGCAUAACCACAUUAACAAUGGGCACGUACUCUCGCGUGUAGGGCAUUUGGCACCUUUACGCAGCUAGUGUAUACUAGACACAGAAAACCUGAAUUCAUGAAGCGCUUUGACCUUGUGUUAAGGCUGAAACCUUUUACCGAAUAAUAAAGGUUGCGCUAGAAUCUUGAUUUACAACAAUUCCUUAUUUCACGAAAAGAAAACAAUUCCUUAUUUGUUAGGCGCCAGUUUUUAGCUGAAAUGCCAAAGAAUCAAAAGCGGAAUGCGUUUUGAUGUCGUGAUCAAAAGCAAUAUUUUUCAUUCCAUUCCAUGCUCGAUUGACAAGUAUUUUCUCAUUAUUUCCCUUCCUUGUUAUGCAUCCGAAACUGCGGCGGGUAACAAAACAGGAAUAUGGCGCCAGAACUUUUAUCUCUUCCCGCCAGCAACCCCCGCGUACGCUAUAUAUAUGCUUAUACGUCCGUGCCCAAGCAACCAUCACCGCACCCAGCCCAUACUUUCUAUAUGGCGCGAGAGCUGCCUUUUUUUGUUUCCUCUCCCGAUUUAGUCUUCCUCUCGGAUGAUGAGGGAGAAAAGGAGGUGAUCAAGAUUGAGGAUUCAGACUGCGGUGGCGACACGCAUGUCUACCUCAGCUCUGACGAGGAGGGCGACGCGGUCUACGCCGAUGAUGGCUCCUCCUACGCCAACUGCAAAGCCGCAUCUGCGGCUGCCACGUCUUUGGCCACGGUGAGCUGCACCGACUAUGGCGACGACAACCCGAAUGGCGGCGACUCUAAUGGGGACGGCAACCCCAACAACAGCUACUUCGAUGACAACGACAACGACUCUGAAGAUGGCGGUGACGACGCCAGCGAUUUUUCGUCGGCCGCCGCAAGUAAGUCGCCAAAAGCCCCAUACAAUUAUUGGCAUCCCACCGACCUUUGCACCCUCGUGGAAAUAGAUGGGCAGCUCCUCAAGGAUUUUGAAGGCGCGACAGUACCAUCGUCUGUGCUCUAUGAGGCGUUUAUGGAGGAUCCACGGCCGAUCCGCCGUGGCGGGCUGACCUCAAGAAAAAUCUCAUACAAAAGGUAUCAGUUGAAAAAAAAAUUUCGUGCCUUCUGCAAGUUGGAUCCGAGGCGUGCCUUCCGCACGUGUCACACGGCUCAAGAGUGCAAGUUUUACACCUGCUGCAAGGAGGCGUGGCCUCAUAUUGUACAAGAGGGCCGUGUCUGACUUGCUAAUAAGAAGUAAACCACAGUCAUGUUCAAUCCGGUCUUUUUUUGGUUUCACCAAUAAACAAUAGUAGCUUUCUUUCGCAUUUUUUCCAUGAUCAGUAUUACUCUGGAUUUGAUCUGUUUUUCCUUUGCUUGUAUUAGUUUAUUUUUCUUUUGCUUUGUAUGAGAUUGUUCAGUACAAGAAUCAUCAGUACUUUUAUUUAGCAGUCCACAAUUUUAUUUUAUUUUAUUAUGUUUUGUUGUGGGGACAGAGGGGCCUGAUGUGUCCACCUGCUCGACAUUUCGUUGUAGAUAUAUGUGCGUACUUUUUUAAAUACCCUUUAUUAAUUGUUCUGGCCAACAGGAUGACGAUCUUCUCGCCUGAACCGGAAAACAUGCAUAUGUGCCCAUCAUAUAUUGAUUCGAUGUCCAAAUGAUUUCCCACGUAGGCAUGCAUGGGUGGGAACUUCCUGAACCGGAAAACAUGAGUAAUAGGUAGAGAAGAUAUGUUUCUUUUUUAUUUGUUAAUUAUAUCAUGACACUUGACAAUAGAGAAGUAUAUCCGGAAUGUCCUACAUGUCAUAUCAAGCAUUAAGUUCAGAUUUCACCUGUUUGCAGGCUCACGAAAGCAUCAGGUAUAGCUAAGAGAUGAACCUCAUGGUUGGUGUAUAUUUCUUAAUUACUACAAAAAUACUUGGAAAUUUGUAAAAAUCAAUACUUCAAGCGAAUAUGCAUGAACCACAUGGUUGAUGUAUAUAUCUUAGUUCAGAAAUUCUUGCAAAUUGGUAAAAUCAAUACUUCAAACAAAUUUUCUUAGUACAGAAAUUCUUGACUGGAAGACACACGAAGCAUGAAUUGCAUCUAAAGAUUAUUUUCUGUACAAGAUUCAAGAUCUAGAUCUGAAAUAUUGUAGCAUGAUAUCAGUGGUCACAACAGUAAAUUAUUCCUUCCAUUACUCUUUCAAAAGAAGCACAGAGAAUUCUACUGUUCUAUAUAAAGAUUAUUGUUAGUGUUCUCGUUUGUGAGUCCCAUGAAUCCAAGUGCCAAUCUUAGUGACCGAAAGACAUACUCCCUCUGUCCGAAAAUACUUGUCACGGAAAUUGAUAGAAAUGGAUGUAUCUAGAACUAAUAUACAUCUUAUACAUCUACAUACAUUCAUUUUUGCGACAAGUAAUUCGAUACUGACUAUAAAGCUGUUAUCUCAUUAAAAAUCAGUGUCUUCAUGCUCCUAGAAAGAGUACACAAUAAGCUAAGGGACGAAAAAUGAAUUGAAACGUACUAUUUGCAUGUCAUGCAAACUGCAAGAUGCGGACCACUGCCCCACUGCAUGUCCGGCAUUGCUCAUCUGUUAACAGAAACAACGCCAAAGCUCAAAAAAUCUUCUAUCCAGGAAAACCGUAGGGGAAGUGUUGCUUCACAGACAACAAUAAGUAGUCAGUACAUUGUUAUUGUUUUCCCUGCUGGUGAAUCUGCACCACAUUUCUCUCAUCUUCCAUUCGACAAUCACAUGCCAAUGUUUUCUGUAACACUUGAAAAGAGAAGGGAAAACACAACAGUUAUUUGUAUAGAAAAGAUGUUGGAAAAUCCUAUAAGGAUUUUUUUAAAGAAAAUGUAAGGAACUAUUGCCAUAACACGAAUACAACAUAGGGCCACUGAUUUUGAUUCGAACUAAAUAAACCAUACUAUUAAUGUUCUUUGACUGACAAAUUCUGAAGCAUUCCUUGAACAUAAAUGAAAGCUACCGAAUUACUAGGUAACCGAUACAACUAUUGCUACUUGUUUUAAGCACAUGUCUCGAAAUUGAAUUUUACUUUUGUUUGUGAAACAUGAAAGGACUCAAUUAGCUAGCUGCUAUGUGAGAAGGUUUUGGAUCCCAAGCGGACCUUUUUUUUCGAGGGGCACCGGAAUUUGCGGUUACCAUGGUAACCAUGAAAUACCGGAAAAGAAUCGGACGAAAUUUAAAUUUAAAUAUUAUUUAGGUCGAUAUAGAUAGAUAUUUAACUUAUAAUAUAACAAACUUUGCCAUGGCGUAUAGUGGCUAUUGGACUGUAGCUUUCGCUUGCUCGUACGCCGCGAGUUCGACCCUUUUUUAACUUUUGCAUCCUAUGAAAAAUGAAAAAUGCGUGAGCCCAGAUUCAAACCCGCGAUUCGCUGCUGAGGAAAGAUGCCCUUGCUACUAGGCCACUCCCAGUUAUGUCGUGAUACAAGAGAUUGUUUGUAUUUAACUCUAUAACAUGCGUUUGAAUUCAAAAUUUUCAAAUUAUCCGAGAUAUUUUGCUCGGUAUGAGUGUUUCUCGAGGGGGGAUAGUAAACGCGGUAACCGCCCGAAAUCACGAAAUUUCAUUUAGUAACCAAAUCAGUGGAUCAUACGCAUUGCAUUUUUAGCAACUCUCAUAAGCCGUUCUUACCUGUUCUCACAGCUGAUGAACAUACAAUAUAUGAUGGAACUUUGCGAGAUAACAAAGAUGCUUAGCUGCCAGCAAGAUGUAUCCUAUAGUAUCAUGUUUUUAUUUCUGAAUAAUUGGUUAACCUAUGCUACCUUAGUUAAGCAUUCAAGAAAAUGAAGUUGCCUCUGUGUUUUAAGCUAAAGCUACCACAGUUCUGUGAGACUUAUCAUUCCAGAUAAUGUUCACACAACUUAAAUGAGUAACAUAAGUGCAAUUUUAAUUUUUAGUACAAAUGUACAAUGACAAGCUCAUGUACAAUUAUUUACUGAAAAAAAUAAGCCAGCUCAUUUGGAAGGGAAGAAGCUAGAGAAAUGUCAGCAAUGUAACUUUACCUAGAACACAGCCACUAGUAGAAAACAGGGCUUUGGUUGAGCCUGGGUAAGGGCAUUAAUUCCGGUUCACUCCCGAACAGGGGCCAAAGGGGGCAUCAGUCCCGGUUCGUGAGGCCAGGGCGCCGGCCGGGCCUUGGGGGCCAUUGGUCCCGGUUCGUCUGACCCCUUUGGUCCCGGUUCCAGACACACGAACCGGGACCAAUGGGCCUCGAUCCUGGCCCAAUAUCUUUAGUCCGGGUCGGUGGCUGGAACCAGGACCAAAUGUUGUCCUUUAGUCUUGGUUUUAGCCACCAACCGGACUAAAGAGAUCCCUAUAUAUACCCCUGCUCGUGAACAGAGCCAGUGCUCUAUGUUUUUGGCUGGCCGUGGGAGAGGUGUGUGUUGCUCUAGUUCACCUUCUAUGCACAUGAGGUGUUCGAUGAAAUGCCCGAGCCACACUUAAGCUUUCUCCUCUCCAAGCUCCUUCUCCAAGCUCCAUUUUCCUCAAGAUUUGUCUAGGUUUGGCGUUUCGUCCUGUCCCGUCCCCAUCCUCACCGCCGUUGAUUGCCCGCGCCGAUCUCGUCACCGGCACCACCAUGGUGAGCCUCUUGUUCUUAUCUUCUUUCUAAAAGAAAAAAAAUCCUAGUUUUAUGAUUUAGAUUGAUACUUGUAUAAUUUUCUGUUCUUACUUUUAUUAUUGUUUGUUAUUAUAUAGUACGAUGGUUUUGGUAUCCUGCCCUCGUCCUGUUUAUGAUUCAGAUGUGGUAUAUAUUAUCUUUUAUAACUAUUUGUUUCAUUUAGUAUUUAUGACAAUUAUGCCGACAAACAUGACAUAUAUGUUUUUAUCUAGAAGGUAUGUGAACCGGAAAUUCCAACCGACCCUCUUGUCAAGAGGUUAAAUUUAGUUGAAAAGGAAAACAAUUACUUGAUUUUUUUUAAAAGAAUUGAGGAGGAGAAGAUGAAAUUGGAUUUGCAUAUUGCGGAUGUCGUCGAUGAUCACAAGAUCAAGAUGGAUGCAAUGCGCGUGAAGAUUAGAAAGAUUAGAAACUAUGCCAUUCAUACUGAGGCUUGGUAUCGUUAUGCCGUUGGAUCAAUUGUUUCCUUAGUUGCAAUUAUGAUCGCAUUUGUUGUUGCAUUGAAAUGUUUUACAUAGUUUCACUGUAUGGUUCAAUUAGAUGCUCUAGAGAGCUAUAUCACUAGUAGAAAAAGGGUCAAACGUGAAGCACAUUAGUGCCAGUUUGUAUUUGAGCCGGCACAAAUGUAUACAUUAGUGCCGGUUCCAACGGCUAGCCGGGCCGCUCUCAUUAGUACCGGUUCGUGGCUAACCUUUAGCACCGGUUCGUUCCACGAACCGGUACUAAUGAGAGUGGUGGCAGGAUGUUGUCAGUCUGGGCCCCCUCCAGCACCUUUAGUACCGGUUCUUGACACGAACCGGUACUAAAGGUCGUCCUACAUAAACCCUUCGUCCAUCCGAGCUCGCUCUGUUCUUCCCCUUUCCCCUAUCCUCUCUGUUCUUCCCCUCUUCCUCUCGAGCUCAUCACACAUUUUGCCCAAAAUUUGUCAAGAUUUGAAGGCCCCCAUCCAUUGAAAUGAUCACAAAGGUUAGCAACUUUGUCCUUUCAUCUCUCAUUGCUAUAUUAGCUCUUGCAAUGCUUUAUAUAGUUAUUAAUUUGUGAGUUUAGUAAUUUGGGAGGAAAUAUAUAUAUGUGCUAGUAUUUGAUUUAUAUGCAAUUUGAGGUUAAAAUAACACUUAGUUUGCAUAUGUAGGUGUGGUUUACUUAGUGCCUUCUAAAUCUCCGCCGUAAUCACCGUCGAUCACCCGCACCGUCCCGUCGCCGGCACCACCUUGUGGUGAGCCUCUUGUUCAUGAAAUUUUAUAUAAAAAAUUGAUGUUUGUGUGAUUUGGAUAUAUAGUUACUCGUAUAAUAAUUAUCUUACCCGUACGUUAUUUGUUAUACAUAGUGCCAUGGUUUUGAUAUCCGUCCCCGUCGGCCCUCGUCCUUGUUAUGAUUCGGAUGUGGUAUAUUCUCUUUUAAAACUAUUUGUUGCAUUUCGUGUUUAUGAAAAAUUAUGCCCAUCAAGUUGACAUAGAUAUUUUUAUCUAGGAGGUAUGUGAACCGGAAAUUCCAACCGACCCUAUUGUCGAGAGGUUAAAUUUAGUUGAAAGAGAAAACGAGUACUUGAAAGAAAAAUUGAAAAGAAUUGAGGGGGAGAAGAUGGAAUUGGAGUUGCAUGUUGCCGAUGUCGUCGAUGAUCACAAGAUCAAGAAGGAGAAAAUGCGCUUGAAGAUUAGAAAGAUUAGAAAAUAUGCCAUCGAUAGUGAGGCUUGGUAUCAUUAUGCUGUUGGAUCAAUUGUUACCUUAGUUGCGAUCUUGAUCGCAUUUGUUGUUGCAUUUAAAUGCUUUAGCUAGAGAGUUAUUUGUUUGUUGCAUUUAAGUGUUGUAUGAACUUUAUAUAUGAACUUGUAUUAAUUUGGUCUAUUCGGUGUUGUGUAAUGAAGAUGAGCCGGCAAUGGAUGUACGAUGACCGAUGCUCUCCGCAGUUUGUUGAGGGCGUGCAUACUUUUCUGCUUGCGGCUGAGGCAAACAAGCGGGCGGAUGGUUUUAUGCCUUGUCCGUGUGCUGGCUGUAAGAAUGGUCGCAAUUACUCUACGUCAAGAACCACUCACGUCCACCUGUUUGAGUCCGGUUUCAUGCCCCACUAUAAUGUUUGGACCAAGCACGGAGAAAGAGGGGUUAUGAUGGAAGACAAUGAAGAAGAAGAGGACGACGACAGCUAUCCUGGCCAUGGGUUCCCUGAAUACGAUGAUACAACAAUGGGGGAAGAAGCUGAGCCAGUAAUGCGGGAAGAAGCUGAGCCGACAAUGCGGGAAGAAGCUGAAGAAGAGGCAUCAGAUGAGCCCGUUGAUGAUCUAGGUCGUGCCAUUGCCGAUGCAAAGAGAAACUACGCAAGUGAUUUGGAGAAGAAGAAGUUGCAGCGCAUGUUAGAGGAUCACAAAAAAUUGUUGUACCCGAAUUGCGUAGGUGACAAGAAAAAGCUGGGCACUACACUGGAAUUGCUGCAAUGGAAGGCAGAGAAUGGUGUAUCUGACAAGGGAUUUGGAAAGUUGCUGGUAAUGAUAAAGGAUAUGCUUCCAAAGGACAACGAAUUGCCCGAGAGUACGUACGAAGCAAAGAAGUGUCUGCCCUCUAGGGUUAGAGGUGCAGAAGAUACAUCCAUGUCCUAAUGAUUGCAUCCUCUACCGCGGUGAGUACGAGGAUUUGAACGCUUGCCUGGUAUGUGGUGCAUUGCACUAUAAGAUCAGCCGCGAUGAGCAUGGUGAUGUCGAGGGUGAGCGCCCCAGGAAGAAGAUUCCUGCCAAGGUGAUGUGGUAUUCUCCUAUAAUACCACAGUUGAAACGUUUGUUCCAAAACAAAGAGCAUGCCAAGGCGAUGCGAUGGCACAGAGAAGACCAUAAGAAAGACGGAAAGUUGAGAGUACCCGCUGACGGGUCGCAGUGGAGAAAAAUCGAAAGAAAGUACGGGAAGGAGUUUGCAGAUGACGCAAGGAGCGUAUGGUUUGGUCUAAGCGCAGAUGGCAUUAAUCCUUUUGGGGAGCAGAGCAGCAACCAUAGCACCUGGCCUGUGACUCUAUGUUUGUAUAACCUUCCUCCUUGGUUGUGCAUGAAGCGGAAGUUCAUUAUGAUGCCAGUGCUCAUCCAAGGCCCUAAACAACCCGGCAACGACAUUGAUGUGUACCUAAGGCCAUUAGUUGAAGAACUCUUACAACUAUGGAAUGGAACAGGUGUACGUGCAUGGGAUGAGCACAAACAGGAAGAAUUUGACCUAAAGGCAUUGCUGUUCGUGACCAUCAAUGAUUGGCCUGCUCUCAGUAACCUUUCAGGACAGACAAACAAGGGAUACCACGGAUGCACGCACUGUUUGGAUGAUACCGACAGUAUAUAUUUGAAUAGUUGUAAGAAGAAUGUGUACCUGGGACAUCGUCGAUUUCUUCCGAGCAAGCAUCCCGUAAGAAAGAAAGGCAAGCAUUUCAAAGGUGAGGCGGAUCACCGGACGAAGCCUCGCCACCGUACUGGUGCUGAUGUACAUGAUAUGGUCAAGGAUUUGAAGGUGAUAUUUGGAAAGGGUCCUCGCGGACAACCUGUUCCAAAGGACGCUGACGGACGCGCACCCAUGUGGAAGAAGAAAUCUAUAUUUUGGGACCUGCCAUAUUGGAAAGACCUAGAGGUCCGCUCCGCAAUCGAUGUGAUGCACGUGACGAAGAAUCUUUGCGUGACCCUGCUUGGCUUCUUGGGCGUGUAUGGGAAGACAAAAGAUACACCUGAGGCACGGGAGGACCAGCAACGUAUGCACGGAGAAGACGGCAUACAUCAGGGUCAUGCAAGCUACGCUCUUACCAAAGAAGAGAAGGAAAUCUUCUUUGAAUGCCUGCUCAGUAUUAAGGUACCGUCUGGCUUCUCAUCGAAUAUAAAGGGAAUAAUAAACAUGGCAGAGAAAAAGUUCCAGAACAUAAAGUCUCAUGACUGCCACGUGAUUAUGACGCAACUGCUUCCGGUUGCAUUGAGGGGGCUUCUACCGGAAAACGUUCGAUUAGCCAUUGUGAAGCUAUGUGCAUUUAUCAAUGCAAUCUCUCAGAAGGUAAUCGAUCCAGAAAUCAUACCAAGGUUACAGAAUGAUUUGGUGCAAUGUCUUGUCAGUUUUGAGUUGGUGUUCCCACCAUCCUUCUUCAACAUCAUGACACACGUCCUAGUUCACCUGUGCGAAGAGAUUAGCGUUUUGGGUCCUGUAUUUCUACACAAUAUGUUCCCCUUUGAGAGGUUCAUGGGAGUCUUAAAGAAAUAUGUUCAUAACCGUGCUAGGCCAGAAGUAAGCAUCUCCAAGGGCCAUCAAAAUGAGGAGGUCAUUGAGUUUUGUAUUGACUUUAUUCCUGACCUUAAGCCGAUUGGUGUUCCUGAAUCGCGGCAUAAGGGCAGACUGGAUGAAAAAGGCACGCUAGGAGGGGAACAAAUAAUAUGUAUGGACGGACAUUCUCUCACUGAAGCACACUACACAGUUCUACAGAAUUCCGCCUUGGUGGCUCCGUAUAUGGAUGAACACAAGAAUUUGCUACGCUCCAAACACCCGGAGCAGUCUGAUGACUGGAUUACACGUGAACAAACCAGGAGUUUCGCCAGCUGGUUGCAGACACGUACCAUGCAUGACACCUCUAUUGAAGAUGACCUGUACUUGUUGUCCCAGUUACCAUCUUCGAAUAUAAUGACUUUCAAAGGGUACGAGAUAAAUGGUAAUACAUUUUACACGAUCGCCCAAGAUAAGAAGAGCACCAACCAAAACAGUGGUGUCCACUUUGAUGCAGAAACCAAGAUGGGAAAGGAAACAUAUUAUGGUCAUAUACAGGACAUAUGGGAACUUGACUAUCGACGUGGUUUAAAGGUCCCUUUGUUUCGGUGCAAAUGGGUCAAUAUGACACGAGGCGGGGUAAUGAAAGACCCGCAGUACGGAAUGACAACAGUGGAUCUCAACAAUCUUGCGUAUGCAGACGAACCAUUCGUCCUAGCCAAUGAUGUGGCACAGGUUUUCUAUGUGAAGGACAUGUCUACCAAGCCAAGAAAAAGAUAAGAUAAGGAAGCGAAUGCAUCGUACGAUGAGCCAAAGCGGCACAUAGUUCUUUCUGGGAAGAGAAACAUCGUGGGAGUGGAUGACAAGACAGACAAGUCAGAAGAUUAUGAAAAGUUUGAUGAAAUUGCUCCAUUCACAGUGAAUAUUGACCCGAGCAUUCCGUUAAAUGAUGAAGAUUUUCCAUGGUUACGGUGCAAAAGGGACACACGCGAAGAAAAAGUUUCACACCCAAAGAUCUGGGAUGUGAUCGGCUUCACUAGCUAUCAUCACUUUCUUCUGUGUUUCGCACCGAGAGGGGAAUCUCUGUAAUAGUUAGGGUAGUUAUGUGUUUUGGCAUUUGAAACGCGAAGAAAUUUUAUGUGCAAACAAAUUCUUUCAUGCCUUUACUGAUUUUUAAAGUUAAGUUAUUCACAAACUAGUGAUUCACACUAAUUUCAAAUAAUUCAAAAUUUAAACUAUUCAAAUUUGAAAACUACGGGCACUAACAGAAAGUUUGUAAUUUUUUGUACCUAAAACAAAAAUGUUCACAAAGAAGCUCUAAAUACACAAAAAAACACAAAAAUAAAUAAAGCAAAAUAAUAAAAAAAAGCCCUAACAGAAAGUUUGUAAUUUUUUGUACCUAAAACAAAAAUGUUCAGAAAGAAACUCUAAAUACACAAAAAAAACAACACAAAAAUAAAUAAAGCAAAAAAUAAAAUAAAAAAAUUCCGCCUACUAGGCCAGAGCGGCCUGCAUACGACUAGAAACCCAACCUGUCGUUGGGCCAGGAUGCAGGCCCGCAAAGGCCAAGUGGGCCCGCAGGGCUGCAAAGAACAUGUAGGCCCAGUAAGCCUGCUUUGGAGAGGAGCUCGAGAGAGCGACUGCACGAGGGUUUAUAAACCAGUGCGGUCGUCCCUCGGCUAGCGAGGUGGGACUAAACUUGCCGCACCGCACCUGCGCUAGCGCACCCCCUUUAGUACCGGGUGGUGGCACAAACUGGUACUAAAGGGGGGCCUUUAGUACCGGUUUGUGCCACCACCCGGUACUAAAGGGGGUCGCUUCCCGCCGCUUGGCCUGGUCAAAAAAGACCUUUAGUACCGGUUGGUGGCUCCAACCGGUACUAAAGGUCCAUCCUAUAUAUACAACACUUAAAAAAUUUCAAUUUCCCUCUGUUUCUUCCCUCUGUUUCCUCUCCCUCUCCAUCGCGCCGCCCUGCCCCGAUCGACACCGUCUCCGUCGACGUCGCCGCCCCCGCCCCUCGUCGCCGACCCCGGCCGUCCCCGCCCCUCGUCGCCGCCCCAGGCCCGCCCCCGUCCCCGUCCCCGUCCCCGCCCUCGUCUUCGUCACCGCCCCCCGUCCCUGUCGNNNNNNNNNNNNNNNNNNNNNNNNNNNNNNNNNNNNNNNNNNNNNNNNNNNNNNNNNNNNNNNNNNNNNNNNNNNNNNNNNNNNNNNNNNNNNNNNNNNNNNNNNNNNNNNNNNNNNNNNNNNNNNNNNNNNNNNNNNNNNNNNNNNNNNNNNNNNNNNNNNNNNNNNNNNNNNNNNNNNNNNNNNNNNNNNNNNNNNNNNNNNNNNNNNNNNNNNNNNNNNNNNNNNNNNNNNNNNNNNNNNNNNNNNNNNNNNNNNNNNNNNNNNNNNNNNNNNNNNNNNNNNNNNNNNNNNNNNNNNNNNNNNNNNNNNNNNNNNNNNNNNNNNNNNNNNNNNNNNNNNNNNNNNNNNNNNNNNNNNNNNNNNNNNNNNNNNNNNNNNNNNNNNNNNNNNNNNNNNNNNNNNNNNNNNNNNNNNNNNNNNNNNNNNNNNNNNNNNNNNNNNNNNNNNNNNNNNNNNNNNNNNNNNNNNNGUUGUUUUUCAGUUUUAUAGAAGUUGUGUUUUCUGUUUUUAGUGUUAGAUGCUUAAUUAGUAUGAAAUAGUAUAUAGAUUUUUGAAAUAGUACAAAUGUUAGAAAUUUUAGUUAUGAAAAUCCAAUCAUUAAAAAAUUAUUACUUUUUGCGGGCAUAUAGCUAGUAUUUGUUCUCGACGAUGCCCGGCCCGCAUCCUCGCCGUCGACCCGUCCGUGACGACGUCCAGCCGACCCGUCCGGGACUGGGCUCCGCCGGGCUGGCACUGGGAGGUGCUGCCUGGAGGGGCGCGCCGCUUGAUGAGGAACCUGGCCCCGGGUCCCGUCGUCGACCCUGAUCUCGUUUGGUGGCGUUCGCGUGGGCCAGUUUCCGUGCGGAGGGACCCGGCCCCGCCGGAGGUGGUACGUCGCCGUGUCAGGGAGGAGGACGAGCACGUCCAUCGCUACAUGGUUGCGUUAGAGGGCGGCAGGUUCUCCAAUACCUGGCAGUAUCUUCGGGGAUCUCACUUCAGCUAUGAUCCUGUGAGGGUUCCUUCUCUUUGGGUGUCCACCGCCCGCGCCGCAGGAACCGCGAGUGUCCUAGAUUCUUCUGUAGUAUUCGAUCUUUAAUUAGCUAGCCAGUGAUGUACUAUUCAAUAUUAUAUAUUAUUCGAGACGAUGUAUUCGAGAUUAUAUCUAUUAUUCUAGACGAAGUAUUCGAGAUUAUAUCUAUUAUUCGAGACGAUGUAAUAUGAAUACUAAAUUGUUUUAUAUUUCUUUUGAAUUAGUUAAAUAAAAGCUAUGGCAGACAAUACCGACAGAGUGGGAGAACAGACCAUGUUCGAUAUGAUACGCGGGCCAGAUGAUGAUCAGAAUGAAGAAGAUUAUGACGGCUCCAAAUUUCUAAACAACACCGGAGAGGGUGAUAUGAUAUUCGAUCGCGACGACCGAAUUGAUGAACUCAUGAACUAUGAUUAUGACGAUGACGAAGAACAUGUUGAUCCUGAAACAACAAAGACCGGCGAGGUAUAUAUAUUUAUAUAAGCAGGUAUCUGGUGAUUAUCACAUGUUUUAAAUGACUUGAAGAUAUAUUGACGAAUCGAUCUUUGUUCUUUUAGCCAUCAGGAUCGAGCAAAUCUUCAGGGAAAAGGACGAAAUGAGGCCCAAACAAAAAGUUGAAGGAGGGCGUAAAGUACAAUAUCGAGGCAGUCAGACCUAAUGGCGAACCAUUAGCGCCUAAGAAGAUUGCGGACAAGUUCGUUCACAAAAGACAAAAAGGCAAAGAGGACGCUGCUCCACGUCCAGAUGUUACUUUUGUCGACAAGAACCAAAAAGAUCUGCUUUGGGAUACUCUCAUGGAACAUUUCACCCUACCAGAUCAUUUCACAGAAGCAGAUGUGCAGAAAGUCAAGGACGCUGCUCUUAGGAAGAUGGUGGUUGCAUUCAAGAACCACAAGAAUUGUGAAUGGGACAAGUACGUCAAGGGAGGAAGGAAGACUCCAGUAUUCGAGGGAACACUAGAGAACCAACGUGCUCAUUGGGACGAUUUCGUGAAAUUCAAGGAUUCGGAAUUAGCUAAGGAACGGUCGAGAAUAAACAAGAAGAAUGCCCUAAAAAAGGAUAAGUUCCAUAAGCUGGGGCCAGGUGGCUAUGCGGUGGCAAUGCCUAAGUGGGAUAAGUCUGAGAAAGAGAUGGAGGAUGCAGGUGCCACUCCGGUUACUAAGAGCUGCCCCCCCAGGGUCAAGACUUGGUUCUAUGCGCAUGGGGGGGAGUUGGACCCGAAGACAGGCAAUGUUUCGACGAGGGCAAGUCUAAAGGGAGCCGACGAUGCGAUACUUGUUGCAAUAGAAGAGGCACGAUCGGGGGUGUUCCAGCCCAACAGAGAGAACGACGAGCUUACGCGUGCCCUAGGAAAUCCUGAACACCCGGGAAGAACACGAGGCAAGGGCGCUAUUCCGUGGUAUGAGGGGUUUUCAGACUGGAACACCGACUAUAGAACCCGUGCGAGAAAGAAGAUUGCGGAGGAGAAGAAGAGGAAGAUGGAAGAGGAGCAGAGGAAGCGGGACUAUGAACGCGUUCAAGGCCUAGAAGCAAGUCAAGCGGAAUUGGUAGUCAAAUUCCAGCGGCAGCAGGAGCAGAUCGACUCACUUACCCAGCAAAGGGGGUCUCAGCAGCUGCGGCAGCUAGCGAAUGAUCCAACAUUGGAUAGCACCGCCCCAUCCAUGCCGAGAAGCAGCGUGGGUUCCGCCCCGGACGAGGCAAUGCUGGGUAGAUACCCCGUGGAUGACAUCAUGGAGAACACUAGCUGUGAGCUACACGUCAAAAUGAAGAACAUAUCCAUGAAGGUGGCGGACGCCGUUGCUUUUACAAAUCCCCCCCGAGGCAAUUGCAACCCGAUUCCAGCGGGCUAUGCUCGUGUCUUGGUUGAUGAGGUGGUGGACCCAUAUUCGGAGCUAGAGCUUGACUAUCCUGGAGGUGACGACGAGUGCUUUCUCAGAGACGCCAAACAUCGUAUCAUCCUAUGGAAAAAGGAUUGCAUCAUCUUUUGAAGGCCACCGACACUGCGUCAGCCGACUCCUCGUCGAAGUCCGCCACCGAGUCAGCAGUCUCCCGCUCCUGCAAGUCCACCAAGUUCGGCAAAGUGUCAGGCCACUCCUCCUCCAAGUCCGGCAAAGUGUCAGGCCACUCCUCCUCCUCCAAGUCUACCACAAUGUCAGACGUCCACUCCUCCUUCAAGUCCGGCACAACCUCAGGCCACUCCUCCUCCAAGUCCGGCACAGCUUCAGGCGGCCACUCCUCCUCGUCCAACUCAGCCCCGUCAGCCGUCUCCGCCGCCUCAGCAAUCACAGAAGAGACACCCCGCAGCUAUGGUGCGUAGCGGUACGAGUCGAGGUAGUACAGGAAGUACAGGCGGAGGCAAGCGAUAUAAAUAUGGUCCAAGCCUCACGCCUCUUCCGCAGAGGGCUUAUGACAGGUCCGAGGAGGAAAUCACAGCCAUAUCGAAGUCCGAGGUGGAAGCCCAUUUUGCACCGAAACCGCCACCGCCACCAAGGGAGAAAGUGCCUGAGGAAAUGAUUGACCACUUCAUUCGUAUGGCUCAACCACCAGCUCCCAAGCCUGUUGACACAGACUAUGAGCGCCACAUCAGGAAGUUAAAUCGAGCACGUCUACGUAAGGAGGCGAGCUCGGGAUCGAGCAAACAAGAAGCAGCUGUCAAAAAUGCGGGAAAACCAUUCCCCAGCUAGGAGAACAGGCGGCGCAAUCGAUCCCCUCGCUUGUUGUGCCAACAACAUGUGACAGUACGCGCGCCCAAUAUUAUUGUGGGCAAAUAGUUUACGUUCCUGAGGUGGGCAAUGUGGUAACAACGGAGGAGCAUAUAAUGGAGGCUGAAGUUCUCAAAAUCACUGUUGGACAACUCCUCGAGAUUGAGCCCAUGCCUGUGCUUAGAGAGGAUGAAAUAAAACGGAAAUAUGUUCGGGGCCAACCUUUGGUCGAGCCAGACAAGGUCAAGAACCUCCCAACGAGAAUGUAUGAAUUGCAUCAAUGGUACAUGAACAUUACCAAGAUUUCUGAUCGAUUGUCCCUCAUGGUGAAUGUCAAGGAGGAGCAUUACUACCAUGAGAAAGCUGUGUCCGUUGAGUAUUCUGAACUAUUUCAGUUAUACAAUCAAGACACACUCGACAAAUCUAUCGUUAGUUGCUAUUGUCUGUAAGUGAUUUCUUUCUGUAAUUUAAGUCUCAAGCUAGCUGUAGUGAUCCUUUUGAUCAAUCAUUACCUGUAAUUAUCCUCACUAUAUUCUUUUCUGUGGUAUUAUAUGCAGGAUGAAGAUGUAUGAAAUGAGAAAAGGUGGACGCUAUGGCAUUGGGUUCAUUGACCCAAACACCGUUAAUGAAUACACAUGGAAAAUAGAUGCACGUCAUCAAAAGGCCGUAGAGGAAAGCAUGCUAGAGUUCUUGAAGCGCCUCAAAUACAAUGAAGAUAUACUACUUCCUUACAACUUCCAGUGAGUCACACUGUCUUGUACUACAAAUUCUCAGUUUUUGCCUACUAGCUGUCUACAUGUUUUUGCUUACAUAUGCCCGCUUAAUUAAGACAUGCAUACGUGUUUGCAUGUAGAUAUCACUGGGUCUUGUGUAUCAUUAAAGUUGACGCUGGAACAGUUGAAAUACUGGACUCACUACUGAAAGAAAAAACUGACUAUAACAUCUUGUUUGGGAUAGUCAACAGGUAAUUUCAAUCAUUAUUAACUAUAUAUCUCGGCCUAUUUAGUUCGUCAUUUCAUGAUAUGAACUAUUUAAUAACCCCUUUAUUCAUUUUCUUUGUCGGCGGGCAGGGCUUGGGCAAGGUUCAUCAGCGUCACGGAAGGCGAAUGGAAAGAAAAGCUUAAAUGGGGAAGACCCAAGGUAAGUAAUUACGUAGUACUAGCUAGCUAGCUAGCUGCCAUCUCUUUAAUUAUCAUGCUUGAUUAAUUAUUAUCUGAUCAAAUUCCAUUCUCGUAAAGGCCCUGAAGCAGGCGCAGGGGAUUGAUCUGUGUGCAUUCUACGUUUGCGAGAACAUUCGCAUGAUGGCGUCCGAAAGGAGCAGAUCUCAAAGACAGGAAUGGGUAUGCUUGUCAAAACACUAUUCACAAUUUUUACACCAUUAUCGAUAUCUAGUGACACAACUAAUACACAUGCAUAUUGAUCUCCUUCUUAACAGUUCAGAGAGGUGCGGGAGAAGCUCCUAGAAACGGAGCACGUAGAAGCACUUCAAGAGGAAAUAGCGGGAUUUUUGCUCGACCAGGUCAUAAAUCCGAAGGGAGAAUACUAUUACCCGCUACCGCCCCCAUGAAAACCACUUCCAAUUGUCAUCGUGCUCCGAAGGCACCAAUUAGGCUCCACUAGCUCCGAAGGCAACAUGCAUAUGUAGGAGAAAUUGUAUAUAGCUAUACAUGUGUGUAUGUGUGAAUUAAUUAAUAUGAUGGUUUGUGAGACAUUGAUGAUAUAUAUAUGCAUGAUUGGUUCUACUAGAAAUUCUAUAUAUAUAUAUAUAUAUAUAUAUAUAUAUAUAUGCAUAACAUGUACAAUGUGUAGUAUCGUAAAAUACCAGCAAACGAAAAAGAAUUAAAAUGGAAACACAAAAUUAAAUGAUAAAGAAAUCAUAAAACUAAAAAAAACCCAAACCUUAUAGUACCGGUUGGUCUUACCAACCGAUACUAAAGGGCUCCAGGCCCCUGGAGCUGGCUCGUGCCACGUGGUUUCCCUUUAGCACCGGUUCGUGCUGAACCGGUACUAAAGGGGGGGGGGGCCUUGAGUGCCCACACUUUAGUGCCGGUUAUGGAACCGGCACUAAAGGGCCUUACGAACCGGUCCUAUUGCCCGGUUCUGCACUAGUGUAUGUUGUCAAUGAGAACUAUGUAUGAACUUUAUUUAUUUAUUUUUUCCGUAAUAACAUUUGAUCACUACUAUACUUUGGUUUUAAUAUGAUGGUGAACUUCUAUUAAUUUGGUCACUUCCCUAUACAUGAUGUUCUGUAAUGGUUUUUGACACACUUAAUUAUAUAUAAUGCAUGUAGAUGAACCGGCAAUGGAUGUACGGUGAAAGAUGCACCUCCGAGUACAUUAAGGGCAUGUAUAAUUUUCUCGAAGUGGCUGAGGCAAACAAGAAGAAUGGUUUUAUGUUUUCUCCAUGCCCUAUCUGUGGGAAUACAAAGUCUUACUCUGACUCGAAAACCCUUCACAUCCACCUGCUUGACAAGGAUUUCAUGCCACACUAUAAUGUUUGGACCAAGCACGGAGAAAGAGGGGUUAUGAUGGAAGACAACAAAGAAGAAGAGGAUGAUGAAAACUAUCGUCCCCCUGAAUACGGUGAUGCUGCAAUGGAGGAAGAUGAAGAUCAAGAGGAACUAGAAGAUGUGCCCAAUGAUGAUCUUCAUGGGGUCUUUGUUGAUGCAAAGAGACAAUGCCAAACUGAAAGGGAGAAGUUAAAGUUUGAUCGCAUGUUAGAGGAUCACAAAAAAGGGUUGUACCCAAAUUACAAAAAUGGCAACACAAAGCUCGGUAUCACACUGGAAUUGCUGCAAUGGAAGGCAGACAAUGGUGUAUCUGACAACGGGUUUGAGAAGCUACUAAAAAUAUUGAAGAAUAAGCUUCCUAAGGAUAACGAAUUGCCCGACAGUACGUACAGAGCAAAGAAGGUUCUAUGCCCUCUAGCAUUGGAGAUGCAGAAGAUACAUGCAUGCCCUAAUGACUGCAUCCUCUACCGCAAUGUGUACAAGGAUUUGAACACAUGCCCAGUAGGCGAUGCAUUGCGGUAUAAGAUCAGAUGAGAUGACCCUGGUGAUGUUGAGGGCGAGCGCCCCAGGAAGAGGAUUCUUGCCACGGUGGUAUGCUCCUAUAAUACCAUGGUUGAAACGUAUGCUUAGAAACAAAUAGCAUGCCAAGUUGAUGCGAUGACACAAACAGGACGGUAAGAAACACGGGAAGUUUAGAGCACCCGCUGACUGGUCGCAGUGGAGAGAAAUCGAGAGAACAUGGGGGGGGGGGACUUUGGAGGUGACGCAAGGAGCGUAUGGUUUGGUUUAAGCGCGGAUGUCAUUAAUCCUUUUGGAGAGCAGAGCAGCAAUCAUAACACCUGGCCCAUGACUCUAUGUAUCUAUAACCUUCCACCUUGGUUGUGCAUGGAGUGGAAGUUCAUUAUGAUGCCGUGCUCAUCCAAGGCCCUAAGCAACCCGGCAACAACAUUGAUGUGUACCUAAGGCCAUUAGUUGAAGUACUUUUACAGCUGUGGAAUGGAAAAGGUGUACGUGUGUUGGAUGAGCACGACCAGGAGGAUUUUGACCUACAUGCAUUGCUGUUUGUAACCAUCAAUGAUUGGCCUGCUCUCAGUAACCUUUCAGGACAAACAAACAAGGGAUUCCACGGAUGCACGCACUGUUUAGAUGACACCGAAAGUAUAUAUUUGGACAAAUGCAUGAAAAAUGUCUACAUGGGACAUCAUCGAUUUCUUCUGACCAACCAUCAAUGUAGAAAGAAAGGCAAGCAUUUCAAAGGUGAGGCAGAUCACCGGAAGAAGCCCGCCGUUCGUACUGGUGAUCACAUACUUGAUAUGGUCAUUGAUUUACACGUAAUCUUUGGAAAGGGUCCCAGCGGACUAUAUGUUCCAAAUGAAGCUGAGGGACGUGCACCCAGGUGGAAGAAGAAAUCUAUAUUUUCGGACCUACCCUAUUGGAAAGACCUAGAGAUCCGCUAUGCAAUCGACGUGAUGCAUGUGAUGAAGAAUCUUUGCAUGAACCUGCUAGGCUUCUUGGGCGUGUAUGGGAAGACAAAAGAUACACCAGAGGCACGGGAGGACCAUCAAUGUGUGCAUGAAAAAGAUGGCAUACAUCCAAAGAAGUAUAAAGGGCCUACCAGCUACGCUCUUACCAAAGAUGAGAAGGAAAUCUUUUUUGAAUGCAUGCUCAGUAUGAAGGUCCCGUCUGGCUUCCCGUCGAAUAUAAAGGGAUAAUAAAUAUGGCAAAAAGUUCCAAAACCUAAAGUCUCAUGACUGCCAUGUGAUUAUGACACAACUACUUCCGGUUGCAUUGAGGUGGCUUCUACCGAAAAACGUUUGAUUCGCCAUUGUGAAGCUAUGUGCAUUCCUCAAUGCAAUCUCUCAGAAGGUAAUCGAUCCAAAAAUCCUACCAAGGUUAAGGAGUGAUUUGGUGCAAUGUCUUGUCAGUUUCAAGCUUGUGUUCCCACCAUCCUUCUUCAAUAUCAUGACACACGUCCUAGUUCAUCUAGUCGACGAGAUUGGCAUUCUGGGCCCUAUAUUUCUACACACUAUGUUCCCCUUUGAGAGGUUUAUGGGAGUCUUAAAGAAAUAUGUUUGUAACUGUGCUAGGCCAGAAGCAAGCAUAUCCACGGGUCAUAAAAUAGUGGAGGUCAUUAGGUUUUGUGUUGACUUCAUUCCCGACCUUAAGAAGAUUGGUCUUCCUCAACCGCGGUAUGAGGGAGAUUGACUGGAAAAGGCACGCUAGGAGCGGACUCAAUAAUAUGUAGGGACGGGCAUUCUUGGUCUCAAGCACACUACACAGCUCUACAGGAUUAUACCUUGGUGACCCCAUAUGUCAAUGAACACGAGAAUAUUCUGUGCUCCAAACACCCGGAGCAGUGUGACAACCGGAUUACAUGUGAACACAUCAGGACUUUCGGUAGUUGGUUGCAAACACAUCUCAUGGGUGACAACUCUGUUGUAGAUGAGCUGUACUCGUUGGCUAGAGGACCAUCUUCGACUGUAUUAACUUACAAAGGGUACGAGAUAAAUGGGAAUACGUUUUACACGAUCGCCCAAGAUCAAAAGAGCACCAACAAAAACAGUGGUGUCCGCUUUGAUGCAACAACCAAUAGGGGAAAGGACACAUAUUAUGGUUACAUAGUAGACAUAUGGGAAUUUAACUAUGGACAUGAUUUUAAGGUCCCUUUGUUUCGGUGCAAAUGGGUUAAUCUGUCAGGGGGCCGGGUACAGGUAGACCAAUAGUACGGAAUGACAACAGUGGAUCUCAACAAUCUUGGGUAAACAGACGAACCAUUCGUCCUAGCUAAUGAUGUGGCGCGGGUUUUCUAUGUGAAGUACAUGUCUACUGAACCAAGAAAAAGAAAAGAUAAGGAAGCGAAUACAUCAUACGAUGAGCCAAAGCGCCACAUAGAUCUUUCAGGGAAAAGAGACAUCGUGGGAGUGGAGGGCAAGACAGACAUGUCUAAAGAUUAUGAAAAGUUCCAUGAAAUUCCUCCCUUCAAAGUCAAGGCUGACCCAAACACCCUGUUAAACGAUGAAGAUUAUCCAUGGUUACGGCGCAAUAAGCAAGGGACACACACGAAGAAAAAGUGAAGACUUUCUCUCCACAACUAUUCUGAUGAUUCCUUUGAUCUAGAAUAUCACUCCAGUUACAUGUUAAGAAAUGAAAUGCCUUUUGGAACAGAUGAGUUUUCAUCCGAAACCCUGUACUUUGAAAGAGAUUGCCAUUUUGUACAUGAAGUGCAUCCAGUUUUUUCCGCAACCCUCUCAAUUUUGUAGCACAUGCUAUAUGGCUGAAAUGAUGAUAUCAUGCUAACUUUCAAUCUUUUCAGAGUUCAUUUGUAGUGCUUUCCAAUUUCAGGGUCAUUUAGCUAAAAAAAAUCAGUAAAUGCAUGAAAAAUACAAAAUGAAGUCAGAAAUGGUUGAAAAUUGAUGAUGCGCCUUUUAAUGAUGCAUUUUGAACACACAAAAAGUCUGGAGUUAAAAUAAGUUCAAAAAAAUGAAAUCCCUUUGUAAGAGAUGAGUUUUCGUCUGAAAGCCUAAUACUUCGAAAGAGAUUGUCCAUUUUGUACAUGAAUUGCAUCCAAUUUUUUCCGUAACCGUCUCAACAUUCUAGCACAUUUUUAUGUGGGUGAAAUGAUGAUACCAUGCCUACUUUCAACCUUUCCAGAGUUUAUUUAUAGUGCUUUUCAAUUUCGGGGUAAUUUAGCUCAAAAAAUCAGUAAAUGCAUGAAAAAUACCAAAUAAAGUUAGAAACGGUUGAAAAUUGUUGAUGUUCCUUUGAACGGUGCAUUUUGGACACAUAAAAAAUAUGGGGUUAAAAUAAGUUUGAAAUCCCCCUCCUCACGCCUCGAGUCACCUCGCCACCCCAUCACCCAUCUUGUGCCCGCGUCCGCGUAGCGCCAUCUCUGCUGCCCCCACGCACCUCCGAUGACCUCCUGAGGCAGGGCCAAGUACCACUACCAUCGCGUUUCAUUUCUACAUCGUCAAGGCCGAGAGGACGCCAAGUACCAGGACGUCAGGACCCGUCAAGUUCAUCUACGUGCAUGUACGACUAUCUUCGCCAUAGACUCGUGUACGAUUACGCAAUGAACUAUGGAGUUACACGAGCUACCAGUAUCGCGACGACCCUGGAUACUGUAUUCUAUCAAGUUCCUCUACAAUAUGUGUACCACUACUUCCACAACAUGUCGUGUAUGACUACCGUCGCUCGGAUUCGACAAGACAAUGUGUACCACUAUCGUCGCCAAGUUCGACUGCCGCACGGUUAUGCCUAGUUCAUCUACGAAACAUGUACAACUACUUCCACUACCGUCGCGAGAACAACUACUUCCACUAUGGCCCGUGUACCACUACUUCCCUCGAUGAACUCGAACCGCUCCGAAAAAGCACACUACAAAGGUAUAACCACGAGACGAUCACGCGUGGACCGAAUGCACGUGUGUUUUAUCAGGUGCUCGUGUUUGCACCAUGUUUGAGUUGAUCCUUCCACGUUCCUACUCGUUUGCCAUGUCGUCGACCCAUGGGAACCCGGUAAUCCAGGAUCACCCCGCCAUCUUUUGCAUGCUCACGCCCACACUUUCUUUUGCACCGGUAUCUCAACGAGUUGCCGGAUCAUCAGAAUGUUGCCGUGGCACCAUUUCCAUUGUCAUUGCCGCGGCACCCCUUUUGUUCCGCCAUGGUGACAAAUGCUUCAUAUCUUAUAUUAUGUCAACAUUUUCAUAAAAAUUGCAUAAAACUUGUAUAUGUCAUCCACGUCAUGAUAACAACAUUUAAAAUGUUUAAAAUUGUUCUUGCAUUAAAUUGCUAAAUAACAUAUGGGGAUUUUCCAGAAUUGUUGUUUGUUGUUUCCGGCAUCAUUUAAACUUUCCUAAAUAGGUGGUUUGCUCAUGUUUCACCUCUUGCCAUGUUAACCAACAUUUAAACUUUUCUUGUUCAUAAACGAGAGCGAACUAAAUAAUUGGAUGUGGUGUUUCAUCAAUAUGCAACUCGUUGUAUAUUGAGCUCCACUUAAAUUGUUGUGUUGUUUGUGCACUUUGCCAUGUCAUGCAUAUUUAAACCGGACAUGCAUCAUACUUGAAUGUGCAUCAUGCCAUGUUAUGUGAUGAUUGUUUACCAUGUUGUUUGCUUCUUUCCGGUGUUGUUUCUUAGUUCCGAUAACGUUGCGGAUUGUGAGUAUUCGUUCGACUACGUCCGUUUGUCUUCUUCUUGGACUCGUUCUUCUUUCUUGCGGGAUCUCAGGCAAGAUGACCAUUGCCCUCGAUAUCACUUCUAUCUUUGCUUGCUAGUUCCUUCUUUGUAUCGCUAUGUUGGUUGAAGUUUUCAUGAGCAUAAAACAAUUGCAAGUCCCAGGUUGCUGCAAGCAUGACAACCUGACACUUGGGGGCUACAGGUGAUAUGCAUAUAAGGGAGGAAUAACUUCAAAUUCUCAGUUUUGAGAAAAUCAGGUAUUAUAUUAUUAUCAGAGAAAUCUGCAAAGUUUAUGACCCGGUGUCAUCAUAAGAUUAACCCGGCAUCAGCAACAAUUACAUGACCCGGCAUCAUUUAUUUAUAACCCGACAAAUUUGGUAAUCAUAAGUCGGCAAGAUUUACAUCUCUAAGCCGUCUGAAUAUCAAUUCAAUAUUUCAAAGACCGAUAUUUUUGUCAAGUCAGAGCAUUGAAGGCCGACUCAAAUGGAUCAUUAGAUAAUUUGAGCCCAUUACGACGAUAAAUUAUGCACAGGACCAAAACCGAUCACACAAAGGUAUGGCAUACAGGGAAUACCGUUGCACAUCCAGCAUAUAUUAUAGGAAAUUACAUCCACUGGGCAAUCAAAGAUUGAUGCCAGUGCAAAUAAAUGAGCAGAACCUAACCAUCUACAACAUCACAAUCUACAACCUCAGCACAGAUGACGCCCAUAAGCAUGUGGGCAAGUUCUUUCUGCUUUGCGACACUGUCUCUGAAAACAUUGAUCAGUUGUUGUGUUGCACGAUUCUGCACCUCUGAUCCAUCCACCAUUUCCAUCAUUGCUUCAGCCAUUAAUUGGUUCACAAACAUACAUUUAUUCCGUUGCAUUCGAGACAGAGGAUACUGAACAGAUUUAGAUGGCGAUUUUGGCAGGCUUGUAUUAUUGAUAGUGGAGAGUGUCUCGACCACUGCAUCAUAACAUAAAUUAGGACGGGAACCAAACAAAUUAAUCAUGAGUUAUUGCCAUAUUACCUGGCCUAGAUUUACUGGAAAGAAACAAUGGGGUUGCCUUACUGUUUUCAGAGUUUGUCUUCUUAUCUUCAGCAGCCUACACAAAAUUAACACACUAGCAUUGCUAUCAUUGGCCAAGUCAGAUAAUAGGAAAGCAACAUUGACACAACGAACGUUUGGGCAAGUAGCCUACACCAAAUUAACACAAUAUGGCACAGCUAUCAUCAGCCAGGUAAGGUAGUACGAAAGCAACAUUGACACAAUGAAUGAAUGGGCAACCAGAGAAGCACUACAAUUCAGUAAUGUGCGUGAUAUGAGAUAGUACAUUCAUGCAGCUCAGUAUGGAAAACUACCAGGCAGUUUUCCUUACAAAAAUCAACAUUGGCGCCUUUAACAUUUUGCUACAACUAAUUUUAGAACAGAUAAAGGUUAGAUUCACGCCGAUUAACAAAAUACAUUGUCACAUCCCUAGCUUCUGGCAUUGCUCUAGCCUAGCUUCAUGUGUGCAUCAUGUCUAUAUUUUUGAAACUUGAAUUGAGGAAUAUUGGAAGCCUCAAAACCCUAAAUAAAAGAGGGGCAAAAACCCUAGAAAUCUCAUUCAUUGCUCCAAAAGGCUCUUCUUAAAUGUUUGAUAAUUUUUGGUAAGGGUUCUGGUCCCAACCAAAAUAUUGAACAUUUUUAAGGAUUUAUUUUUGGGACUUUGAAUUUAAAUCAUUAGCUAUUUGAAUUUGAAUUAUAUUCAUAUAAUUAGAAUAUAAUUUUAAAUACCCCUGAAAUAUUUUAUGAGCUUUUGGAAAAGUCCAUCUAGCCAAAUAAAAUUAUCCAGAGGAGUUUUUGGCAUUGUUUGAAUUUGUUUAAAAUUCAAAACAGUGGCAAAACGAAAUUAAAUAAAACAAAACAGAAGAAAAAAAUAAAAGAGAGAGAGAGAAGGACUUACCUGGCCUCACCCGUGCAGCCCACCAGAACCGGCCCAGCCGGCCCAGCCCGCCACCGCUACUCCCCCCCCCCUGUCGUCUUCCUCUUGCCAGUGGGAGCAGCUGCGUGCUCGCACGCGCGCGGCCGAGGAGGCCACCUCCUCCCUGCCUNNNNNNNNNNNNNNNNNNNNNNNNNNNNNNNNNNNNNNNNNNNNNNNNNNNNNNNNNNNNNNNNNNNNNNNNNNNNNNNNNNNNNNNNNNNNNNNNNNNNNNNNNNNNNNNNNNNNNNNNNNNNNNNNNNNNNNNNNNNNNNNNNNNNNNNNNNNNNNNNNNNNNNNNNNNNNNNNNNNNNUGCGUGCUCGCACGCGCGCGGCCGAGGAGGCCACCUCCUCCCUACCUGGCUGCCUCCUCCUUCCCUGGUCCCUCCCGCGACGCCACGCAGCCCCGACCCCCUCUCACUUCUCCCUCGCUCUCUGGACCUCCCUCCCCCUCGCUCCUCUGUUUCCCCUCCCGCGACCGAACGGAGCCGCCGCCACCGACGAGAGCCACCGUGGCUACAGGCCACCCCACGGCUCACCGACGCCCCAGGAAGCUCCGCCGGUCCUCCCUCUACCUCCUCAAUGAGCCACGAGGCCCCGGACGUGCCACAACACCACCCUCGAUGCCUUCUUCAACCUCGGGACCGCCGGCCAUCUUCGUCAAAUUCGCCGGCUCCGGACCGUCCCCGACCUUGCCGAGCGUCCCCUCGUCAUCGCCGUGAGUCAAUGACCCUCUCCACUAACUCAGCAUGCUCCCCUCCGUGCCGUAGCGCCGUUCCCCACGAGCACCGAAGCCACCGUCCGCCAUUGCUGCUGCACGCAUAGCCUCCGUGCUCCCCUGGCCUCACUGAGCUGCUCUUAGUGCUCCCCAUGUCUAGCAGGUGCUGCCCAGCCUCUCCAUUUGCUCACUGAUGCACCGUAGCGACGCGCCCGAGCACCACCGAACACCAUCGCCGCCAAAGCUCGUCGCCGACAUGAGUUCCGGCGACCCCAUGACCUCCCACUCGGUCCUCUGGAUGCGCGGGAGCAAGGGCCAUCCCCUGGUGCCCUCAGCGCGCCAAACUGACGCCUCUAGCGCAAGUCCGGCGUGCCCCACCGUGUUCUGUGGUCGCCGUCGGCUGGUCUCCGGCGUGCUGACGUGGCGUCGUCGUUAGGGGCUAAUGAUCCUGCUAACUAACCCUGUGACACUGACAGCGGGCCCCGUAGCGGGUCAAAGCCCGAGUCAACGCGGGAUUAGCCCCUGUGUCACUGACGUGUGGACCCCACACGUCAGGUUUGACCCGAGCCGGCCCCUGUUGACUUGCUGACGUCAUGCCAACGUCAUGCUGACGCAGUAAUGUUUUCUGGAUUUAAUUUAAUUCUGAAAUUCCAGAAAAUGAAUAUAAACUUCUAAAAUUCAUAGAAAAUUAACCGUAACUCCAAAUUAAAUAAUUUAUAUAUGAAAAAUUAUCAGAAAAAUUCAAGGAAUCCAUCUGUACCAUUUUCAUGCAUGUUAGAACAACUUAUAGCUGCUGUUUAGCACAAAUCAAAUAAAGGGCAUUUAAAUAAUCACAUAUGGAGUUUGAAUUUGAAUCUUGUAUUCAAACCAACUUCAUUUAAUCUGUUGCUAGUUGCAUUGGCUCAAAACACAUUCAUUUUGCCAUGUUAUGAUCAUGCAUCAUAUUGUGCAUUGCAUUGAUUGUGUUCCCUUCUGUGUUGCCGGUAUUUGUCCCCUCUCGAUAGACGUGAUACCGAUGAUGUGAUCGUUGACACUGAUGAAGACUCAAUGUUAUCUUCAAAAGUGCCAGGCAAGCAAAACCCCCUUGUUCAUUCCGAUACAAUCCUACUCUCUCGCUCCUGCUCUCUUUUACUGCAUUAGGACAACACCGAUUCAUCUGUUACUUGCUGCGGUAGCUGAACCCCUUUGUCCUUUGCAUGACCUGUCAUUGCCACAGUAAAUAGAUGAAACCCACUAGCAUGAGUAGGAGUUGUUUGAGCCCUGAUGUGCCUACUCAUUCAUGUUUGUUUGUCAUGCCUGCUAUUGCUUAGAGUUGAGUCAGGUCUGAUUCAUCGGGGAUGAAUCAGAGGCGUGUGAACAUGUCCUACUGUGUGUGAGCUAAGUGUGUGAACACGAUUUGGUAAAGGUAGCGGUGAGAGGCCAUGUAGGAGUACAUGGUGGGUUGUCUCAUUGCAGCCGUCCUCAGGAACUGAGUUCUGUGUUUGUGAUCCAUGAUUCAGCUACUACCACGCAUUGGGCCCGAAACCAAUGGACCCUCUCGGCUUCUUGACCACCCUUGUCCUCUGUCCAGGAGUUGCAAGUAGUUUCUGGUGUUUGUAGUAUGCCGGAGGCCGUGCGCAGCGCUGACCGUAGGGGUGGGCUGUGAUGCGGUAGGCACGUGGCCGGGUAAACCGGGCGCCCGUUUGGUGUCACGGAACCCUGUACACAUCGUUUGGGGCUGUGAGCGAAACUCCGGCCGGAUCUCCUCAUGGAUGGAACCCGAAUAGGCGAUAAACCUGGACUAGAGACUUGAGUGUUUAGGUAGGCCGUGGCCGACACCCACGUUGGGCUUCCGCUUGAAGGUUGCCGAGUACAUGUCGUGUAAACGGCGGUAAGUGGUGAAAGCGUGUGUGAAGAAGUACACCCCUGCAGGGUUAACAUCAUCUAUUCGAAUAGCCGUGUCCGCGGUAAAGGACUGCUGGGUUGCUUAUAUCAGUUCAUAGACAAGUGAAAGUGGAUACUCUAAAAUACGCAAGAUAAGCGUGAGUGCUAUGGAUGGCGUUCUCGUAGGGAGACGGGAGCGGAUCCAUAGUGGUGUAUUGAUAUGGUGAAUAUGUGGACUCGUGUGCGCCACCUCAAAAGAGUUACAUUGCAGUCGUAGUUCAGGAUAGCCACCGAGUCAAAGCUGGCUUGCUGCAGUUAAACCCCACCAUCCCCUUUGUUGAUAAUGAUGCAUAUGUAGAUAGUUCUGAUGUAAGUCUUGCUGGGUACAUUUGUACUCACGUUUGCCUAUUUUAUGUUUUUGCAGAGAGACUUCAGUCUCACUAGUAUUUCCGCGUGGUCUUCGACGUUUAGCUUGAUACCUCAGCUACGAUCUUGUGCCCUCGGCAGGAUCUGAUAGAUAGUCAGGCUUCUCAGCCUUUUUCAUUUAUAGAUGUCUGUACUCAGACAUGAUAGCUUCCGCUUGUGCUUUGACUUGUAUGCUCUGAGUGUUGGGUCAUGAGACCCAUGUUUGUAAUAUCUCGCUCCUCGGAGCCUAUUGAAUAAACUACUUGAGUCGUAGAGUCAUUUUGUGAUGCCAUGUUGUAAUGCACAUAUCGAGCAUAUUGUGUGUAUGUUAUUGAAAUGCUUGGUAUGUGUGGGAUCUGACCAUCUAGUUGUUUAUCUUUAGUAGCCUCUCUUACGGGGAAAUGUCUCCUAGUGUUUCCACCGAGCCAUGGUAGCUUGCUACUGCUCCGGAACACUUAGGCUGGCCGGCAUGUGUCCUUCUUCGUUCCUGUGUCUGUCCCUUCGGGGAAAUGUCACGCGGUGAAUACCGGAGUCCUGUUAGCCCGCUACAGCCCGGUUCACCGGAGUCCUGCUAGCCCAGUGCUACAGCCUGGAUUCACUCGCUGAUGACCGACACGUUCGAUGCUGGGUCAUGGAUGCCUGUCCCUGUAAGUCUGUGCCGCUUUGGGUUUACGACUAGCCAUGUCAGCCUGGGCUCCUUAUCAUAUGGAUGCUAGCGACACUGUCAUAUACGUGUGCCAAAAGGCGCAAACGGUCCCGGGCAAAGGUAAGGCGACACCCGUGGGAAUACCGUGCGUGAGGCCGCAAAGUGAUAUGAGGUGUUACAUGCUAGAUCGAUGUGGCAUUGAGUCGGGGUCUUGACAGCGUUGCUAUCAGAGCUUGACUGCCUGUAGGAUUACCAAGCCAAAUUGGUCGAAGUUGAGUUUAGAAAUUCUUUAGUUAUAUAAGGGAAUUGAUUGUGGGAUGGAACGUAAGGCUCUUUUUACUCCUUAUACCUCAUGCCCUUCUGAUAUGAGUCAUCUUAUCUUUCCUGUGGGGAUUAAGAACUAGGCUAUCUCUUCUUUCUAUUAGGAUCACGUGUUACUAAUCAGUAGACUUAUAAGAUUGUUGGAUUUAAGUCUCAGUUCAGUUCCUACUACUUCCGUAUGUUAAUUGUUGAUCUCGGAACCUUGAUAUUGUGCUUCUGAGUGGUUAUGCCACCAUUUUUGUGAUUGUCUCAAAUCUUUUUGAGCAAUUAUAGCCGUUAUGCUGUCCGAGUCAUCCCAGGUUUCUAAAUAGUCCGAUGCAUUUGCAAAUCCCUUCCUUCUGUUUCCGAUGUUCCCAUGGGCCAGAUUAACCACACUAAUCGGUGUGUUGAGGUAGUUAUUGCCUCGACAUAUAUGUUGGAAUUAUUAUUAUGACCCUAAGUGCUUAGGGGAUCAUCUAGUGGUCUAGCCAUGAUUUGUGUCCUAGUGUGAAGAUUCUGGCCUUUAUUCUCGGAAGCAUCCCGUGAUGCUACUUAGUAGUAGGUAUUCUACUCCUGGGUUCUGAACCCGAGAUUCACUCUACCUACUUCAUGUUGAUAGUAAUUGCUAGUGCCUUUAGGAUAUUAGUAACCUUUGCGAUAGUCCUUGAAGUCCGUGGUAUCUUCUUCUUCCAAAUACCAUGAACUACUUAUGGUAGAUGUUUAUUGGAUCAAAAAAAUCACAAUUAGAGUACUCUUGAGGAGUUCUCCAUUCAUAAAUCGUGACUCUGCCAGUUCUACCUUUAUGCAUGGGUUAUCCGGAAGAAAUAUGUUGAACUUGGUUCGACAUACUAAUCUAUGCAUCCACAACUCAGAAAGUUAUAUGUUCCUUUGAGUUGUUCUCUUUAGUUGCAUUCUGACCCUCGUCUAUCAAUUGAUAGUCAAGAGUAUGCGUGCGUUCGUUCAUCGAUGCCUAUGACUCUUGUGGUCUGUCAAGCCAUUCUAUUCCGGAAUGACUAGGAGAAACAAACUCCAGUACCUCUUCCAUAUCUAGGAUUGGGUCAAAGUAGUUGUAUUCCGCAGAUCAAAUGCCAAUCCAGCUUUUGGUUCUGCUCUACCUUGGAGUAUUACAUAUUUUAUAUCGAGAUUGUUAUAGGAAUUGCACACCAUCCCAUGAACUCUUGGUACAGUGAUACUUCUUGCCAUCACUGUUCAUUCCUCGGCCCUCGUGUUGAUGCAACCGGAAUACCGACAAAUGAAUUGUGAUGUGUGAAAUCAAUACUGCUAGCAACUCUGUUGCUUGGUAGUUAAAGGAUAAUAAUUUCAUUCUUAGUAUGUUGGUUUUCGAAUCAUCCUUCUAAGACUGAUCGUGCUACCUAGUCCUUAUUUCGGUGCACCCUUCGAUUGGUGAGUUAGGAUCUUGUCAAGUCCUCACUCAUUUGAUCAUAUCGUCUUGCCCUCAAAAGCAAGAUUGUUCUCGAGCUUAGUAACAUACCGGUGGUUCGUGACUUUCCAAAUAUCUUCUUGGAGGUGUUACCAGGUUGUCACCUGACCGCUAUGUUGAGUUCGUGAUCAAGUUGGUUUCUUGUGAACCACCUUCUCUCCAAGAAUCGGUGUUAGAUAUCCCUGAGCUAGUUGGUUAAGCUAGACAACAACUUGGAGAGUUGGAAGAUAAAAGCUUGUCUGACUUAGUUCGUUCCAAAGGGAUAUUCUUGUGUAGUGUGUGUUGAAGAAAGAUGAUAUCUUCAUCGAUUGGUCCUUGUGAUCAGUUGCUGGACCUAUUGUCUUAUCAAUCCUUUGAUUUGAGUGUGGGCUAUCGUCAAAUCAAAUCAGUACCAACGAUGCUCGUAAUGUUGUCUUAUUCGUGGUUGAUCCCUCGAGCAUACACCAUUAUAUCUUUUAGGUCUGACCAAUGCUAUCACUUGUUCACUUAACUAUGGAUUUCCUUUUAAAAGGAAACCCAGAUGAAUUGUUGUUGUGCCCAUUGACAACAUCCUUGUCUCCAUAAUUUUGCUGAACAUUAAGCUAGUGUUGGAAACUUUUGAAAGCAUUUGUUCAUGCUAGCUCAUGAAGCAUAUGUUUGGAUGAAGGUAGUGACUUCCUUUAAUUCAUGUGCAUCUGAUGCAAGUUGCCGCCGUGGAUUCGAGAAAGUCAAUGUUGCUUUCUUUGGAAUCAUUCCAAAUCAGUCAUGCACACGUGCGAAGAAUGCUGUGGUUUGAAGACUUGCAACCUUCAAUCUAUAUGUAUCCCUAGCACACCAAGCCACUGAUUGAUUUGUUCAAGGAGAAGGAGUUCCUUCAUAAGAGCUAAUCCGGACUUAUGAAAGAACUUCGAUACCCUCGUUGAUGGUUCCCCCUCCUGAACUCGGUAGUGUUUUAUUAUAAGACUACCACGUGGUCAUGCUUGUCUGGGACAACGUGUUCACAUGUUUGUAGCAGAACCAGCUCAUGUUUUGGAGCUUGCUAUCGUAGUUCAUCUCCCGAGAAUCCCGCAACGUCAUCUCAUCGAUUUGUGUUGCAAACUUUCAUUUUUCUUCCUAAGACUCGAUGAGCCUGGAAUAUCCUAACACCAACCAGAGCUGAAUCUCAGGCAGAUAUGAUGGUUGGAACAUUUCCCUAAGAACUAUAAUAUUGGUCUCUCGAUAACCGGUAAGGUGGAUGUCGUGGCCAACACACCCAUCCGGUAGACCUAUUAUUAUAGUAUCUUGUUUGAGGAAGUUGGCCACCCCCCCCUAGGGAUUUCGUAGGAUUUACUCCCUAGUUGCCCCUAUGGAUUUUUAUGUUCCCGAAGUCCGACCUUUUACUUGAUGUUUUAGAUAUCAAACCAUAUCUAUGAAUGGGUUAUACUAGCACAUCAAGGAGAACAUUAGAAGCGGAGUGCUAAAUGUCUCUCGGUCGAUCAUCCAGAUUUUAUUUGCUUGGCCUCGCUAAGGUGAAAUCUGAGAAAGUGUUAUCCUCCUUCGCAUCUGCAUCGUCCAUCGCUAUUCAUCAUGGUAGUAUGUUGUGUUGUCAGCACCCUUGACGCGGUUGUUGAUAAAACCUUGAUGAUUGUGCAAAUGCUCAAGUUCUUGAGAGCACGCACAAGCGCUACGUCUUAUCAUCGGCACUAGCUGGGAUUGCCCCAGAUUUCCUCGGUUAUGCUAUAACCACUCCAACAGUGAAUUCACUCGCUAUUGUUGGGUUCUUCCCCAGUUACCAGAAUCAUUCCCAGCAUUUGCAUUUUGUUCCCAGCUUGCACCGCCAAUGUGCCAUUCUACCAUGGGUCUCUUCCAUUUCCGGUGAUAAGCAAAAUUCAUCCAUUACGUUGUCUUCAACAAGGUAAUCCACAUCAUCCAAGUUUGAGUAUGCCAUUCUACCGAACCCCUCUAAAUGAUCGAUUAUGAUUUGCCUUAAGCUGGUAUAAAGAGUUUCAAUGAUCUCUGAAUCAAAGGUAAUUCUUUUGCCACUUAAGGGGAGAUAUCUAUGAGUCACGGUUCCGAAGGUGUCUCGUUGUGGUAUCAUGGCAACUCAACUCCUCGCUACGUUGACAACCGAUUACCACCUUCUUAAGUGUGGAAUUGUUGUCCACCUAGUGAACCUUCGUCAUCCGUUUCUUUCCACCCCUCUUGAUGUGUAUCUCGUGUCUCAACCCGAGAGAUGGUCCUAUGUCUCAUUCCGUGAGUUGUUCGAUCUUCAAGAAGAUCGACCCUUCUAGAGUCUCCUUCUUCCCUCCAUGUCAUGUUGGCAGGAUUUCUCAAAACAAGACAUCAAGACAAUGAUGGUGAAUGAAUCAACGUUCAACUGAAGUGCACCCUGGAUCAUGAAGAUUGUACUAGUUUGCGUUUCCCCUUCAUCCUACCCUACGCUUGAAUCUCGAGACGAGAUUCUUGUUUAGUGGGGGUGAGUUGUCACAUCCCUAGCUUCUGGCAUUGCUCUAGCCUAGCUUCAUGUGUGCAUCAUGUCUAUAUUUUUGAAACUUGAAUUGAGGAAUAUUGGAAGCCUCAAAACCCUAAAUAAAAGAGGGGCAAAAACCCUAGAAAUCUCAUUCAUUGCUCCAAAAGGCUCUUCUUAAAUGUUUGAUAAUUUUUGGUAAGGGUUCUGGUCCCAACCAAAAUAUUGAACAUUUUUAAGGAUUUAUUUUUGGGACUUUGAAUUUAAAUCAUUAGCUAUUUGAAUUUGAAUUAUAUUCAUAUAAUUAGAAUAUUUUAAAUACCCCUGAAAUAUUUUAUGAGCUUUUGGAAAAGUCCAUCUAGCCAAAUAAAAUUAUUCAGAGGAGUUUUUGGCAUUGUUUGAAUUUGUUUAAAAUUCAAAACAGUGGCAAAACGAAAUUAAAUAAAACAAAACAGAAGAAAAAAAUAAAAGAAAGAGAGAGAAGGACUUACUUGGCCUCACCCGUGCAGCCCACCAGAACCGGCCCAGCCGGCCCAGCCCGCCACCGCUACUCCCCCCCCCCUGUCGUCUUCCUCUUGCCAGUGGGAGCAGCUGCGUGCUCGCACGCGCGCGGCCGAGGAGGCCACCUCCUCCCUGCCUGGCUGCCUCCUCCUUCCCUGGUCCCUCCCGCGACGCCACGCAGCCCCGACCCCCUCUCACUUCUCCCUCGCUCUCUGGACCUCCCUCCCCCUCGCUCCUCUGUUUCCCCUCCCGCGACCGAACGGAGCCGCCGCCACCGACGAGAGCCACCGUGGCUACCGGCCACCCCACGGCUCACCGACGCCCCAGGAAGCUCCGUCGGUCCUCCCUCUACCUCCUCAACGAGCCACGAGGCCCCGGACGUGCCACAACACCGCCCUCGAUGCCUUCUUCAACCUCGGGACCGCCGGCCAUCUUCGUCAAAUUCGCCGGCUCCGGACCGUCCCCGACCUCGCCGAGCGUCCCCUCGUCAUCGCCGUGAGUCACUGACCCUCUCCCCUAACUCAGCAUGCUCCCCUCCGUGCCGUAGCGCCGUUCCCCACGAGCACCGAAGCCACCGUCCGCCAUUGCUGCUGCACGCAUAGCCUCCGUGCUCCCCUGGCCUCACUGAGCUGCUCUUAGUGCUCCCCAUGUCUAGCAGGUGCUGCCCAGCCUCUCCAUUUUCUCACUGAUGCACCGUAGCGACGCGCCCGAGCACCACCGAACACCAUCGCCGCCAAAGCUCGUCGCCGGCAUGAGUUCCGGCGACCCCACGACCUCCCACUCGGUCCUCUAGAUGCGCGGGAGCAAGGGCCAUCCCCUGGUGCCCUCAGCGCGCCAAACUGACGCUUCUAGCGCAAGUCCGGCGUGCCCCGCCGUGUUCUGUGGUCGCCGUCGGCUGGUCUCCGGCGUGCUGACGUGGCGUCGUCGUUAGGGGCUAAUGACCCUGCUAACUAACCCUGUGACACUGACAGCGGGCCCCGUAGCGGGUCAAAGCCCGAGUCAACGCGGGAUUAGCCCCUGUGUCACUGACGUGUGGACCCCACACGUCAGGUUUGACCCGAGCCGGCCCCUGUUGACUUGCUGACGUCAUGCCAACGUCAUGCUGACGCAGUAAUGUUUUCUGGAUUUAAUUUAAUUCUGAAAUUCCAGAAAAUGAAUAUAAACUUCUAAAAUUCAUAGAAAAUUAACCGUAACUCCAAAUUAAAUAAUUUAUAUAUGAAAAAUUAUCAGAAAAAUUCAAGGAAUCCAUUUGUACCAUUUUCAUGCAUGUUAGAACAACUUAUAGCUGCUGUUUAGCACAAAUCAAAUAAAGGGCAUUUAAAUAAUCACAUAUGGAGUUUGAAUUUGAAUCUUGUAUUCAAACCAACUUCAUUUAAUCUGUUGCUAGUUGCAUUGGCUCAAAACACAUUCAUUUUGCCAUGUCAUGAUCAUGCAUCAUAUUGUGCAUUGCAUUGAUUGUGUUCCCUUCUGUGUUGCCGGUAUUUGUCCCCUCUCGAUAGACGUGAUACCGAUGAUGUGAUCGUUGACACUGGUGAAGACUCAAUGUUAUCUUCAAAAGUGCCAGGCAAGCAAAACCCCCUUGUUCAUUCCGAUACAAUCCUACUCUCUCGCUCCUGCUCUCUUUUACUGCAUUAGGACAACACCGAUUCAUCUGUUACUUGCUGCGGUAGCUGAACCCCUUUGUCCUUUGCAUGACCUGUCAUUGCCACAGUAAAUAGAUGAAACCCACUAGCAUGAGUAGGAGUUGUUUGAGCCCUGAUGUGCCUACUCAUUCAUGUUUGUUUGUCAUGCCUGCUAUUGCUUAGAGUUGAGUCAGGUCUGAUUCAUCGGGGAUGAAUCAGAGGCGUGUGAACCUGUCCUACUGUGUGUGAGCUAAGUGUGUGAACACGAUUUGGUAAAGGUAGCGGUGAGAGGCCAUGUAGGAGUACAUGGUGGGUUGUCUCAUUGCAGCCGUCCUCAGGAACUGAGUUCUGUGUUUGUGAUCCAUGAUUCAGCUACUACCACGCAUUGGGCCCGAAACCAAUGGACCCUCUCGGCUUCUUGAUCACCCUUGUCCUCUGUCCAGAAGUUGCAAGUAGUUUCUGGUGUUUGUAGUAUGCUGGAGGCCGUGGGCAGCGCUGACCGUAGGGGUGGGCUGUGAUGUGGUAGGCACGUGGCACGGUGUACCGGGCGCCCGUUUGGUGUCUCGGGAACCCUGUUCACAUCGUUUGGGGCUGUGAGCGAAACUCCGGCCGGAUCUCCUCAUGGAUGGAACCCGAAUAGGCGAUAAACCUGGACUAGAGACUUAGGUGAUUAGGUAGGUCGUGGCCGACACCCACGUUGGGCUUCCGCUUGAAGGUUGCCGAGUACAUGUCGUGUAAACGGCGGUAAGUGGUGAGAACGUGUGUGAAGAAGUACACCCCUGCAGGGUUAACCUAAUCUAUUCGAAUAGCCGUGUCCGCGGAAAAGGACUUCUGGGUUGCUUAUAUCAGUUCAUAGACAAGUGAAACUGGAUACUCUAAAAUACGCAAGAUAAGCGUGAGUGCUAUGGAUGGCGUUCUCGUAGGGAGACGGGAGCGGAUCCAUAGUGGUGUAUUGAUAUGGUGAAUAUGUGGACUCGUGUGCGCCACCUCAAAAAAGUUACUCGCAGUCGUAGUUCAGGAUAGCCACCGAGUCAAAGCUGGCUUGCUGCAGUUAAACCCCACCAUCCCUUUGUUGAUAAUGAUGCAUAUGUAGAUAGUUCUGAUGUAAGUCUUGCUGGGUACAUUUGUACUCACGUUUGCCUAUUUUAUGUUUUUGCAGAGAGACUUCAGUCUCACUAGUAUUUCCGCGUGGUCUUCGACGUUUAGCUUGUUACCUCAGCUACGAUCUUGUGCCUCGGCAGGAUUUGGUAGAUAGUCAGGCUUCUCAACCUUUUUCAUUUAUAGAUGUCUGUACUCAGACAUGAUAGCUUCCGCUUGUGCUUGAUUUGUAUGCUCUGAAUGUUGGGUCAUGAGACCCAUGUUUGUAAUAUCUCGCUCCUCGGAGCCUAUUGAAUAGAUUACUUGAGUCAUAGAGUCAUGUUGUGAUGCCAUGUUGUAUUUGCACAUAUCGAGCAUAUUGUGUGUAUGUUAUUGAAAUGCUUGGUAUGUGUGGGAUCUGACCAUCUAGUUGUUUAUCUCUAGUAGCCUCUCUUACGGGGAAAUGUCUCCUAGUGUUUCCACCGAGCCAUGGUAGCUUGCUACUGCUCCGGAACACUUAGGCUGGCCGGCAUGUGUCCUUCUUCGUUCCUGUGUCUGUCCCUUCGGGGAAAUGUCACGCGGUGAAUACCGGAGUCCUGUUAGCCCGCUACAGCCCGGUUCACCGGAGUCCUGCUAGCCUAGUGCUACAGCCUGGAUUCACUCGCUGAUGACCGACACGUUCGAUGCUGGGUCAUGGAUGCCUGUCCCUGUAAGUCUGUGCCACUUUGGGUUUACGACUAGCCAUGUCAGCCCGGGCUCCUUAUCAUAUGGAUGCUAGCGACACUGUCAUAUACGUGUGCCAAAAGGCGCAAACGGUCCCGGGCAAAGGUAAGGCGACACCCGUGGGAAUACCGUGCGUGAGGCCGCAAAGUGAUAUGGGGUGUUACAUGCUAGAUCGAUGUGGCAUUGAGUCGGGGUCCUGACAGCGUUGGUAUCAGAGCUUGACUGCCUGUAGGAUUACCAAGCCAAACUGGUCGAAGUUGAGUCUAGAAAUUCUUUAGUUAUAUAAGGGAAUUGAUUGUGGGAUGGAACGUAAGGCUCUUUUUACUCCUUAUACCUCAUGGCCUUCUGAUCUGAGUCAUCAUCUUCUCUUCUAUGGGGAUUAAGAACUAGGCUAUCUCUUCUUUCUAUUAGGAUCACGUGUUACUAAUCAGUGGACUUAUAAGAUUGUUGGAUUUAAGUCUCAGUUCAGUUCCUACUACUUCCGUAUGUUAAUUGUUGAUCUCGAAACCUUGAUAUUGUGCUUCUGAGUGGUUAUGCCACCAUUUUUGUGAAUGUCUCAAAUCUUUUCUGAGCAUUUACAGCCGUUAUGCUAUCCGAGUCAUCCCAGGUUUCUAAGUAGUCUGAUGCAUUUGCAAAUCCUUUCUUCCCGUUUCAAUGUUCCCAUGGGCCAGAUUAACCACACUAAUCAGUAAGUUGAGGUACUCCGUUACCUUGACAUAUAUGUUGGAGAUAUUAUUAUGACCCUAGGUGUCUUAGGGGAUCAUCUAGUAAUUUAGCCAUGAUUUGUGUUCCCAGUGUGAUGAUUCUGGCCAUCAUUCUCGAAAGCAUCCCGUGAUGCUACUUAGUAAUAGGUAUUCUGUUCCUGGGUUCUUGAACCCGAGAUUCACUCUACCUACUUCAUGUUGAUAGUAAUUGCUAGUGCCUUUAGGAUAUUAGUAACCUUUGCGAUAGUCCUUGAAGUCCGUGGUAUCUUCUUCUUCCAAAUACCAUGAACUACUUAUGGCAGAAGUUCCUCGUUGAACUGAAAUAUCACAACAGGAUUAUUCUUGAUGAGUUCUCCAUUAUAUAUUGUGGCUCUGCCAGUUCUACCUUUCUGCAUGGGUUAUCCGGAAAAAAUAUGUUGAACUUCGUUCGACAUGCUAAUCCAUGCAUCCACAACUCAGAAAAUCAUAUGUUCUUUUGAGUUGACCCAUCUUAGUUGUUUCCGACCCUCGCCUAUCAAUUGAUAGUCAAGAGUAUGCGUGCAUUCGUUCGUCGAUGCCUAUUACCCUUGUGGUCCGCCAAGCCAUUCUAUUUUAGAAUGAAUAGGAGAAACAAACUCCAGUACCUCAUCCAUAUCUAGGAUUGGGUCAAAGUAGUUGUAUUCCGCAGAUCAAAUGCCAAUCCAGCUUUUGGUUCUGUUCUACCUUGGAGUAUUACCCCCUUUAUGUCAGAAUUGUCAUGAGAACUGCACCAACUUUCAUGAAUUUUGACGUAGUAAUACUUCUCACCAUCAUUAGUCAUUCCUCGGCCAUCGUGUUGAUGCAACCGGAAUACCGACAAAUGAAUUGUGAUGUGUGAAAUCAAUACUCCCAGCAACCUCGUUGCUUGGUAGUUAAGGGACAAUAAUUUCAUUCUUAGCGUGUUGGUUUUUGAAUCAUCCUUCUAAGACUGAUCGUGCUACCUAGUCCUUAUUUCGGUGCACCCUUCGAUUGAUGAGUUAGGAUCUUGUCAAGUCCUCACUCAUUUGAUCAUAUCGUCUUGCCCUCAAAAGCGAGAUUGUUCUCAAGCUUAGUAACAUACCGGUGGUUCGUGAUUUUCCGAAUAUCUUCUUGGAAGUAUUACCAGGUUGUCACCUGACUGCUAUGUUGAGCUCGUGAUCAAGUCGGGUUCUUGUGAACCACCCUUUCUCCAAGAAUCUGUGAUGGAUAUCCCGGAGCUAGUUGGUUAAGCUAGACAACAACGGCGGUAAGUGGUGAGAGCGUGUGUGAAGAAGUAUACCCCUGCAGGGUUAACAUCAUCUAUUCGAAUAGCCGUGUCCGCGGAAAAGGACUUCUGGGUUGCUUAUAUCAGUUCAUAGACAAGUGAAAGUGGAUACUCUAAAAUACGCAAGAUAAGCGUGAGUGCUAUGGAUGGCGUUCUCGUAGGGAGACGGGAGCGGAUCCAUAGUGGUGUAUUGAUAUGGUGAAUAUGUGGACUCGUGUGCGCCACCUCAAAAGAGUUACUCGCAGUCGUAGUUUAGGAUAGCCACCGAGUCAAAGCUGGCUUGCUGCAGUUAAACCCCACCACCCCUUUGUUGAUAAUGAUGCAUAUGUAGUUAGUUCUGAUGUAAGUCUUGCUGGGUACAUUUGUACUCACGUUUGCCUAUUUUAUGUUUUGUGCAGAGAGACUUCAGUCUCACUAGUAGUUCCGCGUGGACUUCGACGUUUAGCUUGUUACCUCAGCUACGAUCUUGUGCCCUCGGCAGGAUCUGAUAAAUAGUCAGGCUUCUCAGCCCUUUUCAUUUAUAGAUGUCUGUACUCAGACAUGAUAGCUUCCGCUUGUGCUUUGACUUGUAUGCUCUGAUUGUUGGGUCAUGAGACCCCUGUUUGUAAUAUCUCGCUCCUCAGAGCCUAUUGAAUAAAUUACUUGAGUCGUAGAGUCAUGUUGUGAUGCCAUGUUGUAUUUGCACAUAUCGAGCAUAUUGUGUGUAUGUUAUUGAAAUGCUUGGUAUGUGUGGGAUCUGACCAUCUAGUUGUUUAUCUUUAGUAGCCUCUCUUACGGGGAAAUGUCUCCUAGUGUUUCCACCGAGCCAUGGUAGCUUGCUACUGCUCCGGAACACUUAGGUUGGCCGGCAUGUGUCCUUCUUCGUUCCUGUGUCUGUCCCUUCGGGGAAAUGUCACGCGGUGAAUACCGGAGUCCUGUUAGCCCGCUACAGCCCGGUUCACCGGAGUCCUGCUAGCCCAGUGCUACAGCCUGGAUUCACUCGCUGAUGACCGACACGUUCGAUGCUGGGUCAUGGAUGCCUGUCCCUGUAAGUCUGUGCCGCUUUGGGUUUACGACUAGCCAUGUCAGCCCGGGCUCCUUAUCAUAUGGAUGCUAGCGACACUGUCAUAUACGUGUGCCAAAAGGCGCAAACGGUCCCGGGCAAAGGUAAGGCGACACCCGUGGGAAUACCGUGCGUGAGGCCGCAAAGUGAUAUGAGGUGUUACAUGCUAGAUCGAUGUGGCAUUGAGUCGGGGUCCUGACAUACAUGUUGAUGUAAAAAUAUAGUGAUAUACAACAGGUACUUACAUCAGCAUUGGAGCAGAGAGAAUUCCCGCAAGAUAUUUUCCUCGAAUACGAUCCUAAUGGAGGAAGUCUUCUAUCGUUUAACCUUAUUUUCUAAAAGAGAGAUGGGUAAGAAACAUGUAGAAAAUAUGAUCAGAAUGCUAUAAAAUUUCAUCAUGCGAGGAUACGCACACGCUUCUUAGAAUGGAGUUGACAUUCUUUUGCUGGACUAGAGCGGACUAGUUCUUUGGCCACUGGAAUCUGCUUAUUAUCAGUGGGUGUUGGGUUUCUCUGUGCUGGAGCAGUAUCUAUGAAAAAUGGAGUUAGUUUAUUAUCUCCUGGCGUUUGGAUCUUUUGCAAAGACCUAGUUUGUAACCCUUCAGAUUCUAACAGAGCCGUCUUCCCCUUGCAUGCCUUAUAUAGAAGAAUGGUGAUUCAGUUAUAAAACAUGCUACAGCAGAGAUGGAAUAGGUACUGAAGAAUAGAAAGGCAUGACAUAUUGACAUGUAUUCCCUGCAUCCGGAAAUAAAUGGACGAUUCUAGGCGUAUUUCAGUUCUAGAUACAUCCAGUUUUAUCCAUUUCUGCGACAUUUAAUCCGGACAGAGGGAGUAUGAUGUAAGAGCUAGGGAUACGAGAGGACAACACAGUAAAAAAACACUGAAAAACCCACUGCAGAACCAAAGUAUUCAAACGCACUCAUGCAGUUCAGGAUGCAAAACUACCAGGCAGUUUUCCUUUAAAAAAUCAACAUUGUGGCCUUUAAUCAUAUAUUUUGCUACAACUAAAUUUAGAUCAGAUAAAGGUUGGAUUCACGCCGACUAACAAAAUACAUGCUGAUGUAAAAAUAUAGUGAUAUACAACAGGUACUUACAUCUACAUUGGAGCACAGAGAAUUCCUGCAAGAAUCUUUCCUCACAAACGAUACCAUUGCAGAAAUUCUUCUAUCUAUUAAGCUUAUUUUCUAAAAGAGAGAUGGGUAAGAAACAUGUAGAAAAUAUGAUCAGCAUGCUAUAAAAUUUUAUGAUGCAAGGAUACGCACACGCUUCUUAGAAUAGAGUUGACAUAUUUUUGCUCGACUGGAACGGACUAGUUCUUUGGCCACUGGAAUCUUCUUAUUAUCAGUAGUUGUUGGGUUUCUCUGUGCUGGAGCAGUAUCUAUAAAAACUGGAGUUGGUUUAUUAUCUCCUGGCGUUUGGAUCUUUUGCAAAGGCCUUGUUUGUAAUCCUUCAGAUUCUAACAUAGUCGUCUUCCCCUUGCAUGCCUUGUAUAGAAGAAUGGUGCUUUAAUUAUAAAACAUGCGACAUCAGAGAUAUGGAAUAGGUACUAGAUACAUCCUAAGGCAUGACAUAUUGACAUGUAUUCCCUCCAUCCGGAAAAAAAUGGAUGGGUCUAGGCAUAUUUCAGUUCUAGAUACAUCCUUUUUUAUCCAUUUCGGCAACAUGUAAUCCGGACGGAGGGAUUAUGGUGUAAGAGCUAGGGAUACGACAGGACAACACAGGAAAAAAAACUAGUUGAAUGUAAAACUAUAUGCUAGCGGAAUACGUACAGAAAUAACCAAGACAACAUACACGUGUAUGAUUGGGAAAAUAAGAUGGCAUUGCAACAGAGCACUAGAACAACACUUUAAUGUAAAAAAACAUGGUAUGGCAGACAGAUGAAAUACAUACUGAUGAAUAACAAUGCAUAAGAUAUUCAGAAGCAUGAUGUCCAAAUUAAGAAGAUGGCAUUGCGAUAGAGUAGAAUGACAGUACUUGAAUUUGAAAACAUGUUAUCAUGAAUGGAAUAGGUACUAAAAAACAGGAAGGCAUGGCAUAUUUACAUGCAUGAUCAGCAUGCUAAGCACAUGGCAUUGCAACAGAGUAGAUACACUCCAGGACAUUAUAUGCAUGUUGUACCCAUAUCACAGGCCAAGUUAGAGCAAGGACCUUGUGGGGUGAAGAAGAUUCAUCAUCUUUCUGCAAGUCUUCUGAAGAACUGCCUUUACAUGUUCCAUCAUAUUGGGUAUCAUUGACAUCAAGUUUAUUGGCCUUUACAUUGCUCCGUGAGGUUCUUGUGGAUAUAUCAUUGUGUGCAAUUAUAUCUGACAUGCAUGGAAGACAACUAGUAGUUAGAUUUAUGUAAAUGAGUGCCUGUAGGAGACGACAUAAAUAGUAGGACUGGGGUUAACUAGCAGCAACAAGUCUCAUAAACUAAAGGGAGAACACAGAUGAAAGCUACAGAAUAUGUAUCGUUUGUACUCACGAUUAACUAGAUGGCACACAAAAGUAUUAAAGAACAACAUAGGUAAUACUAGAAGUGGUAUAAUACUAUAAUCACCAGCCUGUGGGAUAGCAUUGGCUGAUGGAUGAUAACUAUGGAACAGCGUUACCUAAAGAACAAGUAUCUUAGCUAAACUAUAGAACAGCGUGAACUCCUGAACAAGACCCGUAAGAGAUCAACAUGAAUAUACAGUGAAAUGUGAUGAUCUAUUUUCCGUGCUUAGAUGAAUAACAAAGCCAUAAAUGCUGACUUGUCGAUGGCCCUGCAGUUGUUGUGGCUGUCCAUGUCGGGCACGCGCAUUCGAUGCAGGAAACUGUUGAGUGGGGACUGUAGCUCCCUUCUGGUGUAUGCUUCCCUUGUUGGAGCAGCUGCGGUGAGUCGGAAGACGGUGUGUCUGAAGAUGCAGAUAACGCAUAAAGUUAAGAACAUACAUAUCUCUUUGAUCCAAAGAAAUACACUAAGAGAUCAACAGCAAGGUACGAGAGUGGUCACACGUCUGUUGACUGAAGACUAAAUUGGGGUCACACGAUUUUAUUUUAUUUUGGUACUGUCCGAUCUACGCCGGAUGGCUUGAUGGCCAUCUUGUGCCUCCCGGCUGACACUAUUCGGAAUCUUCCCCGAAGAGCCAGCGACCAACGGCAGAGCAGCCUGCCUCCACCGUCCGUGGCCCUGUCCAAAACCCCGCUCCCCGCCCCACUGCACUGCCGUGGUUGUGCCUCCCCCAGGCCAAUCCACGAAGACUCCCCAUCAUCCAGAUCCGGCGGCGGCAGUACCUUCAACCCACGCAACUCGAAAAGGUAGACAUCUAAGCGCUGCUUCCAUGGCGAACUUGCGGCCCGGCACCCUUACGUUAGACACCAGCCAAUCGUCAGCCUAGGAGCUCCACCGCCUCGAGGGGUGCUGCUUCCCAUUGGGAAUCGAUUGGCCCAGAAUAAAAAUUUAGACAACUAACACCUAAAUAAAGUGAUUUCAGAUGAGGGUGUGACCUAUCUAGCGGCAUGGUGAAGUAGGCAGGUCCAGCUGCCGAGUCGGUGAGGCCGGCACGGUUGCGGUGGUAACCGGCGGCAUGGAAAGAGCGAUGUCGUGACGGUCGACGGCUAUGCGGAAGCAGCGCCAGGACUCUGGACAGAUCCGAAGUUGGAGCCACUCCGGCGCCGUGAACAACGGCGGGUGUGAAUCGGCUCCGGUACGGUUCACGCGGACGUCGUCGAGGCAGCACCAGCAGCACGAAGUAAGAGGCACAUGGCCCAGUGCACGACGGCAAUUGGACAGCGUCUCUGGCAUUAGGGAGGAGGGCGGCUGUGAAAUUGGUGCGGUGGGGGGCGCCAUGGAGGUGGGGCUGAGGUUUCGCGGCUCGAGAGAAGGGAGCUUCCCAGGGAGAAGGUGAUUUGGCGCCCACGAGGUAUGAAUGGGGGCGGGCGGGGGGAAUUGGGAGGGGAGUGGAACCAUGUCUUACGGACGCAUUUGUAUGAAAUGUGAGGGGGAGUUAUAGUUCUACCCUUGCCUAUAGGCUUCUCAGCUUGGGUCUAUGUACUGAGGGUCAGGGAUAGUAGAGUAACUUUUCUUCUCCCCAAAUAGUGGGUGGGAGCGAUUUCUAGCGAGGAGGGCGUGUUUUGAACUAUAAUGGGCGCGAGCGAAUUCGGGCGAGGAGAGCGUGUUUUGAAAUAGUGGGCGCGAGCUAUUUCGUGCGAGGAGAGCGUGUUUUGCCGACCAUGGUUUAUGAAUUAGUCGGCACAUGUCAUUUCGGCCGAGGAGAAGGCGCGCUUGGAUGAAGUUACGAACCUACCCUCGAUGUACAACGGGCAAUUGAUGCGUGUCCCACAUAGGACGGUAAUUUCGUGUCUCCCAUUUAUUUGCUUGGGCGAAUUCCACCGAGCAGAGAGGAUGUUUAACUGUUCAUUCAAAUUUUGGGAGAACGAGCAUCCACGUCUACCUUACCAAGUCGAUUCGAAUCAAAUUUUGAAAUAUUAGCUUGCCACUUCUUUUUUAGAUGGAGAGAUGAUGCUCGGGAGUAAUGUGUUUUUACAUGCUCGUUGCUAGCGAUUUACUAUAUGACAAAUAGUUGACCCACUCAAAAACGUGAAUCAAACCCAAAAUGAAAUAUCUCAAUUCAAUGAACUAGCUCGUUUAAUAGGUCAAAAUAGUGAACUAAAUCCAAAAUUGAAAACCUCAAUCGAGUAGCAUGUUGUACAGUAUUAUAGUACUCCAUGAACAUGUUGAAAGUCAAAUUAAUGAACUUGUUUGAUAUACGCAUAUAUCCACUCAUGUGUGGAUAGCAGACAACAUGGUCUCCAAUUUAAAUAUUUGAAUGCAAGUUUAUAUCAGUCUUUGAUGCAUAAAACGCGACCUCCCCCUCUCCCGGACUCCUAUUCUCUCUCUCUCUCUUUCACUCUCUCGCCGGCGAUCUUCAAUUCUGUCGCACGCAUCCGACACAAAAACCUUGUUGGCCCCUCUCCCUUUCUCUCUCUCUCUCUCUCUCUCUCUCUCUCUCUCUCUCUUUGUGUGUGUGUGGGGGGGGGGUCUUUCUAGUCCGCAUUCAUAUAUACACCAUCUAUAGGUCUCUCUCGCACACUAUGUAUGAUACUCUAGCUAGUCAAAGCUAGAUAUCUUGGGUGCACUCAUCGUAUGCACACAAAUUCCUUGUCUCUUUGCCCGUAACUCUCUCACGCACCACUAUGUCAUCUCGGAGCUCUUCCCCCCCCUCUCUCAAACUCUCCAUCCAUUUGGGUCACACAUACACAUGCAUAUCUCACUCGCACUGGAUAGGCCCAUCUAAAAGUCUAUCUCUCUCCAUUGUUCUCUCUCCAUCUCACACGCACACACACACACACAAUCUCAUGCCCAACUAGCCAAGUAUGAUGGUCUCUCACUCAAUUGUAGGCACACACAGUCCCCCGUAUAUGUAUAUGACUAGCUAAUCUUAGUCUCCAUCACAAACAUGUGCAUGGUCUAUCUCGAUUUCUCUCGGGGCAUCUUACUAUCGCGCACGCACUCCCUCGAUCUCCCACCCAUAUAGUCCCCUCACGAUCUCGAGGGGAUCUCUCUAUCACAAACACACCCUCUCUCCCUUCCCAUGCGUCCAUGCCAUCCAUGUGUCCCUCUCGACCUUUUUUCCUUCUUGGCCAGACCUCUAUUGGACAUGUGCUACAGGGGUGUCUCACUCCAUUGCAAACGAUGACACACUAGCUAUCUUCGUGUAUCUCCUCGCCUCGCUUUUCCAUCUCGGAGAUGCAUGCGUGAUAUGUUCGCAUAAGAAACAAAAAAACACACUCUCAAUCUAAUUUAUUGUUUGUUGUCACUUUCUCUUUCACACACAUGCUCUUUUUGCACACUUACUCAUUCUCCUUCACACACACUUGAUCUGUCUCGACUGAGGCACUCACCUCCGUCCAUAGCACAUAGAUUUAUUUAAAAGUCAAACAUAACAAAGUUUGACCAUGUACGUGGAGAAAAAGAAUUACAUCUAGUAUGACAAACAUAUACCAUUAGAUUCACCAUCAGAUGUAGUUUUGUAUGAUGUAUCUUUGGUAUUGUAGAUAUAAAUAACAUUUGCGUGAACCUGAUCAAAGUUUCCAAAUUUGGACUUCUAAAAAAUUUACCUGCACUGCAUUAUCGAGCGGAUGGAAUAUCUCUUUCCCCCUCUCAGCUAUCUGACGCACCACUCAGCCUUAUCGGGGCUCCUCAAUCUCACUCAAACUUUAUUGGUCAGUUUGGUUCAUGACCUGACCCUCAUGCCUUGAUGGUCGGUACUGCCUGGUGUGGACGUCAGAUGUAAAAUAUUUCUGCCUGGCCAGGCUUGUGUGGUGCUGGAGCGUUUGGUUCAUGCCUGGGCCAGGCCAAGCAUCAACGUCCCAUCAAUCAAUCCAUGCAUCAAUUAAUUAAUGCUAAUAUCCAUCCAUGUUGCUGUUAGCCUCGUGGCCGCACGACCAGGCACGACGAGGCAUUCGAAAUCGGUCGCUUGGGCUAGGCUACUUGCAGUGUCUGGAGUUCAUCCAGGAUAAUUAAAGUGCAAGAGGGAACCCAGCCCAGGCGGGCUUUCUUUUUCACAGGGUAGCAACCAAACAAGCGUGCAUGAAAUCUGGGCACAACCCCAGGCCAUGCAAAAGAUUCUCACGACGCAAGCCAAACGGGCCUUUUAUCUCCCUGGUUCACACAUACACAUGUCUCGCUCGCGCUAUACAUAUAGACCCAUCCAACACUCUCCUCCCUUGUUCUCUCUCCAUGUGACACGCAUCCCCCUAAGUACCAUAAUCCCUCACUCCAUCAUAGGCUCUGUUUGGAUCAAUGGGUUAGAGUUAGUUUGGGUUAGUUUGGAGUCAACUAACCAAAAAAGAUCCAAAUAGGAGGGUUAGUUUAGGUUAGAUGCAUCUAACCCAUCCAAAAAAACUAACCCAUCCAAGAGGUGCUUAUUUGGGUUAGUUCUUCUCGGGACCACUAAUAAACACUUUUUUUCUCUCACUCUCCCCGCAGCAGAUCCCUCCCCACUUCCUUGAAGCUUCUCGUCCUCUCCCUCCCUCCCUCUCGCACCGCCCGUGAAGGUGCCUUGCCGUAUCCGCGCUCCAUCUAACCCUGCCAUCCAAACACCUCUUUACUUAGAGUUAGUUCAGGGUUAGAAUCUAACUCUAACCUCUAACUGAGUUACAGUAUCCAAACAGGGCCAUAGGUGCAAGCACUCCCCCCCUCCUAAGUAUGAUUAUCUCUUACUAGCCAUCAGGAACACACAUAUUGUCUCCUUCCAUCCAUACGUCUAUCUCGAUAUCUCUCGAGGCAUCUUCUAUCGCGCACACACCUUGCCACUCGAUCUCCCACCCAUGUAGUCCCAUCACGAUCUCCAGGGAAUCUCUCUAUGACAAACAUACACUCUCUCUUCCCCAUGUCUGCAUUUUCUCCGUACGUCUCUCUCGACCUCUCUCCCUUGUUUGUCAGACCCCUCUUGGCCACGUGCUAGGGGUCUUCCUCUCUCGAUUCCAAACAACCACACACUAUCUCCUCACCUUGCCUCCAUUGUCAAAGAUGCAUGUGUGAUAUGUUUGCAUAAGACACGCACGCUUUUUCUUCACUUUUAUCGUGUGUUGUCCAUGUCUCUUUCACACAUGCACACACACUUUUUUCACUCUCUCUCUCUCUCUCUCUCUCUCUCUCUCGUUAGGGACUCUGUCAUGUCCAUAAGCAUAUGGAUGUUUUGAAAAGUCAAACCUCAGGAAAGUUUGACUAGGUAUAUGUGGAGAAAAACAUUUACAUCUGGAAUGAUCACUAGAUUCAUCACAACAUGUACUUACUUCAUACUAUCAUUUAUCUUUGGUAUUGCCAAUAUAAGUAAUUUCUUUAUAAACUUGGUCAAAGUUUCAAAAGUUUGACUUUAAAAAAAUGUUGUAACUACAUUAUCGAACAGAGGGAGUAGCUCUUUCUCUCUCUCUCUCUCUGCUAUCUCUCAUGGGCCUCCCCUCUCACUCGAACUCUCUAUACUGAUGGAUUAUACGCUCACUGUGUCAGCAUAUAGCUCUGUAUAUUGUUUAGUUGACCGAUCACCCAAUCCACAUGUUGUGUUGUCAGCUCGUGUUCUGUAUCUUGGUGUGCUGGCCCAUGUGGUAGUGGGUGAAAAUAAGUAAACUAGAGGCCCAUCUGACACGCGGUGAAGGAAACAAAGUUGAAACCACUCGGGGUAGCACCCCGCACGCUAGUAAAUUGAGGGCGCAUUGAGGACAAACUUCUUGCGCGCGAAGGACGCACUCGCGCAAAAUUCACCACUGCGCGGCGGUAUGCACAGAAGGACGCACUCGCACACACCCAGCACACAACACACACCAGCACACAUGUACACCGGCGUCGCCACCUGUUGAGAUGGACGGCGAGGCAGCCAACAAGCAGAGGCCGCUCGAGCGAAAACCGCAUCCGGCGAGCCUGGACUUCAUCAGCAGCCUCCCCGACGACAUGCUGCUCGUCAUCAUCGGCCUCCUCCCCACCAAAUCUGCCUUGCGGACCACCCUGCUCUCCCGGUGGUGGCGCCCUCUCUGGCGCUGCGUCCCCCUCAACCUCACCGUUGAUAGCUGCCUCUGCGACGGGGAUUGCAAAUGCAUGGCCGCAGUCUCCAAGAUCCUUUCAUCGCACCCUGGGCCAGCCAGACUCCUUGACAUCCGCAUGUUCAGUACCAAUUGCAAGGUCCAACCCAAGUUCGACGAGUGGUUCUUAUCCCCCGCCCUAGAUCAGCUCGAGGAGCUCAGCUUUGAAGCUGGACGAUGUCGCUCUCUGCCGCCGUCCGCGCUCGGCCUCACGCCAACGCUGCGCCGCACCAGUUUCAGCUCCUGCUAUCUUCCCCAGAUUGAUGCCGCGCCCGCCCUUCUUCUCCCUCAACUCAAGCAGCUCGACCUCUUCGAUGUUGUCAUCUCGAAGAAGGCUAUGGAGCACCUUCUCCGCAGCUGUACUGCGCUCGAGUACCUUCGUCUUGAGCAGAUCCACGGGUUCAUUAGCCUCCACAUCGCCUCAACGAAUCUCCGAUGGAUUUAUGUGUCUUGUUGGCCCUGCAACAAGACAUCAAUUGGGAAGAGAUCACUCCAGCUGUUCCACGUUAUGGUCAUUGAGAAUGCGCCUUUCCUUAAGAGAUUGUUUGUAUCGGAUCUAGAAGGUCCAACAAAAAUCAGGGUCAUUGACGCGCCGAAAUUGACAGCGUUGGUGUACUCAUCUGCCAAAUUCUCCGAACUCUUUAUUGGAUCCAUAAUCAUUCAGGUACAUCACUCAUCUUCUUCUCCAUCUUCUUGAAAUUCACAUUUUUAAAAUUUCUUCUUGAUGUAUUUAUGACCGUCUUCCAGAAAAUGAUUCCCACAAGCUUGACCCAGUCCAUGCUCACAGUGAAGAUCUUAGCACUAAAAUCUAUCGGCCGCAAUCUGGAUCAAGUUGUUGGAUUCCUUACAUGCUUUCCAUGCACGGAGAAGCUACUCAUCGAGGUGAAACUUCUUUCCUAUUAGUAAACGGUAAUCACAAUGUAGCUCAAUUUUUUCGUAAUUUUCCCAAAUUAUGAUGACAAGUGUAGUGUUCAAAACUACAUCUACGCACUGCACCGAAAGAAAUGUUUUUAGUAUUUUUUCUCACAUGAUCACCUGCAUCAUUUUUAUGCGGUACUACUAUAGUAGCCUAGGCUAGUCAUAGUGGAAAGUAACUUAGACUACUCCAGUAACUCUAGGGUUACCCUAAGGUCAAGUACUACCUCUGUCCUGGUUUACUCUUCCAAUUUUGUAGUAUCAAAAUUUGACCAUAGAUUUAACUGACAAAAUGUUAAUGCAUGUCACUAAGAACUAUAUCGUUGGAUUCGUAUUUGAACAUGAUUUCAAAUGGUGUAAUUUUUAGUGACAUGCAUUGGCAUUUUCUUAGGUAAAUCUAUGGUCAAAAGUUUAUACUAAAUACGAUGUAGUAUUCCCUCCGUCCCAAAAUUCUUGUCUUACAUUUGUUUAGAUACGGAUGUAUCUAACACUAAACUGUAACUAGAUACAUCCGUAUUUAGACAAAUUUAAGACAAGAAUUUUGGGACGGAGGGAGUACAAAAGUGGGCUAUGUAGGCCAAAACAUGUGCGAAAUUCAAUUGUGAUGCAUGUGGCAUCGAUGCCCCUCCAUUGCUCACUUGAUGCCCCAAUCUGGAGCAACUACUUUGCUCCGGUGCCAAAUUAACUCACGCAAUGAAAAAACACUGCGUGGGAGAGAGAGAGGACUGAGGCAAUAAAAAAACACUUGUUUAGGAGAGUGAGAGGCUGGUGUAGUUGGUUUGAUUGAUUUGUUUAUACAUGUGGGUCUGUGUGCACAGCGGUGCCAACUCUCUCACAUCGCGAGAGCGGUGCCAAAAUCUUUUGAUUUGACAUCGAUGCGUAUUAUGUGGCAUACUUUUGCGAAAUAUGGCAUCGGCCACAUAGUGGAAGGCAAUAAAUGCCCAAGCUCUUCAUGUGCUCCUAGUUAAAUGAGAGGAAACAGAAACAGAGAGAGAGAGGGAGAGAGAGAGAGAGAGAGUCAAAAAAUAUCACUAGCCAGCCAACCCUAUCGUAUGAGCGAAUGAUAUUGGUACCUCUUGAUGACACGACAAUCUUAUGCAGCCAGCUGCUCUAAUAUGUUCUCUUCUUUUACAGAUAAAAAAAGACCCGAAAGUGAAAAAUGUGCUGCACUAUAACAAUCCCAUCGAAUGCCUUGAUCUCCAUCUUACAGAAAUUGAUUUGAUCGACUACCGAGGCAGCACAUCUGAGAUUAAAUUGGCCAGGUUCUUUGUUCUGGAGGCAAGUGUGCUCAAGGUAAUGAGGUUUGGCUUUCUCUGGCGCAACAAUGAAUGGCGUGCUGAUCACCGCAAGCGUCUAAGCCUAUAUGACAAAGUCUCCGCAGAAGCUGAAUUUGUUUUUGAAACAUCAAGUGGCCAGAGACUCGAAAACUUAUUUGCCCAUUAGUGACUUGUCAGGGCGGUGGAUUUUAGUUUGUACGAUAAUGCUGCAUCCACCUAAAUUAAUGAAAGUUCUUACGUGAACUUCCUAGUAAUUCCCUCUUCCUAGGUGCAGCAUUAUUCCUAACAUUUGUAAUAUCAAUUUGAAACUUGUAAUAUUUCCGUGUCCUAUUCCUGCGUUUUCAAAAUCCUGUGAAUCAAACAGGUCAUGAGUUGGUGAUGAUGUUGUGCAUCCCAUCUUUCACCAGUAGCCAUCGGAUCUAGAUCUGACGCAUACAAACCAAGCUUGUCCAUUUUUGCAAAAAGAUGCCCGCACUUGUUCCCUAUUUACAAACAACUCCUUGUCUCUCACAAUCAGCGUUAUCUCCUCCCCAGCACAUCUAGAAGGCCGUGGAAAAAUCUGGCGCGAUGGCCGCUGCCGGAGCAGUCCACCCCCAAUCUUGGUGUUCCGUGCCAUGCACGGGCAUCUACGCACGGGAAAUUAUGUCGAACAGGGCUAGUUGUAAGGAGGCUAGCCCUACAGCCAUGAUGAUAGUGACUGCAGAUGGCGAGUCUGACUAUGGUAUGCCGAACACGGCGCCUAUACUCAGGUGUCAUCUCUGGCGCAGGGUCUUGUCACUUCACUAUGAGGAGCAGCACAUAAUAAUUUGACCAACGGGUAGUACAGUGCUAGUACUCCUAGGAGUACUACAUUGGUAGUACUACUACUAGUACUAGUAGCACCACCGUGUAGAUUUAGGAGUACUACCAUGUCACGCCCAAUAUACGACACUAUCCUAAAGAGACUCGAAGGUCCCACCAAGGAUAGAACCGCAUAUUGAAACGCUUUUGCAAGGUGGAUAUAAUUACAUCAACAUUACAUAAUAGAUGGGGAUACAUACAAGAUGCAUACAAUGCCACACGAAUACAACAUCACAAUACAUAAGAGCAUCAUCCGACUACGGAUGAAACACAAACAGAAACUCAAACGACAUCCACCCUGCUAGCCCAGGCUGUCGACCUAGAACCUAUCCCCUGAUCGAAGAAGAAGCCGAAGAAGAACUCCAAACAAGCAAACAUCGCUCUCGCGUCAUGAUCAUCGUGUAACCUGUACCUGCAACUGUUGUUGUAGUAAUCUGUGAGCCACGAGGACUCAGCAAUCCCAUUACCAUGGGUAUCAAGACUAGCAAAGCUUAAAGGGAAAGGAAGGGGUAAAUUGGUGAGGUUGCAGCAGCGACUAAGCAUAUAUGGUGGCUAACAUAUGCAAAUAAGAGCGAGAAGAGAGCAAGCGGAACGGUCGUGAAGCUAGCAAUGAUCAAGAAGUGAUCCUGAACUCCUACUUACGUCAAACAUAACCCAAAACCGUGUUCACUUCCCGGACUCCGCCGAGAAGAGACCAUCCCGGCUACACACGCGGUUGAUGCGUUUUAAUUCGUAUCUGGUGUCAAGUUAUCUACAACUGGACAUUAACAAAUUCCCAUCUACCACAUAACCGCGGGCACGGCUUUCGAAAGUUUAUACCCUGCAGGGGUGUCCCAACUAGCCCAUGAUAAGCUCUCGCAAUCAACGAAGGAUAUACCUUCUCCCAGGAAGACCCGAUCAGACUCGGAAUCCCGGUUUACAAGACAUUUCGACAAUGGUAAAACAAGACCAGCAAAGCCGCCCGAAUGUGCCGACAAAUCCUGAUAGGAGCUGCACAUAUCUCGUUCUCAGGGCACACCGGAUUGUCCAAACUUCCCGUAGGCCAGCCCAGAGUUGCCCCUGGUGACCACCGGCGACUGACAGGUUGGACCAACAGUCACGACGAGCACUGGCCCGGGGGGGGGGGUAAAAUAAAGAUGACCCUCGGGCUCCAGAAACCCAAGGGCAAAAAGGGCUAGGUGAGGCAAAUGAUAAAACCAAGGUUGGGCCUUGCUGGAGGAGUUUUAUUCAAAGCGAACUGUCAAGGGGGUCCCAUAAAUCACCCAACCGCGUAAGGAACGCAAAAUACAGGAACAUAACAUCGGUAUGACAGAAACUAGGGUGGCAAGAGUGGAACAAAACACCAGGCAUAAGGCCGAGUCUUCCACCCUUUACCAAAUAUAUAGAUGCAUUAAUUAAAUAAGAAAUAUUAUGAUAUCCCAACAUAAUCCUAUCCAGAAUGGAGCAAUCUUCAACUUCACCUGCAACUAGCAACACUAUAAGAGGGGCUGAGCAAAAGCGGUAACAUAGCCAAGCAACGGUUUGCUAGGAAGGGUGAAAAGGUUAGAGGCUGACAUGGCAAUUUCGGAGGCUUGAAGAACAAGUGAUAGGUAGCGCAGCAAGGCGAUAGAAUGAAGCAACUAGAAUAGCAGUGGUAGUAAUGAGUUCCAAGGUGACGGUCAUCUUGCCUGAAAUCCCGCUAGGAAGAAGAACGAGUUCAUGAAGAAGACGAAUGGGAGUAGUCGAACGAAUCCUCGCAAUCGCAACAUAACCGGAACUAAGAAGCAACACCGGAAAGAAACAAACAACAUGGUAAAUGCACAAGCAUAAACAUGGCAUGAUGCACAAACAAGUAUGAUGCAUGUCCGGUUUAAUAAGGCCUUGCAUGGCAAACUUCAACAAACAAUAGUACAAGUUAAGUGGAGCUCAAUAUGCAACGAGUUGCAUACUGACAAAACACCACAUGCAAUUAUUUAGUUUGAUCUCGAUUAUGUACCCAACAAUAUUAAAUGUUAUUAACCAUGGCAAGGGGUGAAGCAUAUGAAAACUACCUAUCUAGGCAAGUUUAGAUGAGGCCGGAACAAUCAAACAACAAUUCCGGAAAAUCCCCAUAUGCAUAUUUUGGAUUUGGUACUAUUCUGCCCUAAAACAUAUUAUAUUGUUGUUAAACAGGAAAAUAAAGUCCACCAUGUUAAACUAAGCAUUUUUCCACCCCAUUUACAUAUAAAGUUUAUUUAAAACGGAGCUACUGUUAUUUAGUUAUGAAAUAAAUCAUUUUAACAUGGCAUUUGAGCAAAUUUAAACAAACAUCAUUUUAAACAUUUUAAACAUGGAUGAAAGCAGCAUAUUAUGAAACUAGAUGAAAUUCUAAGCAUUUUACAUAUAUAAAUUAUUUACAUAUGAUGCAUAUUUUGUUAGUUAUUAAAUGCAUGAACAAUAGGGGUUUUCUGUAAAACUGUAAUACACUGGAUAAUGCUAAAUUCGCAGGCAGGGAAAAAAAAUAUGAGCGGGCCGAAACAAAGGCUGGCCCAAUAGUUCACAGGAAGGGCUUGGGGGUUUCUCACCAUGGGCCAAGCCCAGAACUGUGGAGAGGGCGCUGGUUGCUGGGCUUGGAGGCUGCUGGCCCAGGCGCUGCAGGCGCGGUCAAUGCUCAGAAUGAGCGAGAUGUUGCUCUCGUUUCUGAAGAACACAAGCAGCAGCUCGACCAUGGAGAUGGAGGGAAGACGCGGGGGGGGGGGUCCUGGCGACGGAAUUGGCGGGGACUGGUCGGAACGGAACGCGGGGAGGCGCCGGGGUCCAAAUCCGGCAAGGGGAGGCGCAGAUCGGGGCGUCUUGUCCUCCUGCUUGAAGCAGAGGAGGAUGAGGGACUUGGCGGGGCGACGGAUUGGCGUCGGACUCUGACGACGGCGGGGCUCCGGUUGGAGGGAUGACGAGGAAGGGGAGCAGCGCGGCUGCCGGCAGGGACGAACGGGUGAUGACGCGCACGACGAGGACGCGACCAUCGAUGGGGUUCCUGGUUCAGAGAGAGAGAGAUGUGAGAGGAGGGACUAGAAAGCAGGGGAGGGGAAGGAAGGAGCGACGAGGGGCUCAUCUGCAGGUGGUUCUCGUCGGCCGAGGGAGCUCCGGUAGCGCUGUGGAACUUGCGGGCGAACGGGGCGAGGCAGAGGAGAUUCCCUGUUGUCUCCGGCGACCCGGGGUCGAAGCGAGCAAAUGGAAGGAGCUCCUAGCGGGGGGCUCUGAGGACGGGCGUGCUGCGGGACGAGAGGCUGCAGGCGCGGGGCUUGAACUCCAAGCGCCUGUGAAGCUUGGGGCAGGCGACUCGACGCUGGCUGGAGGCCGACGCAGUCUCGGUCAACACGGCAACAGGAUGCGGGCGAGGCCAGGAACGACAGCGGCUGCGGCAACUCCUGUUGAGGAAAAGAGAGAGGUCCGAGAGGUUAGAGAUCGGAGGGAAAUGGAGAUUGCGGGAGGGAGGAGGAGAAGGUACGGCGAGCGGCAGCACUGGCCUGGUUCGACGGAGAGGAGGCCGUCGGGGAGGCGCUGGAGGUGCUGGUUGGGUUCGCUGCAGAGACGAGGAGAAGAAUGUGGUGGCUUGCUGUAACUGGGUGGCGGCGGAAAACAAGGGAGCUGGUCGGAGCAAUCCGGUUGGGUGGAUCUGGGAGGAUCCCGAGGAAGAAGGGGGGAGGUUGUUGGCUGGCGGCGGGUAAGGGGAUUUGGUGGAUGGGAUAGACUAGGAUCUAGGGUUAGGUAGUAUAUAUAGCAAGGAUCUAUGCAUUAAUCUAUAGGAAAAUGAAGUAUAUAUGCAGUAUAUAUGCAUUAACCUAAACCAUAUUUUAUAGUUGAUAAACAGGAAAAUGAAGUGCAACAUGUUAAUCUAUGCAUUUUUUCACCCCAAAUACAUAUAAAGUUUAUUUUAAACAGAGUUACGGUUAUUUAGUUAUGAAAUAAAUCAUUUUAGCAUGGCAUUUGAGCAAAUUUAAACAAACAACAUUUUAAAAAAAAAUUAACAUGGAUGAAAGUGGCAUAUUAUUAAUCUACACAAAAUUCUAAGCAUUUUACAUGUUUAAAUCAUUUUAAUCUGAUGCACGGUUGUUGAGUUAUUAAAUGCAUGAAGUGCAAGGGGGUUUCUGCAAAUCUGUUAAUUCGCUGGAUAAAUAGAUAAAUUCGCAGGCGAGAAAAAAAUGUGCACGGGCCGAAUCUGACUAGGCCAGGUGUACAGGAGAGGGCUGGAGGGGGGCUGCUCACCCAUGGGCCAAGCCCAGUCGGUGGAGAGAGGAAGCAGGAGGCUGGAAGGGGGUGCGCGGAGCUAGGCCUCGCGGGCGAAGGGAGCUGGGCCUGUGCGGCUGUGAGCCAGCCGACGCUCGCGGUCAACGGGGACUGGAUCGAGCGGAAGUGCUCCGCUCGUGUUUGUGGAGGAAGCAGAGGGACGCGGGGCGCUUGCCGCAGGUCGACGGUGCGGGGCGAGGAACGGCAGCGCGGCGGCGGGAUGCGAGCUUGGCAGGGGCGCGGACGAGGGCCCUUUCCGGUCGGAUCCAAGGCGGAGCAACCGGAUUUGAGGAGGUCGUCGGCCAGGGCGCCAGGCGGAGCUAGUACCUGAAGAAAAUGGUGGCGCGGCAGUUUCAGAGAGGAGAAGACUUGAUAGAAGAAGAGGGGCACGAGGAGAAGGAAGGAAGAGGUCAGCCUGGUGGUGGUGCUCCGGUGGCGCCGAACUCCGGCGAGGCGAGCUGCAGGAGGAGAGCAUGGGAGGGGCUCCAGGAGAAGGCGGAGAGGGACGGCAGCCUGCUGGCUUCGUUGUUGAUGGCGUUUGGGCGCCCCGGCGAGCUGCGGCUCGUCGCCGGCAGCGACGGGAACGGAGGAGAGGCUCGGGCGAGAGGCUGCUGCCUCGGAUCGAUCCACAUCAAGCGGGGCCAGGGGCUGAAGCGGUUGCCUCGUCUCUGCUCCAACGAAAUAGAGGACCGGCGCAGCGAGGAACUUGCAGCGGCGGGCGCGGUGAGUAGCUCGGGCAGGGAGGUAGAUCGAGGAGGGGAUGGAUUUGGGUUGGCUGGUGUUGAACGAGGGAGGAUUUUGGAUCAGGGAUGAUGAGGCUGGGUGUGUGUGGGCGGUUGCGAGGUGGAGAGCAGCGGCUGGAUCGCUGGUGAUCCUGAGGAAGAUGCGGCGGCGGCGGCGCGAGGGACAAACGUCCUAGAUUUUAGGGUUAGUUUAGAUUAGGUAUGAAGUUGGUCUAUAUAUAGGGAAAUGGGGGUUUAGGAUAGAUUUGGACCUUCCGAUUAAAUCGGACGGUCAAGAAUAAAUAGGUAGGGAGUCCAAAUAAGAAAACAAAGAUAUUUUAUAGAUAUUUGGAGAUGAUCCGGACCCAUUGGUCAUGACAACCCGGGUCGGGUCCGGGAGAAGUUUCGGACGCGCGCGAGGGGUUUGAGUAAAGAGUAGAGGGGUCAAAUGGCCAGACAAGAGGGAAUCGAAAACCCGGUUAGACUCGGAUCGGUCAACGAAGGCAAGGGGGAAAUGCGGCAACUACGAACGACUACGAGUUUAAAACAUGACGGCAACGGAGUGCCAAUGCAAUGCGAAUGAUGCGAUGAUGAAAUGCAAGACAUGAACAAAAUGCAAAACAAAAAAAAAACAAAAACCCAACCACGGGUGCGAGAUCGAUGAAGAGAGCCAUCAAAAUUGUGUGUGUGUGCAAGUCAAAGAUAUAGGGCGACUGGCCUACCGGAAUGUUAGAGGGCACAUGUCAAGUUUGUGUGUUGCAGGGAGACAUGACUAGAGCGCUCGAUGUAUCGAUGUGUGUGGGGGGAGGGGGUGGGGGAGGGGUAGGCAGAGGCCUAACUAUAGAGUUAGAACGACUCGUAUAUGUGUUGAGAAGGAGAGACCCAACUAUGUUUUGAGGGAGAUCAGUCGACAUCCAUACAUAACUGAAGGACGGGAAAUAUGAUGGGACAGAGAGAGAGAGAGAGAGAGAGAGAGGAGGGAGAGAGGGAGGGAGAGGGAGGAAGAGGGGUUGAGUGCUGGAUGGGUGAUGGAGUUGCUUCUCGGAGAUGUUGGGAGAGGCCUACUAGACAAACUGAGGGUGGAGCUGCAAUGUUAUCAAUAAGAGUGGGGAUGUGUUUCUGUGUGUGCCUGUGCAUGAUAGAUCUGUCGGGACACAUCCAUGGAUGAUGAAGGGGAACCAUGUGUUUGGUAAGCAAACCUAACUAGAUCGGUAGAUCAAUUGUUGUUUGUUGGAGGAAGGGAGAGAGACAACUAAUGAGGUAGAUCGGUCGACGUGUGGGUAAAAAUGAGUUAUAAGGACCUAGCUAUCUAUAUGUAUAGUAAGAGAUCGGUCGGUGUACGUCCAUUUGUUAGAGGCAAAUAAGGCCCAAUGAGACGGAUAGACAGAGAGAAUGGAGCUAGGAGGUGGUGCGAGAGGCCCAACCACUAGCUAGAUAGGGGGAGGAGUGUGCGGUUGUGAGAUCGAUGAAAAGAGGGGCGAGAGUUUAUACGUGUGUCUGACCGUAUGAGAGACAUGAGGCAAGGACACAUAAAGGAGGAGAUUGAAGGUGUGUGUCUAUGUUGUAUGCAGGCAUCGCUGGAGAGGUUUAUCGAUCGGUGUGUGUCGGAAAGGAGUUGUGGAGACUCUGGGAAAACGACCUAAAGAAAAAAAUGAAUGUGCCCGGUGGAUAGAAUGCCGAGGGAGGGGGAGGGCGAGGAGGGCGUGUGCAUGCACGAGAGAAAGUUAGUGGUAGCUACAAAGGUUAGAGGAUUGUGUGGGUGUAAGAGACUAACAAAGAUCAUAAUUUGAUAUGAAAGUGGAUUCAUAUAUUUGAAUAGGAGAUCAUAGUGUUUUCUACAUUGCAUGCAUGAAUAUAGCGGUGAUACACGUGAUGUGCACAUGUUAUACCAUAAUGUGAUGAUGCAUGGCGUUUGCAACUCAUAGCUAAAUGCCGAAAAAUCUAAACCAUACUAUACAUCAAACAAUCUCACAUUUUAUUUGCAUUUGUGAUAAUGUGUGGCGUUUGCAGCUUACAACUAAAUAUCGAGCAAUCUAAACAAUACUAUAUAUCGAACAUUCUCACAUUUUAUUUGAAUUUGUGGUAAUGUGUGGUGUUUGCAACUCACAUCUAAAUACUUGUAGGCAUAGGGGGCGGGGCACCAUACAUAAUGUGAUAAACACAUUAUACAUAUGAGACAUGGUUUAGAUUAUGAAGAUCUAGCUAGAGCUAGAAAUGUAAUGUGAUUUGAAAUCAAAAUAAAGUGGAUUCAAAAAAUCUAGUUCGAGUUCAUAUAGUACACAUAGUUCAUAUGUAACUCGAGACUAAUCAUGUGGUGUGCUGUGAAGAUAAUACACAAACGAUGGUUUAACUUGACAAUAAUGAUGAUUGUAGAUCUUAUUAAAACAGAGAAACGAAUUCAAAUGCUUUGACUUCACAACAAUCAUUACUGUAGAUCUUAUUCAAAUAGAGAAACGAAUUCAAAUUUAGUUCAUAUUGAAGCGGUAGUAUAUACGUUUGGAAUGCACUAAAAACGUUCAUUUGAGUAGUAGGUGCAUGCAUUAUACACAUAGCAAAAUAUUUUGAUUGAACAUAACAUGAAUUCAAAGUUUUGAAUGACAUUUGUAGUGCGCAUUGAUUUGGUACAGUACACGUUAGGCUUGUCCGAAAAUUUCAACCCGCGCCUUGUUAGCACGAAAUAUUUAAGAUAUAUCGUUGUCUCGUUGUGCUCUGACAACUCCCUCCAUCUCAACCUGCGCCUUUCUAUUCUGAAAUUACAAUGCGCGCGAAACUCCCACCUCCUGUGAAAUCCCGACACGCGAAAUGUCCGUAGUACCCCUUAACCGAAAGAACCGCCUCAAAUCGGUGGGGGCUACUUUCGUAACUUACCCCACAUUUCGGACAAGUGCGUCUCUAAGCCAUGGUUCCCCACUGCCAUCCCAUCCGCCCACCCAUUCGUACACCGAGGCCGCAAAAACACGGGAUGAAACCCCACACCCUGCUCUGUCCGCCACCCAACCGGAGCCUCUUCCCCGACGACGUCGUCCACAGCAAGACCUCGACGUCCCUCAUCCACCGUACCGAAUGAGGAUCCAUCGUCGAUCUCAUCGUCCCGCCGGUUCAGCCACCCCGUCCUCCACCACCAAGGAGCUGCCCCAACGUUCCCUCGUCUUUCGCGCCACCUCCAUUCCCACACCGCCGUCUUCACCGGCACCACAGAAAGAGCAUCAUCAUCACCAUUUCCUCGGAUGAAGCUGCAGCCUAAUCGGCGCCACCAAAGAGGUUGUACACUAAUCACCGCAUUUUCUUCUUGAUUCGAUCUCACGGUGCUGCCGGCGCACGGUCACGAGCCGACACGGCGCGACUCCAUCCAUGGCGGCGUCGCGCCACUUCCUCCACGGCGUCGCUCACUCGGCGGCGACGUCCACAUCAGUAGGAGCUGCUGCUGCUUUAGCUCUCGCUCGCGCUGCUGCUUUGCUCUUGAUCUCGGUCCCCUGCCUGGUCUGCUCCUGCUAUUGCUCUUGCUCGCGCUGCUGCUCUCGCUGUUGCUCUUGCUUGCGAUGCUGCUCCGAUUUAGCUACACUUCAAUUGACUGAAUCGACUUUUCGGUCAGUCGAUUUUCAGGAGGUGGGGGGAGUUGCUCGCCGGGGUGAAGGAAGAACCAACCACAGCGGGGAGGGGGGCUCGCCGAAGAGGUACCCCACUAUCUAUCUUAGGCUUCAGGAUGGGGCGGUGGUCGCCGGCGGUGGCGGGGCGUUGGCGGGGCGGUGGCGUGAGGAUCGCCGGAGAAAAAGCUCGGCACGGGGGGGCCUAGAGGGAUGGCCGGGGCGGCGGCGGACCGGCGGUGGGGAGUGUUUUCAGGGCGGGCAGGGCGGUGGGGGGCUGCUUGGCCGGUGGUGGCUGGCGGCUCAGGGGGCGGAGGUUGAAGAUGAACCGCGGGCCCUUGAUUUCGUAUCCAACAGCUGCAAAAUCGACUGACCAGAGAUGAAAAAGUCAGUCGACCGACGUGUAGCCUCACCUUGCUAGUGCGUUCAGUUUCGACAGCAAAAUUCAGUUUCGACAGCAAAAUUCAGUUUCUAUAGUUAAGUUCAGUUUCGACAAUUAAGUUCAGUUUCGACAGUUAAGUUCACUUUUGACAGUUAAAUUCAGAGAUGAGUGGCUGAUGUAUUUUACAUCUAGCACUUUGUGGUUAUGUAUUUGACGUCAUGUAUUGGAGAUGCUAUUAGAAUUCCACUCAGGUUAACGUUGUUCGUUGUCUCUCUUUUCCUGCUUCAGCCUAGGUGUCGUACAACUCACCGGAGCUGCUCCAACGACGAAACCCUCCAUCACAGCGGAGCAGUACCUCGGGCUCCAUCUCCAGACGCCUAAGAUCUUCUUCCCCUCCUCCGACAGCAAAGUCAGCUGAAGCAUCCUCACCGGCCAACCCAAUCACACUGAGAUCGACAUGGCUUCGCCAAAGAGGUUGUACACUUGUUGUAUCUCUUUUUUACACUACAUGUUAUAUAUAUAUUGUGCACUGAGCACACGGAUUUGUUCCUUUGAUGUCUCCUUGAAAGAAAAAACAUAGGAAUUUUAAUUUUCAGUUGUCCUCCUUUUCAAAUUCCUAUUCAUGAAGCACAAGACUAAGAGAUAGUAGCAUAAUAGCAUUAUAACCGUACAUUUUCUUGUGGUUUGACUUAAUCUCACCAUGCUUCUUUGCAUCCCGUGAUCUUCCAAUUGUUGUGAAUCAAACACCCAGAUUGGCAAAAAUCCUGUGUUUUUAAAUUCUCUUUUUUGCACGUGCAUUCCUAUGCUAUUCCUGUCUAUUUCCUAUCCCUGCAUUGUUGGAAUCCUCCAAUUCAAAUGAGCCCUUACAGAAUUACUUCUCUUACAGAUAGUUGUCAAAGAAGACCUUGUGUGGUUUGUCCCGCUCCUGCUGCGCCGUCGUCCACCCCAGCUCAGCUGCUCCAACGACAGAAGGGUCCAGCACAGCAGGGAUCCGGCCUCCAGACUGUCUUUCGCCGCCUCAGAUCUUCUUCCCUACCACUGGCAGCCAUGAAAACUGUGUUACAAUCAUCAGCCGAGCAAAUGACCUCGAGUACUACACGGGUCCGCAAGAGAGGUCACACUCUUUCAUGUCUCCUUAUGUUAUGCAUCGCUUAAUAUUACAUGCUACUUUAUCAUCCUGUUCACCGAUUAGACUCUGAGUCAGCUCCAAACUAAUGGUCAAACUUGAGUUUUUAAAUGGUUGUGGGGUACAUAUCAGGGCCGCUAUCAAUAGUAUCUAUCUACUAUCUGGUUAAUCUCCGGUGUCUACUAUGAGUUUCAUGUUGGGUGGGAAACAAACAGUAAAGAAGCCAUUAUCUGUAUUUUUUAACUCAAGCCAUUAUCUACCAGCUAUUAUUGGUUUUGGGUCUAUCCAUAGGUUGCUACCAUCACUCUGGAUUUCUGCAUGCACUCCUUACAUAAUCUCACUAUGUUUUAUUCCUAUGCAUGACGGUUAUUGUAAACAAUGGAAAUUCCUAUGCAUGACUGUUAUUGUAAACAAUGGAACUGAACAUGUAGAGCAAAAGAGACGAGCCUUGCGUGGCAAUAAAAUUUCAUGCAGACGUCGCUCCAUGGUAGGCGCAAAGGCAGCCACCCUCCAUGCAUUUCAGAUUGUAAUUGAGAGGAAGAUAUCUGUUCUGAGGGGGAUUCAGAAGGAGAAGACAACUCCUAUUUACCCCCUGAGGUCUUCGCUCUAACUUGGCAUGCUAAUGUUGGUUAUAUCAUGCAUAUGGUGUCUUGCAUUGCUUACUUUAUACAUCAAAUAUGUCAUCUGCUUAGUUUAGACAUCCUUUGAGCGAAUGCCAUCUGUUUAGUUUAUUCACCGUUUAUGUGAAUUAUGCAACACCAUCUUGUUUAGCCAGGCAUCACAUAUGUGAAUUUUGCAAUGCCAUCCUGCUUACCCAGUCAUCUUAUAUGUAAAUUAUAUCAGGCCAUCCUUUUUUUUCGUUACGUAUUACAUUUGUCAACAAUGUUAGUACAUUCAACUGCUCUUCGUGUGCAUCAGCCAUUUGACACGGUGAUGGCAAAUUCUGGAGUGAAAACAAGGUCUUUAGAACAGACUAUGCUAUCUGACGAAGCGCAUAUCUCACUGGUUACCGAUAGGUCCUCAGAGGAGGAUUCAGAGACAGAUGACCAUUCCUAUCCCCCCCUCCCCGAGGUGUAUGCUCUAACUUGGCAGGGUUAUGUUGCUCAUAUCGUGCGUAUGGUGUCUCUCAUUGCUAUGUCAUUUGAUUAGUUUAGACAUGUUUUGUGUGAAUACCACAUGUUCAGUGUCUAAUUACCAUAUAUGUGAAUUAUGUAUUGCCAUCUUGUUGCAAGACAUUAUAUAUGUGAAUUAUACAAUGCUAUCUUGUUGCAAAGGCAUUAUAUAUGUGCAUUAUGCAAUGCCAUGCUGUUUAGCCAAUCAUCAUGUAUGUGAAUUAUAUCAUGCUAUCAUUUUUUUGUAUGACGUGUUCCAUUUGUCGACAACGUUUGUAUAUUCAACUACUCUUCCUGUGCAUCAGCCAUUUGAAGCGGUGAUGGAAGUAUCUGGAGUGAAAACAAGGUAUUCAGAGCAGACAAUGCUACCUGCUGAAGCAGACAUCUUGCUGGUUACAGAGAGCUCCUCGGAGGAGGAUUCAGAGACUGAUGACCAAUCCUAUUUCCCCCCUGAGGUCUAUGCUCAAACUUGGCAGGGUUAUAUUACCCAUGUCAUGCAUGUUGUCUUGCAUUGCUUGGUUUUUACAUCAUAUAUGGAUUGCCAUCUGCUUACUUGCUUACUAUAUAAAUCAUACUCCCUCCGUCCCAAAAUACUUGUCGGAGAAAUGAAUAAAAAUGGAUGUAUCUAAAACUAAGAUAUGUCUAGAUACAUCCAUUCCUUCGACAAGUAUUUCGGGACGGAGGGAGUAUAUUUGAAUUAUAUCAUGCCAUCAUGUUUACAUAGUACAUACACAUCAUCUAUCUGAAUUAUGGCAUGGCAACCCAUUUAAUAAAGACAUCAUAUAGUUAUAUCAUCUCAUCCUGUUUAGUGUUUGCAGUCAUCAUAUUUUGAAUUAUGGCAUUCUAUCCGUGAAUGUAUGUGAAUUAUGGCAUGCCAACCUAUUUAAUAAACACAUUAUAUAGUUAUGUCAUGUCAUCCUGUUUACAUAGUCUCAUAUUUUAAACUAUGUCUUUCCAUCUUUUUUAGUUAGCCAUCAUAAUGUGAAAUUGUGUCAUGCUAUCCUGUUUAGUUAGCCAUCAUAUAUGUGAAAUUGUGUCAUGCUAUCCUGUUUGGUUAGACAACAUAAAUAUGAAUUAUUUCAUGCCCUCUUUUAUUCCCCACUAUCCAUUGCACCUAUCUAUCAUACAAUGUCUAUACUUUCAAUUACUUUUCUUAUUUAUCAGCCAUUUGAAUUGGAGAGCGUGAUGGCAGUAUCUAAGGGAGUAACAACACGGUCUUUAGAAAAGAUAGUGCUACCAGUUGAUGCAGAUAGAACCACGGUUGUACUUGCCCAAGAACCAGAUCCACCACACGUAACCCAGACUCCCGCAGAUUGUACCCCUGCCCAGUUGGACAGAGAACCAGCUACACCCCUUCUAACCCCAACCCUGGUAGAUAGUAACCCAGUUCUAGUUGACACAGCAUUGUCUCUACUAGAGAGCACCCAAACACGAGUAGUUAGUAAGGGAACUGCAGUGCCCAAAGCACGAGGACCACCACUCCGAAUCCCAACUCAACGCUUAAAGGAGAAGAAGAUUUGUUCUCAGGUCAGGUUCUAUAGCUAUGGUUCAUACUCCUUUGCUCUUGCAUUGCUAUAUUUACUCAUACCAACUAUUUUCGAAUUUGAAGGAUGGAAUUGAAACUCCAAUGGCGCAACAGGUAUGUUUUAAACCUGUUUCUUUAACUGGUUUGCUGUUGUAACCUGCUCUAUGUUGAUUUUAGUUUCAAUUGAAUAAUCAGUUAUGUUCUCAUGUCAUGCACAUUACAAGUGUUGUUAUUGCUCUAUAGUUACCCACACUUAUAUUCUAUCUAUUCUGCUUUGUCUUGAACAAAUAUUAUUUGAACUGUGUCCCUAUCUUGAUUUGGCAACAAAAACUAGAAUGAUAUAGACCAUAAGGUGACCAUGGUACAUAGAUAUAUGUUUGUUUCAUGCGGUUAUCCUGUCCACUUUACUACUGAACUCAUUUACCAAAAUGAGUUUCAUAUACAACAUGGUAAACAUGUGAUGUGUAUGCUUGUUUCUCUUUUAGAAUGCGGACAAAAUAUUGGAGAAUAGUACCGCGUUAUCCAAUGGUAAAGGAAGUAAUGCAGAUAAGGUUCAAGAUAGUGAGACAUCCCUGCUGGUCUCCAAGAAAGCUGAUAAAAACUAUCUUGAUGACAGUGAGGGAACCUAAAAGUCCUGUCGUGAUGUAGUGUUCGAGUUACUGGCCACUACUGCUGGCACAAGCUCUUCAAACUCGCUGCCUGAAUCAGUUCGUCUUCUUGAGUCUCAACUUCAAGUUGAAAGACAUCGAUCAGAUGUGCUGCGACAGAAAGCUGAAGGACUGAGGAAGUCCAUGCAGAAUUCAGAUGCAUAUUUUCUGGUGCAACAGCAAGCGUUGGAGGAUUUAAGCGCCAAACAAGAGAAAGUUAAUAAGCUUGCUAAGCAUCUUGCCAGCAUUAUGGGUACCCAGGAUAUUGUUUCUUGAGAUCUUCUGAAGUGGGUUCAGUUCUGGAUUUGUUUUGCUGCGACAUUUAUUUGCGCUGGUCGCCAACUUUGACAACCAGUGUAUAUGAUAUGCUGCUUUGUUCCCUAUAUUUGCUCUGGUGGCGAACUUUGAUGUCCAGUGGAUGUAAUAUGUGUAAUAGCCGUGAUAGCCUAACAUUAGUUGCUUGCUUAUUUAUUUCUUUGUUGUCUUGUUUAUUUUUUUGCUUGUAGUCAUUGUAGUUCUUUUUCCGCGGUUUGCUAGUGGCUGCAAUAACCUAUUUUUGUAAAACUAGGCCACAAUAACCAUGGGCUAAUAUUUACUGUAGUGACACUGGGCCUCCUACUGGCCGUAGAAACAGUAGGCCUUCUACGGGCCAUAGAAAUAAUGGGCCUUCUGCGGGCCGUACCAUCAAUGGGCCUUAUACGGGUCGUAUGAUCGAUUGGCCAAACAUGGGCCAAACAGACCGCAUUAUGGCCGUAAACGGGCUAGAGUUGGAAUCCUCCGUUCAUGGGCCAACCAUAACAGGCCAUCGUUAAUAGGCCGUAUUUGAUGAUGCUAUGAAAACGGUCCAACGUAUUAACGGACCACAAACGGGCCGACUGUAACCACGGGCUGAAUUUGGCCCACAAGCAAAAAAUGACAGUAAUGGGCCGUAAGUAAACGAACGCUGGAAAUGAGCCCAAGAAUAAAUGGGCUCUGAGAAGGCCGAAAGAUAACAUGGGUUGGAAACGGCCCAACGGAAUAACGGGCAGUUAAUGGGUAUAAAGUGAUACACUGUUCAUUACGGGCCAGUUUCACCACGGGCCGUUAAUGGGUGUAAAGUGAUACACUGUUCAUUACGGGCCAGUUUCACCACGUGCCGUUAAUAGGCCAAGAGUUACAUAGGGUCUCAUAUGGGCCGAAAGACGUCAUGGGCCAUACAUGCGCCAGAAGUGAAAACAGGAUGGAAUCAUAUUGGAUGGCCCAGAUGACGCUACUAGGCCUAAUUCGGAUAGGGCGUAACGGGCCUUGUGUUAGCGGGCUGUAAAUGGGCUAUAUGUGAAUAGGCCUUUAAUAGGCUUUCCAUGGGCCGGCCCGCCACCUUUUGACCAAGUCAAAUGCGUCAGCCUUUUCACAGGAAUGGGCCUCUGUUGGGCCUUGCCACGUGUCUACGUAUCAUAGGUGCCUUCCAUCCAAUGAGUGGAUGACAUCUGUCCCAACGAUGAGCCGACACGCGUUUCCUCCAGCCAAUGAUGAUUUUACACGUGGAAAAUCCUUAUUGGUCGGGGCUGUUAACGGGUUAUCGGGUCCAAAACCCGACCCGAUAGCUUAACAUCGUUCCGAUACGGUGGAUUCCACGUGUCGGUCACCCUUGAAUAAAGUGUUGGGGAACGUUGCAUAAAAUAAAAAAAUUUCUACGUUCACCAAGAUCAAUCUAUGAGUUCAUCUAGCAACAAGAGAGGGGAGUGCAUCUACAUACCCUUGUAGAUCGCGAGCGGAAGCAUUCAAGAGAACGGGGUUGAGGGAGUCGUACUCGUCGUGAUCCAAAUCACCGGAGAUCCUAGCGCCGAACGGACGGCACUUCCGCAUUCAACACACGUAUGGUCAGCGUGACGUCUCCUCCUUCUUGAUCCAGCAAGGGGGAAGGAGAGGUUGAUGAAGAUACAGCAGCACGAUGGCAUGGUGGUGGAUGCAGCAGAGUUCCGGCAGGGCUUCGCCAAGCUACUAUGGGAGGAGGAGGUGUAGCAAGGGGGAGGGAGGCGCCAGAUGUCAGGGUGAGGCUGCCCUCCCACCCCCUCUUUAUAUAGGGACCCCAGGGGGGCGCCGGCCUGGAGAUGGGAUCUCCCAAGGGGGGCGACGGCCAGGGGGGUGGAGUGCCCCCCAAGGCAAGUCGAGGCGCCCCCUCCCCUAGGGUUCCCAACCCUAGGCGCAGAGGGGGGCCCAGGGGGCGCACCAGCCCACCAGGGGCUAGUUCCCCUCCCACUUCAGCCCAUGGGGCCCUCCGGGAUGGGUGGCCCCACCCGUUGGACCCCCGCGACCCUUCCGGUGGUCCCGGUACAAUACCGGUGAACCCCGAAACUUUCCCGAUGGCCGAAACUCGACUUCCCAUAUAUAAUUAUUUACCUCCGGACCAUUCCGGAACUCCUCGUGACGUCCGGGAUCUCACCCGGGACUCCGAACAACUUUCGGUUUGCUGCAUACUAAUAUCUUUACAACCCUAGCAUCACCGAACCUAAAGUGUGUCGACCCUACGGGUUCGGGAGACAGGCAGACAUGACCGAGACUGCUCUCCGGUCAAUAACCAACAGCGGGAUCUGGAUACCCUUGUUGGCUCCCACAUGCUCCUCGAUGAUCUCAUCGGAUGAACCACGAUGUCGAGGAUUCAAGCAACCCCGUAUACAAUUCCCUUUGUCAAUCGGUAUGUUACUUGCCCGAGAUUCGAUCGUCGGUAUCCCAAUACCUCGUUCAAUCUCGUUACCGGAAACUCACUUUACUCGUACCGUAAUGCAUGAUCCUAUGACCAGACGCUUGGUAACUUUGAGCUCAUUAUGAUGAUGCAUUACUGAGUGGGCCCAGUGAUACCUCUCCGUCAUACGGAGUGACAAAUCCCAGUCUCGAUCCUGUCAACCCAAAAGACACUUUCGGAGAUACCUGUAAUGCACCUUUAUAAUCACCCAGUCACGUUGUGACGUUUGGUGCACCCAAAGCACUCCUACGGUAUCCGGGAGUUACACGAUCUCAUGGUCUAAGGAAAAGAUACUUGACAUUGGAAAAGCUCUAGCAAAACAAACUACACGAUCCUGUUCUAUGCUUAGGAUUGGGUCUUGUCCAUCACAUCAUUCUCCUAAUGAUGUGAUCCCGUUAUCAAUGACAUCAAAUGUCCAUAGUUAGGAAACCAUGACUAUCUGUUGAGCAACGAGCUAGUCAACUAGAGGCUCACUAGGGACAUAUUGUGGUCUAUGUAUUCACACAUGUAUUACGAUUUCCGGAUAAUACAAUUAUAGCAUGAAUAAAAGACAAUUAUCAUGAACAAGGAAAUAUAAUAAUAAUCCUUUUAUUAUUGCCUCUAGGGCAUAUUUCCAACAGAAAGCACUUCUGUGACGCGCGAUUUAUCUUCAUGGAAGUGGACACUUCCGUGAUGAUAAUUUUGGUAAUGUCGUGGAACACUUCUACGACAGCACAGGUAUGACUAUCUUCAUUCUGUCAUAAAAUCAUCAAGAAUGUACUCCCUCCGAUUCUUUAUACUCUGCGCGUAACUUCCGUUCAUUUUUCUCGUUUUACUCUGCGUGUUCCUACUUCUCCUAUGCUUUCCUCUUAUGCCCCCCAAAAGCUGCUGCAUGCAACCAUUUGCAGUUAAUACUUGCCUUCUCUCGUUGGCCAUGCAGAGUGGAGAGAGAGAGGUAGUUGAGGGAAUCAAGGCAACCGCAUGUGAGAGCCAAUCGGCUGCAUGCAAGUUAAUAACAAUCCAGCACUAAAGUAGGGGCAAAUUAGUCCCAGAAAGAUCAAGCGAGCCCUUUCUUGGCAUGCGUGUGAGAUGUUAUACACAAAGAAAAUAUGAUCGGAGGGACUACAUGCAUGACAGAAAACACGACCUACUAUGACAAACACGUAUCAUCACGGAAGUGUAUUUCUUUUGUAGUGGCUCCUUCUACAACUUCUGGAGGUCGAGCACUCGAGCAGGGAGGGGUAGCCCUUCUUCUUCCAUGUCAGCACUCACAAGGGCAGAGCCAGUCAACCAGAAGCACGAGUUGACAUGGAUUCGACUUGUGGGCCAUCAGCCGCACGGUCUACUCGCGAUCGACGACUUCCCUAGUGGCUUGCAGGCCCAAACUGGGCCCGUUGAGGGUGUAAGCCGAUAUAUGCGUUGUGUGUGUGUUGCGUGAGGAUUGGGAAGGGAGUUGGUGGCUUCGGGAAUGGCUAGUGUGUGUCAUGUGUGAGCUCGUGUAAGCAUUCAUGGCGAAUUGGCUAUAGAUCUGACAUCAAUACAAGUUAUACCCUCACAUCUGGAUUCAGAGCCGUUCCAUCCUGCAGAUUCCCCACCACCCACACCGCACCAGGUUAAGCGAAUUGUGGCGGCGGCAAGCCAUGGAUGGGCUGUCGGCGGAAGGGCGCAGCAUCCACGAGCUCGUUAAAUCCACCAUCUCCGACGACCUCGAUCAGCGCCUCAAGGUACAUAGCGAAGACCUCUCAAGUCCAUGACCAAAUUUCUCCAGGAUUCGACCAAGACCUUGGACGGUCUCAUCACGGCAUGCGUCGACAGUGUUCGCUCUGAGCUCCUCCUCGAAAUCUACUAGAUCCGCUCGUAUUGUGAGCGACAGGACAAGGCCGACUGCAAUGGCCGGACUGGAGGGCCUUCCUCAUCAAGCAGAGACGCCGAAGAAAGCCAGGAUGCGGUUCCUGCUGAUUCCCAUGGAGCGGACAGGUUUAGUAAGUCCAAGGCUCACAACAUCUACGUCCCACCUCCGGCCAGGAGUGGGCGUGAAUUGCCUUCAGUCUCCCCGAGAGCUCAUCGCACUGGAUCAAGGUGAGUAGUACACUUCAUGGCCGAGAGUCGAGCUGUCGCGGUUAAAUGGCUCAAAUCCCAGGCUGUGGCAAGCGAGAUGCGAGGACUGCUUCAAGCAAUGGGGCACGCAGCACAGCAGAUGAAUAUCAUACGCCACCACUCAAUUCAAAGGGGCAGCUGCUCGCUGGUUGGAGUCUGUGUAGAGGAGAAUAGUGGGGUUACAGUGGACUGAAUUUUGCAAUCUCCUGCAAUCGAGAUUUGGCCGUAACCAACACCAGAAUUUGCUGAGGAAGAUGUUCCGAAUUGGUCAGACUAGCUCUGUCGAAGAAUAUGUAGAUCAAUUCUCUAAAUUGUAUGUCCAGCUCACUACUUAUGAAAUCAUCCCUGAUCCACUGCAUUAUACCACCAGGUUCAUCGACGGGUUGAAAACAGGAGUCCGCAUGGCCAUUGCAAUGCAAAAACCCAAAGAUCUUGACACUGCGUACGAAUUAGCUCUGCUACACGAAGAAUUGGGAGAAGUAUCAUACCACCAAGCCAGUUCCACGACAAAAAGGAUUCCUGCAUCAUCCGGAUAGUAUGCUUACAAGUCCAAAAAUGCAGAAGAGCAUCGGCCAAUUGACAGUCAAAGGCCAGAAACUACUAAAGAUAAGUGGGUCUCUCUGAGGAAUUUCAGGAAGGCAAAAGGAUUUUGCUUCAUCUGUGGUGAAAAAUGGUCCAAGGACCAUCAGUGCAAGUCUACCGUGCAGCUACAAGUUGUGCAAGAACUCAUUGAGCAAUUACAGAGCCCCGCUACAUCCCUGGAUGAAUCUGAUAGUGAUUCUGACAAUUUGAUGAUGCUCUCAGCAGCUGCUGUAAGCAACAGUGUGUCAAAGUUGUCCCUCACCUUACCAGUACUUCUACAAGGUAUUGAGCUAAGGUUUCUAGUUGGCUCAGGGAGCACUCAUUCAUUCGUGGACAGUUCUCAUCAACAGAUGUUUCCAACAAUGACUGGAAUUAAGUCGGUUUCUGUCAAGGUUGCAGGAGGAGGGAAGUUGAGCUGUUCACAGCAGGUUAAACACUGCCAGUGGAGUUGUCAGGGAGAAAACUUUGUGCAUGAUUUCAGAGUCCUAACCCUUGGAGGAUAUGAUAGUAUUUUGGGCCUCGAUUGGCUAGCCAAGCAUAGUCCAAUGUACAUGGAAUGGGAACAGAAAUGGCUCUCCUUCCAGUAUAAGGGCACUACUGUUACCCUACAAGGGGAAUUGCCUGAAGAGUGUGAAUUCACUGUCAUGGCAAUUUUUCAGAACAUCACUACUAAAAACAGUGAGCAGUUACCUGAGAUACAAGCUUUAUUAGACAAGUACGCUGAGGUUUUUGCUCCCCCAACUAGUUUACCUCCCAGAAGGCAGUAUGACCACAGUAUUCCCCUGAUACCUGGAGCUCAACCAGUGUCUAUUAGACCAUACAGAAUUCCUCCUCACCUGAAGAUUGAAAUGGAAAAGCAGGUGGUAGAAAUGUUGUAGGGAACGUUAAUUCAAGUGACUAAUAGUCCUUUUUCUUCUCCAGCACUAAUGGUCAAAAAGAAGGAAGAAGGAGCUUGGAGGUUGGUCAUAGACUUCAGACAUGUCAAUGCACUCACAGUGAAAAGCAAAUACCCUAUUCAUAUUAUUGAUGAGCUACUAGAUGAACUUGCUGGAGAUCGUUGGUUUUCUAAAUUGGACCUCAGAGCAGGAUACCAUCAGAUCAGACUUGCAUCAGGAGAAGAGUUUAAAACUGCUUUUCAAACACACAUUGGUCACUAUGAGUUCACUGUUGUGGCCAUGGGGCUGACUGGGGCUCCCAAUACAUUCCAAGGAGCAAUGAACACAGAUCUAGCUCCAUCCUUGAGAGGUGAGGAUCACCGUGUUGUAUGUUUCUUUGAUGAUAUUCUAGUUUUCAGCAAAUCCCUCAAGGAACAUCUCCUGCAUCUAGACAAGGUAUUGGGUAUUCUACUAGAAAAACAAUGGAAUGUAAAACUCAGUAAAUGUGAAAAGCAAGAGAUUGCUUAUCUGGGUCAUGUCAUAAGUGACAAGGGGGUUUCCACUGAUGCCAGUAAAAUUACAGCUGUUAAGAAUUGACCAGUUCCUAUGGAUGUGAAGCAGGUCAGAGGAUUUUUGGGCUUAACUGGAUACUACAGGAAAUUUAUCAAAAACUAUGGUGUGAUUAGCAGACCUCUAAUUGACUUGUUGAAAAAGGGGGCUAUAUUUGUGUGGACUCCCACUACUGAUUUAGCCUUCCAGACACCAAAGCAGGCUCUAAUUCAUGCUCCUGUAUUAGCCCUUCCAGAUUACACCAAGCAGUUUGUGGUGGAAACAGAUGCAUGUGAAGUUGGCAUUGGGGCUGUUCUUAUGCAGCAGGUGUUGGGGAACGUUGCAGAAAAUUAAAAAUUUUCCUACGGUUUCACCAAGAUCCAUCUAUGAGUUCAUCUAAGCAACGAGUCAAGGGGAAGAGUUUGCAUCUACAUACCACUUGUAGAUCGAGUGCGGAAGCAUUCAAGGGAAUGGUGAUGAUGGAGUCGUACUCGUUGUGAUUCGGAUCACCGAUGACCAAGUGCUGAACGGACAGCACCUCCACGUUCAACACACGUACGGGAUGGUCGACGUCUCCUCCGUCUUGAUCCAGCAAGGAGGAAGGAGAGGUUGAGGAAGGCAGCUCCAAGGGCAGCACGAUGGCGUGGUGCAGUUGGUGCAGCAGUAUUCCGACAGAGCUUCGCCGAGCACGUAUGGAGGAGGAGAGGUGUUGGGGAGAGGAGGAGAGUUGUGUUGUUCCAGCCCUCCCCUCACCCCUCUAUAUAUAGGAGGAGAGGGGCAAGGGGGCCGGCCCUCUAGGGGAAACCCUAGAGGGGGGCGGCGGCCAAAGGGUGGGGGGCUUGCCCCCCAAGCAAGGGGGUUGCGCCCCCUUUAGGGUUUCCCCCCCAACCCUAGGCGCAUGGGCCCAAGGGGGGGGGCGCCAAGCCCACCAGGGGCUGGCUGCUAUCCCUAUGCAGCCCAAGUGGCCCCCCGGGAGGGGUGGUCCCUCCCGGUGGACCCCCAGAACCUUUCCGGUGCCCGUUUAACAACUUCCCAUAUAUAAAACUUUACCUCCGGACCAUUCCGGGACUCCUCGUGACGUCCGGGAUCUCAUCCGGGACUCCGAACAACAUUCGGUAAUCACAUACUUGUCUUCCUGAUAACCCUAGCGUCACCGAACCUUAAGUGUGUAGACCCUACGGGUUCGGGAGACAUGCAGACAUGACCGAGACUCUCCGGUCAAUAACCAACAGCGGGAUCUAGAUACCCAUGUUGGCUCCCACAUGCUCCUCGAUGAUGUCAUCGGAUGAACCACGAUGUCGAGGAUUCAAUCAAACCCCGUAUACAAUUCCCUUUGUCAAUCGGUACGUUACUUGCCCGAGACCCGAUCAUCGGUAUCCCAAUACCUUGUUCAGUCUCGUUACCGGCAAGUCACUUUACUCGUACCGUAAUGCAUGAUCCCGUGACCAAACACUUGGUCACCUUGAGCUCAUUAUGAUGAUGCAUUACCGAGUGGGCCCAGAGAUACCUCUCCGUCAUACGGAGUGACAAAUCCCAGUCUCGAUCCGUGUCAACCCAACAGACACUUUCGGAGAUACCUGUAAUGCACCUUUAUAAUCACCCAGUUACGUUGUGACGUUUGGUACACCCAAAGCACUCUUACGUAUCCGGGAGUUACAUGAUCUCAUGGUCUAAGGAAGAGAUACUUGACAUUGGAAAAGCUCUAGCAAACGAACUAACCGACCUUUGUGCUAUGCUUAGGAUUGGGUCUUGUCCAUCACAUCAUUCUCCUAAUGAUGUGAUCCCGUUAUCAACGACAUCCAAUGUCCAUAGCCAGGAAACCAUGACUAUCUGUUGAUCACAACGAGCUAGUCAACUAGAGGCUCACUAGGGACAUAUUGUGGUCUAUGUAUUCACACGUGUAUUACGAUUUCCGGAUAAUACAGUUAUAGCAUGAAUAAAAGACUAUUAUCAUGAACAAGGAAAUAUAAUAAUAACACUUUUAUUAUUGCCUCUAGGGCAUAUUUCCAACAGUCUCCCACUUGCGCUAGAGUCAAUAAUCUAGUUACAUUGUGAUGAAUCGAACACCCAUAGAGUUCUGAUGUUGAUCAUGUUUCGCUCGCGAGAGAGGUUUAGUCAACAGAUCUGCGACAUUCAGAUCCGUAUGUACUUUGCAAAUUUCUAUGUCUCCAUCUUGAACAUUUUCACGGAUGGAGUUGAAAUGACGCUUGAUGUGCCUGGUCUUCUUGUGAAAUCUGGGCUCCUUUGCAAGGGCAAUAGCUCCAGUAUUGUCACAGAAAAGUUUGAUCAGCCCCGACGCAUUGGGUAUGACUCCUAGGUCGGUGAUGAACUCCUUCACCCAAAUAGCUUCAUGCGCCGCCUCCGAGGCUGCCAUGUACUCCGCUUCACAUGUAGAUCCCGCCACGACGCUCUGCUUGCAGCUGCACCAGCUUACUGCUCCACCAUUCAACAUAUACACGUAUUCAGUUUGUGACUUAGAGUCAUCCAGAUCUGUGUCGAAGCUAGCGUCGAUGUAACCCUUUACGACGAGCUCUUCGUCACCUCCAUAAACGAGAAACAUGUCCUUUGUCCUUUUCAGGUACUUCAGGAUAUUCUUGACCACUGUCCAGUGUUCCUUGUCGGGAUUACUUUGGUACCUUCCUACCAAACUUACGGCAAGGUUUACAUCAGGUCUGGUACACAGCAUGGCAUACAUAAUAGAUCCUAUGGCUGAAGCAUAGGGGAUGACGCUCAUCUCUUCUUUAUCUUUUGCCGUGGUCGGGCAUUGAGCCGAGCUCAAUCUCACACCUUGCAAUACAGGCAAGAACCCCUUCUUAGACUGAUCCAUUUUGAACUUCUUCAAAAUCUUAUCAAGGUAUGUGCUUUGUGAAAGACCUAUGAGGCGUCUCGAUCUAUUUCUAUAGAUCUUGAUGCCUAAUAUAUAAGCAGCUUCUCCAAGGUCCUUCAUUGAAAAACACUUAUUCAAGUAGGCCUUAAUGCUGUCCAAGAAUUCUAUAUCAUUUCCCAUCAAAAGUAUGUCAUCUACAUAUAAUAUGAGAAAUGCUACAGAGCUCCCACUCACUUUCUUGUAAACGUAGGCUUCUCCAUAAGUCUGCAUAAACCCAAACGCUUUGAUCAUCUCAUCAAAGCGAAUAUUCCAACUCCGAGAUGCUUGCACCAGCCCAUAAAUGGAUCGCUGGAGCUUGCAUACUUUGUUAGCAUUCUUAGGAUCGACAAAACCCUCCGGCUGCAUCAUAUACAGUUCUUCCUUAAGAUGCCCAUUAAGGAAUGCCGUUUUGACGUCCAUCUGCCAUAUCUCAUAAUCAUAGUAUGCGGGAAUUGCUAACAUGAUUCGGACGGACUUAAGAUUCGCUAGGGGAGAGAAAGUCUCAUCGUAGUCAAUCCCUUGAACUUGUCGAUAACUCUUAGUGACAAGUCGAGCUUUAUAGAUGGUGACAUUACCAUCCGCGUCCGUCUUCUUCUUAAAGAUCCAUUUGUUUUCUAUCGCUCGCCGAUCAUCGGGCAAGUCAGUCAAAGUCCAUACUUUGUUUUCAUACAUGGAUUCUAUCUCGGAUUUCAUGGCUUCUAGCCAUUUGUUGGAAUCUUGGCCCGCCAUCGCUUCUUCAUAGUUCGAACAUUCACCGUUGUCUAACAACAUGAUUUCCAGGACAGGGUUGCCGUACCACUCUGGUGCGGAACGUGUCCUUGUGGACCUACGAAGUUCAGUAGCAACUUGAUCCGAAGUACCUUGAUCAUCAUCAUUAUUUUCCUCUUCAGUUGGUGUAGGCAUCACAGGAAUAUCUUCCUGAGCUGCACUACUGUCCCGCUCAAGAGGUAGUACUUCAUCGAGUUCUACUUUCCUCCCACUUAAUUCUUUCGAGAGAAACUCUUUUUCCAGAAAGCAUCUGUUCUUGGCAACGAAGAUCUUGCCCUUGGAUCUUAAGUAGAAGGUAUACCCUACAGUUUCCUUAGGGUAUCCUAUGAAGACGCAUUUUUCCGACUUGGGUUCGAGCUUUUUAGGUUGAAGUUUCUUGACAUAAGCAUCACAUCCCCAAACUUUUAGAAACGACAGCUUAGGUUUCUUCCCAAACCAUAAUUCAUACGAUGUCAUCUCAACGGAUUUAGACGGUGCCCUAUUUAAAGUGAAUGUGGCUGUCUUUAGAGCGUAUCCCCAAAAUGAUAGCGGUAAAUCGGUAAGAGACAUCAUAGACCGCACCAUAUCCAAUAGAGUGCGAUUACGACGUUCGGACACACCGUUUCGCUGAGGUGUUCCAGGCGGCGUGAGUUGUGAAACGAUUCCACAUUUCCUUAAGUGUGUGCCAAAUUCGUGACUUAAAUAUUCUCCUCCAUGAUCUGAUCGUAGGAACUUUAUCUUUCGGUCACGUUGAUUCUCCACCUCAUUCUGAAAUUCCUUGAACUUUCCAAAGGUCUCAGACUUGUGUUUCAUCAAGUAGACAUACCCAUAUCUACUCAAGUCAUCUGUGAGAGUGAGAACAUAACGAUAUCCUCCGCGAGCCUCAACACUCAUUGGACCGCACACAUCGGUAUGUAUGAUUUCCAACAAGUUGGUUGCUCGCUCCAUUGUUCCGGAGAACGGAGUCUUGGUCAUCUUGCCCAUGAGGCAUGGUUCGCAUGUGUCAAAUGAUUCAUAAUCAAGAGACUCUAAAAGUCCAUCAGCAUGGAGCUUUUUCAUGCGCUUGACACUAAUGUGACCAAGGCGGCAGUGCCACAAGUAUGUGGGACUAUCGUUAUCAACUUUACAUCUUUUGGCAUCUACACUAUGAACAUGUGUAAUAUUACGCUCGAGAUUCAUUAAGAAUAAACCAUUGACCAUCGGAGCAUGACCAUAAAACAUAUCUCUCAUAUAAAUCGAACAACCAUUAUUCUCAGACUUAAAUGAGUAGCCAUCUCGUAUUAAACGGGAUCCAGAUACAAUGUUCAUGCUCAAACUUGGCACUAAAUAACAAUUAUUAAGGUUCAAAACUAAUCCCGUAGGUAAAUGUAGAGGCAGCGUGCCGACGGCGAUCACAUCGACUCUGGAACCAUUCCCGACGCGCAUUGUCACCUCGUCCUUCGCCAGUCUCCGUUUAUUCCGCAGCUCCUGCUGUGAGUUACAAAUAUGAGCAAUGGCACCGGUAUCAAAUACCCAGGAGUUACUACGAGUACUGGUAAGGUACACAUCAAUUAAAUGUAUAUCAAAUAUACCUUUGGUGUUGCCGGCCUUCUUAUCCGCUAAGUAUUUGGGGCAGUUCCGCUUCCAGUGACCCUUCCCCUUGCAAUAAAAACACUCAGUCUCAGGCUUGGGUCCAUUCUUUGACUUCUUCCCGGCAACUGGCUUACCGGGUGCGGCAACCUCUUUGCCGUCCUUCUUGAAGUUCUUCUUACCCUUGCCUUUCUUGAACUUAGUGGUCUUAUUGACCAUCAACACUUGAUAUUAUUUCUUGAUUUCAACCUCUGCUGACCUCAGCAUAGAAAAUACUUCAGGAAUGGUCUUUACCAUCCCCUGCAUAUUGUAGUUCAUCACAAAGCUCUUGUAGCUUGGUGGGAGCGACUAAAGGAUUCUGUCAAUGACUGCCUCAUCAGGGAGGUUAAUAUUCAGCUGGGUCAUACGGUUGUGCAACCCAGACAUCUUGAGUAUGUGCUCACUGAUAGAACUAUUUUCCUCCAUCUUACAACUAUAGAACUUGUCGGAGAUGUCAUAUCUCUCGACCCGGGCGUGAGCUUGGAAAACUAGUUUCAACUCUUUGAACAUCUCAUAUGCUCCGUGAUGCUCAAAACGCUUUUGGAGCCCCGGUUCUAAGCUGUAAAGCAUGCCGCACUGAACGAGGGAGUAAUCAUCAGCACGAGACUGCCAAGCAUUCAUAAUGUCUUGGUUCUCUGGGACGGGAGCGUCACCUAGCGGUCCUUCUAGGACAUAUUGUUUCCUGGCAGCUAUGAGGAUGAUCCUCAGGUUCCGGACCCAGUCCGUAUAGUUGCUGCCAUCAUCUUUCAGCUUGGUUUUCUCUAGGAACGCGUUGAAGUUCAUGUUGACAUGAGCGUUGGCCAUUUGAUCUACAAGACAUAUUUGCAAAGGAUUUAGACUAAGUUCAUGAUAAUUAAGUUCUAAUCAAAUUAUGAACUCCCACUCAGAUUAGACAUCCCUCUAGUCAUCUAAGUGUUACACGAUCCGAGUCGACUAGCCUGUGUCCGAUCAUCACGUGAGACGGACUAGUCAUCAUCGGUGAACAUUCUCAUGUUGAUCGUAUCUUCCAUACGACUCGUGUUCGACCUUUCGGUCUCCGUGUUCCGAGGCCAUGUCUGCACAUGCUAGGCUCGUCAAGUUAACCCUAAGUGUUUUCGCUCUGUAAAACUGUCUUACACCCGUUGUAUGUGAACGUAAGAAUCCAUCGCACCCGAUCAUCACGUGGUGCUUAGAAGCGACGAACUGUAGCAACGGUGCACAGUUAGCGGAGAACACUUCUUGAAAUUUUGUAAGGGAUCAUCUUAUUUACUACCGUCGUCCUAAGUAAACAAGAUGCAUAAACAUAAUAAACAUCACAUGCAAUUAUAUAGUUGUGACAUGAUAUGGCCAAUAUCAUAUAGCUACAUUGAUCUCCAUCUUCGGGGCUCCAUGAUCAUCUUGUCACCGGCUUGACACCAUGAUCUCCAUCAUCAUGAUCUCCAUCAUCGUGUAUUCAUGAAGUUGUCACGCCAACGACUACUUCUACUUCUAUGGCUAACGCGUUUAGCAGUAAAGUAAAGUAGUUUACAUGGCGUUCUUCAAUGACACGCAGGUCAUACAAAAAAUAAAGACAACUCCUAUGGCUCCUGCCGGUUGUCAUACUCAUCGACAUGCAAGUCGUGAAUCCUAUUACAAGAACAUGAUCUCAUACAUCACAAUUCAUCAUUCAUCACAACUUCUGGCCAUAUCACAUCACAUGAUCAAUCGCUGCAAAAACAAGUUAGACGUCCUCUAAUUGUUGUUGCAUCUUUUAUGUGGCUGCAAUUGGGUUCUAGCAAGAACGUUUUCUUACCUACGAAUAACCACAACGUGAUUUUGUCAACUUCUAUUUAGCCUUCAUAAGGGCCCUUUUCAUCGAAUCCGCUCCAACUAAAGUGGGAGAGACAGACACCCGCCAGCCACCUUAUGCAACUAGUGCAUGUUAAUUGGUGGAACCGGUCUCACGUAAGCGUACGUGUAAGGUUGGUCCGGGCCGCUUCAUCCCACAAUACCGCUGAAGCAAGAAAAGACUAGUAGAGGCAAGCAAGUUGACAAGAUCCACACCCACAACAAAAUUGUGUUCUACUCGUGCAAAGAGAACUACGCAUAGACCUAGCUCAUGAUGGCACUGUUGGGGAAUGUUGCAGAAAAUUAAAAAAUUUCCUAUGGUUUCAGCAAGAUCCAUCUAUGAGUUCAUCUAAGCAAUGAGUCAAGGGGAAGAGUUUGCAUCUACAUACCACUUGUAGAUCGAGUGCGGAAGCGUUCAAGGGAAUGGUGAUGAUGGAGUCGUACUCGUCGUGAUUCGGAUCACCGAUGACCAAGUGCUGAACGGACAGCACCUCCGCGUUCAACACAUGUACGGGACGGUCGACGUCUCCUCCGUCUUGAUCCAGCAAGGAGGAAGGAGAGGUUGAGGAAGGCAGCUCGAAGGGCAGCAACGACGGCGUGGUGCAGUUGGUGCAGCAGUAUUCCGAUAGAGCUUCGCCGAGCACGUACGGAGGAGGAGAGGUGUUGGGGAGGGGAGGGGCUGCGCCUUGAGUUGUGUUGUUGCAGCCCUCCCCUCACCCCUCUAUAUAUAGGAGGAGAGGGGCAAGGGGGCCGGCCCUCUAGGGGAAACCCUAGAGGGGGGCGGCGGCCAAAGGGUGGGGGGCUUGCCCCCCAAGCAAGGGGGUUGCGCCCCCUUUAGGGUUUCCCCCCCAACCCUAGGCGCAUGGGCCCAAGGGGGGGGCGCCAAGCCCACCAGGGGCUGGCUGCUAUCCCUACGCAGCCCAAGUGGCCCCCCGGGAGGGGUGGUCCCUCCCGAUGGACCCCCGGAACCUUUCCGGUGCCCGUUUAACAACUUCCCAUAUAUAAAACUUUACCUCCGGACCAUUCCGGGACUCCUCGUGACGUCCGGGAUCUCAUCCGGGACUUCGAACAACAUUCGGUAAUCACAUACUUGUCUUCCUGAUAACCCUAGCGUCACCGAACCUUAAGUGUGUAGACCCUACGGGUUCGGGAGACAUGCAGACAUGACCGAGACUCUCCGGUCAAUAACCAACAGCGGGAUCUGGAUACCCAUGUUGGCUCCCACAUGCUCCUCGAUGAUGUCAUCGGAUGAACCACGAUGUCGAGGAUUCGAUCAAACCCCGUAUACAAUUCCCUUUGUCAAUCGGUACGUUACUUGCCCGAGACCCGAUCGUCGGUAUCCCAAUACCUUGUUCAGUCUCGUUACCGGCAAGUCACUUUACUCAUACCGUAAUGCAUGAUCCCGUGACGAAACACUUGGUCACCUUGAUCUCAUUAUGAUGAUGCAUUACCGAGUGGGCCCAGAGAUACCUCUCCGUCAUACGGAGUGACAAAUCCCAGUCUCGAUCCGUGUCAACCCAACAGACACUUUCGGAGAUACCUGUAAUGCACCUUUAUAAUCACCCAGUUACGUUGUGACGUUUGGUACACCCAAAGCACUCUUACGGUAUCCGGGAGUUACACGAUCUCAUGGUCUAAGGAAGAGAUACUUGACAUUGGAAAAGCUCUAGCAAACGAACUAACCGACCUUUGUGCUAUGCUUAGGAUUGGGUCUUGUCCAUCACAUCAUUCUCCUAAUGAUGUGAUCCCGUUAUCAACGACAUCCAAUGUCCAUAGCCAGGAAACCAUGCCUAUCUGUUGAUCACAACGAGCUAGUCAACUAGAGGCUCACUAGGGACAUAUUGUGGUCUAUGUAUUCACACGUGUAUUACGAUUUCCGGAUAAUACAGUUAUAGCAUGAAUAAAAGACUAUUAUCAUGAACAAAGAAAUAUAAUAAUAACACUUUUAUUAUUGCCUCUAGGGCAUAUUUCCAAUAGCAGGAUCAUCCAAUUGCAUUUGUCAGCAGGGCCUUGGGUCCUAAGAACAGAGGUCUUUCUGUGUAUGAGAAGGAAUACAUGCCAAUACUACUAGCUAUUGAGCAGUGGAGACCAUACUUGCAAUUCCAGGAGUUCAUUAUCAAGAUAGAUCAGAAGAGUCUGGUUCACCCAUCUGAUCAAAGAUUGCAUACACCUUGGCAGGAAAAAGCACUCACCAAAAUGAUGGGCCUCAACUAUAAGAUCAUGUAUAAAAAGGGAUCUAACAAUUCAGCAGUAGAUGCUCUUUCUAGAAGGCCUCAUGCAGAUUCUCAACUCCUAACAAUAUCAUAUGCUCAGCCCAGUUGGCUUGGUGAAGUUGUCAAGAGUUACUCAAAUGAUCAAAAAGCACAAGAGUUACUGUGCCAACUGACCCUACAACCAGGCUCCAAGGAUAAAUUUCAGCUAGUUAAUGGGUUAAUAAGGUACAAGGGCUGCAUCUGGGUGGGCAAUGAUAGUACAUUGCAUAUAAAAAUUUGCCAACCCUUCCAUGACACACGCCUAGGAGGGCACUCAGGUUUCCCAGUUACUUAUAAGAGAAUUCGUGCUCUUUUUAAGUGGGUUGGCAUGAAGAAAGUUGUUCAGCAGUUUGUGCAAUCUUGCUUAGUGUGUCAGCAAGCGACACCUGAGAGAGUGGCUUACCUUGGACUGCUAUCCCCAUUACCAGUUCCUACCAAGGCUUGGGCAACUGUAACAAUGGGCUUUAUCUCAGGUUUACCUCCCUCGGGUCAGUUUGAUUGCAUUAUGGUCAUCAUCGACAAAUUUACAAAAUAUGGCCACUUUGUUCCUGUCAAACACCCCUACACGUCUUAGAAAAUUGCUGAUCUUUUCCUGGACAGUGUCUAUAAGCUUCAUGGCAUGCCUCUGUACAUUGUGUCAGAUCGGGAUCAUAUCUUUACCAGCAAUUUUUGGCAAGCAUUGGUUAAGAAAACUGGGAUUGUUCUUAACAUGAGCACUGCAUAUCAUAUGGAGACUGAUGGCCAAACCGAACGAGUGAAUCAACAGGUUGAGUGUUUCCUAAGAUGCUUUAUCAGUGACCACCCGAGCAAAUGGUCCAAAUGGCUUUCUCUAUGAGAGUUCUGGUACAAUACAAACUGAUAUUCAGGUCUGAACAAAUCACCAUUUGAAGUUCUUUAUGGGCAUAGCCCCAGGUAUUUUGGGAUAUCAGUUUCAGAUACAGUUGCUCCGGUUGAUUUGCAGCAAUGGUUGGAAGCCAGGGAAGUUGUGUAACAGUCAGUUUGUCAACACCUGUUGCAUGUGCAACGAUGAAUGAAACACCAGGCCAACAAACAUCGCACAGAGUGGACAUUUGAAGUGGGUGACAGGGUGUUCCUCAAGCUCAAGCCAUAUGUGCAAUCGUUAGUGGCGCACAGGGCAAAUAACAAACUUGCAUUCAAGUACUUUUGGCCUUUCCCCAUUCUGGAGAAAAUUGGCGAGGUGGCUUACCAACUGCAAUUGCCAGCAGCUAGCCGUAUCCACCUGGCCUUUCAUGUUUUGCAGCUGAAGCGCUUUGUGCAACCACAUUACGAGGUAAUUGUCUCACUUCCUUGUGCCGAUGCUCACCUCCAAAUCCCUGUUAAGAUCCUGCAGGAGCACAUUCGCCGCUCGGACAAUCAUUCCGUGGCUCAAGCCUUGAUGCAGUGGAGUGGUGGAGAUGCAUCUAUAGCAACCUGGAAGGACAAGGACUCGCUUCGCCAGUUGUUUCCGCGAGCCCCGACUUGGGGUUAAGCCGGUUCUAAAAGAGAGGGGGAUGUCAACGCUCACAAGGGCAGAGCCAGUCAACCAGAAGCACGAGUUGACGUGGAUUCGACUCAUGGGCUGUCAGCCGCACGGCCCACUCGUGAUCGACGACUUCCCCAGUGGCUUGCAGGCCCAAACUGGGACCGUUGAGGGUGUACGCCGAUAUAUGCGUUGUGUGUGUGUGUUGCGUGAGGAUUGGGAACGGAGUUGGUGGCUUCAGCCAUGGCUAGUGUGCGGCGUGCGUGAGCUCGUGUAAGUAUUUAUGGCGAAUUGGCUAUAGAUUGAGAUCAAUACAAGUUAUACCCUCACAUUUCGGAGGACAGAAUGAAACAUCCCCACCGGAAUAGCAGAUAGUGCAACAAGACGAUGGACGUGUGACGCCCCAAGACCGACGCUCCAGAAGACUUAUAGCUGGUCCAUGUUUCUCGUUGUCGCCGUGUGUUUUGUUUUGUUUGUUGCACUCAUCAUUGCAUCAUGUCAUCAUGCAGCCCUUUUUAAACCUCAGCUAAAUAAAUUGCAUAGAUCAUCGAUCUAUUUAAAUCGAGGGAAUUUACAUGGUGAUUUCUCUUUAGAACAUAUACUCCCAAUAUUAUUAGGGAGCUAUAAUAAAUAUUCCAUUAACUGGAAAUCACCCAUAACACAUUUACAUUAUUCUUCAACUCUUCUUUUAUCCGACUCAACUUUCUAUCCUUCCUUUUCGACGUUUUAGUAAAAUUGAGUUGCAAUUUUACUUCUCCAUAAAUGUUGCAAAUCUGCCCAUAAAUCACAUCUGGUGUGUAGGGUCACCCCCCUAUAAUUUCAACCCAUUUGGAGUUCAUUCGAAUGGGUUUCGAAAUUCAAACUUGUCUGAGUUAAAUCCAACAGGUGUGGAUAUUAUUUCCUCUAAAAAUCCUCAAUCUAUUUUUUUCAAAUUCUUCACAUUUUUGUGAGUCUGGGAAAAUAAUCCCCAUGCCCAAAUUCUAUCUCUACCUUCAUUUCUUCUUUUUUUUCUUUGACAUUUUUCUGUUUUUGGGAGAGAGAAGAAGGAGAGCAGCCGCAGCUCAGCCUGCUCCCAGCAGCCGUCUCAGGCCACCGCGGCCUCCCGUAGCCCACCACCCAGGCCUAGGCCUAGUCGGCGCCCCUUUCUAACCUAACCCUCACCCGAUCCCCUCGUUAUCUCCCUCUCAAAUCCCCUCAUCCUCCUCCUUGCGCCGCCGCGAGGGCUUCUUGCCCGACCCCGUGCCACCUCGUCCCCGUAGCUCUUCAGCUCGCAGCCGCCGGCGAGCCCCGUCCACCACGCGCUACCCCGAGCCUCUUGCCAUCACUCUCCACCCCGCGCGCGACCAGCGCCGUCCUAUCCGCGCCGCCCCGUCCAGUUCCUCGUCGGUGACCCCCCGCCGUGGGCACCUCCUGCCUGAGAACCACCUUCGGCCACGCCAUGGUUCUCCUGCACCAGCUCCGUUCGACAAGGACGUCGCCCCGCUUCCUUCUCUUGCCGCGACCCAGAUCCCCCUCCUCACGCCUCGGGUCACCUCGCCACCCCAUCACCCGUCUUGUGCCCGCGUCCGUGUAGCACCAUCUCUGCUGCCCCCACGCACCUCCAAUGACCUCCCGAGGCAGGGCCAAGUACCACUACCAUCGCGUUUCGUUUCUUCAUCGUCAAGGCCGAGAGGACGCCAAGUACCAGGACGUCAGGACCCGUCAAGUUUAUCUACGUGCAUGUACGACUAUCUUCGACAUAGACCCGUGUACGAUUACGCAACGAACUGUGGAGUUACAUGAGCUACCAGUACCGCGACGACCCCGGAGACUGUAUUCUGUCAAGUUCCUACAAUAUGUGUACCACUACUUCCACAACAUGUCGUGUAUGACUACCGUUGCUCGGAUUCGACAAGACAACAUGUACCACUACCGUUGCCAAGUUCGACUGCCGCACGGUUACGCCAAGUUCAUCUAUGAAACAUGUACAACUACUUCCACUACCGUCGCGAGAACGACUACUUCUACUACGGCCCGUAUACCACUACUUCCCUCGACGAACUCGAACCGCUCCGAAAAAGCACACUACAAAGGUAUAACCACGAGACGAUCACGCGUGGACCGAAUGCACGUGUGUUGUAUCAGGUGCUCGUGUUUGCAGCAUGUCCGAGUUGAUCCUUGCACGUUCCUCCUCGUUUGCCAUGCCGUCGACCCGUGGGAACCCGGUAAUCCGGGAUCACCCCGCCAUCUUUUGCAUGCUCACGCCCACACUUUCUUUUGCACCGAUAUCUCAACGACUUGCUGGAUCAUCGUAAUGUUGCCGUGGCACCAUUUCCGUUUUCAUUGCCGUGGCACCCCUUUUGUUCCGCCAUGGUGACAAAUGCUUCAUAUCUUAUAUUAUGUCAACAUUUUCAUAAAAAAUGCAUAAAACUUGAAUAUGUCAUCCGCGUCAUGAUAACAACAUUUAAAAUGUUUAAAGUUGUUGUUGCAUUAAAUUGCUAAAUAACAUAUGGGGAUUUUUCAGAAUUGUUGUUUGUUGUUUCCGGCAUCAUUUAAACUUGCCUAAAUAGGUGGUUUGCUCAUGUUUCACCUCUUGCCAUGUUAACCAACAUUUGAACUUGUCUUAUUCAUAAACGAGAGAGAACUAAAUAAUUGGAUGUGGUGUUUCGUCAAUAUGCAACUCGUUGUAUAUUGAGCUCCACUUAAAUUGUAGUGUUGUUUGUGCACUAUGCCAUGUCAUGCACAUUUAAACCGGACAUGCAUCAUACUUGAAUGUGCAUCAUGCCAUGUUAUAUGAUGAUUGUUUACCAUGCUCUUUGCUUCUUUCCGGUGUUGUUUCUUAGUUCCGGUAACGUUGCGGAUUGUGAGGAUUCGUUCGACUACGUCCGUUUGUCUUCUUCUUGGACUCGUUCUUCUUUUUUGCGGGAUCUCAAGCAAGAUGAUCAUUACCCUCGAUAUCACUUCUAUCUUUGCUUGCUAGUUGCUUCUUUCUAUCGCUAUGCCGGUUGAAGUUUUCAUGAGCAUAAGACAAUUGCAAGUCCCAGUUUGCUGCAAGCAUGACAACCCGACACUUGGGGGCUACAUGUGAUAUGCAUAUAAGGGAGGAAUAACUUCAAAUUCUCAGUUUUGAGCAAAUCAGGUAUUAUAUUAUUAUCAGAGAAAUCUGCAAAGUUUAUGACCCGGCGUCAUCAUAAGAUUAACCCGGCGUCAGCAACAAUUACAUGACCCGACAUCAUUUAUUUAUAACUCGGCAAAUUUGGUAAUCAUAAGUCGGCAAGAUUUACAUCUCUAAGCCGGCUGAAUAUCAAUUCAAUAUUUCAAAGACUAAUGUUUUUGUCAAGUCAGAGCAUUGAAGGCCGACUCAAAUGGAUUAUUUCUUAUAAUAUUUCUCUACAAGAGCCAAUGUCAGCAAAUUGGUUAUGAAGCUGGCCUAUUGACCCCGAUUUUUUAGAAGAAGUGCCUGGAUUUUUUGCAUUGGCAAGGUUUGGACAUAUCUGUUAAAGGAUAUUUGUUAUAAGAUCUUGAGUAUGCAUCCAGGAGGAAAUGACAAGGACUAAAAGAUGAUCAGGUGCCGGUUCAAGAAAAUAUUUAACCCAGAGCACAACCUAUCAAGUUUGUUCUUGUGUUUAUUUUAUAGGAUCAGUUUAACAUGGAUAAAUCCAAAUUAAACCGGGGGCUAAUGUCAGGGAUAUACCCCGCGGUAUGACCCGGCCGGAAGUAUGACCCGGCCGGGCUGGGUGUUUUCAUUGGUAACCUGCCGGAGUGGCGACUCACGAGCCCGGCGAUUCACGGAUGGCCCUGAUGGCGGCUCAGAUAGAAGACAAGGCCCAAGGCCCAGAAGGCGGACUCAUGCUAUGGUGGGCCGGCUUAAGAAAAAAGGCAUAGGGAAUAUUAUCCUACAAAGGAGGCAAGACUAGGACUCCACUUGUAAUAGAGUAAUCCUAGUCCUACUAGGACUAGUCAUGUAACCCGCCCCUUCAACUUAUAUAAGGAGGGGCAGGGCUCCCCAAAGAGGACAAGCAAGAAGAAACAAUCUCUAGGGAUAGACACAAGAGCCGGCUUACCGGCGACUCCCUCAUGAUCAUAAUGAGACCUAGCCACAAACAGCAUUUAGGGUUAUUACCGGAUGAUGUUUCCCGGGGCCCGAAGCUGUCUAAAUCCUUGUCUUGUGUGUUGAUUGCAUCGCGUCUCUCGAUUCCGACCAACACCUUCAAGCUACUGCAUAGAUGCGUUGGCCUCACGACUAAGUCCUCACACUAAGGAGAUCUAACGUGACAAUUCCACGACACUAUCACUUGUUUACCAUGCCUCCCUUAUUGCCAUGUCAAGCCUCUAACCCACCUUCCUAGUAAACCGUUGUUUGGCCAAAUUCCCGCUUUUGGUCAGCCUCUCUUAUAGCGUUGUUAGUUGCAGGUGAAGUUGAAGAUUGCUCCAUGUUGGAACAUGAUUAUGUUGGGAUAUCACAGUAUCUCUUAUUUUUAAUUAAUGCAUCUAUAUAUUUGGUAAAGGGUGGAAGGCUUGGCCUUAUGCCUGGUGUUUUGUUCCGCUCUUGCCGCCUUAGUUUCCGUCAUACCAGUGUUAUGUUCCUUGAUUUUGCUUUCCUUACGCGGUCGGGUUUAUGGGAACCCCCUGACAGUUCGCCUUGAAUAAAACUCCUCCAACAAGGCCCAACAUUGGUUUUCCAUUUGCCUAACAACCUACAACCCUCCCUUGGGGUCNNNNNNNNNNNNNNNNNNNNNNNNNNNNNNNNNNNNNNNNNNNNNNNNNNNNNNNNNNNNNNNNNNNNNNNNNNNNNNNNNNNNNNNNNNNNNNNNNNNNNNNNNNNNNNNNNNNNNNNNNNNNNNNNNNNNNNNNNNNNNNNNNNNNNNNNNNNNNNNNNNNNNNNNNNNNNNNNNNNNNNNNNNNNNNNNNNNNNNNNNNNUCUCUAAUUGUUGGUCCGAACUAGAGCCACUUGCAGCGCCACCUCGGGGAAACUUGAGGGAUGGUUUUUAGCUGUACGUAGUGUUCAUCCGGUGCACCCUGAGAACAAGAUAUGUGCAGCUCCUAUCAAGAUUUGUUGGCACAUCCGGGCGGUCUUGCUGGUCUUGUUUUACCAUUACCGAAAUGUCUUGUAACCGUGAUUCCGAGACUGAUCGGGUCUUUCUGGGAGAUGGAACAUCCUUCGUUAAUCGUGAGAGCUUGUGAUGGGCUAAGUUGGGACACCCUUGCGGGGUAUAAACUUUCGAGAGCCGUGCCCGCGGUUAUGUGGCAAACGGGAAUUUGUUAAUAUCCGGUUGUAGAGAACUUGACAUUUGACUUAAUUAAAAUGCAUUAACCGCGUGUGUAGCCGUGAUGGUCUCUUUUCGGCGGAGUCCGGGAAGUGAACACGGUUUGGGUUAUGUUUGAACGUAAGUAGUCUUCAGGAUCACUUCUUGAUCACUUCUAGGUGACGACCGUUGCGUAGCUUCUCUUCCUACUCUUGUACUCACCUGUUAGCCACCAUAUUUUUCUUAUCAAUUGCUGCAACCCCACCUCAUUACCACAUCCUACCCAUAAGCUUAAAUAGUCUUGAUCUUGCGGGUUUGAGAUGGCCGAGUCCUCGUGACUCACAGAUACUACAAAAACAGUUGCAUGUGCCGAUGAUAUCAGUGCAGGUGAUGCAACUAAGCUCAGUUGGGAUUUUGACGAAGUCCUUGGCAGUUACUAUGUUUCGUUUCCUGAUGAUCAGUAGUGGAGCCCAGUUGGGACGAGCGGGGAUCUAGCAUUUGGGGUUAUCUUCUUUUCAGUUGGAUUUGUCCGUAGCCGGAUUAUGUGUGUACUCUGAAUGUUGUAUGUUUUAUUGAAGUACUUGUGUGAAGUAACGAUUGUAAGCCAACUCUUUAUCCCUUUCUUGUUCAUUACAUGAGAUUGUGUGAAGAUGACCCUUCUUGCGAAACAACCACAAUGCGGUUAUUCCUCUAAGUCGUGCCUCAACACGUGGGAGUUAUAGCCGCAUCGUGGGCGUUACAGGACGCUUGCCUGUUGUGCCCGCACUCUAACACUAGAUGCACGGGUUCGCCGCACACUUGUCCUAUGUGGGUUGCCGGGACAUCAAGUAAGCCAAGACGUACUUCUUCCACAACGCUAUUGUGGUUUGUGUUGCACAAGCGGGUAGUGCGCCGCGGCACGCCGCGCUUUGCUGGUAGUUUCGAGAUGUGUUGAUUUUUGUAUUUUGCAUAAACUUUUACAUGUAAAAAUAGUUAGAUAUUAGAGGCAAUACACCAUGCAGGUGGAUCAUUAAUUCAAGACCGUCUUACCACAAGAUUAGACGAUGGAACCAUGAACUUAAAAACUGUUAUGAAAUAUAGUGACCAGAGCAUGGACACAAUUUAUUAUCACUGUAGAGGGUGGCCAUCACUAUGCAUUAUUAACACGAAGUUAUUAUCUCUGAAAAAAUCUCAUGGAAAAGAAUAGAACAGUGGUAGAGAUUUCUAUAGAGCAUAGUCCUGCUUAAGAAUGUUGAACAAUCUGUCCUAUUUUUGCUUGAGCUUGGAAGAAUAAGACAUUCAAUAUAAUGAAUUUUAAACGAUACAAAAAUGUGGAUCAAACUGAACUUUGAAAAAAACUUAAUCUCUCCUACUACUAAAUGUAUACAUUGAUUUUUUUUCCUCACAAUUUUUUUACCCUCGGCUUCAUUCGAGCUAACAACUCAUAUAUUUUAUCAGUGCAGUUGUAAGAAAACAUAAAAGAGUUAUAAUUUUUUGCUUCCUCUAACCAGGUCCACAAUAAUCAAGCUACAAAUUACUGGAUGAAGUAAGUGGGAUGACCGGUAAAGUAAUUUGGAACCAAAGCAUGAUAAUAAGCAAAUUAUCAUCAUCCUAUAGAUAACAAUCAGAUAAAACAGAAGGAGCUGCAUGAAGCAAUUUUGAGUCAAGACUGUUUGCAGCAAGUUCUAUUACUGAUCCUUGAAUAACAGAACAAUACAAUAAUGAAGUGUACAUUUGUCAGACCCAUCACUGCUCACACGUGUGCACCUGCACUUGGGACCACAAUGGUGCGGUGCACUAAAAAGUCUGAGAUCCACUCUCUUUCUCUCUAGCUUUCUCUAAUCUCCCUGCUCAUUCCCCACCUCCACCAUUCCCCCAUCUCCCUAGUGCAUUUGUUGCUCUCGUCGCCGGCUCUCGCUGCCCCAGCGUGGCUCAUCCGUCUCCUCUCCACUGGAAGUAGAAAUCGAGUGCUCCUCGCCCGCACAACACGCAUUGGCGAGGCACCUCCUCCGCCGGCUCCUCGCCUGCACAGCACGCAUCGGUGAGGAAUCGAUGCCACUCAAAGCAGUGGGCGGUCUGGAAAGGGAGAAACCGGCGGAGGAGGGAGGAUCUCGAAAGAGUAGGAGGAAGCGAGGCUGCGAGAGAGGCAGGGGAGAAGAGGAAGCGGCGGGGUAGGGUGUGGCGGUGGCAAAAGCUGCGGCAUGCUCGUCAUUGGGCAUUGAUGGCGGCAAGAGCUAGCUAGGCACGACAACUCCUGAUGAGGUUCACCGUCCACGCGAUUCAUAUCCUCCAGGAUGGUCUCGUCGAUUGAUUCUCUCCUCUCGGGUACCUACUCACCCGACUGCUAAAUCUCCAUCUGUCUAAUUCACCUUUUCUGCUAACUGCAAGUCUCACACCAUGUAAGCGCAACCCGCGGUUCGACAUGGGACUUCGUUUGCUUCAUCUAGAACUUCUGCAUCAUGAGCCUCGCAAAGAUGGCCGCCAUGCUCUUUCUUCCUCUGUCUAGGUAAGCUACAUGAACAGUUUUAGUCGUGAAGCAAGUACACACUUGACUAUAGAAAAUACAUCAUUUUUUCUUCAGUCCACAACGCCAAAAGAAAAUACAGCGAUAAAUGCCAGCAAUUAAUCUUAUGUUAGUUAAUAACAAUGCAUAAGCCUGAAAUUAUCUUCAGUGUCUUAAAUCAAUAGUACAGGAGCACUAUGUAAAUUACUGGAAUAUAUUGAAACAUACCAGGCCUUGUUAUAUCAACAACAGGGACAUACAUAGGUAUUUCUAAAUUCAAUAAUCACUAAAGCAGAUCAGCGUUGCUCGUACUCUUAAAUUAAGAAUACAUACUACCUAUUUAGAUUCUACCUUUGAGCAGCAUAUAAGGAGUGCAAAUAUUAGCAUGAACCCAGAACUCGCUCAAAAUUACAACACAGCUUAACUGAGCAAAAUCAAAUGGCAGAGGAAAAUAUAAUAUGUACAUAUAAAAUUCCUAUUAUGGGCAUCUGCAAAGGCAGAAGAUCAAUACCCACACAUGAUGGUACUGAAACAAAUUCAUGUAACAUCGUCCAAGAAUGUUAGCUUAAGCAUACCAUGAUAAUCACAAAUCUAACGGUCGUUGGCUCUGGUCCAAUAUCGACACCUGCAAUUGCAGAAGAUCAAUUCUCACAGAUGAUGGUACUGAAACAAAUUGGCAAACGAAAGAAAAUACAUGUUGCAUGUACAUAAGCUGGGGAUAGUUUGUUCUCCAGGAGAUGCUUGACAAAAGUUGUUUUCCCCAUACUUUGUACUAAACUAGCGGGGUCGCCCGCGCAUUUGCACGGCUAGAUUAUUGAUUUUGUUGUGAAAAUAGUUGAAGUCCACUUAUUUUUAAUGCUAACAAUAUAUAUUAUAAUUCUAAUGGCCUUAUAAGUGAAACUUUGUAUCAUGCUUUUGGAAUAUUGGUGAUUUAUUGCUCCAAAUAAAUUCAAAUUUUAACAAAAGAAUUAGAGUAUCGCCUAAAAUAACGUACCCAAUUUGGAAUCAAAAUGCAAAAAUAUUGCAAUUAAAGCGUUUUUGUAGCCAUAUAAUAGUUGCGGGACAUGUGUGCCAUGGGGGUUGGCGUGAAGUUCCAUUGAGGAACUUGGACUCUAGGCCACGUGCAGCCGCUAGGCCACCUAAUCUCCUAUGGGUAGGUCAAUUAUCUCUUCCCUGCCACCUUAACCUCUCUUUCAUUCUUCCAUGUUCGCCUCUCUUGCAACUCUCACUCAUUGUACAACCAUUGGUUCUAUUUCUCUUUAGCUUCUCAAGCUUCACCGUGGCCCCCUUUAGACCGAGGUGACACUUAUAUUGAUAGCAAUAACUCCUGAUCGAGCACCGCUGUUGGGUGGUAGUUAGCUUUGAUGGUUUCACAUACAAAAUGUCAAAACUCAUUUGUCAAAUAAAAGAAGUUGUAGCCGGUGUCUAAAUCGUGAAAAAGUAUUAUGGACUCAAGUAUAUUUGUUUUAUCAUGUGUAGUAAGAUGUUAGCAAAGCAUUUCGUAUGUGACAACUAAAAAACAUAUUUGGGUUCACUUUUGGCACGCCAAACUAUAUAGUGGUGUCUGUCUUUUAUCCACAAUUUUAAGAAACAUCCCAACAAAACAUAAUAUUUUAACUCUGAUGUCUAGAAUAUCUUCCAACUAAUGUAUGUUGCUUAGCCAUCUAAGACAAUAUAAACUUAUUUGCAUGUAUUUGAAAAAAAAAUCCAGAACUAACCUCACCUGCUAAAUAUUGCCUAAUCUAUGUAGCUGGCCAUUUUUCUUUAUUUUUAUCGUAGUACGGUUAUUUAUUUUCCUCAUAAAAGUUAUUAGCUUCUUUUAUCGUGGCAUUGCACACACUACAUUUGGUGGCAGCGAGCUGGGUAGCCCUCGCAAUGAUGUGGCUAGAUUGUCUAAUAUAGAGACUAAAACAAAAUCAUAAAAUGUAUAGUACAAACAAUUUAGAGAAAUAUGAUUGUGUACUUUCGGACAAAGGUAUUUCCAUUUUAGUGCAUGGAUUGUAGCCAAGGACAUUUCUAAGUUAAAGCAAAGGAUAAAUGCUACAUUUAUGUGUGUCGCCCUUGAAACCAUAUACUGGAUUAUGCCUUUGUCUCAUCCAGUCCGCAUCCAUGGGCUAUGGAUUUCACAUUGAGUUUCUUAAAGACAUGCACUAUUUAUCCAACAAAUAAGUCACUCCAGAACAAACAAAAAAAUAUUUUUAGGAAAAUUAUAAGGAAAUUCUCCAAUGCAUAUAUUUGAACUAAAUAUAGUUCAUGAGGAUUUUUAGUGCAUGUGCCCAGUUUUUGCAGCAAAAACAUGGGUUACCCUCCCGUAAUUGGAGAUAUCUUCUUUUUAUCCAUAUAAACACCUUAUACAUCUUUUCCUUCUAGUCCAUCAGGAGAAUGAUAUUUUUUGGAAGUGCACCUAUAAUGCGUGAGAUCAUGUACCAAGAAUACACCACGCGGGAAAUCAUUUUGUUACUGUUUUAUUUACCAACUGUUUGCCCUCGUGUCAACGAUUGUGGUAUUUAGCUUUCCACAACAUUAGCAUUGGUACGUUGACCACUGUUAGUUAGAAAGAGAAAAAUACACUAGAACAUCUCGCAGAAAGUAGGCCAAUUAUUUGGUGGACCAUAUAAAAAUUUACAAUUUGGACCGACCAUAGAAAAGGAAAAAUGCUAGAAAAUAUCAUAAGAGCCAAAUAUGAGGAAAUUAGUUUGCUAACGUAAAUGCAUAUACCCCCGCAAAAAACCAUGUCGCAUAAACACAUGCAUAAAUGAUACUCCCUCCGUUCCAAAAUAGAUGACUCUACUUUGUAUUAACUUUAGUGCAAAGUUGGGUCAUCUAUUUUGGAACGGAGGGAGUAUAUAUGUUGCCAAGAUGGUAUCUCCCCAUGUUGUAGAUGCUACACAUGAAGGAUCAAUUAGCUUUCGUGCGUAUAAAGAGAUAGAUCAAUGAGCGCACCUGUUCACAUGUAAAUGCAUGCGUACGUGUGUGUUUUUGCUGUGAACGCCCGAAGCUCCUUGAGUCGACGUGAAUGCGCCGCCAUAACCGCGAGUCAGCGACAACUCUGCCACGCCAUUGUGUUUCUGUCCUGUGACAUGCGCCUCUGCCGCUGCCAUCGGCCGUCGCCCCUGCUGCCGCUGCCGUCGCUGCUACUGUGUAGGCUAGCUUCUACGAUCAUACUCAUCGAUGCGGCCAGUAGCUAUUCAUCUUCGUCCGCAUACCGGCUAAUUGCACAAUUAUAUACGUCUUUGAUUGUCGUUAUAAAUCGUACACCACGGCUUGCUGCAUGGCAGCAGCCUCCACGGCGGUGCACCGGCGAGAUCGUGCGGACCAUGAGGAGGUCAUGGGCCUUGCUGAACCCAGGUAUGCAGUCAAUCAGAGAAUAUCAAAUUAUUUUGCCUUCCCCAAGUCAUAAUAGAUUGCGUGUGCCUGUACGAGCAUGUCGUUUCCUUUCCAAAUUCCGUUUCCUUUCCAUGUAAAUCUUUUUUCUUGUCUACUCAUUUCAAAUUACGUUUCCUUUCCAUGUAAAUCUUUUUUCUUUUCUUUUUAGCACCCUGUCCUAUCCAUCACGUUUGGCUGCGGUUGGACAUACUUUUGUACAUGUCGUUAUUACUUGCCUAUUGCUAGUUUUUUUUACGUGUAUUACAUGAGGAAAUCUUGAUCGUUGAUACAUCUUAAUAUUAGAGUGUCAAAUCAGCACCAUUCGUUUUCUAUCGUUUUAUUAGAGUGUCAAAUCUGCCCUGCUGCUCAAGAAUGUAAAGCCAUGUCAUUCAACUUGUUGUCAAUUGAUCCUACUGGUAAAUACAAAUACAUGUCACUUAAAAAGAUUAUGCCAUUAUAGUUUUCUGAAACAAGAAUACGCCAUAAUAGCAUAGUGCCAGAAUUAUUUCAGUCGCUAUACAGUUUGAUGUGAUUCACAUGCAUGAUAUUUUAAUGAGUAGGCAAAUCGAAAUAUAAGGCAAGUAGAAGGAAGAGGAACCAGGAGUGGUGAUGUUGUGCUCAUCUAUACCGUCGGUUGUGAGCUAUGCAGUGGCAGCUGCCCUACAGAGAGGAAUGGUUGUGGCCCGGGAACAUGGCGCCUCAAAAUCAAUGUUAUAUGCUGUUGAGGAAGGGCGCCUCUGAUGGUCGCGCUGCAUCACCAUGUCAUCGCCAGUGCCGACAACGGGCGAACGCCGGGAGGGAGGUGGCACACCGCCGCAGGAGAGCGGAGUAGAGCACGGGACAACGUGAGGAGGGGGGCAACUUACCAAACCUCCCGCCAUGGUCACCCUCGAUUGGAUCCACCAUCCUGCACAUGUCGUCGUUGACGUCCUACGCCAGUGCCUUCUUCAGGCACUGCAUAGCGGCCGCUCCACCUCACCAUUGCCUUGACACGGAGCAGCCAACCAGGACGGAGCGAUAAGGUGUUGGAGCACCUCCUUGUGUCAGCUUCAGCGCCCGCUUAGCCAAGGUGGCAACUCCCGGCGACGCCGUGGGUGGUCGGCUCUGGUGGCAUGCGAUGGCGGGCGUCGGCGAUCUGGGCAGGCGAAAGGUCGAGGCGCGGGGUGGCUCGCAGCGUCAAGCAUGUGGCACACUUGAACAACGGGGACGCCGGGACUCCAGCACCUGAACGACGUGAGGCCGCGAGCUCAUGGUCGAGAGCAAUGGCAUUGGCCCAAGAUGACGGCAACGUCGACGAUGUGCAGCCGCGGUCUGAGUUUAGCCUACCGCGCGGAGGUACGCCGCCUUCCUUCCUCUCCUCCGUCAUGGCCUUUGAUCGUGGUGGGGGCGACGGGAGUGAAUUUUGGAGCUUGUUGGUGGGACUACGCCGCCUUCCCUUCCUCUCCUCCGUCAUGGCCUCUGCUUGUGGUGGGUGCGACGGGAGAGAAUUUUGAAGCUUGGUGGUGGGACGAGGAGGCGGCGGUUGUGUUGUGUCGGGAUGAGGGAGAGACAAUUUAUAGAUCUACAAUAGCGAUGAAGAGGACAUGAGAUUGGACUGGAGUUUUCUAGAGAGAAGAUACGGGACGACAUGAGAUUGGACUGGAGUUUUGUAAAGAGAAGUUACGUGUCCCGACCGGACCCAUCUUCCAUAGUAAAAAAAGUAAAACCGGUGUAAAAAUUGUAACGUGGCAAAGGAAGGAACCAAAAUCAAAGCAGCGAUGGACACGUACGAUCGGAACACAUGAAAGGAAACUGGCGUGACCCUUCCAUUCAACACAAAGAAAGACAUGGUAAAAAAACGUGCAACAUCUAGGUAGCUAAAAAAUAGGAACGACAAGGAAAGCUCCCGUCACACGCGUCAUUUUCUCAGGGGCGUAAAAAGAAUUCCGGAAAAACUAGAAAAAGGGAACCCUUACGGGCCUAGUAUUCUUAGUAUUAGGAAAUUUUGGUAUUUGGUUCCAAUUAAAGCUUGAACAAUUUUGGUUUUUCCCGUGACAUAUCACGAGCCGUCCUACCUGUAGCUCCUCUACAUUGAGUUCGUAGGAUCCGGCUUGCCUACUCCCUCCCCAUGCUCCCAUCCAAGCUCCCAAUUCAUCCUACAGUUGUUUUUUUCCUUUUUCCUUCCUAAUCUAAUCAUCCCUCUGAUUUUAACAGGGUGGGCCCGGACCUUAUUUUGUUCCAAUCAAAUUAAGCCACGUACGCGGGAGUACGGAUGGGCGCACGCGUGGGGCUCAGGCAAGUCUCAUCUGAGUUCGUAUGCCCCUCUCUCAAGCCGGCCCUGAUGGAUAUUUAUUGGGCACCAAUACGCGCCGGUGUACCAGCCGAACGAUUCAGCCGGUCAGCCCCAGCCGCACGAUGCGUGCGUCUACAUCGCACGAUUCCUCCUCUCGCCCCCCCCCCAUGAGCCCGUCUUCUUCCUCUCGAUAGCUCCCCCAGGCCUCCCGCUUCCUCCUCUCGCUGACAAGCCAUGACUCCGCGGUUGCCCCUGCGCCGCCCGCCGCGGCACCACGCUCAUCCUCAUCAGCCGCCCGCGCCGCCGCGCUCCCGUCGCCGUCGAGUGGUUGCAGCUUUUUUGCCAGGCGUUUCCAGCAUCCUUGAUGGGAAGUUCCAGCACUGCCGGUGGUGACCGCCCAACUCUGGGGAGCAGCGUCGUCGGUGCUCCGUCGGACUGGUUCCAGCAUUGAUCUCGCUCUGCCAGUCCACGGGUGUGUCAUCCCAAAAAUCAAGAGGUUGUCCCCCUCUCCUUGCAGCUCCACUGUACUGCGGUUCUAGCUUGCCGGACAACGGUUGCAACAUCCCAGCCGCAGGGGGUCGCCUUGCAGCUCCACUGGACCGCCGUUGCAGAUCCAUUGGACUGCGGUACCAUCUCUUGUGGCAAUGGUUGCAGCUCCCCUUGCAUGGCUGCGGCACGCCAUGCCGGCGGCCAUGUCGUCCCGCCGUCACCGAUGCAGCAAAACUGGUCACCCGUAGUAGCAAAACAAACCACGGUUACAGCUCUCGUGCAUUACCAUUGUAUCUUUUCUAGAAUAAUGUCGUAGCUUUUUCCUUUGGUCGCGGGUCGCAGCUCGCUGUCGCGCCCCCACGCAUCACGGAUGUAGCAAUUUUGAUCACUGGUUCCAGCAAAUCUAGAUGCUCGUUCCAGCAAAAAUAACUGCCACCAUCGCUGCUCCAACCAGUUGUAGCGAAAAAGACGGUCAGUUCCAGCAUCUGGUGUGGUCGGUUGUAGCAAUAAAAGUUCUUGGUUGUAGCUCCAACCCUGACCGGCUCUAGCACCGGCGAUGAAGCUGGUAGCGUCCCCCCAUGGCUCGGCACCAGGGUCGGUGAUGGCCGAAUCCAGUGUUGGUGGUGGCAGCAGCGUAGCGUCAACCCGUCGGCGGUCGGCCGCGAGGGGAGCUCGCAAUGGUUCGUGAGCAGCGGGGAGGAGAGAAAAGUCAUGGUUGUGGAGUCUCGGCUGAAGGUAGAAGAAAGGAAAAAAAGGAAGGCCAGGAAAAAAGAUAAGAAUAGGAGAGGGGGCGGUUGUGCGAGGCCCACCACGUACACGCGUCUUGCUCGGGAGUUGUUUUCGUGGGGCCAGAGUGGCGUGCGAGCCGGCCGAACAUUCGGCCGGCGCCCCAGCCCAAAUCGUUUUCCAUAUGGGAAACGUUUAUACCCGGCGCACCGGCUGAGUCUUCCGCCGGUCGCGCACGCGGCGUGCGGUCCAUUUUUCCUUGUUGCACCAAGUCGAUUGUCCACGCAUCCAGGCCCACAUGCAACACCCUCUUUCCCUCUUUCCUAGCCACGCAUCUACGGCCUUAUCCAUCUGCCAACCGCUCUUCUUCCUCCCCAGCUCUUUCUCUCUCCACGAGCGACCAAAGCACAUGCCAUGNNNNNNNNNNAGCCCAAAUCGUUUUCCAUAUGGGAAACGUUUAUACCCGGCGCACCGGCUGAGUCUUCCGCCGGUCGCGCACGCGGCGUGCGGUCCAUUUUUCCUUGUUGCACCAAGUCGCUUGUCCGCGCAUCCAGGCCCACAUGCAACACCCUCUUUCCCUCUUUCCUAGCCACGCAUCUACGGCCUUAUCCAUCUGCCAACCGCUCUUCUUCCUCCCCAGCUCUUUCUCUCUCCACGAGCGACCAAAGCACAUGCCAUGCCGAUGAAAGCCAACCGGCUAGACCAGAUCCCACUCGCCGNNNNNNNNNNNNNNNNNNNNNNNNNNNNNNNNNNNNNNNNNNNNNNNNNNNNNNNNNNNNNNNNNNNNNNNNNNNNNNNNNNNNNNNNNNNNNNNNNNNNNNNNNNNNNNNNNNNNNNNNNNNNNNNNNNNNNNNNNNNNNNNNNNNNNNNNNNNNNNNNNNNNNNNNNNNNNNNNNNNNNNNNNNNNNNNNNNNNNNNNNNNNNNNNNNNNNNNNNNNNNNNNNNNNNNNNNNNNNNNNNNNNNNNNNNNNAAAGCUACAACCAGCUGAGGCAGAAGCUGCAACCGUCGUCUUUGUUUGCUACUACCGGUGACGGAUUUUGCUACAUUCAUCAUGGCGGGUCUGCGACCUACUAGCGCGGUGGCUUUUUUUGUUUCAACCUUCCUAAGAUUUUGCUACUACCGGCGGGAUUGUUGCUACAUCCAUCAUAAGUGGGGGAGACCGCGACCUGCAACGGCAACGGCAACGAAUUGGUGCAUACGGACAUGGAAAAAAGCUUCAACCGACCUUGUAUAAGUUCCAACCGAUGGAGAAAAAAGCUUCAACAGGCAUGACGGAAAAGCUUCAAUCCUCAUGGAAAAACUGGAAGCAGCUACGAAAAAAGCUUCAACCGACCAUGAAAAAAGCUUCAAGCUAGAGCCAACAAUGGUUAUGACGGCGAGGCUACGACGGGUUGACGGCACGGAGCUGCACGGGAUUUUUUGCUGCAAUCGACAACGGGAAAAGCUACAACCGGUGCCACGUCUUGCUACUCCCGGCAAAACCCGACGAAGGUUGAAUCAAAUCGUGGUCGGCGCCAUGACUGUCGAAAUGAUUGGUUGUAGCGAUUCCUGUCACCGGUCGUAGCAAAAAUGAACCAUGGUUGAAGCAAAAUAUAUCUGCACGUGGAUGAUGAAGGAGAAAAGAUUGGCUGGGUGUGGCCAUGGCGACAGGGCUGCGGCGAGGGACAGCGGCGGAGCUGCAACCUGAGCUUCACCCGUCGCUGCUGAGAGCUACAACCGCAGGCGCAGCUAUUUCAUGGGUCAAGGCGGCGACGAGGACAGACGGCGAAGAUGGGGACUGGCGACGAGGACGGCCGACGAGGAUGGGGACCGGCGACGAGGACGGCCUGCGGGAGUGGGGACCGGCGAGGAGGUCAGGCACCGGAGGGGAGAGGACGCGCGCGCCGAGUGGGAGAGGUGAUUUCCAGCAAGAGGAAGAAGAAGCUGGGGGGCAAACCCUUUUUUUUCGCCAGAUCCAAUGGUCCACGCGGCUCAAAUCCAACGGCCCUGACGCGACCGGCCAAACGGUUGGGCCGGUGCGCCGGCGCAGAUUAGUGCCCUUUCUAUAUUUAUUUUCUUUGUGAUUUUGAGUCAGAGCAAGCAUGGCAAGUUGACAACACUACUGCACGUUUGUAGUAACUGGACGGAAAAAAAUCAUAUGGGCAUGGUGAGAUCCGCACUUCAUUCAAACUCCUUUCUUUUUCUCUUGCUAUAUCCCUGUCUUAUAUUUUCUUCUCACAUUUUAAGAUACAAAAAUAGAUGGUCUGAAUUUCGCUAAUGCGGACUGGUCGACAGAUGACAAAUCUAUUUGGGGCCUGGAUCCAGAUAUUCACUUGUUUAGUACAACGUGCAUAUGCUAUCUUUAUAAAUCUCUGAUAGUGCGUUGCGGCCGGGGAAGAGAUAAGGAGAGAAGAGAACAGCUUGACGGGAGAAGAAUAGAGAAAGGGGCAGCAAAAACAUUGGUCAUUGCUGCUGUGCUAUUGCAUACCAUGAACAAAGAAUGAAGAAAGAUGAAUAAGAGAAGAUAAACAGGAAAGGGUGCUGCAGUUGUGCCGCUGCAUUCUUCGCAAGUUUUGUCAUACUCAUCAUCCACACUUCAAGGGUAACCUUCUACUUAGUCCAAAACUAUAAUUCACAAGAAUUUAUUUUAUUCCUGUAGCCCACGGCCGACCUUGGGUUGACCACACUGGAUGCAUUUUGGGGGUCAAAAAGAGGAUAAGCGAUGCCACGGGUGGACCGCAGUGUUUAAAUAGAGGACAUUGACAUGUGUGGGAGAUGUCUUGAGUCAUUUAGUACUUACUAGCAAAAGGACCUGUACGUUGCAACCGGAGAAAAAAAUAACACACACUCUUAAUUUAGAAAAAAAUGGUAUAUAAUUUGAGUAUUUGUAGUUACGGUCCAAACAAAGAUGGUCUUUGCCAACAAAACGUGAGUUCAAGAUUCCACAUGUCUUCUAUUUAAACACGGCUUGCAUGUAGAUUUAAUACGUAUGAACAAACGGGCAAAUAAAUAGGCAAGUGAUUUUCAAUUUGGUCUCCAAUCCUGAUUUUGCUAAGAUGUUUAUUUAUCCACAAUCCGGAUUAGUACCUAUAUGAAAGAAAGACGGACAAUGCACUGUUGAUUAAGAUUGCACCUUAAAUAGUAUUAUUUUUUAAAUGGUUAACAGGUAAAAUAACAUCAUAUUCAGAUUCUAUAUUUUUUCUAAUCAAAUUCCAUAUAUAACAUGUAAAUUUGGAGUUACGGUUUAGAAGAUGAGUAUUUUAAAAAACAUUUUAUAUGUACUGCAGGUUUAAUAUAAGAAACAUUAGGGGGUUUUCUAUAAAGUAGUAUGACGGACUAAGAAUACCUAUUUCUUUUAUUAGUAGGUAUAUGUAUACGUAUAGAUUAUUGGGCUAUGAUUAUGUGAUGAUUUUUUCUCCACGUCGUAACGCACGGGCAUGUUUGCUAGUAUAAGAUUAAGUGGCUAAGGGCAACUCUAAUAGCCCGACACAAACGGACACAAAAUGAGUACGCUUUGUCGGGCCCGUGGGACUGGGGAUACCUAGGCCCGUCUGCAUGCGGCCCAGGGCGCGAUGCUUACCCUAGGGCCCAUGACUGGCCCACCUUUGGACUUCAUGAGCAAGACCCUCACGAGGCUCUCGCUUCGCGAGGCACCCGUCAGCCCGUGUCGUCAGGGUCCUCGCGAGACCCCCUCACGAGGCGAUCUUCCAAGGCUGCCUCCUGAGGCCCCUCAUGGAGGCGGAUAGAUCAAGGGUGGCUCGGCAGGGUCAUGCGGUGGUGACGUGCGCGACGACAGGCUGCGCCCAAGGCCAUGCUAGUAGGCGCAGAUGUGGAGGCUUUCCUAUUUGAUGCUAAGGGAGCGAGGACAGCGCACCGGUCCCCGAAAAAAUCCCCAAAGAUUUCCCGUUCGGUGCAAGAGGACCGAGACAACGGGCGCGCCAGGACAGAGGUCACCACUGAGCCCAUCGGGGCGCCACGACAGGAAACUUUUGCAGGCGAAGACCACAUUUAGUCAGGAUAAGCUGCAACCUUGCCCCCCUUCAAACUGGCCGUUGUGGCAACCCUUCCCGCCAUGUGUUUUUAGUGAAAGAGGACCAGAGGCAGUAUAAGAAGAGGCGAGGUGCAGCCCUAAGGAGGAGGGGAUCGUCUCGUGGCAACUUGUGCUUGAGGCUUACUCUCUCUCUCUCUCUCUCUCUCUCUCUCCCAAGCAAUCUAGACAAGCAGGAGUAGGGUCUUACACCGCGUGAUGGCCUGAACCUGGGUAAACUGUCCUGUCCUAUGUUCUUCUUCCCUAGCUUGAGCACGCCAGAGUAGGGCGGUAGGAACGCGCCCCAAAGUUUGAACCUUCUUGGGUCCUCGAAGCCCCGAUUCCGACAUUUCAUGCCAGGUAGGGGUGUGCCGCCCUUUUUUCGCACCGUUACGGCUUUUGCUUCACCGUUUCGGGCCGUGCUCCUCAUGGCGCGCGAGCUGCUCUGCUACCGUCCUGCGGAUACGGGCUACGACGCCUGGCUUGGCCGCAUCACCGAGCUCGUCAACGUUGCCGGAGAAGCCCCGGUGCCCUCCCACUCGCUCCGCCCUCCGCCGUCUCGCAUCGGGGAUGUGGCGCACGGUGCCCUUCCACCACCUCGCAUGCGCAGCGACCUCGGCAAACCCCGUCGUGACGCGCCCCUGUGUGACCAGCCCCGCGGAAUGCCGCCGCCAGCCCUCCUCGAGCAACAACAUUAACGCCAGUACCACAUCGUCCAAGAAGUCGUAGUGGCCAGGUGCCAGAAUCGCGCCACACUCGCGCGUGGCAUUGCUUCGAGCAGCGUGGGCUGUCGGGCCUUCAAUUGCGAGCUGCGCCGUGUGGUUUGGCCCGUCAAGUUCAAGCCGGAUCUCCUUUCGACUGAUUCAACAAAGAUUGCUUUUGCUCUUCUCGGUCCAGCUGGUGGUGUUGGGUGCUUGUCGUAGCUCUCUUCUGGUUCAUGUUCUGUUGUUUCUUGUGCCUUCUUGUGUGUAUUGGAUCCUAUUUGUUGUACCUGAUGUCUUGUAUCUUACUCUUAUAUAUAAUGAAAAUGGUUCAGGCCGGCGUAAGCCCGCCGUAGCACCGCCAAAUAAAUCCCCCCCUCCUUUUUCUUUUGUGCAAAAAUAAAAUUUUCCAUUUUCUGUUCGCAAGUGGUCAAAUUUUGGUUACAAUUUUGAAUUCUCGUCACUCUAUAAAUGUGAUAUCACAAAAUGUUAUCAUUCUGCAUAAUGUCAUACAAAUGAGAUUUGUUUUUCCAGUUCAAUGUUUGUUAUCUUUAAUUUAUAGAAGCGGACUUUACAAAAACAGUAUGCACCGCAAGACUGAUUCGGUGAAGUAAAUACCACAAAUGGUCGUUAUACUUACAAGAUUUUGCAUAACCACGUAAACAAUCGGCACGUACUCUCGCGUGUAGGGCAUUUGGCACCUUUACGCAGCUAGUGUAUACUAGACAUAGAAAACCUGAAUUCAUGAAGCGCUUUGACCUUGUGUUAAGGCUGAAACCUUUUACCGAAUAAUAAAGGUUGCGCUAGAAUCUUGAUUUACAACAAUUCCUUAUUUCACGAAAAGAAAACAAUUCCUUAUUUGUUAGGCGCCAGUUUUUAGCUGAAAUGCCAAAGAAUCAAAAGUGGAAUGCGUUUUGAUGUCGUGAUCAAAAGCAAUAUUUUUCCUUCCAUUCCAUGCUCGAUUGACAAUUAUUUUCUCAUUAUUUCCCUUCCUUGUUAUGCAUCCGAAACUGCGGCGGGUAACAAAAUAGGAAUAUGGCGCCAGAACUUUUAUCUCUUCCCGCCAGCAACCCCCGCGUACACUAUAUAUAUGCUCAUACGUCCGUGCCCAAGCAACCAUCACCGCACCCAGCCCAUACUUUCUAUAUGGCGCGAGAGCUGCCUUUUUUUGUUUCCUCUCCCGAUUUAGUCUUCCUCUCGGAUGAUGAGGGAGAAAAGGAGGUGAUCAAGAUUGAGGAUUCAGACUGCGGUGGCGACACGCAUGUCUACCUCAGCUCUGACGAGGAGGACGACGCGGUCUACGCCGAUGAUGGCUCCUCCUACGCCAACUGCAAAGCCGCAUCUGCGGCUGCCACGUCUUUGGCCACGGUGAGCUGCACCGACUAUGGCGACGACAACCCCAAUGGCGGCGACUCUAAUGGGGACGGCAACCCCAACAACAGCUACUUCGAUGACAACGACAACGACUCUGAAUAUGGCGGUGACGACGCCAGCGAUUUUUCGUCGGCCGCCACAAGUAAGUCGCCAAAAGCCCCAUACAAUUAUUGGCAUCCCACCGACCUUUGCACCCUCGUGGAAAUAGAUGGGCAGCUCCUCAAGGAUUUUGAAGGCGCGACAGUACCAUCGUCUGUGCUCUAUGAGGCGUUUAUGGAGGAUCCACGGCCGAUCCGCCGUGGCGGGCUGACCUCAAGAAAAAUCUCAUACAAAAGGUAUCAGUUGAAAAAAAAAUUUCGUGCCUUCUGCAAGUUGGAUCCGAGGCGUGCCUUCCGCACGUGUCGCACGGCUCAAGAACGCAAGUUUUACACCUGCUGCAAGGAGGCGUGGCCUCAUAUUGUAGAAGAGGGCCGUGCCUGACUUGCUAAUAAGAAGUAAACCACAGUCAUGUUCAAUCCGGUCUUUUUUUGGUUUCACCAAUAAACAAUAGUAGCUUUCUUUCCCAUUUUUUCCAUGAUCAGUAUUACUCUGGAUUUGAUCUGUUUUUCCUUUGCUUGUAUUAGUUUAUUUUUCUUUUGCUUUGUAUGAGAUUGUUCAGUACAAGAAUCAUCAGUACUUUUAUUUAGCAGUCCACAAUUUUAUUUUGUUUUAUUAUGUUUUGUUGUGGGGACAGAGGGGCCUGAUGUGUCCACCUGCUCGACAUUUCGUUGUAGAUAUAUGUGCGUACUUUUUUAAAUACCCUUUAUUAAUUGUUCUGGCCAACAGGAUGACGAUCUUCUCGCCUGAACCGGAAAACAUGCAUAUGUGCCCAUUAUAUAUUGAUUCGAUGUCCAAAUGAUUUCCCACGUAGGCAUGCAUGGGUGGGAACUUCCUGAACCGGAAAACAUGAGUAAUAGGUAGAGAAGAUAUGUUUCUUUUUUAUUUGUUAAUUAUAUCAUGACACUUGACAAUAGAGAAGUAUAUCCGGAAUGUCCUACAUGUCAUAUCAAGCAUUAAGUUCAGAUUUCACCUGUUUGCAGGCUCACGAAAGCAUCAGGUAUAGCUAAGAGAUGAACCGCAUGGUUGGUGUAUAUUUCUUAAUUACUACAAAAAUACUUGGAAAUUUGUAAAAAUCAAUACUUCAAGCGAAUAUGCAUGAACCACAUGGUUGAUGUAUAUAUCUUAGUUCAGAAAUUCUUGCAAAUUGGUAAAGUCAAUACUUCAAACAAAUUUUCUUAGUACAGAAAUUCUUGACUGGAAGACACACGAAGCAUGAAUUGCAUCUAAAGAUUAUUUUCUGUACAGGAUUCAAGAUCUAGAUCUGAAAUAUUGUAGCAUGAUAUCAGUGGUCACAACAGUAAAUUAUUCCUUCCAUUACUCUUUCAAAAGAAGCACAGAGAAUUCUACUGUUCUAUAUAAAGAUUAUUGCUAGUGUUCUCGUUUGUGAGUCCCAUGAAUCCAAGUGCCAAUCUUAGUGACCGAAAGACAUACUCCCUCCGUCCGAAAAUACUUGUCACGGAAAUUGAUAGAAAUGGAUGUAUCUAGAACUAAUAUACAUCUACAUACAUUCAAUUUUGCGACAAGUAAUUCGAUACUGACUAUAAAGCAGUUAUCUCAUUAAAAAUCAGUGUCUUCAUGCUCCUAGAAAGAGUACACAAUAAGCUAAGGGACGAAAAAUGAAUUGAAACGUACUAUUUGCAUGUCAUGCAAACUGCAAGAUGCGGACCACUGCCCCACUGCAUGUCCGGCAUUGCUCAUCUGUUAACAGAAACAACGCCAAAGCUCAAAAAAUCUUCUAUCCAGGAAAACCGUAGGGGAAGUGUUGCUUCACAGACAACAAUAAGUAGUCAGUACAUUGUUAUUGUUUUCCCUGCUGGUGAAUCUGCACCACAUUUCUCUCAUCUUCCAUUCGACAAUCACAUGCCAAUGUUUUCUGUAACACUUGAAAAGAGAAGGGAAAACACAACAGUUAUUUGUAUAGAAAAGAUGUUGGAAAAUCCUAUAAGGAUUUUUUUAAAGAAAAUGUAAGGAACUAUUGCCAUAACACGAAUACAACAUAGGGCCACUGAUUUUGAUUCGAACUAAAUAAACCAUACUAUUAAUGUUCUUUGACUGACAAAUUCUGAAGCAUUCCUUGAACAUAAAUGAAAGCUACCGAAUUACCAGGUAACCGAUACAACUAUUGGUACUUGUUUAAGCACAUGUCUCGAAAUUGAAUUUUACUUUUGUUUGUGAAACAUGAAAGGACUCAAUUAGCUAGCUGCUAUGUGAGAAGGUUUUGGAUCCCAAGCGGACCUUUUUUUUCGAGGGGCACCGGAAUUUGCGGUUACCAUGGUAACCAUGAAAUAGCGGAAAAGAAUCGGACGAAAUUUAAAUUUAAAUAUUAUUUAGGUCGAUACAGAUAGAUAUUUAACUAUAUAAUAUAACAAACUUUGCCAUGGCGUAUAGUGGCUAUUGGACCGUAGCUUUCGCUUGCUCGUACGCCGCGAGUUCGACCCUUUUUUAACUUUUGCAUCCUAUGAAAAUUAAAAAAUGCGUGAGCCCAGAUUCAAACCCGCGAUUCGUUGCUGAGGAAAGAUGCCCUUGCUACUAGGCCACUCCCAGUUAUGUCGUGAUACAAGAGAUUGUUUGUAUUUAACUCUAUAACAUGCGUUUGAAUUCAAAAUUUUCAAAUUAUCCGAGAUAUUUUGCUCGGUAUGAGUGUUUCUCGAGGGGGGAUAGUAAACGCGGUAACCGCCCGAAAUCACGAAAUUUCGUUUAGUAACCAAAUCAGUGGAUCAUACCCAUUGCAUUUUUAGCAACUCUCAUAAGCCGUUCUUACCUGUUCUCACAGCUCAUGAACAUACAAUAUAUGAUGAAACUUUGCCAGAUAACAAAGAUGCUUAACUGGCAGCAAGAUGUAUCCUAUAGUAUCAUGUUUUUAUUUCUGAGUAAUUGGUUAACCUAUGCUACCUUAGUUAAGCAUUCAAGAAAAUGAAGUUGCCUCUGUGUUUUAAGCUAAAGCUACCACAGUUCUGUGAGACUUAUCAUUCCAGAUAAUGUUCACACAACUUAAAUGAGUAACAUAAGUGCAAUUUUAAUUUUUAGUACAAAUGUACAAUGACAAGCUCAUGUACAAUUAUUUACUGAAAAAAUAAGCCAGCUCAUUUGGAAGGGAAGAAGCUAGAGAAAUGCCAGCAAUGUAACUUUACCUAGAACACAGACACUAGUAGAAAACAGGGCUUUGGUUGAGCCCUGGGUAAGGGCAUUAAUUCCGGUUCACUCCCGAACAGGGACCAAAGGGGGCAUCGGUCCCGGUUCGUGAGGCCAGGGCGCCGGCCGGGCCUUGGGGGCCAUUGGUCCCGGUUCGUCUGACCCCUUUGGUCCCGGUUCCAGACACACGAACCGGAACCAAUGGGCCUUGCUCCUGGCCCAACAUCUUUUGUCCCGGUCGGUGGCUGCAACCGGGACCAAAUGUUGUCCUUUAGUCUUGGUUUUAGCCACCAACCGGACUAAAGAGAUCCCUAUAUAUAGCCCUGCCCGUGAACAGAGCCAGUGCUCUAUGUUUUUGGCCGGCCGUGGGAGAGGUGUGUGUUGCUCUAGUUCACCUUCUAUGCACAUGAGGUGUUCGAUGAAAUGCCCGAGCCACACUUAAGCUUUCUCCUCUCCAAGCUCCUUCUCCAAGCUCCAUUUUCCUCAAGAUUUGUCUAGGUUUGGCGUUUCAUCCUGUCCCGUCCCCAUCCUCACCGCCGUUGAUUGCCCGCGCCGAUCUCGUCACCGGCACCACCAUGGUGAGCCUCUUGUUCUUAUCUUCUUUCUAAAAGAAAAAAAUUCUACUUUUAUGAUUUAGAUUGAUACUUGUAUAAUUUUCUGUUCUUACUUUUAUUAUUGUUUGUUAUUAUAUAGUGCGAUGGUUUUGGUAUCCUGCCCUCGUCCUGUUUAUGAUUCGGAUGUGGUAUAUAUUAUCUUUUAUAACUAUUUGUUUCAUUUAGUAUUUAUGACAAUUAUGCCGACCAACAUGACAUAUAUGUUUUUAUCUAGGAGGUAUGUGAACCGGAAAUUCCAACCGACCCUCUUGUCAAGAGGUUAAAUUUAGUUGAAAAGGAAAACAAUUACUUAAUAUUUUUUUGAAAAUAAUUGAGGAGGAGAAGAUGAAAUUGGAUUUGCAUAUUGCAGAUGUCGUCGAUGAUCACAAGAUCAAGAUGGAUGCAAUGCGCGUGAAGAUUAGAAAGAUUAGGAACUAUGCCAUUCAUACUGAGGCUUGGUAUCAUUAUGCCGUUGGAUCAAUUGUUUCCUUAGUUGCAAUUAUGAUCGCAUUUGUUGUUGCAUUGAAAUAUUUUACAUAGUUUCAAUGUAUGGUUCAAUUAGAUGCUCUAGAGAGCUAUAUGUUGUCAAUGAGAACUAUGUAUGAACUUUAUGUAUUUAUUUUUUCUGUAAUAACAUUUGAUCACUACUAUACUUUGGUUUUAAUAUGAUGGUGAACUUCUAUUAAUUUGGUCACUUCCCUAUACAUGAUGUUCUGUAAUGGUUUUUGACACACUUAAUUAUAUAUAAUGCAUGUAGAUGAACCGGCAAUGGAUGUAUGGUGAAAGACGCACCUCCGAGUACAUUAAGGGCAUAUAUAAUUUUCUCGAAGUGGUUGAGGCAAACAAGAAGAAUGGUUUUAUGUUUUCUCCAUGCCCUAUCUGUGGGAAUACGAAGUCUUACUCUGACUCGAAAACCCUUCACAUCCACCUGCUUGACCAGGAUUUCAUGCCACACUAUAAUGUUUGGACCAAGCACGGAGAAAGAGGGGUUAUGAUGGAAGACAACAAAGAAGAAGAGGAUGAUGACAACUAUCAUCCCCCUGAAUACGGUGAUGCUGCAACGGAGGAAGAUGAAGAUCAAGAGGAACCAGAAGAUGUGCUCGAUGAUGAUCUUCAUGGGGUCUUUGUUGAUGCAAAGAGACAAUUCCAAACUGAAAGGGAGAAGUUGAAGUUCGAUCGCAUGUUAGAGGAUCACAAAAAAGGGUUGUACCCAAAUUGCGAAAAUGGCAAAACAAAGCUCGGUAUCACACUGGAAUUGCUGCAAUGGAAGGCAGGCAAUGGUGUAUCUCACAACGGGUUUGAGAAGCUACUAAAAAUAUUGAAGAAUAUGCUUCCAAAGGAUAACGAAUUGCCCAACAGUACAUACAGAGCAAAGAAGGUUCUAUGCCCUCUAGCAUUGGAGAUGCAGAAGAUACAUGCAUGCCCUAAUGACUGCAUCCUCUACCGCAAUGUGUACAAGGAUUUGAACACAUGCCCGGUAGGCGAUGCAUUGCGGUAUAAGAUCAGACGAGAUGACCCUGGUGAUGUUGAGGGCGAGCGCCCCAGGAAGAGGAUUCCUGCCACGGUGGUAUGCUCCUAUAAUACCAUGGUUGAAACGUAUGCUUAGAAACAAAUAGCAUGCCAAGUUGAUGCGAUGACACAAACAGGACGGUAAGAAACACGGGAAGUUUAGAGCACCCGCUGACGGGUCGCAGUGGAGAGAAAUCGAGAGAACGUGGGGGGGGGGGACUUUGGAGGUGACGCAAGGAACGUAUGGUUUGGUUUAAGCGCGGAUGUCAUUAAUCCUUUUGGAGAGCAGAGCAGCAAUCAUAACACCUGGCCCAUGACUCUAUGUAUUUAUAACCUUCCUCCUUGGUUGUGCAUGGAGCGGAAGUUCAUUAUGAUGCCGUGCUCAUCCAAGGCCCUAAGCAACCCGGCAACAACAUUGAUGUGUACCUAAGGCCAUUAGUUGAAGUACUUUUACAGCUGUGGAAUGGAAAAGGUGUAUGUGUGUUGGAUGAGCACGACCAGGAGGAUUUUGACCUACAUGCAUUGUUGUUUGUAACCAUCAAUGAUUUGCCUGCUCUGAGUAACCUUUUAGGACAAACAAACAAGGGAUUCCACGCAUGCACGCACUGUUUAGAUGACACCAAAAGUAUAUAUUUGGACAAAUGCAUGAAGAAUGUCUACAUGGGACAUCAUUGAUUUCUUCCGACCAACCAUCAAUGUAGAAAGAAAGGCAAGCAUUUCAAAGGUGAGGCAGAUCACCGGACGGGCAUUUUUGGUCUCAAGCACACUACACAACUCUACAGGAUUCUACCUUGGUGACCCCAUAUGUCAAUGAACACAAGAAUAUUCUGCGCUCCAAACACCCGGAGCAGUGUGACGACCGGAUUACAUGUGAACACAUCAGGACUUUCGGUAGUUGGUAGCAAACACAUCUCAUGGGUGACAACACUGUUGUAGAUGAGUUGUACUCGUUGGCCAGAGGACCAUCUUCGACUGUAUUAACUUACAAAGGGUACGAGAUAAAUGGGAAUACGUUUUACACGAUCGCCCAAGAUCAAAAGAGCACCAACAAAAACAGUGGUGUCCGCUUUGAUGCAGCAACCAAUAGGGGAAAGGACACAUAUUAUGGUUACAUAGUAGACAUAUGGGAAUUUAACUAUGGACAUGAUUUUAAGGUCCCUUUUUUCGGUGCAAAUGGGUUAAUCUGUCAGGGGACAGGGUACAGGUAGACCAAUAGUACGGAAUCACAACAGUGGAUCUCAACAAUCUUGGGUACACAGACGAACCAUCCGUCCUAGCCAAUGAUGUGGCGCGGGUUUUCUAUGUGAAGGACAUGUCUACCGAACCGAGAAAAAGAAAAGAUAAGGAAGCGAAUACAUCAUACGAUGAGCCAAAGUGCCACAUAGAUCUUUCAGGGAAAAGAGACAUCGUGGGAGUGGAGGGCAAGACAUGCAUGUCUAAAGAUUACAAAAAGUUUCAUGAAAUUCCUCCCUUCAAAGUCAAGGCUGACCCAAACACCCUGUUAAACGAUGAAGAUUAUCCAUGGUUACGGCGCAAUAAGCAAGGGACACACACAAAGAAAAAGUGAAGACUUUCUCUUCACAACUAUUCUGAUGAUUCCUUUGAUCUAGAAUAUCACUCUAGUUACAUGUUAAGAAAUGAAAUGCCUUUUGGAACAUAUGAGUUUUCAUCCGAAACCCUGAUACUUUGAAAGAGAUUGCCAUUUUGUACAUGAAGUGCAUCCAGUUUUUUCCGCAACCCUCUCAAUUUUGUAGCACAUGCUAUAUGGCUGAAAUGAUGAUAUCAUGCUAACUUUCAACCUUUUCAGAGUUCAUUUGUAGUGCUUUCCAAUUUCAGGGUCAUUUAGCUAAAAAAAUCAGUAAACGCAUGAAAAAUACAAAAUGAAGUCAGAAAUGGUUGAAAAUUGAUGAUGCGCCUUUUAAUGAUGGAUUUUGAACACACAAAAAGUCUGGAGUUAAAAUAAUUUCAAAAAAAUGAAAUCCCUUUGUAAGAGAGGAGUUUUCGUCCGAAAGCCUGAUACUUCGAAAGAGAUUGUCCAUUUUGUACACGAAUUGCAUCCAAUUUUUUUCGUAACUGUCUCAACUUUCUAGCACAUGUUAUGUGGGUGAUAUGAUGAUACCAUGCCUACUUUCAACCUUUCAAGAGUUUAUUUAUAGUGCUUUUCAAUUUCAGGGUAAUUUAGCUCAAAAAAUCAGUAAAUGCAUGAAAAAUACCAAAUAAAGGUAGAAACGGUUGAAAAUUGUUGAUGUGCCUUUGAACGGUGCAUUUUGGACACAUAAAAAGUAUGGGUUUAAAAUAAGUUCGAAAUCCCCCUCCUCACGCCUCGAGUCACCUCGCCACCCCAUCACCCGUCUUGUGCCCGCAUCCGCAGAAUUCAGAUGCAUAUUUUCUGGUGCAACAGCAAGCGUUGGAGGAUUUAAGCGCCAAACAAGAGAAAGUUAAUAAGCUUGCUAAGCAUCUUGCCAGCAUUAUGGGUACCCAGGAUAUUUUUCCUUGAGAUCUUCUGAAGUGGGUUUAGUCCUGGAUUUGUUUUGCUACGACAUUUAUUUGCGCUGGUCCCCAACUUUGACAACCAGUGUAUAUGAUAUGCUGCUUUGUUUCCUAUAUUUGCUCUGGUGGCGAACUUUGAUGUCUAGUGGAUGUAAUAUGUGUAAUAGCCGUGAUAGCCUAACAUUAGUUGCUUGCUUAUUUAUUUCCUUGUUGUCUUGUUUAUUUUUUUGCUUGUAGUCAUUGCAGUUUUUUUUCCGCGGUUUGCUAGUGGCCGCAAUAACCUAUUUUUUUAAAACUAGGCCACAAUAACCAUGGGCUAAUAUUUACUGAAGUGACAUUGGGCCUCCUACUGGCCGUAGAAACAGUGGGCCUUCUACGGGCCGUAGAAAUAAUGGGCCUUCUACGGGCCGUAGAAACAAUGGGCCUUCUGCGGGCCAUAUCAUCAAUGGGCCUUAUACGGGUCGUAUGAUCGAUUGGCCAAACAUGGGCCAAACAGACCGCAUUAUGUCCGUAAACGGGCUAGAGUUGGAAUCGUCCAUUCAUGGGCCAACCAUAACAGGCCAUCGUUAAUAGGCCGUAUUUGAUGAUGCUAUGAGAACGGUCCAACGUAUUAAUGGACCACAAACGGGCCGACUGUAACCACGGGCCGAAUUUGGCCCACAAGCAAAAAAUGACAGUAACGGGCCGUAAGUAAACGAACGAUGGAAAUGAGCCCAAGAAUAAAUGGGCUCUGAGAAGGCCGAAAGAUAACAUGGGUUGGAAACGGCCCAACGGAAUAACGAGCAGUUAAUGGGUAUAAAGUGAUACACUGUUCAUUACGGGCCAGUUUCACUACGGGCCGUUAAUGGGUGUAAAGUGAUACACUGUUCAUUACGGGCCAGUUUCACUACGAGCCGUUAAUGGGUGUAAAGUGAUACACUGUUCAUUACGGGCCAGUUUCACCAUGUGCCGUUAAUAGGCCAAGAGUUACAUAGGGCCUCAUAUGGGCCGAAAGACAUCAUGGGCCAUACAUGUGCCAGAAGUGAAAAUAGCCUGGAAUCAUAUUGGAUGGCCCAGAUGACGCUACUAGGCCUAAUUCGGAUAGGGAGUAACGGGCCUUGGGUUAGCGGGCUGUAAAUGGGCUAUAUGCGAAUAGGCCUUUAAUAGGCUUUCCAUGGGCCGGCCCGCCACCUUUUGACCAAGUCAAACGCGUCAGCCUUUUCACAGGAAUGGGCCUCUGUUGGGCCGUGCCACAUGUCUACGUACCAUAGGCGCCUUCCAUCCAAUGAGUGGAUGACAUCUGUCCCAACAAUGAGCCGACACGUGUUUCCUCCAGCCAAUGAUGAUUUUACACGUGGAAAAUCCUCAUUGGUCGGGGCUGUUAACGGGUUAUCAGGUCCAAAACCCGACCCGAUAGCUUAACGGUGUUCCAAUACGGUGGAUUCCACGUGUCGGUCACCCUUGACGAAAGUGUUGGGGAACGUUGCAUAAAAUAAAAAAAAUUCUACGUUCACCAAGAUCAAUCUAUGAGUUCAUCUAGCAACAAGAGAGGGGAGUGCAUCUACAUACCCUUGUAGAUCACGAGCGGAAGCGUUCAAGAGAACGGGGUUGAGGGGGUCGUACUCGUCGUGAUCCAAAUCACCGGAGAUCCUAGCGCCGAACGGACGGCACUUCCGCGUUCAACACACAUACGGUCAGUGUGACGGCUCCUCCUUCUUGAUCCAGCAAGGGGGAAGGAGAGGUUGAUGAAGAUCCAGCAGCACGAUGGCAUGGUGGUUGAUGCGGCAGAGUUCCGACAGGGCUUCGCCAAGCGACUAUGGGAGGAGGAGGUGUAGCAAGGGGGGAGGGAGGCGCCAGAUGUCAGGGUGAGGCUGCCCUCCCACCCCCCUCUUUAUAUAGGGACCCCAGGGGGGCGCCGGCCCUGGAGAUGGGAUCUCCCAAGGGGGGCGGCGGCCAGGGGGGUGGAGUGCCCCCCAAGGCAAGUCGAGGCGCCCCCUCCCCUAGGGUUCCCAACCCUAGGCGCAGAGGGGGGCCCAGGAGGGGCGCACCAGCCCACCAGGGGCUGGUUCCCCUCACACUUCAGCCCAUGGGGCCCUCCGGGAUGGGUGGCCCCACCCGGUGGACCCCCGGGACCCUUCCGGUGGUCCCGGUACAAUACCGGUGAACCCCAAAACUUUCCCGAUGGCCGAAACUCGACUUCCCAUAUAUAAUUCUUUACCUCCGGACCAUUCCGGAACUCCUCGUGACAUCCGGGAUCUCACCCAGGACUCCGAACAACUUUCGGUUUGCUGCAUACUAAUAUCUUUACAACCCUAGCGUCACCGAACCAUAAGUGUGUAGACCCUACGGGUUCGGGAGACAGGCAGACAUGACCGAGAUUGCUCUCCGGUUAAUAACCAACAGCGGGAUCUGGAUACCCUUGUUGGCUCCCACAUGCUCCUCGAUGAUCUCAUCGGAUGAACCACGAUGUCGAGGAUUCAAGCAACCCCGUAUACAAUUCCCUUUGUCAAUAGGUAUGUUACUUGUCCGAGAUUCGAUCGUCGGUAUGCCAAUACCUCGUUCAAUCUCGUUACCGGCAAGUCACUUUACUCGUACCGUAAUGCAUGAUCCCGUGACCAGACGCUUGGUAACUUUGAGCUCAUUAUGAUGAUGCAUUACCGAGUGGGCCCAGUGAUACCUUUCCAUCAUACGGAGUGACAAAUCCCAGUCUCGAUCUGUGUCAACCCAACAGACACUUUCGGAGAUACCUAUAGUGCACCUUUAUAGCCACCCAGUUAUGUUGUGACGUUUGGUGCACCCAAAGCACUCCUACGGUAUUCGGGAGUUACACGAUCUCAUGGUCUAAGGAAAAGAUACUUAACAUUGGAAAAGCUCUCGCAAAACGAACUACACGAUCCUGUUCUAUGCAUAGGAUUGGGUCUUGUCCAUCACAUCAUUCUCCUAAUGAUGUGAUCCCGUUAUCAAUGACAUCUAAUGUCCAUAGUCAGGAAACCAUGACUAUCUGUUGAGCAAUGAGCUAGUCAACUAGAGGCUCACUAGGGACAUAUUGUGGUCUAUGUAUUCACACGUGUAUUACGAUUUCCGGAUAAUACAAUUAUAGCAUGAAUAAAAGACAAUUAUCACGAACAAGGAAAUAUAAUAAUAAUCCUUUUAUUAUUGCCUCUAGGGCAUAUUUCCAACAGAAAGCACUUCUGUGACGCGCGAUUUAUCGUCAUGGAAGUGGACACUUCCGUGAUCAUAAUUUUGGUAAUGUCAUGGAACACUUCUAUGACAGCACAGGUAUGACUAUCUUCAUUCUGUCAUAAAAUCAUCAAGAAUGUACUCCCUCCGAUUCUUUAUACUCUGCGCAUAACUUUCGUUCAUUUCUCUCGUUUUACUCUGCGCGUUCCUACUUCUCCUAUGCUUUCCUCUUAUGCCCCCCAAAAGCUGCUGCAUGCAACCAUUUGCAGUUAAUACUUGCCAUCUCUCGUUGGCCAUGCAGAGUGGAGAGAGAGAGGUAGUUGAGGGAAUCAAGGCAACCGCAUGUGAGAGCCAAUCGGCUGCAUGCAAGUUAAUAACAAUCCAGCACUAAAGUAGGGGCAAAUUAGUCCCAGAAAGAUCAAGCGAGCCCUUUCUUGGCAUGCGUGUGAGAUGUUAUACACAAAGAAAAUAUGAUCGGAGGGAGUACAUGCAUGACAGAAAACACGACCUACUGUGACAAACACGUAUCAUCACGGAAGUGUAUUUCUUUUGUAGUGGCUCCUCGUACAACUUCUGGAGGUCGAGCACUCGAGCAGGGAGGGGUAGCCCUUCUUCUUUCAUCUCAGCACUCACAAGGGCAGAGCCAGUCAACCAGAAGCACGAGUUGACAUGGAUUCGACUUGUGGGCCGUCAGCCGCACGGCCUACUCACGAUCGACGACUUCCCUAGUGGCUUGCAGGCCCAAACUGGGCCCGUUGAGGGUGUACGCUGAUAUAUGCGUGUGGUGUGUGUUGCGUGAGGACCGGGAAGGGAGUUGGUGGCUUCGGCCAUGGCUAGUGUGUGUCAUGUGUGAGCUCGUGUAAGCAUUCAUGGCGAAUUGGCUAUAGAUCUGACAUCAAUACAAGUUAUACCCUCACAUCUGGCUUCAGAGCCGUUCCAUCCUGGAGAUUCCCCACCACCCACACCGCACCAAGUUCAGCGAAUUACGGCGCCGGCAAGCCAUGGAUGGGCUGUCGGCGGAAGGGUGCAGCAUCCACAAGCUCGUUAAAUCCACCAUCUCCGACGACCUCGAUCAGCGCCUCAAGGUACACAGCGAAGACCUCCUCAAGUCCAUGACCGAAUUGCUCCAAGAUUCGACCAAGACCUUGGACGGUCUCAUCACAGCAUGCGUCGACAGUGUUCACUCUGAUCUCCUUCUCAAAAUCUACCAGAUCCGCUCGGAUUGGGAGUGACGGGACAAGGCCGACUGCAAUGGCCGGAUUGGAGGGCCUUCCUCAUCAAGCAGAGACGCCGAAGAAAGCCAGGAUGCGGUUCCUGCUGAUUCCCAUGGAGCGGACAGGUUUAGUAAGUCCAAGGCUCACAACAUCUACGUCCCACCUCCGGCCAGGAGUGGGCGUGAAUUGCCUUCAGUCUUCCCGAGAGCUCAUCGCACUAGAUCAAGGUGAGUAGUACACUUCAUGGCCGAGAGUCGAGCUGUCGCGGUUAAAUGGCUCAAAUCCCAGGCUGGUGGCAAGCGAGAUGCGAGGACUGCUUCAAGCAAUGGGGCACGCACCACAGCAGAUGAAUAUCAUCCGCCACCACUCAAUUCGAAGGGGCAGCUGCUCACUAGUUGGAGUCUGUGCAGAGGAGAAUAGUGGGGUUAUAGUGGACUGAAUUUUGCAAUUUCCUGCAAUCGAGAUUUGGCCGUAACCAAUACUAGAAUUUGCUGAGGAAGAUGUUCCGAAUUGGUCAGACUAGAUUUGUCGAAGAAUAUGUAGAUCAAUUCUCUAAAUUGUAUGUCCAACUCACUACUUAUGAAAUCAUCCUUGAUCCACUGCAUUAUACCACCAGGUUCAUCGACGGGUUGAAACUAGGAGUCCGCAUGGCCAUUGCAAUGCAAAAACCCAGAGAUCUUGACACUGCGUACGAAUUAGCUCUGCUACACGAAGAAUUGUGAGAAGUAUCAUACCACCAAGCCAGUUCCACGACAAAAAGGAGUCCUGCAUCAUCCGGAUAGUAUGCUUACAAGUCCAAAAAUGCAGAAGAGCGUCGGCCAAUUGACAGUCAAAGGCCAGAAACUACUAAAGAUAAGUGGGUCUCUCUGAGGAAUUUCAGGAAGGCAAAAGGAUUGUGCUUCAUCAGUGGUGAAAAAUGGUCCAAGGACCAUCAGUGCAAGUCUACUGUGCAGCUACAAGUUGUGCAAGAACUCAUUGAGCAAUUACAGAGCCCUGCUACAUCCCUGGAUGAAUCUGAUAGUGAUUCUGACAAUUGGAUGAUGCUCUUAGCAGCUGCUGUAAGCAACAGUGUGUCAAAGUUGUCCUCACCUUACCAGUACUUCUACAAGGUAUUAAGCUAAGGUUUCUAGUUGACUCAGGGAGCACUCAUUCAUUCGUGGACAGUUCUCAUCAACAGAUGUUUCCAACAAUGACUGAAAUUAAGUCGGUUUCUGUCAAGGUUGCAGGAGGAGGGAAGUUGAGCUGUUCACAGCAGGUUAAACACUGCAAGUGGAGUUGUCAGGAAGAAAACUUUGUGCAUGAUUUCAGAGUCCUAACCCUUGGAGGAUAUGAUAGUAUUUUGGGCCUUGAUUGGCUAGCCAAGCAUAGUCCAAUGUACAUGGACUGGGAACAAAAAUGGCUCUCCUUCCAGUAUAAGGGCACUACUGUUACCCUACAAGGGGAAUUUCCUGAAGAGUGUGAAUUCACUGUCAUGGCAAUUUUUCAGAACAUCACUACUAAAAACAGUGAGCAGUUACCUGAGAUACAAGCUUUAUUAGACAAGUAUGCUGAGGUUUUUGCUCCCCCAACUAGUUUACCUCCCAGAAGGCAGUAUGACCACAGUAUUCCCCUGCUACCUGGAGCUCAACCAGUGUCUAUUAGACCAUACAGAAUUCCUCCUCACCUGAAGAUUUAAAUGGAAAAGCAGGUGGCAGAAAUGUUGUAGAGAGGGUUAAUUCAAGUGAGUAAUAGUCCUUUUUCUUCUCCAGCACUACUGGUCAAAAAGAAGGAAGAAGGAGCUUGGAGGUUGGUCAUAGACUUCAGACAUGUCAAUGCACUCACAGUGAAAAGCAAAUACCCUAUUCAUAUUAUUGAUGAGCUACUAGAUGAACUUGCUGGAGAUCAUUGGUUUUCUAAAUUGGACCUCAGAGCAGGAUACCAUCAGACCAGACUUGCAUCAGGAGAAGAGUUUAAAACUACUUUUCAGACACAUAUUGGUCACUAUGAGUUCACUGUUGUGGCCAUGGGGCUGACUGGGGAUCCCAAUACAUUCCAAGGAGCAAUGAACACAGAUCUAGCUCCAUCCUUGAGUGGUGAGGAUCGCUGUGUUGUAUGUUUCUUUGAUGAUAUUCUAGUUUUCAGCAAAUCCCUCAAGGAACAUCUCCUGCAUCUAGACAAGGUAUUGGGUAUUCUACUAGAAAAACAAUGGAACGUAAAACUCAGUAAAUGGGAAAAGCAAGAGAUUGCUUAUCUGGGUCAUGUCAUAAGUGACAAGGGGGUUUCCACUGAUGCCAGUAAAAUUACAGCUGUUAAGAAUUGACCAGUUCCUAUGGAUGUGAAGCAGGUCAGAGGAUUUUUGGGCUUAACUGGAUACUACAGGAAAUUUAUCAAAAACUAUGGUGUGAUUAGCAGACCUCUGACUGACUUGUUGAAAAGGGGGGCUAUAUUUGUGUGGACUCCCACUACUGAUUUAGCCUUCCAGACACCGAAGCAGGCUCUGAUUCAUGCUCCUGUAUUAGCCCUUCCAGAUUACUCCAAGCAGUUUGUGGUGGAAAUAGAUGCAUGUGAAGUUGGCAUUGGGGUUGUUCUUAUGCAGCAGGAUCAUCCAAUUGCAUUUGUCAGCAGGGCCUUGGGUCCUAAGAACAGAGGUCUUCCUGUGUAUGAGAAGGAAUACAUGGCAAUACUACUAGCUAUUGAGAAGUGGAGAUCAUACUUGCAAUUCCAGGAGUUCAUUAUCAAGGCAGAUCAGAAGAGUCUGGUUCACCCGUCUGAUCAAAGAUUGCAUACACCUUGGCAGGAAAAAGCACUCACCAAAAUGAUGGGCCUCAACUAUAAGAUCAUGUAUGAACUAACCGACCUUUGUGCUAUGCUUAGGAUUCGGUCUUGUCCAUCACAUCAUUCUCCUAAUGAUGUGAUCCCGUUAUCAACGACAUCCAAUGUCCAUAGCCAGGAAACCAUGACUAUCUGUUGAUCACAACGAGCUAGUCAACUAGAGGCUCACUAGGGACAUAUUGUGGUCUAUGUAUUCACACGUGUAUUACGAUUUCCGGAUAAUACAGUUAUAGCAUGAAUAAAAGACUAUUAUCAUGAACAAAGAAAUAUAACAAUAACACUUUUAUUAUUGCCUCUAGGGCAUAUUUCCAACAGUCUCCCACUUGCGCUAGAGUCAAUAAUCUAGUUACAUUGUGAUGAAUCGAACACCCAUAGAGUUCUGGUGUUGAUCAUGUUUCGCUCGCGAGAGAGGUUUAGUCAACGGAUCUGCGACAUUCAGAUCCGUAUGUACUUUGCAAAUUUCUAUGUCUCCAUCUUGGACAUUUUCACGGAUGGAGUUGAAAUGACGCUUGAUGUGCCUGGUCUUCUUGUGAAAUCUGGGCUCCUUCGCAAGGGCAAUAGCUCCAGUAUUGUCACAGAAAAGUUUGAUCGGCCCCGACGCACUGGGUAUGACUCCUAGGUCGGUGAUGAACUCCUUCACCCAAAUAGCUUCAUGCGCCGCCUCCGAGGCUGCCAUGUACUCCGCUUCACAUGUAGAUCCCGCCACGACGCUCUGCUUGCAGCUGCACCAGCUUACUGCUCCACCAUUCAACAUAUACACGUAUCCGGUUUGUGACUUAGAGUCAUCCAGAUCUGUGUCGAAGCUAGCGUCGAUGUAACCCUUUACGACGAGCUCUUCGUCACCUCCAUAAACGAGAAACAUGUCCUUUGUCCUUUUUAGGUACUUCAGGAUAUUCUUGACCGUUGUCCAGUGUUCCUUGCCGGGAUUACUUUGGUACCUUCCUACCAAACUUACGGCAAGGUUUACAUCAGGUCUGGUACACAGCAUGACAUACAUAAUAGAUCCUAUGGCUGAAGCAUAGGGGAUGACGCUCAUCUCUUCUUUAUCUUUUGCCGUGGUCGGGCAUUGAGCCGAGCUCAAUCUCACACCUUGCAAUACAGGCAAGAACCCCUUCUUAGACUGAUCCAUUUUGAACUUCUUCAAAAUCUUAUCAAGGUAUGUGCUUUGUGAAAGACCUAUGAGGCGUCUCAAUCUAUUUCUAUAGAUCUUGAUGCCUAAUAUAUAAGCAGCUUCUCCAAGGUCCUUCAUUGAAAAACACUUAUUCAAGUAGGCCUUAAUGCUGUCCAAGAAUUCUAUAUCAUUUCCCAUCAAAAGUAUGUCAUCUACAUAUAAUAUGAGAAAUGCUACAGAGCUCCCACUCACUUUCUUGUAAACGCAGGCUUCUCCAUAAGUCUGCAUAAACCCAAACGCUUUGAUCAUCUCAUCAAAGCGAAUAUUCCAACUCCGAGAUGCUUGCACCAGCCCAUAAAUGGAUCGCUGGAGCUUGCAUACUUUGUUAGCAUUCUUAGGAUCGACAAAACCCUCCGGCUGCAUCAUAUACAGUUCUUCCUUAAGAUGCCCGUUAAGGAAUGCCGUUUUGACGUCCAUCUGCCAUAUCUCAUAAUCAUAGUAUGCGGCAAUUGCUAACAUGAUUCGGACGGACUUAAGCUUCGCUACGGGAGAGAAAGUCUCAUCGUAGUCAAUCCCUUGAACUUGUCGAUAACCCUUAGCGACAAGUCGAGCUUUAUAGAUGGUGACAUUACCAUCCGCGUCCGUCUUCUUCUUAAAGAUCCAUUUGUUUUCUAUCGCUCGCCGAUCAUCGGGCAAGUCAGUCAAUGUCCAUACUUUGUUUUCAUACAUGGAUUCUAUCUCGGAUUUCAAGGCAUCUAGCCAUUUGUUGGAAUCUUGGCCCGCCAUCGCUUCUUCAUAGUUCGAAGGUUCACCGUUGUCUAACAACAUGAUUUCCAGGACAGGGUUGCCGUACCACUCUGGUGCGGAACGUGUCCUUGUGGACCUACGAAGUUUAGUAGCAACUUGAUCCGAAGUACCUUGAUCAUCAUCAUUAUUUUCCUCUUCAGUUGGUGUAGGCAUCACAGGAAUAUCUUCCUGAGCUGCACUACUGUCCCGCUCAAGAGGUAGUACUUCAUCGAGUUCUACUUUCCUCCCACUUACUUCUUUCGAGAGAAACUCUUUUUCCAGAAAGCAUCCGUUCUUGGAAACGAAGAUCUUGCCCUUGGAUCUUAAGUAGAAGGUAUACCCUACAGUUUCCUUAGGGUAUCCUAUGAAGACGCAUUUUUCCGACUUGGGUUCGAGCUUUUCAGGUUGAAGUUUCUUGACAUAAGCAUCGCAUCCCCAAACUUUUAGAAACGACAGCUUAGGUUUCUUCCCAAACCAUAAUUCAUACGAUGUCGUCUUAACGGAUUUAGACGGUGCCCUAUUUAAAGUGAAUGUGGCUGUCUCUAGAGCGUAUCCCCAAAAUGAUAGCGGUAAAUCGGUAAGAGACAUCAUAGACCGCACCAUAUCCAAUAGAGUGCGAUUAUGACGUUCGGACACACCGUUUCGCUGAGGUGUUCCAGGCGGCGUGAGUUGUGAAACGAUUCCACAUUUCCUUAAGUGUGUGCCAAAUUCGUGACUUAAAUAUUCUCCUCCAUGAUCUGGUCGUAGGAACUUUAUCUUUCGGUCACGUUGAUUCUCCACCUCAUUCUGAAAUUCCUUGAACUUUCCAAAGGUCUCAGACUUGUGUUUCAUCAAGUAGACAUACCCAUAUCUACUCAAGUCAUCUGUGAGAGUGAGAACAUAACGAUAUCCUCCGUGAGCCUCAACACUCAUUGGACCGCACACAUCGGUAUGUAUGAUUUCCAACAAGUUGGUUGCUCGCUCCAUUGUUCCGGAGAAUGGAGUCUUGGUCAUCUUGCCCAUGAGGCAUGGUUCGCAUGUGUCAAAUGAUUCAUAAUCAAGAGACUCUAAAAGUCCAUCAGCAUGGAGCUUUUCCAUGCGCUUGACACCAAUGUGACCAAGGCGGCAGUGCCACAAGUAUGUGGGACUAUCAUUAUCAACUUUACAUCUUUUGGCAUCUACACUAUGAACAUGUGUAAUAUUACGCUCGAGAUUCAUUAAGAAUAAACCAUUGACCAUCGGAGCAUGACCAUAAAACAUAUCUCUCAUAUAAAUCGAACAACCAUUAUUCUCAGACUUAAAUGAGUAGCCAUCUCGUAUUAAACGAGAUCCAGAUACAAUGUUCAUGCUCAAACUUGGCACUAAAUAACAAUUAUUAAGGUUCAAAACUAAUCCCGUAGGUAAAUGUAGAGGCAGCGUGCCGACGGCGAUCACAUUGACUCUGGAACCAUUCCCGACGCGCAUUGUCACCUCGUCCUUCGCCAGUCUCCGUUUAUUCCGCAGCUCCUGCUGUGAGUUACAAAUAUGAGCAACGGCACCGGUAUCAAAUACCCAGGAGUUACUACGAGUACUGGUAAGGUACACAUCAAUUACAUGUAUAUCAAAUAUACCUUUGGUGUUGCCGGCCUUCUUAUCCGCUAAGUAUUUGGGGCAGUUCCGCUUCCAGUGACCCUUCCCCUUGCAAUAAAAACACUCAGUCUCAGGCUUGGGUCCAUUCUUUGACUUCUUCCCGGCAACUGGCUUACCGGGUGCGGCAACCUCUUUGCCGUCCUUCUUGAAGUUCUUCUUACCCUUGCCUUUCUUGAACUUAGUGGUCUUAUUGACCAUCAACACUUGAUGUUCUUUCUUGAUUUCAACCUCUGCUGACCUCAGCAUAGAAAAUACUUCAGGAAUGGUCUUUACCAUCCCCUGCAUAUUGUAGUUCAUCACAAAGCUCUUGUAGCUUGGUGGGAGCGACUGAAGGAUUCUGUCAAUGACUGCCUCAUCAGGGAGGUUAAUAUUCAGCUGGGUCAUACGGUUGUGCAACCCAGACAUCUUGAGUAUGUGCUCACUGACAGAACUAUUUUCCUCCAUCUUACAACUAUAGAACUUGUCGGAGAUGUCAUAUCUCUCGACCCGGGUGUGAGCUUGGAAAACUAGUUUCAGCUCUUCGAACAUCUCAUAUGCUCCGUGAUGCUCAAAACGCUUUUGGAGCCCCGGUUCUAAGCUGUAAAGCAUGCCGCACUGAACGAGGGAGUAAUCAUCAGCACGAGACUGCCAAGCAUUCAUAAUGUCUUGGUUCUCUGGGACGGGAGCGUCACCUAGCGGUCCUUCUAGGACAUAUUGUUUCCUGGCAGCUAUGAGGAUGAUCCUUAGGUUCCGGACCCAGUCCGUAUAGUUGCUGCCAUCAUCUUUCAGCUUGGUUUUCUCUAGGAACGCGUUGAAGUUCAUGUUGACAUGAGUGUUGGCCAUUUGAUCUACAAGACAUAUUUGCAAAGGCUUUAGACUAAGUUCAUGAUAAUUAAGUUCUAAUCAAAUUAUGAACUCCCACUCAGAUUACACAUCCCUCUAGUCAUCUAAGUGUUACACGAUCCGAGUCGACUAGCCUGUGUCCGAUCAUCACGUGAGAAGGACUAGUCAUCAUCGGUGAACAUUCUCAUGUUGAUCGUAUCUUCCAUACGACUCGUGUUCGACCUUUCGGUCUCCGUGUUCCGAGGCCAUGUCUGCACAUGCUAGGCUCGUCAAGUUAACCCUAAGUGUUUUCGCUGUGUAAAACUGUCUUACACCCAUUGUAUGUGAACGUAAGAAUCCAUCACACCCGAUCAUCACAUGGUGCUUAGAAGCGACGAACUGUAGCAACAGUGCACAGUUAGGGGAGAACACUUCUUGAAAUUUUGUAAGGGAUCAUCUUAUUUACUACCGUCGUCCUAAGUAAACAAGAUGCAUAAAAAUAAUAAACAUCACAUGCAAUUAUAUAGUUGUGACAUGAUAUGGCCAAUAUCAUAUAGCUCCAUUGAUCUCCAUCUUCGGGGCUCCAUGAUCAUCUUGUCACCGGCUUGACACCAUGAUCUCCAUCAUCAUGAUCUCCAUCAUCGUGUCUUCAUGAAGUUGUCACGCCAACGACUACUUCUACUUCUAUGGCUAACGCGUUUAGCAGUAAAGUAAAGUAGUUUACAUGGCGUUCUUCAAUGACACGCAGGUCAUACAAAAAAUAAAGACAACUCCUAUGGCUCCUGCCGGUUGUCAUACUCAUCGACAUGCAAGUCGUGAAUCCUAUUACAAGAACAUGAUCUCAUACAUCACAAUUCAUCAUUCAUCACAACUUCUGGCCGUAUCACAUCACAUGAUCAAUCGCUGCAAAAACAAGUUAGACGUCCUCUAAUUGUUGUUGCAUCUUUUACGUGGCUGCAAUUGGGUUCUAGCAAGAACGUUUUCUUACCUACGAAUAACCACAACGUGAUUUUGUCAACUUCUAUUUACCCUUCAUAAGGGCCCUUUUCAUCGAAUCCGCUCCAACUAAAGUGGGAGAGACAGACACCCGCCAGCCACCUUAUGCAACUAGUGCAUGUUAAUCGGUGGAACCGGUCUCACGUAAGCGUACGUGUAAGGUUGGUCCGGGCCGCUUCAUCCCACAAUACCGCUGAAGCAAGAAAAGACUAGUAGAGGCAAGCAAGUUGACAAGAUCCACGCCCACAACAAAAUUGUGUUCUACUCGUGCAAAGAGAACUACGCAUAGACCUAGCUCAUGAUGCCACUGUUGGGGAACGUUGCAGAAAAUAAAAAUUUUUCCUACGGUUUCACCAAGAUCCAUCUAUGAGUUCAUCUAAGCAACGAGUCAAGGGGAAGAGUUUGCAUCUACAUACCACUUGUAGAUCGAGUGCGGAAGCGUUCAAGGGAAUGGUGAUGAUGGAGCCGUACUCGUCGUGAUUCGGAUCACCGAUGACCAAGUGCUGAACGGACAGCACCUCCGCGUUCAACACACGUACGGGACGGUCGACGUCUCCUUCGUCUUGAUCCAGCAAGGAGGAAGGAGAGGUUGAGGAAGGUAGCUCCAAGGGCAGCACGACGGCGUGGUGCAGUUGGUGCAGCAGUAUUCCGACAGAGCUUCGCCGAGCACGUACGGAGGAGGAGAGGUGUUGGGGAGGGGAGGGGCUGCGCCUUGAGUUGUGUUGUUGCAGCCCUCCCCUCACCCCUCUAUAUAUAGGAGGAGAGGGGCAAGGGGGNNNNNNNNNNNNNNNNNNNNNNNNNNNNNNNNNNNNNNNNNNNNNNNNNNNNNNNNNNNNNNNNNNNNNNNNNNNNNNNNNNNNNNNNNNNNNNNNNNNNNNNNNNNNNNNNNNNNNNNNNNNNNNNNNNNNNNNNNNNNNNNNNNNNNNNNNNNNNNNNNNNNNNNNNNNNNNNNNNNNNNNNNNNNNNNNNNNNNNNNNNNNNNNNNNNNNNNNNNNNNNNNNNNNNNNNNNNNNNNNNNNNNNNNNNNNNNNNNNNNNNNNNNNNNNNNNNNNNNNNNNNNNCCUAGGCGCAUGGGCCCAAGGGGGGGGCGCCAAGCCCACCAGGGGCUGGCUGCUAUCCCUACGCAGCCCAAGUGGCCCCCCGGGAGGGGUGGUCCCUCCCGGUGGACCCCCGGAACCUUUCCGGUGCCCGUUUAACAACUUCCCAUAUAUAAAACUUUACCUCCGGACCAUUCUGGGACUCCUCGUGACGUCCGGGAUCUCAUCCGGGACUCCGAACAACAUUAGGUAAUCACAUACUUGUCUUCCUGAUAACCCUAGCGUCACCGAACCUUAAGUGUGUAGACCCUACGGGUUCGGGAGACAUGCAGACAUGACCGAGACUCUCCGGUCAAUAACCAACAGCGGGAUCUGGAUACCCAUGUUGGCUCCCACAUGCUCCUCGAUGAUGUCAUCGGAUGAACCACGAUGUCGAGGAUUCGAUCAAACCCCGUAUACAAUUCCCUUUGUCAAUCGGUACGUUACUUGCCCGAGACCCGAUCGUCGGUAUCCCAAUACCUUGUUCAGUCUCGUUACCGGCAAGUCACUUUACUCGUACCGUAAUGCAUGAUCCCGUGACCAAACACUUGGUCACCUUGAGCUCAUUAUGAUGAUGCAUUACUGAGUGGGCCCAGAGAUACCUCUCCGUCAUACGGAGUGACAAAUCCUAGUCUCGAUCCGUGUCAACCCAACAGACACUUUCGGAGAUACCUGUAAUGCACCUUUAUAAUCACCCAGUUACGUUGUGACGUUUGGUACACCCAAAGCACUCUUACGGUAUCCAGGAUUUACACGAUCUCAUGGUCUAAGGAAGAGAUACUUGACAUUGGAAAAGCUCUAGCAAACGAACUAACCGACCUUUGUGCUAUGCUUAGGAUUGGGUCUUGUCCAUCACAUCAUUCUCCUAAUGAUGUGAUCCCGUUAUCAACGACAUCCAAUGUCCAUAGCCAGGAAACCAUGACUAUCUGUUGAUCACAACGAGCUAGUCAACUAGAGGCUCACUAGGGAGAUAUUAUGGUCUAUGUAUUCACACGUGUAUUACGAUUUCCGGAUAAUACAGUUAUAGCAUGAAUAAAAGACUAUUAUCAUGAACAAAGAAAUAUAAUAAUAACACUUUUAUUAUUGCCUCUAGGGCAUAUUUCCAACAGCAGGAUCAUCCAAUUGCAUUUGUCAGCAGGGCCUUGGGUGCUAAGAACAGAGGUCUUUCUGUGUAUGAGAAGGAAUACAUGGCAAUACUACUAGCUAUUGAGCAGUGGAGACCAUACUUGCAAUUCCAGGAGUUCAUUAUCAAGACAGAUCAUAAGAGUCUGGUUCACCCAUCUGAUCAAAGAUUGCAUACACCUUGGCAGGAAAAGCACUCACCAAAAUGAUGGGCCUCAACUAUAAGAUCAUGUAUAAAAAGGGAUCUAACAAUUCAGCAGUAGAUGCUCUUUCUAGAAGGCCUCAUGCAAAUUCUCAACUCCUAACAAUAUCAUAUGCUCAGCCCAGUUGGCUUGGUGAAGUUGUCAAGAGUUACUCAAAUGAUCCAAAAGCACAAGAGUUACUGUGCCAACUGACCCUACAACCAGGCUCCAAGGAUAAAUUUCAGCUAGUUAAUGGGAUAAUAAGGUACAAGGGCUGCAUCUGGGUGGGAAAUGAUAGUACAUUGCAUAUAAAAAUUUGCCAACCCUUCCAUGACACACGCCUAGGAGGGCACUCAGGUUUCCCAGUUACUUAUAAGAGAAUUCGUGCUCUUUUUAAGUGGGUUGGCAUGAAGAAAGUUGUUCAGCAGUUUGAGCAAUCUUGCUUAGUGUGUCAGCAAGCGACACCUGAGAGAGUGGCUUACCUUCGACUGCUAUCCCCAUUACCAGUUCCUACCAAGGCUUGGGCAACUGUAACAAUGGGCUUUAUCUCAGGUUUACCUCCCUCGGGUCAGUUUGACUGCAUUAUGGUCAUCAUCGACAAAUUUACAAAAUAUGGCCACUUUGUUCCUGUCAAACACCCCUACACGUCUUAGAAAAUUGUUGUUCUUUUCCUGGACAGUGUCUAUAAGCUUCAUGGCAUGCCUCUGUACAUUGUGUCAGAUCGGGAUCAUAUCUUUACCAGCAAUUUUUGGCAAGCAUUGGUUAAGAAAACUGGGAUUGUUCUUAACAUGAGCACUGCAUAUCAUAUGGAGACUGAUGGCCAAACCGAAUGAGUGAAUCAACAGGUUGAGUGUUUCCUAAGAUGCUUUAUCAGUGACCACCCGAAUGGUCCAAAUGGCUUUCUCUAUGCGAGUUCUGGUACAAUACAAACUGACAUUCAACUCUGAACAAAUCACCAUUUGAAGUUCUUUAUGGGCAUAGCCCCAGGUAUUUUGGGAUAUCAGUUUCAAAUAUAGUUGCUCCGGUUGAUUUGCAGCAAUGGUUGGAAGCCAGGGAAGUUGUGCAACAGUCAGUUUGUCAACACCUGUUGCGUGUGCAACGAUGAAUGAAACACCAGGCCAACAAGCAUCGCACAGAGAAGACAUUUGAAGUGGGUGACAGGGUGUUCCUCAAGCUCAAGCCAUAUGUGCAAUCGUCAGUGGCGCACAGGGCAAAUCACAAACUUGCAUUCAAUUACUUUUGGCCUUUCCCCAUUCUGGAGAAAAUUGGCGAGGUGGCUUACCGACUGCAAUUGCCAGCAGCUAGCCGUAUCCACCCGGCCUUUCAUGUUUUGCAGCUGAAGCGCUUCGUGCAACCACAUUACGAGGUAAUUGUCUCACUUCCUUGUGCCGAUGCUCACCUCCAAAUCCCUGUUAAGAUCCUGCAGGAGCGCAUUCGCCGCUCGGACAAUCAUUCCGUGGCUCAAGCCUUGAUGCAGUGGAGUGGUGGAGAUGCAUCUACAGCAACCUGGAAGGACAAGGACUCGCUUCGCCAGUUGUUUCCGCAAGCCCCGGCUUGGGGUUAAGCCGGUUCUAAAAGAGAGGGGGAUGUCAACGCUCACAAGGGCAGAGCCAGUCAACCAGAAGCACGAGUUGACGUGGAUUCGACUCAUGGGCUGUCAGCCGCACGGCCCACUCGCGAUCGACAACUUCCCCAGUGGCUUGCAGGCCCAAACUGGGACCGUUGAGGGUGUACGCCGAUAUAUGCGUUGUGUGUGUGUGUGUUGCGUGAGGAUUGGGAACGGAGUUGGUGGCUUCAGCCAUGGCUAGUGUGCGGCGUGCGUGAGCUCGUGUAAGCAUUUAUGGCGAAUUGGCUAUAGAUUGAGAUCAAUACAAGUUAUACCCUCACAUUCCGGAGGACAGAAUGAAACAUCCCCACCGGAAUAGCAGAUAGUGCAACAAGACGAUGGACGUGUGACGCCCCAAGACCGACGCUCCAGAAGACUUAUAGCUGGUCCAUGUUUCUCGUUGUCGCCGUGUGUUUUGUUUUGUUUGUUGCAUUCAUCAUUGCAUCAUGUCAUCAUGCAACCCUUUUUAAACCUCAGCUAAAUAAAUUGCAUAGAUCAUCGAUCUAUUUAAAUCGAGGGAAUUUACAUGGUGAUUUCUCUUUAGAACAUAUACUCCCAAUAUUAUUAGGGAGCUAUAAUAAAUAUUCCAUUAACUGGAAAUCACCCAUAACACAUUUACAUUAUUCUUCAACUCUUCUUUUAUCCGACUCAACUUUCUAUCCUUCCUUUUCGACGUUUUAGUAAAAUUGAGUUGCAAUUUUACUUCUCCAUAAAUGUUGCAAAUCUGCCCAUAAAUCACAUCUGGUGUGUAGGGUCACCCCCCUAUAAUUCCAACCCAUUUGGAGUUCAUUCGAAUGGGUUUUGAAAUUCAAACUUGUCUGAGUUAAAUCCAACAGGUGUGGAUAUUAUUUCCUCUAAAAAUCCUCAAUCUAUUUUUUUCAAAUUCUUCACAUUUUUGUGAGUCUGGGAAAAUAAUCCCCAUGCCCAAAUUCUAUCUCUACCUUCAUUUCUUCUUUUUUUUUCUUUGACAUUUUUCUGUUUUUGGGAGAGAGAAGAAGGAGAGCAGCCGCAGCUCAGCCUGCUCCCAGCAGCCGUCUCAGGCCACCGCGGCCUCCCGUAGCCCACCACCCAGGCCUAGGCCUAGUCGGCGCCCCUUUCUAACCUAACCCUCACCCGAUCCCCUUGUUAUCUCCCUCUCAAAUCCCCUCAUCCUCCUCCUUGCGCCGCCGCGAGGGCUUCUUGCCCGACCCCGUGCCACCUCGUCCCCGUAGCUCUUCAGCUCGCAGCCGCCGGCGAGCCCCGUCCACCACGCGCUACCCCGAGCCUCUUGCCAUCACUCUCCACCCCGCGCGCGACCAGCGCCGUCCUAUCCGCGCCGCCCCGUCCAGUUCCUCGUCGGUGACCCCCCGCUCCGGAUCCGCCUCCCAGGACCACGACCAGUGCCGCGGCUCCACGCCGUCUUCCGCAUCCCCGGCCUCCUCGUCGCCGUUUCGCCCGUCCCCGGCCACCGGUGCCCUCGCCGGAGCUCCCGCAAGCCGUCCCUGCCGCGCCCGACCUGUCCCUCGCCUCGCUGUUGCCCUGCUCCAGCGCCGCCUACCGACCUCCUCUGCUCCAGUCGUGGGCACCUCCUGCCUGAGAACCACCUUCGGCCACGCCAUGGUUCUCCUGCACCAGCUCUGUUCGACAAGGACGUCGCCCCGCUUCCUUCUCUUGCCGCGACCCAGAUCCCCCUCCUCACGCCUCGGGUCACCUCGCCACCCCAUCACCCAUCUUGUGCCCGCGUCCGUGUAGCACCAUCUCUGCUGCCCCCACGCACCUCCAAUGACCUCCCGAGGCAGGGCCAAGUACCACUACCAUCGCGUUUCGUUUCUUCAUCGUCAAGUACCAGGACGUCAGGACCCGUCAGGUUUAUCUACGUGCAUGUAUGACUAUCUUCGCCAUAGACCCGUGUACGAUUACGCAACGAACUGUGGAGUUACACGAGCUACCAGUACCGCGACGACCCCGGAGACUGUAUUCUGUCAAGUUCCUACAAUAUGUGUACAACUACUUCCACAACAUGUCGUGUAUGACUACCGUUGCUCAGAUUCGACAAGACAACAUGUACCACUACCGUUGCCAAGUUCGACUGCCGCACGGUUACGCCAAGUUCAUCUAUGAAACAUGUACAACUACUUCCACUAUCGUCGCGAGAACGACUACUUCUACUACGGCCGGUAUACCACUACUUCCCUCGACGAACUCGAACCGCUCCGAAAAAGCACACUACAAAGGUAUAACCACGAGACGAUCACGCGUGGACCGAAUGCACGUGUGUUGUAUCAGGUGCUCAUGUUUGCAGCAUGUCCGAGUUGAUCCUUGCACGUUCCUCCUCGUUUGCCAUGCCGUCGACCCGUGGGAACCCGGUAAUCCGGGAUCACCCCGCCAUCUUUUGCAUGCUCACGCCCACACUUUCUUUUGCACCGGUAUCUCAACGACUUGCUGGAUCAUCGGAAUGUUGCCGUGGCACCAUUUCCGUUUUCAUUGCCGUGGCACCCCUUUUGUUCCGCCAUGGUGACAAAUGCUUCAUAUCUUAUAUUAUGUCAACAUUUUUAUAAAAAAUGCAUAAAACUUGAAUAUGUCAUCCGCGUCAUGAUAACAACAUUUAAAAUGUUUAAAGUUGUUGUUGCAUUAAAUUGCUAAAUAACAUAUGGGGAUUUUUCAGAAUUGUUGUUUGUUGUUUCCGGCAUCAUUUAAACUUGCCUAAAUAGGUGGUUUGCUCAUGUUUCACCUCUUUCCAUGUUAACCAACAUUUAAACUUGUCUUAUUCAUAAACGAGAGAGAACUAAAUAAUUGGAUGUGGUGUUUCGUCAAUAUGCAACUCGUUAUAUAUUGAGCUCCACUUAAAUUGUAGUGUUGUUUGUGCACUAUGCCAUGUCAUGCACAUUUAAACCGGACAUGCAUCAUACUUGAAUGUGCAUCAUGCCAUGUUAUGUGAUGAUUGUUUACCAUAUUGUUUGCUUCUUUCCGGUGUUGUUUCUUAGUUCCGGUAACGUUGCGGAUUGUGAGGAUUCGUUCGACUACGUCCGUUUGUCUUCUUCUUGGACUCGUUCUUCUUUUUUGCGGGAUCUCAAGCAAGAUGAUCAUUACCCUCGAUAUCACUUCUAUCUUUGCUUGCUAGUUGCUUCUUUCUAUCGCUAUGCCGGUUGAAGUUUUCAUGAGCAUAAGACAAUUGCAAGUCCCAGUUUGCUACAAGCAUGACAACCCGACACUUGGGGGUACAUGUGAUAUGCAUAUAAGGGAGGAAUAACUUCAAAUUCUCAGUUUUGAGCAAAUCAGGUAUUAUAUUAUUAUCAGAGAAAUCUGCAAAGUUUAUGACCCGGCGUCAUCAUAAGAUUAACCUGGCAUCAGCAACAAUUACAUGACCCGACAUCAUUUAUUUAUAACUCGGCAAAUUUGGUAAUCAUAAGUCGGCAAGAUUUACAUCUCUAAGCCGGCUGAAUAUCAAUUCAAUAUUUCAAAGACUAAUGUUUUUUCAAGUCAGAGCAUUGAAGGCCGACUCAAAUGGAUUAUUUCUUAUAAUAUUUCUCUACAAGAGCCAAUGUCAGCAAAUUGGUUAUGAAGCUAGCCUAUUGACCCCGAUUUUUUAGAAGAAGUGCCUGGAUUUUUUUGCAUUGGCAAGGUUUGGAAAUAUCUGUUAAAGGAUAUUUGUUAUAAGAUCUUGAGUAUGCAUCCAGGAGGAAAUGACAAGGACUUAAAGAUGAUCAGGUGCCGGUUCAAGAAAAUAUUUAACCCAGAGCACAGCCUAUCAAGUUUGUUCUUGUGUUUAUUUUAUAGGAUCAGUUUAACAUGGAUAAAUCCAAAUUAAACCGGGGGCUAAUGUCAGGGAUAUACCCCGCGGUAUGACCCGGCCGGGCUGGGCGUUUUCAUUGGUAACCUGCCGGAGUGGCGACUCACGAGCCCGGCGAUUCACGGAUGGCCCUGACGGCGGCUCAGAUAGAAGACAAGGCCCAAGGCCCAGAAGGCCGGCUCAUGCUAUGGUGGGCCGGCUUAAGAGAAAAGGCAUAGGGAAUAUUAUCCUACAAAGGAAGCAAGACUAGGACUCCACUUGUAAUAGAGUAAUCCUAGUCCUACUUGGACUAGUCAUGUAACCCGCCCCUUCAACUUAUAUAAGGAGGGGCAGGGCUCCCCAAAGAGGACAAGCAAGAAGAAACAAUCUCUAGGGAUAGACACAAGAGCCGGCUUACCGGCGACUCCCUCAUGAUCAUAAUGAGACCUAGCCACAAACAGCAUUUAGGGUUAUUACCGGAUGAUGUUUCCCGGGGCCCGAAGCUGUCUAAAUCCUUGUCUUGUGUGUUGAUUGCAUCGCGUCUCUCGAUUCCGACCAACACCUUCAAGCUACUGCAUAGAUGCGUUGGCCUCACGACUAAGUCCUCACACUAAGGAGAUCUAACGUGACAAUUCCACGGCACCAUCACUUGUUUACCAUGCCUCCCUUAUUGCCAUGUCAAGCCUCUAACCCACCUUCCUAGUAAACCGUUGUUUGGCUAAAUUCCCGCUUUUGGUCAGCCUCUCUUAUAGCGUUGUUAGUUGCAGGUGAAGUUGAAGAUUGCUCCAUGUUGGAACAUGAUUAUGUUGGGAUAUCACAGUAUCUCUUAUUUUUAAUUAAUGCAUCUAUAUAUUUGGUAAAGGGUGGAAGGCUCAGCCUUAUGCCUGGUGUUUUGUUCCACUCUUGCCGCCUUAGUUUCCGUCAUACCAGUGUUAUGUUCCUUGAUUUUGCGUUCCUUACGCGGUCGGGUUUAUGGGAACCCCCUGACAGUUCGCCUUGAAUAAAACUCCUCCAAGAAGGCCCAACAUUGGUUUUCCAUUUGCCUAACAACCUACAACCCUCCCUUGGGGUCUGUAGCCCCGAGGGUCAUCUUUAUUUUAACCCCCCCCCCCCNNNNNNNNNNNNNNNNNNNNNNNNNNNNNNNNNNNNNNNNNNNNNNNNNNNNNNNNNNNNNNNNNNNNNNNNNNNNNNNNNNNNNNNNNNNNNNNNNNNNNNNNNNNNNNNNNNNNNNNNNNNNNNNNNNNNNNNNNNNNNNNNNNNNNNNNNNNNNNNNNNNNNNNNNNNNNNNNNNNNNNNNNNNNNNNNNNNNNNNNNNNNNNNNNNNNNNNNNNNNNNNNNNNNNNNNNNNNNNNNCUCUAAUUGUUGGUCCGAACUAGAGACACUUGCAGCGCCACCUCGGGGAAACUUGAGGGAUGGUUUUUAGCUGUACGUAGUGUUCAUCCGGUGCGCCCUGAGAACAAGAUAUGUGCAGCUCCUAUCAAGAUUUGUUGGCACAUCUGGGCGGUCUUGCUGGUCUUGUUUUACCAUUACCGAAACGUCUUGUAACCGGGAUUCCGAGACUGAUCGGGUCUUUCUGGGAGAUGGAACAUCCUUCGUUAAUCGUGAGAGCUUGUGAUGGGCUAAGUUGGGACACCCUUGCGGGGUAUAAACUUUCGAGAGCCGUGCUCGCGGUUAUGUGGCAGACGGGAAUUUGUUAAUAUCCGGUUGUAGAGAACUUGACAUUUGACUUAAUUAAAAUGCAUUAACCGCGUGUGUAGCCGUGAUGGUCUCUUUUCGGCGGAGUCCGGGAAGUGAACACGGUUUGGGUUAUGUUUGAACGUAAGUAGUCUUCAGGAUCACUUCUUGAUCACUUCUAGGUGACGACCGUUGCGUACCUUCUCUUCCUACUCUUGUACUCACCUGUUAGCCACCAUAUUUUUCUUAUCAAUUGCUGCAACCCCAUCUCAUUACCACAUCCUACCCAUAAGCUUAAAUAGUCUUGAUCUUGCGGGUUUGAGAUGGCCGAGUCCUCGUGACUCACAGAUACUACCAAAACAGUUGCAUGUGCCGAUGAUAUCAGUGUAGGUGAUGCAACUGAGCUCAGUUGGGAUUUUGACGAAGUCCUUGGCAGUUACUAUGUUUUGUUUCCUGAUGAUCAGUAGUGGAGCCCAGUUGGGACGAGCGGGGAUCUAGCAUUUGGGGUUAUCUUCUUUUCAGUUGGAUUUGUCCGUAGCCGGACUAUGUGUGUACUCUGAAUGUUGUAUGUUUUAUUGAAGUACUUGUGUGAAGUAACGAUUGUAAGCCAACUCUUUAUCCCUUUCUUGUUCAUUACAUGGGAUUGUGUGAAGAUGACCCUUCUUGCGAAACAACCACAAUGCGGUUAUUCCUCGUGCCUCAACACGUGGGAGUUAUAGCCGCAUCGUGGGCGUUAUAGGACGCUUGCCUGUUGUGCCCGCACUCUAACACUAGAUGCACGGGUUCGCCGCACACUUGUCCUAUGUGGGUUGCCGGGACAUCAAGUAAGCCAAGACGUACUUCUUCCACAACGCUAUUGUGGUUUGUGUUGCACAAGCGGGUAGUGCGCCGCGGCAGGCCGCGCUUUGCUGGUAGUUUCGAGAUGUGUUGAUUUUUGUAUUUUGCAUAAACUUCUACAUGUAAAAAUAGUUAGAUAUUAGAGGCAAUACACCAUGCAGGUGGAUCAUUAAUUCAAGACCGUCUUACCACAAGAUUAGACGAUGGAACCAUGAACUUAAAAACUGUUAUGAAAUAUAGUGACCAAAGCAUGGACACAAUUUAUUAUCACUGUAGAGGGUGGCCAUCACUAUGCAUUAUUAACACGAAGUUAUUAUCUCUGAAAAAAUCUCAUGGAAAAGAAUAGAACAGUGGUAGAGAUUUCUAUAGAGCAUAGUCCUGCUUAAGAAUGUUGAACAAUCUGUCCUAUUUUUGCUUGAGCUUGGAAGAAUAAGACAUUCAAUAUAAUGAAUUUUAAACGAUACAAAAAUGUGGAUCAAAGUGAACUUUGAAAAAAAACUUAAUCUCUCCUACUACUAAAUGUAUACAUUGAUUUUUUUUCCUCACAAUUUUUUUACCCUCAGCUUCAUUCGAGCUAACAACUCAUAUAUUUUAUCAGUGCAGUUGUAAGAAAACAUAAAAGAGUUAUAAUUUUUUGCUUCCUCUAACCAGGUCCACAAUAAUCAAGCUACAAAUUACUGGAUGAAGUAAGUGGGAUGACCGGUAAAGUAAUUUGGAACCAAAGCAUGAUAAUAAGCAAAUUAUCAUCAUCCUAUAGAUAACAAUCAGAUAAAACAGAAGGAGCUGCAUGAAGCAAUUUUGAGUCAAGACUGUUUGCAGCAAGUUCUAUUACUGAUCCUUGAAUAACAGAACAAUACAAUAAUAAAGUGUACAUUUGUCAGACCCAUCACUGCUCACACGUGUGCACCUGCACUUGGGACCACAACGGUGCGGUGCACUAAAAAGUCUGAGAUCCACUCUCUUUCUCUCUAGCUUUCUCAAAUCUCCCUGCUCAUUCCCCACCUCCACCAUUCCCCCAUCUCCCUAGUGCAUUUGUUGCUCUCGUCGCCGGCUCUCGCUGCCCCAGCGUGGCUCAUCCGUCUCCUCUCCACUGGAAGUAGAAAUCGAGUGCUCCUCGCCCGCACAACACGCAUUGGCGAGGCACCUCCUCCGCCGGCUCCUCGCCUGCACAGCACGCAUCGGUGAGGAAUCGAUGCCACUCAAAGCAGUGGGCGGUCUGGAAAGGGAGAAACCGGCGGAGGAGGGAGGAUCUCGAAAGAGUAGGAGGAAGCGAGGCUGCGAGAGAGGCAGGGGAGAAGAGGAAGCGGCGGGGUAGGGUGUGGCGGUGGCAAAAGCUGCGGCAUGCUCGUCAUUGGGCAUUGAUGGCGGCAAGAGCUAGCUAGGCACGACAAGUCCUGAUGAGGUUCACCGUCCACGCGAUUCAUAUCCUCCAGUAUGGUCUCGUCGAUUGAUUCUCUCCUCUCGGGUACCUACUCACCCGACUGCUAAAUCUCCAUCUGUCUAAUUCACCUUUUCUGCUAACUGCAAGUCUCACACCAUGUCAGCGCAACCCGCGGUUCGACAUGGGACUUCGUUUGCUUCAUCUAGAACUUCUGCAUCAUGAGCCUCGCAAAGAUGGCCGCCAUGCUCUUUCUUCCUCUGUCUAGGUAAGCUACAUGAACAGUUUUAGUCGUGAAGCAAGUACACACUUGACUAUAGAAAAUACAUCAUUUUUUCUUCAGUCCACAACGCCAAAAGAAAAUACAGCGAUAAAUGCCAGCAAUUAAUCUUAUGUUAGUUAAUAACAAUGCAUAAGCCUGAAAUUAUCUUCAGUGUCUUAAAUCAAUAGUACAGGAGCACUAUGUAAAUUACUGGAAUAUAUUGAAACAUACCAGGCCUUGUUAUAUCAACAACAGGGACAUACAUAGGUGUUUCUAAAUUCAAUAAUCACUAAAGCAGAUCAGCGUUGCUCGUACUCUUAAAUUAAGAAUACAUACUACCUAUUUAGAUUCUACCUUUGAGCAGCAUAUAAGGAGUGCAAAUAUUAGCAUGAACCCAGAACUCGCUCAAAAUUACAACACAGCUUAACUGAGCAAAAUCAAAUGGCAGAGGAAGAUAUAAUAUGUACAUAUAAAAUUCCUAUUAUGGGCAUCUGCAAAGGCAGAAGAUCAAUACCCACACAUGAUGGUACUGAAACAAAUUCAUGUAACAUCGUCCAAGAAUGUUAGCUUAAGCAUACCAUGAUAAUCACAAAUCUAACGGUCGUUGGCUCUGGUCCAAUAUCGACACCUGCAAUUGCAGAAGAUCAAUUCUCACAGAUGAUGGUACUGAAACAAAUUGGCAAACGAAAGAAAAUACAUGUUGCAUGUACAUAAGCUGGGGAUAGUUUGUUCUCCAGGAGAUGCUUGACAAAAGUUGUUUUCCCCAUACUUUGUACUAAACUAGCGGGGUCGCCCGCGCAUUUGCACGGCUAGAUUAUUGAUUUUGUUGUGAAAAUAGUUGAAGUCCACUUAUUUUUAAUGCUAACAAUAUAUAUUAUAAUUCUAAUGGCCUUAUAAGUGAAACUUUGUAUCAUGCUUUUGGAAUAUUGGUGAUUUAUUGCUCCAAAUAAAUUCAAAUUUUAACAAAAGAAUUAGAGUAUCGCCUAAAAUAACGUACCCAAUUUGGAAUCAAAAUGCAAAAAUAUUGCAAUUAAAGCGUUUUUGUAGCCAUAUAAUAGUUGCGGGACAUGUGUGCCAUGGGGGUUGGCGUGAAGUUCCAUUGAGGAACUUGGACUCUAGGCCACGUGCAGCCGCUAGGCCACCUAAUCUCCUAUGGGUAGGUCAAUUAUCUCUUCCCUGCCACCUUAACCUCUCUUUCAUUCUUCCAUGUUCGCCUCUCUUGCAACUCUCACUCAUUGUACAACCAUUGAUUCUAUUUCUCUUUAGCUUCUCAAGCUUCACCGUGGCCCCCUUUAGACCGAGGUGACACUUAUAUUGAUAGCAAUAACUCCUGAUCGAGCACCGCUGUUGGGUGGUAGUUAGCUUUGAUGGUUUCACAUACAAAAUGUCAAAACUCAUUUGUCAAAUAAAAGAAGUUGUAGCCGGUGUCUAAAUCGUGAAAAAGUAUUAUGGACUCAAGUAUAUUUGUUUUAUCAUGUGUAGUAAGAUGUUAGCAAAGCAUUUCGUAUGUGACAACUAAAAACCAUAUUUGGGUUCACUUUUGGCACGCCAAACUAUAUAGUGGUGUCUGUCUUUUAUCCACAAUUUUAAGAAACAUCCCAACAAAACAUAAUACUUAACUCUGAUGUCUAGAAUAUCUUCCAACUAAUGUAUGUUGCUUAGCCAUCUAAGACAAUAUAAACUUAUUUGCAUAUAUUUGAAAAAAAAAAUCCAGAACUAACCUCACCUGCUAAAUAUUGCCUAAUCUAUGUAGCUGGCCAUUUUUCUUUAUUUUUAUCGUAGUACGGUUAUUUAUUUUCCUCAUAAAAGUUAUUAGCUUCUUUUAUCAUGGCAUUGCACACACUACAUUUGGUGACAGCGAGCUGGGUAGCCCUCGCAAUGAUGUGGCUAGAUUGUCUAAUAUAGAGACUAAAACAAAAUCAUAAAAUGUAUAGUACAAACAAUUUAGAGAAAUAUGAUUGUGUACUUUCGGACAAAGGUAUUUCCAUUUUAGUGCAUGGAUUGUAGCCAAGGACAUUUCUAAGUUAAAGCAAAGGAUAAAUGCUACAUUGAUGUGUGUCGCCCUUGAAACCAUAUACUGGAUUAUGCCUUUGUCUCAUCCAGUCCGCAUCCAUGGGCUAUGGAUUUCACAUUGAGUUUCUUAAAGACAUGCACUAUUUAUCCAACAAAUAAGUCACUCCAGAACAAACAAAAAAAUAUUUUUAGGAAAAUUAUAAGGAAAUUCUCCAAUGCAUAUAUUUGAACUAAAUAUAGUUCAUGAGGAUUUUUAGUGCAUGUGCCCAGUUUUUGCAGCAAAAACAUGGGUUACCCUCCCGUAAUUGGAGACAUCUUCUUUUUAUCCAUAUAAACACCUUAUACAUCUUUUCCUUCUAGUCCAUCAGGAGAAUGAUAUUUUUUGGAAGUGCACCUAUAAUGCGUGAGAUCAUGUACCAAGAAUACACCACGCGGGAAAUCAUUUUGUUACUGUUUUAUUUACCAACUGUUUGCCCUCGUGUCAACGAUUGUGGUAUUUAGCUUUCCACGACAUUAGCAUUGGUACGUUGACCACUGUUAGUUAGAAAGAGAAAAAUACACUAGAACAUCUUGCAGAAAGUAGGCCAAUUAUUUGGUGGACCAUAUAAAAAUUUACAAUUUGGACCGACCAGAGAAAAGGAAAAAUGCUAGAAAAUAUCAUAAGAGCCAAAUAUGAGGAAAUUAGUUUGCUAACGUAAAUGCAUAUACCCCCGCAAAAAACCAUGUCGCAUAAACACAUGCAUAAAUGAUAUAUAUGUUGCCAAGAUGGUAUCUCCCCAUGUUGUAGAUGCUACACAUGAAGGAUCAAUUAGCUUUCGUGCGUAUCAAGAGAUAGAUCAAUGAGCGCACCUGUUCACAUGUAAAUGCAUGCGUACGUGUGUGUUUUUGCUGUGAACGCCCGAAGCUGCUUGAGUCGACGUGAAUGCGCCGCCAUAACCGCGAGUCAGCGACAACUCUGCCACGCCAUUGCGUUUCUGUCCUGUGACAUGCGCCUCUGCCGCUGCCAUCGGCCGUCGCCCCUGCUGCCGCUGCCGUCGCUGCUACUGUGUAGGCUAGCUUCUACGAUCAUACAUCGAUGCGGCCAGUAGCUAUUCAUCUUCGUCCGCAUACCGGCUAAUUGCACAAUUAUAUACGUCUUUGAUUGUUGUUAUAAAUCGUACACCACCGCUUGCUGCAUGGCAGCAGCCUCCACGGCGGUGCACCGGCGAGAUCGUGCGGACCAUGAGGAGGUCAUGGGCCUUGGCUGAACCCAGGUACGCAGUCAAUCAGAGAAUAUCAAAUUAUUUUGCCUUCCCCAAGUCAUAAUAGAUUGCGUGUGCCUGUACGAGCAUGUCGUUUCCUUUCCAAAUUCCGUUUCCUUUCCAUGUAAAUCUUUUUUCUUGUCUACUCAUUUCAAAUUACGUUUCCUUUCCAUGUAAAUCUUUUUUUCUUUUCUUUUUAGCACCCUGUCCUAUCCAUCACGUUUGGCUGCGGUUGGACAUACUUUUGUACAUGUCGUUAUUACUUGCCUAUUGCUAGUUUUUUUUACGUGUAUUACAUGAGGAAAUCUUGAUCGUUGAUACAUCUUAAUAUUAGAGUGUCAAAUCAGCACUGUUCGUUUUCUAUCGUUUUAUAAGUAUAUAGUAGAUGAUAGAUUUCAGACAAAAUCUGCCCUGCUGCUCAAGAAUGUAAAGCCAUGUCAUUCAACUUGUUGUCAAUUGAUCCUACUGGUAAAUACAAAUACAUGUCACUUAAAAAGAUUAUGCCAUUAUAGUUUUCUGAAACAAGAAUACGCCAUAAUAGCAUAGUGCCAGAAUUAUUUCAGUCGCUAUACAGUUUGAUGCGAUUCACAUGCAUGAUAUUUUAAUGAGUAGGCAAAUCGAAAUAUAAGGCAAGUAGAAGAAAGAGGAACCAGGAGUGGUGAUGUUGUGCUCAUCUAUACCGUCGCUUGUGAGCUAUGCAGUGGCAGCUGCCCUACAGAGAGGAAUGGUUGUGGCCCGGGAACAUGGCGCCUCAAAAGCAAUGUUAUAUGCUGUUGAGAAAGGGCGCCUCUGAUGGUCGCGCUGCGUCACCAUGUCAUCGCCAGUGCCGACAAUGGGCCAACGCCGGGAGGGAGGUGGCACACCGCCGCAGGAGAGCGGAGUAGAGCACGGGACAACGUGAGGAGGGGGGCAACUUACCAAACCUCCCGCCAUGGUCACCCUCGAUUGGAUCCACCAUCCUGCACAUGUCGUCGUUGCCGUCCUACGCCAGUGCCUUCUUCAGGCACUGCAUAGCGGCCGCUCCACCUCACCAUUGCCUUGACACGGAGCAGCCAACUAGGACGGAGCGAUAAGGUGUUGGAGCACCUCCUUGUGUCAGCUUCAGCGCUCGCUUAGCCAAGGCGGCAACUCCCGGCGACGCCGUGGGUGGUCGGCUCUGGUGGCAUGCGAUGGCGGGCGUCGGCGAUCUGGGCAGGCGAAAGGUCGAGGCGCGGGGUGGCUCGCAGCGUCGAGCAUGUGGCACACUUGAACAACGGGGACGCCGGGACUCCAGCACCUGAACGACGUGAGGCCGCGAGCUCGUGGUCGAGAGCAAUCGCAUUGGCCCAAGAUGACGGCAACGUCGACGAUGUGCAGCCGCGACCUGAGUUUAGCCUACCGCGCGGAGGUACGCCGCCUUCCUUCCUCUCCUCCGUCAUGGCCUUUGAUCGUGGUGGGGGCGACGGGAGAGAAUUUUGGAGCUUGUUGGUGGGACUACGCCGCCUUCCUUUCCUCUCCUCCGUCAUGGCCUCUGCUUGUGGUGGGUGCGACGGGAGAGAAUUUUGAAGCUUGGUGGUGGGACGAGGAGGCGGCGGUUGUGUUGUGUCGGGAUGAGGGAGAGACAAUUUAUAGAUCUACAAUAGCGAUGAAGAGGACAUGAGAUUGGACUGGAGUUUUCUAGAGAGAAGAUACGGGACGACAUGAGAUUGGACUGGAGUUUUGAGAAGUUACGUGUCCCGACCGGACCCAUCUUCCAUAGUAAAAAAACUAAAACCGGUGUAAAAAUUGUAACGUGGCAAAGGAAGGAACCAAAAUCAAAGCAGCGAUGGACAUGUACGAUCGGAACACAUGAAAGGAAACUGGCGUGACCCUUCCAUUCAACACAAAGAAAGACAUGGUAAAAAAACGUGCAACAUCUAGGUAGCUAAAAAAUAGGAACAACAAGGAAAGCUCCCGUCACACGCGUCAUUUUCUCAGGGGCGUAAAAAGAAUUCCGGAAAAACUAGAAAAAGGGAACCCUUACGGGCCUAGUAUUCUUAGUAUUAGGAAAUUUUAGUAUUUGGUGCCAAUUAAAGCUUGAACAAUUUUGGUUUUUCCCAUGACAUAUCACGAGCCGUCCUACCCGUAGCUCCUCUACAUUGAGUUCGUAGGAUCGGGCUUGCCUACUCCCUCCCCAUGCUCCCAUCCAAGCUCCCAAUUCAUUCUACAGUUGUUUUUUUCCUUUUUCCUUCCUAAUCUAAUCAUCCCUCUGAUUUUAACAGGGUGGCCCGGACCUUAUUUUGUUCCAAUCAAAUUAAGCCACGUACGCGGGAGUACGGAUGGGCGCACGCGUGGCGCUCAGGCAAGUCUCGUCUGAGUUCGUAUGCCCCUCUCUCAAGCCGGCCCUGAUGGAUAUUUAUUGCGCACCAAUACACGCCGGCGUACCAGCCGAACGAUUCAGCCGGUCAGCCCCAGCCGCACGAUGCGUGCGUCUACAUCGNNNNNNNNNNNNNNNNNNNNNNNNNNNNNNNNNNNNNNNNNNNNNNNNNNNNNNNNNNNNNNNNNNNNNNNNNNNNNNNNNNNNNNNNNNNNNNNNNNNNNNNNNNNNNNNNNNNNNNNNNNNNNNNNNNNNNNNNNNNNCUCGCUGACAAGCCAUGACUCCGCGGUUGCCCCUGCGCCGCCCGCCGCGGCACCACGCUCAUCCUCAUCGGCCGCCCGCACCGCCGCGCUCCCGUCGCCAUCGAGUGGUUGCAGCUUUUUUGCCAGGCGUUUCCAGCAUCCUUGAUGGGAAGUUCCAGCACUGCCGGUGGUGACCGCCCAACUCUGGGGAGCAGUGUCGUCGGUGCUCCGUCGGACUGGUUCCAGCAUCGAUCUCGCUCUGCCGGUCCACGGGUGUGUCAUCCCAAAAAUCAAGAGGUCGUCCCCCUCUCCUUGCAGCUCCACUGUACUGCGGUUCUAGCUUGCCGGACAACGGUUGCAACAUCCCAGCCGCAGGGGGUCGCCUUGCAGCUCCAUUGGACCGCCGUUGCAGAUCCAUUGGACUGCGGUACCAUCUCUUGUGGCAAUGGUUGCAGCUCCCCUUGCAUGGCUGCGGCACACCAUGCCGGCGGUCAUGUCGUCCCACCGUCACCGAUGCAGCAAAACUGGUCACCCGUAGUAGCAAAACAAACCACGGUUACAGCUCUCGUGCAUUACCAUUGUAUCUUUUCUAGAAUAAUGUCGUAGCUUUUUCCUUUGGUCGCGGGUCGCAGCUCGCUGUCGCGGCCCCACGCAUCACGGAUGUAGCAAUUUUGAUCACUGGUUCCAGCAAAUCUAGAUGCCCGUUCCAGCAAAAAUAACUGCCACCAUCGUUGCUCCAACCAGUUGUAGCAAAAAAGACGGCCAGUUCCAGCAUCUGGUGUGGUCGGUUGUAGCAAUAAAAGUUCUUGGUUGUAGCUCCAACCCUGACCGGCUCUAGCACCGGCGAUGAAGCUGGUAGCGUCCCCCCCAUGGCUCGGCACCAGGGUCGGUGAUGGCCGAAUCCAAUGUUGGUGGUGGCAGCAGUGUAGCGUCAACCCGUCGGCGGCCGGCCGCGAGGGGAGCUCGCAAUGGUUCGUGAGCAGCGGGGAGGAGAGAAAAGUCAUGGUUGUGGAGUCUCGGCUGAACGUAGAAGAAAGGAAAAAAAGGAAGGCCAAGAAAAAAGAUAAGAAUAGGAGAGGGGGCGGUUGUGCGAAGCCCACCACGUACACGCGUCUUGCUCGGGAGUUGUUUUCGUGGGGCCAGAGUGGCGUGCGAGCCGGCCGAACGUUCGGCCGGCGCCCCAGCCCAAAUCGUUUUCCAUAUGGGAAACGUUUAUACCCGGCGCACCGGCUGAGUCUUCCGCCGGUCGCGCACGCGGCGUGCGGUCCAUUUUUCCUUGUUGCACCAAGUCGCUUGUCCGCGCAUCCAGGCCCACAUGCAACACCCUCUUUCCCUCUUUCCUAGCCACGCAUCUACGGCCUUAUCCAUCUGCCAACCGCUCUUCUUCCUCCCCAGCUCUUUCUCUCUCCACGAGCGACCAAAGCACAUGCCAUGCCGAUGAAAGCCAACCGGCUAGACCAGAUCCCACUCGCCGNNNNNNNNNNNNNNNNNNNNNNNNNNNNNNNNNNNNNNNNNNNNNNNNNNNNNNNNNNNNNNNNNNNNNNNNNNNNNNNNNNNNNNNNNNNNNNNNNNNNNNNNNNNNNNNNNNNNNNNNNNNNNNNNNNNNNNNNNNNNNNNNNNNNNNNNNNNNNNNNNNNNNNNNNNNNNNNNNNNNNNNNNNNNNNNNNNNNNNNNNNNNNNNNNNNNNNNNNNNNNNNNNNNNNNNNNNNNNNNNNNNNNNNNNNNNNNNNNNNNNNNNNNNNNNNNNNNNNNNNNNNNNNNNNNNNNNNNNNNNNNNNNNNNNNNNNNNNNNNNNNNNNNNNNNNNNNNNNNNNNNNNNNNNNNNNNNNNNNNNNNNNNNNNNNNNNNNNNNNNNNNNNNNNNNNNNNNNNNNNNNNNNNNNNNNNNNNNNNNNNNNNNNNNNNNNNNNNNNNNNNNNNNNNNNNNNNNNNNNNNNNNNNNNNNNNNNNNNNNNNNNNNNNNNNNNNNNNNNNNNNNNNNNNNNNNNNNNNNNNNNNNNNNNNNNNNNNNNNNNNNNNNNNNNNNNNNNNNNNNNNNNNNNNNNNNNNNNNNNNNNNNNNNNNNNNNNNNNNNNNNNNNNNNNNNNNNNNNNNNNNNNNNNNNNNNNNNNNNNNNNNNNNNNNNNNNNNNNNNNNNNNNNNNNNNNNNNNNNNNNNNNNNNNNNNNNNNNNNNNNNNNNNNNNNNNNNNNNNNNNNNNNNNNNNNNNNNNNNNNNNNNNNNNNNNNNNNNNNNNNNNNNNNNNNNNNNNNNNNNNNNNNNNNNNNNNNNNNNNNNNNNNNNNNNNNNNNNNNNNNNNNNNNNNNNNNNNNNNNNNNNNNNNNNNNNNNNNNNNNNNNNNNNNNNNNNNNNNNNNNNNNNNNNNNNNNNNNNNNNNNNNNNNNNNNNNNNNNNNNNNNNNNNNNNNNNNNNNNNNNNNNNNNNNNNNNNNNNNNNNNNNNNNNNNNNNNNNNNNNNNNNNNNNNNNNNNNNNNNNNNNNNNNNNNNNNNNNNNNNNNNNNNNNNNNNNNNNNNNNNNNNNNNNNNNNNNNNNNNNNNNNNNNNNNNNNNNNNNNNNNNNNNNNNNNNNNNNNNNNNNNNNNNNNNNNNNNNNNNNNNNNNNNNNNNNNNAAUGGUUAUGACGGCGAGGCUACGACGGGUUGACGGCACGGAGCUGCACGGGAUUUUUUGCUGCAAUCGACAACGGGAAAAGCUACAACCGGUGCCACGUCUUGCUACUCCCGGCAAAACCCGACGAAGGUUGAAUCAAAUCGUGGUCGGCGCAUUGACUGUCGAAAUGAUUGGUUGUAGCGAUUCCUGUCACCGGUCGUAGCAAAAAUGAACCAUGGUUGAAGCAAAAUAUAUCUGCACGUGGAUGAUGAAGGAGAAAAGAUUGGCUGGGUGUGGCCAUGGCGACAGGGCUGCGGCGAGGGACAGCGGCGGAGCUGCAACCUGAGCUUCACCCGUCGCUGCUGAGAGCUACAACCGCAGGCGCAGCUAUUUCAUGGGUCAAGGCGGCGACGAGGACAGACGGCGAAGAUGGGGACUGGCGACGAGGACGGCCGACGAGGAUGGGGACUGGCGACGAGGACGGCCUGCGGGAGUGGGGACCGGCGACGAGGUCAGGCACCGGAGGGGAGAGGACGCGCGCGCCGAGUGGGAGAUGUGAUUUCCAGCAAGAGGAAGAAGAAGCUGGGGGGCAAACCCUUUUUUUUCACCAGAUCCAAUGGCCCACGCGGCUCAAAUCCAACGGCCCUGACGCGACCGGCCAAACGGUUGGGCCGGUGCGCCGGCGCAGAUUAGUGCCCUUUCCAUAUUUAUUUUCUUUGUGAUUUUGAGUCAGAGCAAGCAUGGCAAGUUGACAACACUACUGCACGUUUGUAGUAACUGGACGGAAAAAAAUCAUAUGGGCAUGGUGAGAUCCGCACUUCAUUCAAACUCCUUUCUUUUUCUCUUGCUAUAUCCCUGUCUUAUAUUUUCUUCUCACAUUUUAAGAUACAAAAAUAGAUGGUCUGAAUUUCGCUAAUGCGGACUGGUCGACAGAUGACAAAUCUAUUUGGGGCCUGGAUCCAGAUAUUCACUUGUUUAGUACAACGUGCAUAUGCUAUCUUUAUAAAUCUCUGAUAGUGCGUUGCGGCCGGGGAAGAGAUAAGGAGAGAAGAGAACAGCUCGACGGGAGAAGAAUAGAGAAAGGGGCAGCAAAAACAUUGGUCAUUGCUGCUGUGCUAUUGCAUACCAUGAACAAAGAAUGAAGAAAGAUGAACGAGAGAAGAUAAACAUGAAAGGGUGCUGCAGUUGUGCCGCUGCAUUCUUGGCAAGUUUUGUCAUACUCAUCAUCCAUACUUCAAGGGUAACUUUCUAUUUAGUCCAAAACUAUAGAUCACAAGAAUUUAUUUUAUUCCUGUAGCCCACGGCCGACCUUGGGUUGACCACAUUGGAUGCAUUUUGGGGGUCAAAAAGAGGAUAAGCGAUGGCACGGAUGGACCGCAGUGUUUAAAUAGAGGACAUUGACAUGUGUGGGAGAUGUCUUGAGUCAUUUAGUACUUACUAGCAAAAGGACCUGUACGUUGCAACGGGAGAAAAAAAUAACACACACUCUUAAUUUAGAAAAAAAAUGGUAUAUAAUUUGAGUAUUUGUAGUUACGGCCCAAACAAAGAUGGUCUUUGCCAACAAAACGUGAGUUCAAGAUUCCACAUGUCUUCUAUUUAAACACGGCUUGCAUGUAGAUUUAAUACGUAUGAACAAACGGGCAAAUAAAUAGGCAAGUGAUUUUCAAUUUGGUCUCCAAUCCUGAUUUUGCUAAGAUGUUUAUUUAUCCACAAUCCGGAUUAGUACCUAUAUGAAAGAAAGACGGACAAUGCACUGUUGAUUAAGAUUGCACCUUAAAUAGUAUUAUUUUUUAAAUGGUUAACAGGUAAAAUAACAUCAUAUUCAGAUUCUAUAUUUUUUCUAAUCAAAUUCCAUAUAUAAUAUGUAAAUUUGGAGUUACGGUUUAGAAGAUGAGUAUUUUAAAAAACAUUUUAUAUGUACUGCAGGUUUAAUAUAAGAAACAUUAGGGGGUUUUCUAUAAAGUAGUAUGACGGACUAAGAAUACCUAUUUCUUUUAUUGGUAGGUAUAUGUAUACAUAUAGAUUAUUGGGCUAUGAUUAUGUGAUAAUUUUUUCUCCACGUCGUAACGCACGGGCAUGUUUGCUAGUAUAAGAUUAAGUGGCUAAGGGCAACUCUAAUAGCCCGAAACGGACACAAAAUGAGUACGCUUUGUCGGGCCCGUGGGACUGGGGAUACCUAGGCCCGUCUGCAUGCGGCCCAGGGCGCGACGCUUACCCUAGGGCCCAUGACUGGCCCACCUUUGGACUUCAUGAGCAAGACCCUCACGAGGCUCUCGCUUCGCGAGGCACCCGUCAGCCCGUGUCGUCAGGGUCCUCGCGAGACCCCCUCACGAGGCGAUCUUCCAAGGCUGCCUCCUGAGGCCCCUCAUGGAGGCGGAUAGAUCAAGGGUGGCUCGGCAGGGUCACGCGGUGGGUGACGUGCGCGACGACAGGCUGUGCCCAAGGCCAUGCUAGUAGGCGCAGAUGUGGAGGCUUUCCUAUUUGAUGCUAAGGGAGCGAGGACAGCGCACCGGUCCCCGAAAAAAUCCCCAAAGAUUUCCCGUUCGGUGCAAGAGGACCGAGACAACGGGCACGCCAGGACAGAGGUCACCACUGAGCCCAUCGGGGUGCCACGACAGGAAACUUUUGCAGGCGAAGACCACAUUUAGUCAGGAUAAGCUGCAACCUUGCCCCCCUUCAAACUGGCCGUUGUGGCAACCCUUCCCGCCAUGUGUUUUUAGUGAAAGAGGACCAGAGGCAGUAUAAGAAGAGGCGAGGUGCAGCCCUAGGGAGGAGGGGAUCGUCUCGUGGCAACUUGUGCUUGAGGCUUACUCUCUCUCUCUCUCUCUCUCUCUCUCUCUCCCAAGCAAUCUAGACAAGCAGGAGUAGGGUCUUACACCGCGUGAUGGCCUGAACCUGGGUAAACUGUCCUGUCCUAUGUUCUUCUUCCCUAGCUUGAGCACGCCGGAGCAUCGCCAUGAUGUUGUGAGGCAGAGUAGGGCGGUAGGAACGCACCCCAAAGUUUGAACCUUCUUGGGUCCUCGAAGCCCCGAUUCCGACAUUUCAUGCCAGGUAGGGGUGUGCCGCCCUUUUUUCGCACCGUUACGGCUUUUGCUUCACCGUUUCGGGCCGUGCUCCUCAUGGCGCGCGAGCUGCUCUGCUAACGUCCUGCGGACACGGGCUACGACGCCUGGCUUGGCCGCAUCACCGAGCUCGUCAACGUUGCCGGAGAAGCCCCGGUGCCCUCCCACUCGCUCCGCGCUCCGCCGUCUCGCAUCGGGGAUGUGGCGCACGGUGCCCUUCCACCACCUCGCAUGCGCAGCGACCUCGGCAAACCCCGUGUGACCAGCCCCGUGGAAUGCCGCCGCCAGCCCAAGACGAAGCCAGCUGAUAGAUCGUCCAACGCGCGCCGCCUAACGCGCGCGUCCUCCUCGAGCAACAACAUUAACGCCAGUACCACAUCGUCCAAGAAGUCGUAGUGGCCAGGUGCCAGAAUCGCGCCACACUCGCGCGUGGCAUUGCUUCGAGCAGCGUGGGCUGUCGGGCCUUCAAUUGUGAGCUGCGCCGUGUGGUUUGGCCGGUCAAGUUCAAGCCGGAUCUCCUUUCGACUGAUUCAACAAAGAUUGCUUUUGCUCUUCUCGGUCCAGCUGGUGGUGUUGGGUGCUUGUCGUAGCUCUCUUCUGGUUCAUGUUCUGUUGUUUCUUGUGCCUUCUUGUGUGUAUUGGAUCCUAUUUGUUGUACCUGAUGUCUUGUAUCUUACUCUUAUAUAUAAUGAAAAUGGUUCAGGCCGGCGUAAGCCCGCCGUAGCACCGCCAAAUAAAUCCCCCCCCUCCUUUUUCUUUUGUGCAAAAAUAAAAUUUUCCAUUUUCUGUUCGCAAGUGGUCAAAUUUUGGUUACAAUUUUGAAUUCUCGUCACUCUAUAAAUGUGAUAUCACAAAAUGUUAUCAUUCUGCAUAAUGUCAUACAAAUGAGAUUUGUUUUUCCAGUUCAAUGUUUGUUAUCUUUAAUUUAUAGAAGCGGACUUUACAAAAACAGUAUGCACCGCAAGACUGAUUCGGUGAAGUAAAUACCACAAAUGGUCGUUAUACUUACAAGAUUUUGCAUAACCACGUAAACAAUCGGCACGUACUCUCGCGUGUAGGGCAUUUGGCACCUUUACGCAGCUAGUGUAUACUAGACACAGAAAACCUGAAUUCAUGAAGCGCUUUAACCUUGUGUUAAGGCUGAAACCUUUUACCGAAUAAUAAAGAUUGCGCUAGAAUCUUGAUUUACAACAAUUCCUUAUUUCACGAAAAGAAAACAAUUCCUUAUUUGUUAGGCGCCAGUUUUUAGCUGAAAUGCCAAAGAAUCAAAAGCGGAAUGCGUUUUGAUGUCGUGAUCAAAAGCAAUAUUUUUCCUUCCAUUCCAUGCUCGAUUGACAAUUAUUUUCUCAUUAUUUCCCUUCCUUGUUAUGCAUCCGAAACUGCGGCGGGUAACAAAAUAGGAAUAUGGCGCCAGAACUUUUAUCUCUUCCCGCCAGCAACCCCCGCGUACACUAUAUAUAUGCUCAUACGUCCGUGCCCAAGCAACCAUCACCGCACCCAGCCCAUACUUUCUAUAUGGCGCGAGAGCUGCCUUCUUUUGUUUCCUCUCCCGAUUUAGUCUUCCUCUCGGAUGAUGAGGGAGAAAAAGAGGUGAUCAAGAUUGAGGAUUCAGACUGCGGUGGCGACACGCAUGUCUACCUCAGCUCUGACGAGGAGGACGACGCGGUCUACGCCGAUGAUGGCUCCUCCUACGCCAACUGCAAAGCCGCAUCUGCGGCUGCCACGUCUUUGGCCACGGUGAGCUGCACCGACUAUGGCGACGACAACCCCAAUGGCGGCGACUCUAAUGGGGACGGCAACCCCAACAACAGCUACUUCGAUGACAACGACAACGACUCUGAAGAUGGCGGUGACGACGCCAGCGAUUUUUCGUCGGCCGCCACAAGUAAGUCGCCAAAAGCCCCAUACAAUUAUUGGCAUCCCACCGACCUCUGCACCCUCGUGGAAAUAGAUGGGCAGCUCCUCAAGGAUUUUGAAGGCGCGACAGUACCAUCGUCUGUGCUCUAUGAGGCGUUUAUGGAGGAUCCACGGCCGAUCCGCCGUGGCGGGCUGACCUCAAGAAAAAUCUCAUACAAAAGGUAUCAAUUGAAAAAAAAAAUUCGUGCCUUCUGCAAGUUGGAUCCGAGGCGUGCCUUCCGCACGUGUCGCACGGCUCAAGAACGCAAGUUUUACACCUGCUGCAAGGAGGCGUGGCCUCAUAUUGUAGAAGAGGGCCGUGUCUGACUUGCUAAUAAGAAGUAAACCACAGUCAUGUUCAAUCCGGUCUUUUUUUGGUUUCACCAAUAAACAAUAGUAGCUUUCUUUCCCAUUUUUUCCAUGAUCAGUAUUACUCUGGAUUUGAUCUGUUUUUCCUUUGCUUGUAUUAGUUUAUUUUUCUUUUGCUUUGUAUGAGAUUGUUCAGUACAAGAAUCAUCAGUACUUUUAUUUAGCAGUCCACAAUUUUAUUUUAUUUUAUUAUGUUUUGUUGUGGGGACAGAGGGGCCUGAUGUGUCCACCUGCUCGACAUUUCGUUGUAGAUAUAUGUGCGUACUUUUUUAAAUACCCUUUAUUAAUUGUUCUGGCCAACAGGAUGACGAUCUUCUCGCCUGAACCGGAAAACAUGCAUAUGUGCCCAUUAUAUAUUGAUUCGAUGUCCAAAUGAUUUCCCACGUAGGCAUGCAUGGGUGGGAACUUCCUGAACCGGAAAACAUGAGUAAUAGGUAGAGAAGAUAUGUUUCUUUUUUAUUUGUUAAUUAUAUCAUGACACUUGACAAUAGAGAAGUAUAUCCGGAAUAUCCUACAUGUCAUAUCAAGCAUUAAGUUCAGAUUUCACCUGUUUGCAGGCUCACGAAAGCAUCAGGUAUAGCUAAGAGAUGAACCGCGUGGUUGUUGUAUAUUUCUUAAUUACUACAAAAAUACUUGGAAAUUUGUAAAAAUCAAUACUUCAAGCGAAUAUGCAUGAACCACAUGGUUGAUGUAUAUAUCUUAGUUCAGAAAUUCUUGCAAAUUGGUAAAAUCAAUACUUCAAACAAAUUUUCUUAGUACAGAAAUUCUUGACUGAAAGACACACGAAGCAUGGAUUGCAUCUAAAGAUUAUUUUCUGUACAGGAUUCAAGAUCUAGAUCUGAAAUAUUGUAGCAUGAUAUCAGUGGUCACAACAGUAAAUUAUUCCUUCCAUUACUCUUUCAAAAGAAGCACAGAGAAUUCUACUGUUCUAUAUAAAGAUUAUUGCUAGUGUUCUCGUUUGUGAGUCCCAUGAAUCCAAGUGCCAAUCUUAGUGACCGAAAGACAUACUCCCUCCGUCUGAAAAUACUUGUCACGGAAAUUGAUAGAAAUGGAUGUAUCUAGAACUAAUAUACAUCUACAUACAUUUAAUUUUGCGACAAGUAAUUCGAUACUGACUAUAAAGCAGUUAUCUCAUUAAAAAUCAGUGUCUUCAUGCUCCUAGAAAGAGUACACAAUAAGCUAAGGGACGAAAAAUGAAUUGAAAUGUACUAUUUGCAUGUCAUGCAAACUGCAAGAUGCGGACCACUGCCCCACUGCAUGUCCGGCAUUGCUCAUCUGUUAACAGAAACAACGCCAAAGCUCAAAAAAUCUUCUAUCCAGGAAAACCGUAGGGGAAGUGUUGCUUCACAGACAACAAUAAGUAGUCAGUACAUUGUUAUUGUUUUCCCUGCUGGUGAAUCUGCACCACAUUUCUCUCAUCUUCCAUUCGACAAUCACAUGCCAACGUUUUCUGUAACACUUGAAAAGAGAAGGGAAAACACAACAGUUAUUUGUAUAGAAAAGAUGUUGGAAAAUCCUAUAAGGAUUUUUUUAAAGAAAAUGUAAGGAACUAUUGCCAUAACACGAAUACAACAUAGGGCCACUGAUUUUGAUUCGAACUAAAUAAACCAUACUAUUAAUGUUCUUUGACUGACAAAUUCUGAAGCAUUCCUUGAACAUAAAUGAAAGCUACCGAAUUACCAGGUAACCGAUACAACUAUUGGUACUUGUUUAAGCACAUGUCUCGAAAUUGAAUUUUACUUUUGUUUGUGAAACAUGAAAGGACUCAAUUAGCUAGCUGCUAUGUGAGAAGGUUUUGGAUCCCAAGCGGACCUUUUUUUCGAGGGGCACCGGAAUUUGCGGUUACCAUGGUAACCAUGAAAUAGCGGAAAAGAAUCGGACGAAAUUUAAAUUUAAAUAUUAUUUAGGUCGAUAUAGAUAGAUAUUUAACUAUAUAAUAUAACAAACUUUGCCAUGGCGUAUAGUGGCUAUUGGACCAUAGCUUUCGCUUGCUCGUACGCCGCGAGUUCGACCCUUUUUUAACUUUUGCAUCCUAUGAAAAUUAAAAAAUGCGUGAGCCCAGAUUCAAACCCGCGAUUCGCUGCUGAGGAAAGAUGCGCUUGCUACUAGGCCACUCCCAGUUAUGUCGUGAUACAAGAGAUUGUUUGUAUUUAACUCUAUAACAUGCAUUUGAAUUCAAAAUUUUCAAAUUAUCCGAGAUAUUUUUCUCGGUAUGAGUGUUUCUCGAGGGGGGAUAGUAAACGCGGUAACCGCCCGAAAUCACGAAAUUUCAUUUAGUAACCAAAUCAGUGGAUCAUACCCAUUGCAUUUUUAGCAACUCUCAUAAGCCGCUCUUACCUGUUCUCACAGCUCAUGAACAUACAAUAUAUGAUGAAACUUUGCCAGAUAACAAAGAUGCUUAACUGGCAGCAAGAUGUAUCCUAUAGUAUCAUGUUUUUAUUUCUGAGUAAUUGGUUAACCUAUGCUACCUUAGUUAAGCAUUCAAGAAAAUGAAGUUGCCUCUGUGUUUUAAGCUAAAGCUACCACAGUUCUGUGAGACUUAUCAUUCCAGAUAAUGUUCACACAACUUAAAUGAGUAACAUAAGUGCAAUUUUAAUUUUUAGUACAAAUGUACAAUGACAAGCUCAUGUACAAUUAUUUACUGAAAAAAUAAGCCAGCUCAUUUGGAAGGGAAGAAGCUAGAGAAAUGUCAGCAAUGUAACUUUACCUAGAACACAGCCACUAGUAGAAAACAGGGCUUUGGUUGAGCCCUGGGUAAGGGCAUUAAUCCCGGUUCACUCCCGAACAGGGACCAAAGGGGGCAUCAGUCCCGGUUCGUGAGGCCAGGGCGCCGGCCGGGCCUUGGGGGCCAUUGGUCCCGGUUCGUCUGACCCCUUUGGUCCCGGUUCCAGACACAUGAACCGGAACCAAUGGGCCUCGCUCCUGGCCCAACAUCUUUAGUCCCGGUCGGUGGCUGCAACCGGGACCAAAUGUUGUCCUUUAGUCUUGGUUUUAGCCACCAACCGGACUAAAGAGAUCCCUAUAUAUAGCCCUGCCCGUGAACAGAGCCAGUGCUCUAUGUUUUUGGCCGGCCGUGGGAGAGGUGUGUGUUGCUCUAGUUCACCUUCUAUGCACAUGAGGUGUUCGAUGAAAUGCCCGAGCCACACUUAAGCUUUCUCCUCUCCAAGCUCCUUCUCCAAGCUCCAUUUUCCUCAAGAUUUGUCUAGUUUUGGCGUUUCGUCCUGUCCCGUCCCCAUCCUCACCGCCGUUGAUUGCCCGCGCCGAUCUCGUCACCGGCACCACCAUGGUGAGCCUCUUGUUCUUAUCUUCUUUCUAAAAGAAAAAAAUACUACUUUUAUGAUUUAGAUUGAUACUUGUAUAAUUUUCUAUUCUUAAUUUUAUUAUUGUUUGUUAUUAUAUAGUGCGAUGGUUUUGGUAUCCUGCCCUCGUCCUGUUUAUGAUUCGGAUGUGGUAUAUAUUAUCUUUUAUAACUAUUUGUUUCAUUUAGUAUUUAUGACAAUUAUGCCGACCAACAUGACAUAUAUGUUUUUAUCUAGGAGGUAUGUGAACCGGAAAUUCCAACCGACCCUCUUGUCAAGAGGUUAAAUUUAGUUGAAAAGGAAAACAAUUACUUAAUAUUUUUUUGAAAAGAAUUGAGGAGGAGAAGAUGAAAUUGGAUUUGCAUAUUGCGGAUGUCGUCGAUGAUCACAAGAUCAAGAUGGAUGCAAUGCGCGUGAAGAUUAGAAAGAUUAGGAACUAUGCCAUUCAUACUGAGGCUUGGUAUCAUUAUGCCGUUGGAUCAAUUGUCUCCUUAGUUGCAAUUAUGAUCGCAUUUGUUGUUGCAUUGAAAUAUUUUACAUAGUUUCAAUGUAUGGUUCAAUUAGAUGCUCUAGAGAGCUAUAUGUUGUCAAUGAGAACUAUGUAUGAACUUUAUGUAUUUAUUUUUUCUGUAAUAACAUUUGAUCACUACUAUACUUUGGUUUUAAUAUGAUGGUGAACUUCUAUUAAUUUGGUCACUUCCCUAUACAUGAUGUUCUGUAAUGGUUUCUGACACACUUAAUUAUAUAUAAUGCAUGUAGAUGAACCGGCAAUGGAUGUAUGGUGAAAGACGCACCUCCGAGUACAUUAAGGGCAUGUAUAAUUUUCUCGAAGUGGUUGAGGCAAACAAGAAGAAUGGUUUUAUGUUUUCUCCAUGCCCUAUCUGUGGGAAUACAAAGUCUUACUCUGACUCGAAAACCCUUCACAUCCACCUUCUUGACAAGGAUUUCAUGCCACACUAUAAUGUUUGGACCAAGCACGGAGAAAGAGGGGUUAUGAUGGAAGACAACAAAGAAGAAGAGGAUGAUGACAACUAUCAUCCCCCUGAAUACGGUGAUGCUGCAACGGAGGAAGAUGAAGAUCAAGAGGAACCAGAAGAUGUGCUCGAUGAUGAUCUUCAUGGGGUCUUUGUUGAUGCAAAGAGACAAUUCCAAACUGAAAGGGAGAAGUUGAAGUUCGAUCGCAUGUUAGAGGAUCACAAAAAAGGGUUGUACCCAAAUUGCGAAAAUGGCAAAACAAAGCUCGGUAUCACACUGGAAUUGCUGCAAUGGAAGGCAGGCAAUGGUGUAUCUGACAACGGGUUUGAGAAGCUACUAAAAAUAUUGAAGAAUAAGCUUCCAAAGGAUAAUGAAUUGCCCGACAGUACGUACAGAGCAAAGAAGGUUCUAUGCCCUCUAGCAUUGGAGAUGCAGAAGAUACAUGCAUGCCCUAAUGACUGCAUCCUCUACCGCAAUGUGUACAAGGAUUUGAACACAUGCCCGGUAGGCGAUGCAUUGCGGUAUAAGAUCAGACGAGAUGACCCUGGUGAUGUUGAGGGCGAGCGCCCCAGGAAGAGGAUUCCUGCCACGGUGGUAUGCUCCUAUAAUACCAUGGUUGAAACGUAUGCUUAGAAACAAAUAGCAUGCCAAGUUGAUGCGAUGACACAAACAGGACGGUAAGAAACACGGGAAGUUUAGAGCACCCGCUGACGGGUCGCAGUGGAGAGAAAUCGAGAGAACGUGGGGGGGGGGGGACUUUGGAGGUGACACAAGGAACGUAUGGUUUGGUUUAAGCGCGGAUGUCAUUAAUCCUUUUGGAGAGCAGAGCAGCAAUCAUAACACCUGGCCCAUGACUCUAUGUAUUUAUAACCUUCCUCCUUGGUUGUGCAUGGAGCGGAAGUUCAUUAUGAUGCCGUGCUCAUCCAAGGCCCUAAGCAACCCAGCAACAACAUUGAUGUGUACCUAAGGCCAUUAGUUGAAGUACUUUUACAGCUGUGGAAUGGAAAAGGUGUAUGUGUGUUGGAUGAGCACGACCAGGAGGAUUUUGACCUACAUGCAUUGCUGUUUGUAACCAUCAAUGAUUUGCCUGCUCUGAGUAACCUUUUAGGACAAACAAACAAGGGAUUCCACGCAUGCACGCACUGUUUAGAUGACACCGAAAGUAUAUAUUUGGACAAAUGCAUGAAGAAUGUCUACAUGGGACAUCAUUGAUUUCUUCUGACCAACCAUCAAUGUAGAAAGAAAGGCAAGCAUUUCAAAGGUGAGGCAGAUCACCGGAAGAAGCCCGCCAUUCGUACUGGUGAUCACAUACUUGAUAUGGUCAUUGAUUUACACGUAAUCUUUGGAAAGGGUCCCAGCGGACUAUAUGUUCCAAAUGAAGCUGAGGGACGUGCACCCAUGUGGAAGAAGAAACCUAUAUUUUCGGACCUACCCUAUUGGAAAGACCUAGAGAUCCGCUAUGCAAUCGACGUGAUGCAUGUGAUGAAGAAUCUUUGCAUGAACCUGCUAGGCUUCUUGGGCGUGUAUGGGAAGACAAAAGAUACACCAGAGGCACGGGAGGACCAGCAAUGUGUGCAUGAAAAAGACGGCAUACAUCCAAAGAAGUAUAAAGGGCCUGCCAGGUAUGCUCUUACCAAAGAUGAGAAGAAAAUCUUUUUUGAAUGCAUGCUCAGUAUGAAGGUCCCGUCUAGCUUCCCGGCAAAUAUAAAGGGAAUAAUAAAUAUGGCAAAAAGUUCCAAAACCUAAAGUCUCAUGACUGCCAUGUGAUUAUGACGCAACUACUUCCGGUUGCAUUGACGUGGCUUCUACCGAAAAACGUUUGAUUAGCCAUUGUGAAGCUAUGUGCAUUCCUCAAUGCAAUCUCUCAGAAGGUAAUCGAUCCAAAAAUCCUACCAAGGUUAAGGAGUGAUUUGGUGCAAUGUCUUGUCAGUUUCAAGCUGGUGUUCCCACCAUCCUUAUUCAAUAUCAUGACACACGUCCUAGUUCAUCUAGUCGACGAAAUUGGCAUUCUGGGCCCUAUAUUUCUACACAAUAUGUUCCCCUUUGAGAGGUUUAUGGGAGUCUUAAAGAAAUAUGUUUGUAACCGUGCUAGGCCAGAAGCAAGCAUCUCCACGGGUCAUAAAAUAGUGGAGGUCAUUAGGUUUUGUGUUGACUUCAUUCCCGACCUUAAGAAGAUUGGUCUUCCUCAACCGCGGUAUGAGGGGAGAUUGACUGGAAAAGGCACGCUAGGAGUAGACUCGAUAAUAUGUAGGGACGGGCAUUUUUGGUCUCAAGCACACUACACAACUCUACAGGAUUCUACCUUGGUGACCCCAUAUGUCAAUGAACACAAGAAUAUUCUGCGCUCCAAACACCCGGAGCAGUGUGACGACCGGAUUACAUGUGAACACAUCAGGACUUUCGGUAGUUGGUAGCAAACACAUCUCAUGGGUGACAACACUGUUGUAGAUGAGUUGUACUCGUUGGCCAGAGGACCAUCUUCGACUGUAUUAACUUACAAAGGGUACGAGAUAAAUGGGAAUACGUUUUACACGAUCGCCCAAGAUCAAAAGAGCACCAACAAAAACAGUGGUGUCCGCUUUGAUGCAGCAACCAAUAGGGGAAAGGACACAUAUUAUGGUUACAUAGUAGACAUAUGGGAAUUUAACUAUGGACAUGAUUUUAAGGUCCCUUUUUUCGGUGCAAAUGGGUUAAUCUGUCAGGGGACGGGGUACAGGUAGACCAAUAGUACGGAAUCACAACAGUGGAUCUCAACAAUCUUGGGUACACAGACGAACCAUCCGUCCUAGCCAAUGAUGUGGCGCGGGUUUUCUAUGUGAAGGACAUGUCUACCGAACCGAGAAAAAGAAAAGAUAAGGAAGCGAAUACAUCAUACGAUGAGCCAAAGUGCCACAUAGAUCUUUCAGGGAAAAGAGACAUCGUGGGAGUGGAGGGCAAGACAUGCAUGUCUAAAGAUUACAAAAAGUUUCAUGAAAUUCCUCCCUUCAAAGUCAAGGCUGACCCAAACACCCUGUUAAACGAUGAAGAUUAUCCAUGGUUACGGCGCAAUAAGCAAGGGACACACACAAAGAAAAAGUGAAGACUUUCUCUCCACAACUAUUCUGAUGAUUCCUUUGAUCUAGAAUAUCACUCUAGUUACAUGUUAAGAAAUGAAAUGCCUUUUGGAACAUAUGAGUUUUCAUCCGAAACCCUGAUACUUUGAAAGAGAUUGCCAUUUUGUACAUGAAGUGCAUCCAGUUUUUUCCGCAACCCUCUCAAUUUUGUAGCACAUGCUAUAUGGCUGAAAUGAUGAUAUCAUGCUAACUUUCAACCUUUUCAGAGUUCAUUUGUAGUGCUUUCCAAUUUCAGGGUCAUUUAGCUAAAAAAAUCAGUAAAUGCAUGAAAAAUACAAAAUGAAGUCAGAAAUGGUUGAAAAUUGAUGAUGCGCCUUUUAAUGAUGCAUUUUGAACACACAAAAAGUCUGGAGUUAAAAUAAGUUCCAAAAAAUAAAAUUAAUUUGUAAGAGAGGAGUUUUCGUCCGAAAGCCUGAUACUUCGAAAGAGAUUGUCCAUUUUGUACACGAAUUGCAUCCAAUUUUUUUCGUAACCGUCUCAACUUUCUAGCACAUGUUAUGUGGGUGAAAUGAUGAUAUCAUGCCUACUUUCAACCUUUCCAGAGUUUAUUUAUAGUGCUUUUCAAUUUCAGGGUAAUUUAGCUCAAAAAAUCAGUAAAUGCAUGAAAAAUACCAAAUAAAGGUAUAAACGGUUGAAAAUUGUUGAUGUGCCUUUGAACGGUGCAUUUUGGACACAUAAAAUGUAUGGGGUUAAAAUAAGUUCGAAAUCCCCCUCCUCACGCCUCGAGUCACCUCGCCACCCCAUCACCCAUCUUGUGCCCGCAUCCGCAGAAUUCAGAUGCAUAUUUUCUGGUGCAACAGCAAGCGUUGGAGGAUUUAAGCGCCAAACAAGAGAAAGUUAAUAAGCUUGCUAAGCAUCUUGCCAGCAUUAUGGGUACCCAGGAUAUUUUUCCUUGAGAUCUUCUGAAGUGGGUUUAGUCCUGGAUUUGUUUUGCUACGACAUUUAUUUGCGCUGGUCCCCAACUUUGACAACCAGUGUAUAUGAUAUGCUGCUUUGUUUCCUAUAUUUGCUCUGGUGGCGAACUUUGAUGUCUAGUGGAUGUAAUAUGUGUAAUAGCCGUGAUAGCCUAACAUUAGUUGCUUGCUUAUUUAUUUCCUUGUUGUCUUGUUUAUUUUUUUGCUUGUACUCAUUGGAGUUCUUUUUCCGCGGUUUGCUAGUGGCUGCAAUAACCUAUUUUUUUAAAACUAGGCCACAAUAACCAUGGGCUAAUAUUUACUGAAGUGACAUUGGGCCUCCUACUGGCCGUAGAAACAGUGGGCCUUCUACGGGCCGUAGAAAUAAUGGGCCUUCUACGGGCCGUAGAAACAAUGGGCCUUCUGCGGGCCAUAUCAUCAAUGGGCCUUAUACGGGUCGUAUGAUCGAUUGGCCAAACAUGGGCCAAACAGACCGCAUUAUGGCCGUAAACGGGCUAGAGUUGGAAUCGUCCGUUCAUGGGCCAACCAUAACAGGCCAUCGUUAAUAGGCCGUAUUUGAUGAUGCUAUGAGAACGGUCCAACGUAUUAAUGGACCACAAACGGGCCGACUGUAACCACGGGCUGAAUUUGGCCCACAAGCAAAAAAUGACAGUAACGGGCCGUAAGUAAACGAACGAUGGAAAUGAGCCCAAGAAUAAAUGGGCUCUGAGAAGGCCGAAAGAUAACAUGGGUUGGAAACAGCCCAACGGAAUAACGAGCAGUUAAUUGGUAUAAAGUGAUACACUGUUCAUUACGGGCCAGUUUCACCACGGGCCGUUAAUGGGUGUAAAGUGAUACACUGUUCAUUACGGGCCAGUUUCACCAUGUGCCGUUAAUAGGCCAAGAGUUACAUAGGGCCUCAUAUGGGCCGAAAGACAUCAUGGGCCAUACAUGCGCGAGAAGUGAAAACAGCCUGGAAUCAUAUUGGAUGGCCCAGAUGACGCUACUAGGCCUAAUUCGGAUAGGGCGUAACGGGCCUUGGGUUAGCGGGCUGUAAAUGGGCUAUAUGCGAAUAGGCCUUUAAUAGGCUUUCCAUGGACCGGCCCGCCACCUUUUGACCAAGUCAAACGCGUCAGCCUUUUCACAGGAAUGGGCCUCUGUUGAGCCGUGCCACAUGUCUACGUACCAUAGGCGCCUUCCAUCCAAUGAGUGGAUGACAUCUGUCCCAACAAUCAGCCGACACGUGUUUCCUCCAGCCAAUGAUGAUUUUACACGUGGAAAAUCCUCAUUGGUCGGGGCUGUUAACGGGUUAUCAGGUCCAAAACCCGACCCGAUAGCUUAACGGUGUUCCAAUACGGUGGAUUCCACGUGUCGGUCACCCUUGACGAAAGUGUUGGGGAACGUUGCAUAAAAUAAAAAAAAUUCUACGUUCACCAAGAUCAAUCUAUGAGUUCAUCUAGCAACAAGAGAGGGGAGUGCAUCUACAUACCCUUGUAGAUCACGAGCGGAAGCGUUCAAGAGAACGGGGUUGAGGGGGUCGUACUCGUCGUGAUCCAAAUCACCGGAGAUCCUAGCGCCGAACGGACGGCACUUCUGCGUUCAACACACGUACGGUCAGUGUGACGGCUCCUCCUUCUUGAUCCAGCAAGGGGGAAGGAGAGGUUGAUGAAGAUCCAGCAGCACAAUGGCGUGGUGGUUGAUGCGGCAGAGUUCCGGCAGGGCUUCGCCAAGCGACUAUGGGAGGAGGAGGUGUAGCAAGGGGGGAGGGAGGCGCCAGAUGUCAGGGUGAGGCUGCCCUCCCACCCCCCUCUUUAUAUAGGGACCCUAGGGGGGCGCCGGCCCUGGAGAUGGGAUCUCCCAAGGGGGGCGGUGGCCAGGGGGGUGGAGUGCCCCCCAAGGCAAGUCGAGGCGCCCCCUCCCCUAGGGUUCCCAACCCUAGGCGCAGAGGGGGGCCCAGGGGGGGCGCACCAGCCCACCAGGGGCUGGUUCCCCUCCCACUUCAGCCCAUGGGGCCCUCCGGGAUGGGUGGUCCCACCCGGUGGACCCCCGGGACCCUUCCGGUGGUCCCGGUACAAUACCGGUGAACCCCAAAACUUUCCCGAUGGCCGAAACUCGACUUCCCAUAUAUAAUUCUUUACCUCCGGACCAUUCCGGAACUCCUCGUGACGUCUGGGAUCUCACCCAGGACUCCGAACAACUUUCGGUUUGCUGCAUACUAAUAUCUUUACAACCCUAGCGUCACCGAACCUUAAGUGUGUAGACCCUACGGGUUCGGGAGACAGGAAGACAUGACCGAGACUGCUCUCCGGUUAAUAACCAACAGCGGGAUCUGGAUACCCUUGUUGGCUCCCACAUGCUCCUCGAUGAUCUCAUCGGAUGAACCACGAUGUCGAGGAUUCAAGCAACCCCGUAUACAAUUCCCUUUGUCAAUCGGUAUGUUACUUGUCCGAGAUUCGAUCGUCGGUAUCCCAAUACCUCGUUCAAUCUCGUUACCGGCAAGUCACUUUACUCGUACCGUAAUGCAUGAUCCCGUGACCAGACGCUUGGUAACUUUGAGCUCAUUAUGAUGAUGCAUUACCGAGUGGGCCCAGUGAUACCUUUCCAUCAUACAGAGUGACAAAUCCCAGUCUCGAUCUGUGUCAACCCAACAGACACUUUCGGAGAUACCUGUAGUGCACCUUUAUAGCCACCCAGUUAUGUUGUGACGUUUGGUGCACCCAAAGCACUCCUACGGUAUCCGGGAGUUACACGAUCUCAUGGUCUAAGGAAAAGAUACUUGACAUUGGAAAAGCUCUAGCAAAACGAACUACACGAUCCUGUUCUAUGCUUAGGAUUGGGUCUUGUCCAUCACAUCAUUCUCCUAAUGAUGUGAUCCCGUUAUCAAUGACAUCUAAUGUCCAUAGUCAGGAAACCAUGACUAUCUGUUGAGCAACGAGCUAGUCAACUAGAGGCUCACUAGGGACAUAUUGUGGUCUAUGUAUUCACACGUGUAUUACGAUUUCCGGAUAAUACAAUUAUAGCAUGAAUAAAAGACAAUUAUCAUGAACAAGGAAAUAUAAUAAUAAUCCUUUUAUUAUUGCCUCUAGGGCAUAUUUCCAACAGAAAGCACUUCUGUGACGCGCGAUUUAUCGUCAUGGAAGUGGACACUUCCGUGAUCAUAAUUUUGGUAAUGUCAUGGAACACUUCUAUGACAGCACAGGUAUGACUAUCUUCAUUCUGUCAUAAAAUCAUCAAGAAUGUACUCCCUCCGAUUCUUUAUACUCUGCGCAUAACUUUCGUUCAUUUUUCUCGUUUUACUCUGCGCGUUCCUACUUCUCCUAUGCUUUCCUCUUAUGCCCCCCAAAAGCUGCUGCAUGCAACCAUUUGCAGUUAAUACUUGCCUUCUCUCGUUGGCCAUGCAGAGUGGAGAGAGAGAGGUAGUUGAGGGAAUCAAGGCAAUCGCAUGUGAGAGCCAAUCGGCUACAUGCAAGUUAAUAACAAUCCAGCACUAAAGUAGGGGCAAAUUAGUCCCAGAAAGAUCAAGCGAGCCCUUUCUUGGCAUGCGUGUGAGAUGUUAUACACAAAGAAAAUAUGAUCGGAGGGAGUACAUGCAUGACAGAAAACACGACCUACUGUGACAAACACGUAUCAUCACGGAAGUGUAUUUCUUUUGUAGUGGCUCCUCCUACAACUUCUGGAGGUCGAGCACUUGAGCAGGGAGGGGUAUCCCUUCUUCUUCCAUCUCAGCGCUCACAAGGGCAGAGCCAGUCAACCAGAAGCACGAGUUGACAUGGAUUCGACUUGUGGGCCGUCAGCCGCACGGCCUACUCGCGAUCGACGACUUCCCUAGUGGCUUGCAGGCCCAAACUGGGCCCGUUGAGGGUGUACGCCGAUAUAUGCGUGUGGUGUGUGUUGCGUGAGGAUUGGGAAGGGAGUUGGUGGCUUCGGCCAUGGCUAGUGUGUGUCAUGUGUGAGCUCGUGUAAGCAUUCAUGGCGAAUUGGCUAUAGAUCUGACAUCAAUACAAGUUAUACCCUCACAUCUAGCUUCAGAGCCGUUCCAUCCUGGAGUUCCCCACCACCCACACCGCACCAAGUUCAGCGAAUUACGGCGGCGGCAAGCCAUGGAUGGGCUGUCGGCGGAAGGGUGCAGCAUCCACAAGCUCGUUAAAUCCACCAUCUCCGACGACCUCGAUCAGCGCCUCAAGGUACACAGCGAAGACCUCCUCAAGUCCAUGACCAAAUUGCUCCAGGAUUCGACCAAGACCUUGGACGGUCUCAUCACAGCAUGCGUCGACAGUGUUCGCUCUGAGCUCCUCCUCAAAAUCUACCAGAUCCGCUCGGAUUGGGAGCGACGGGACAAGGCUGACUGCAAUGGACGGAUUGGAGGGCCUUCCUCAUCAAGCAGAGACGCCGAAGAAAGCCAGUACGCGGUUCCUGCUGAUUCCCAUGGAGCGGACAGGUUUAGUAAGUCCAAGGCUCACAACAUCUACGUCCCACCUCCGGCCAGGAGUGGGCGUGAAUUGCCUUCAGUCUCCCCGAGAGCUCAUCGCACUAGAUCAAGGUGAGUAGUACACUUCAUGGACGAGAGUCGAGCUGUCGCGGUUAAAUGGCUCAAAUCCCAGGCUGUGGCAAGUGAGAUGCGAGGACUGCUUCAAGCAAUGGGGCACGCACCAUAGCAGAUGAAUAUCAUCCGCCACCACUCAAUUCGAAGGGGCAGCUGCUCGCUGGUUGGAGUCUGUGCAGAGGAGAAUAGUGGGGUUACAGUGGACUGAAUUUUGCAAUCUCCUGCAAUCGAGAUUUGGCCGUAACCAACACCAGAAUUUGCUGAGGAAGAUGUUCCGAAUUGGUCAGACUAGAUCUGUCGAAGAAUAUGUAGAUCAAUUCUCUAAAUUGUAUGUCCAACUCACUACUUAUGAAAUCAUCCCUGAUCCACUGCAUUAUACCACCAGGUUCAUCGACGGGUUGAAACUAGGAGUCUGCAUGGCCAUUGCAAUGCAAAAACCCAGAGAUCUUGACACUGCGUACGAAUUAGCUCUGCUACACGAAGAAUUGUGAGAAGUAUCAUACCACCAAGCCAGUUCCACGACAAAAGGAGUCAUGCAUCAUCCGGAUAGUAUGCUUACAAGUCCAAAAAUGCAGAAGAGCGUCGGCCAAUUGACAGUCAAAGGUCAGAAACUACUAAAGAUAAGUGGGUCUCUCUGAGGAAUUUCAGGAAGGCAAAAGGAUUGUGCUUCAUCUGUGGUGAAAAAUGGUCCAAGGACCAUCAGUGCAAGUCUACUGUGCAGCUACAAGUUGUGCAAGAACUCAUUGAGCAAUUACAGAGCCCCGCUACAUCCCUGGAUGAAUCUGAUAGUGAUUCUGACAAUCUGAUGAUGCUCUCAGCAGCUGCUGUAAGCAACAGUGUGUCAAAGAUGUCCCUCACCUUACCAGUACUUCUACAAGGUAUUAAGCUAAGGUUUCUAGUUGACUCAGGGAGCACUCAUUCAUUCGUGGACAGUUCUCAUCAACAGAUGUUUCCAACAAUGACUGAAAUUAAGUCGGUUUCUGUCAAGGUUGCAGGAGGAGGGAAGUUGAGCUAUUCACAGCAGGUUAAACACUGCAAGUGGAGUUGUCAGGGAGAAAACUUUGUGCAUGAUUUCAGAGUCCUAACCCUUGGAGGAUAUGAUAGUAUUUUGGGCCUUGAUUGGCUAGCCAAGCAUAGUCCAAUGUACAUGGACUGGGAACAAAAAUGGCUCUCCUUCCAGUAUAAGGGAACUACUGUUACCCUACAAGGGGAAUUGCCUGAAGAGUGUGAAUUCACUGUCAUGGCAAUUUUUCAGAACAUCACUACUAAAAACAGUGAGCACUUACCUGAGAUACAAGCUUUAUUAGACAAGUAUGCUGAGGUUUUUGCUCCCCCAACUAGUUUACCUCCCAGAAGGCAGUAUGACCACAGUAUUCCCCUGCUACCUGGAGCUCAACCAGUGUCUAUUAGACCAUACAGAAUUCCUCCUCACCUGAAGAUUGAAAUGGAAAAGCAGGUGGCAGAAAUGUUGUAGAGAGGGUUAAUUCAAGUGAGUAAUAGUCCUUUUUCUUCUCCAGCACUACUGGUCAAAAAGAAGGAAGAAGGAGCUUGGAGGUUGGUCAUAGACUUCAGACAUGUCAAUGCACUCACAGUGAAAAGCAAAUACCCUAUUCAUAUUAUUGAUGAGCUACUAGAUGAACUUGCUGGAGAUCGUUGGGUUUCUAAAUUGGACCUCAGAGCAGGAUACCAUCAGACCAGACUUGCAUCAGGAGAAGAGUUUAAAACUACUUUUCAGACACACAUUGGUCACUAUGAGUUCACUGUUGUGGCCAUGGGGCUGACUGGGGAUCCCAAUACAUUCCAAGGAGCAAUGAACACAGAUCUAGCUCCAUCCUUGAGUGGUGAGGAUCACUGUGUUGUAUGUUUCUUUGAUGAUAUUCUAGUUUUCAGCCAAUCCCUCAAGGAACAUCUCCUGCAUCUAGACAAGGUAUUGGGUAUUCUACUAGAAAAACAAUGGAAUGUAAAACUCAGUAAAUGUGAAAAGCAAGAGAUUGCUUAUCUGGGUCAUGUCAUAAGUGACAAGGGGGUUUCCACUGAUGCCAGUAAAAUUACAGCUGUUAAGAAUUGACCAGUUCCUAUGGAUGUGAAGCAGGUCAGAGGAUUUUUGGGCUUAACUGGAUACUACAGGAAAUUUAUCAAAAACUAUGGUGUGAUUAGCAGACCUCUGACUGACUUGUUGAAAAGGGGGGCUAUAUUUGUGUGGACUUCCACUACUGAUUUAGCCUUCCAGACACCGAAGCAGGCUCUGAUUCAUGCUCCUGUAUUAGCCCUUCCAGAUUACUCCAAGCAGUUUGUGGUGGAAACAGAUGCAUGUGAAGUUGGCAUUGGGGUUGUUCUUAUGCAACAGGAUCAUCCAAUUGCAUUUGUCAGCAGGGCCUUGGGUCCUAAGAACAGAGGUCUUCCUGUGUAUGAGAAGGAAUACAUGGCAAUACUACUAGCCAUUGAGAAGUGGAGACCAUACUUGCAAUUCCAGGAGUUCAUUAUCAAGACAAAUCAGAAGAGUCUGGUUCACCCGUCUGAUCAAAGAUUGCAUACACCUUGGCAGGAAAAAGCACUCACCAAAAUGAUGGGCCUCAACUAUAAGAUCAUGUAUAAAAAGGGAUCUAACAAUUCAGCAGUAGAUGCUCUUUCUAGAAGGCCUCAUGCAGAUUCUCAGCUCCUAACAAUAUCAUAUGCUCAGCCCAGUUGGCUUGGUGAAAUUGUCGAGAGUUACUCAAAUGAUCCAAAAGCACAAGAGUUACUGUGCCAACUGACCCUACAACCAGGCUCCAAGGAUAAAUUUCAGCUAGUUAAUGGGUUAAAUAAGGUACAAGGGCUGCAUCUGGGUGGGCAAUGAUAGUACAUUGCAUAUAAAAAUUUGUCAACCCUUCCAUGACACACCCCUAGGAGGGCACUCAGGUUUCCCAGUUACUUAUAAGAGAAUUCGUGCUCUUUUUAAGUGGGUUGGCAUGAAGAAACUUGUUCAGCAGUUUGUGCAAUCUUGCUUAGUGUGUCAGCAAGCGACACCUGAGAGAGUGGCUUACCCUGGACUACUAUCCCCAUUACCAGUUCCUACCAAGGCUUGGGCAACUGUAACAAUGGGCUUUAUCUCAGGUUUACCUCCCUCGGGUCAGUUUGACUGCAUUAUGCUCAUCAUCGACAAAUUUACAAAAUAUGGCCACUUUGUUCCUGUCAAAAACCCCUACACAUCUUAGAAAAUUGCUGAUCUUUUCCUGGACAAUGUCUAUAAGCUUCAUGGCAUGCCUCUGUACAUUGUGUCAGAUCGGGAUCAUAUCUUUACUAGCAAUUUUUGGCAAGCAUUGGUUAAGAAAACUGGGAUUGUUCUUAACAUGAGCACUGCAUAUCAUAUGGAGACUGAUGGCCAAACCGAACGAGUGAAUCAACAGGUUGAGUGUUUCCUAAGAUGCUUUAUCAGUGCCCACCAGAGCAAAUGGUCCAAAUGGCUUUCUCUAUGCGAGUUCUGGUACAAUACAAACUGGCAUUCAGCUCUGAACAAAUCACCAUCUGAAGUUCUUUAUGGGCAUAGCCCCAGGUAUUUUGGGAUAUCAGUUUCAUAUACAGUUGCUCCGGUUGAUUUGCAGCAAUGGUUGGAAGCUAGGGAAGUUGUGCAACAGUCGGUUUGUCAACACCUGUUGUGUGUGCAACGAUGAAUGAAACACCAGGCCAACAAACAUCGCACGGAGAGGACAUUUGAAGUGGGUGACAGGGUGUUCCUCAAGCUCAAGCCAUAUGUGCAAUCGUCAGUGGCGCACAGGGCAAAUAACAAACUUGCAUUCAAGUACUUUUGGCCUUUCCUCAUUCUGGAGAAAAUUGGCGAGGUGGCUUACCGGCUGCAAUUGCCAGCAGCUAGCCGUAUCCACCCGGCCUUUCAUGUUUUGCAGCUGAAGCGCUUUGUGCAACCACAUUACGAGGUAAUUGACUCACUUCCUUGUGCCGAUGCUCACCUCCAAAUCCCUGUUAAGAUCUUGCAGGAGCGCAUUCGCCGCUCGGACAAUCGUUCCGUGGCUCAAGCCUUGAUCCAGUGGAGUGGUGGAGAUGCAUCUACAGCAACCUGGAAGGACAAGGACUCGCUUCGCCAGUUGUUUCCGUGAGCCCCGGCUUGGGGUUAAGCCGGUUCUAAAAGAGAGGGGGAUGUCAACGCUCACAAGGGCAGAGCCAGUUAACCAGAAGCACGAGUUGACGUGGAUUCGACUCAUGGGCCGUCAGCCGCACGGCCCACUCGCGAUCGACGACUUCCCCAGUGGCUUGCAGGCCCAAACUGGGACCGUUGAGGGUGUACGCCGAUAUAUGCGUUGUGUGUGUGUGUGUUGCGUGAGGAUUGGGAACGGAGUUGGUGGCUUCAGCCAUGGCUAGUGUGCGGCGUGCGUGAGCUCGUGUAAGCAUUCAUGGCGAAUUGGCUAUAGAUUGAGAUCAAUACAAGUUAUACCCUCACAUUCCGGAGGACAGAAUGAAACAUCUCCACCGGAAUAGCAGAUAGUGCAACAAGACGAUGGAUGUGUGACGCCCCAAGACCGACGCUCUAGAAGACUUAUAGCUGGUCCAUGUUUCUCGUUGUCGCCGUGUGUUUUGUUUUGUUUGUUGCAUUCAUCAUUGCAUCAUGUCAUCAUGCAACCCUUUUUAAACCUCAGCUAAAUAAAUUGCAUGGAUCAUCGAUCUAUUUAAAUCGAGGGAAUUUACAUGGUGAUUUCUCUUUAGAACAUAUACUCCCAAUAUUAUUAGGGAGCUAUGAAUAUUCCAUUAACUGGAAAUCACCCAUAACACAUUUACAUUAUUCUUCAACUCUUCUUUUAUCCUAGUCAACUUUCUAUCCUUCCUUUUCGACGUUUUAGUAAAAUUGAGUUGCAAUUUUACUUCUCCAUAAAUGUUUCAAAUCUUCCCAUAAAUCACAUCUGGUGUGUAGGGUCACCCCCCUAUAAUUUCAACCCAUUUGGAGUUCAUUCGAAUGGGUUUCGAAAUUCAAACUUGUCUGAGUUAAAUCCAACAUGUGUGGAUAUUAUUUCCUCUAAAAAUCCUCAAUCUAUUUUUGUCAAAUUCCUCACAUUUUUGUGAGUCCGGGAAAAUAAUCCCCAUGCCCAAAUUCUAUCUCUACCUUCAUUUCUUCUUUUUUUUUCUUUGACAUUUUUUUGUUUUUGGGAGAGAGAAGAAGGAGAGCAACCGCAGCUCAGCCUGCUACCAGCAGCCGUGUCAGGCCACCGUGGCCUCCCGUAGCCCACCACCCAGGCCUAGGCCUAGUCGGCGCCCCUUUCUAACCUAACCCUCACCCGAUCCCCUCGUUAUCUCCCUCUCGAUCCCCUCAUCCUCCUCCUUGCGCCGCCGCGAGGGCUUCUUGCCCGACCCCGUGCCACCUCGUCCCCGUAGCUCUUCAGCUCGCAGCCGCCGGCGAGCCCCGUCCACCACGCACUACCCCGAGCCUCUUGCCAUCACUCUCCACCCCGCGCGCGACCAGCGUCGUCCUAUCCGUGCCGCCCCGUCCAGUUCCUCGUCGGUGACCCCCCACUCCGGAUCCGCCUCCCAGGACCACGACCAGUGCCGCGGCUCCACGCCGUCAUCCGCAUCCCCGGCCUCCUCGUCGCCGUUUCGCCCGUCCCCGGCCACCGGUGCCCUCGCCAGAGCUCCGGCAAGCCGUCCCUGCCGCGCCCGACCUCUCCCUCGCCUCGCCGUUGCCCUGCUCCAGCGCUGCCUACCGACCUCCUCUGCUCCAGCCGUGGGCACCUCCUGCCCGAGAACCACAUUCGGCCUCGCCAUGGUUCUCCUGCACCAGCUCCGUCCGACAAGGACGUCGCCCCGCUUCCUUCUCUUGCCGCGAUCGGGAUCCCCCUCCUCACGCCUCGGGUCACCUCGCCACCCCAUCACCCGUCUUGUGCCCGCGUCCGCGUAGCGCCAUCUCUGCUGCCCCCACGCACCUCCGAUGACCUCCCGAGGCAGGGCCAAGUACCACUACCAUCGCAUUUCGUUUCUUCAUCGUCAAGGCCGAGAGGACGCCAAGUACUAGUACGUCAGGACCCGUCAAGUUCAUCUACGUGCAUGUACGACUAUCUUCGCCAUAGACUCGUGUACGAUUACGCAACAAACUGUGUAGUUACACGAGCUACCAGUACCGCGACGACCCCGGAGACUGUAUUCUGUCAAGUUCCUCUACAAUAUGUGUACCACUACUUCCACAACAUGUCGUGUAUGACUACCGUCGCUCGGAUUCGACAAGACAAUGUGUACCACUACAGUCGCCAAGUUCGACUGCCGCACGGUUACGCCAAGUUCAUCUACGAAACGUGUACAACUACUUCCACUACCGUCGCGAGAACGACUACUUCCACUAUGGCCCGUGUACCACUACUUCCCUCGACGAACUCGAACCGCUCCGAAAAAGCACACCACAAAGGUAUAACCACGAGACGAUCACGCGUGGACCGAAUGCACGUGUGUUGUAUCAGGUGCUCGUGUUUGCACCAUGUCCGAGUUGAUCCUUGCACGUUCCUCCUCGUUUGCCAUGUCGUCGGCCCGUGGGAACCCGGUAAUCCGGGAUCACCCCUCCAUCUUUUGCAUGCUCACGCCCACACUUUCUUUUGCACCGGUAUCUCAACAAGUUGCUGGAUCAUCGGAAUGUUGCCGUGGCACCAUUUCCGUUGUCAUUGCCGUGGCACCCCUUUUGUUCCGCCAUGGUGACAAAUGCUUCAUAUCUUAUAUUAUGUCAACAUUUUCAUAAAAAUUGCAUAAAACUUGUAUAUGUCAUCCGCGUCAUGAUAACAACAUUUAAAAUGUUUAAAAUUGUUGUUGCAUUAAAUUGCUAAAUAACAUAUGGGGAUUUUCCAGAAUUGUUGUUUGUUGUUUCCGGCAUCAUUUAAACUUGCCUAAAUAGGUGGUUUGCUCAUGUUUCACCUCUUGCCAUGUUAACCAACAUUUAAACUUGUCUUGUUCAUAAACAAGAGCGAACUAAAUAAUUGGAUGUGGUGUUUUGUCAAUAUGCAACUCAUUGUAUAUUGAGCUCCACUUAAAUUGUAGUGUUGUUUGUGCACUUUGCCAUGUCAUGCAUAUUUAAACCGGACAUGCAUCAUACUUGAAUGUGCAUCAUGCCAUGUUAUGUGAUGAUUGUUUACCAUGUUGUUUGCUUCUUUCCGGUGUUGUUUCUUAGUUUCGGUAACGUUGUGGUUUGUGAGGAUUCGUUCGACUAUGUCCGUUUGUCUUCUUCUUGGACUCGUUCUUCAUUCUUGCGGGAUCUCAGGCAAGAUGACCAUUACCCUCGAUAUCACUUCUAUCUUUGCUUGCUAGUUGCUUCUUUCUAUCGCUAUGCUGGUUGAAGUUUUCAUGAGCAUAAGACAAUUUCAAAUCUGAGGUUGCUGCAAGCAUGACAACCCGACACUUGGGGGCUACAGGUGAUAUGCAUAUAAGGGAGGAAUAACUUCAAAUUCUUAGUUUUGAGGAAAUCAGGUAUUAUAUUAUUAUCAGAGAAAUCUGCAAAGUUUAUGACCCGGCGUCACCAUAAGAUUAACCCGGCAUCAGCAACAAUUACAUGACCUGGCAUCAUUUAUUUAUAACCCGGCAAAUUUGGUAAUCAUAAGUCGGCAAGAUUUACAUCUCUAAGCCGGCUGAAUAUCAAUUCAAUAUUUCAAAGACCAAUAUUUUUGUCAAGUCAGAGCAUUGAAGGCCGACUCAAAUGGAUUAUUUCUUAUAAUAUUUCUCUACAAGAGCCAAUGUCAGCAAAUUGGUUAUGAAGCUGGCCUAUUGACCUAGAUUUUUUAGAAGAAGUGCCUGGAUUUUUUUGCAUUGGCAAGGUUUGGACAUAUCUGUUAAAGGAGAUUUGCUAUAAGAUCUUGAGUAUGCAUCUAGGAGGAAAUGACAAGGACUUAAAGAUGAUCAGGUGCCGGUUCGGGAAAAUAUUUAACCCGGAGCACAACCUAUCAAGUUUGUUCUUGUGUUUAUUUUACUGGAUCAAUUUAACUUGGAUAAAUCCAAAUUAAACUGGAGGCUAAUGUCGGGGAUAUACCCCGCGGUAUGACCUGGCUGGAAGUAUGACCCGGCCGGGCUGGGCAUUUUCAUUGGUAACCUGCCGGAGUGGCGACUCACGAGCCUCGCGAUUCACGGAUGGCCCUGACGGCGGGUCAGAUAGAAGACAAGGCCCAAGGCCCAGAAGGCCGGGUCAUGCUAUGGUGGGCCGGCUUAAGAGAAAAGGCAUAGGGAAUAUUAUCCUACAAAGGAAGCAAGACUAGGACUCCACUUGUAAUAGAGUAAUCCUAAUCCUACUAGGACUAGUCAUGUAACCCGCCCCUUCAACUUAUAUAAGGAGGGGCAGGGCUCCUCAAAGAGGACAAGCAAGAAGAAACAAUCUCUAGGGCUAGACACAAGAGCCGGCUUACCGGCGACUCCCUCAUGAUCAUAAUGAGACCUAGCCACAAACAACAUGUAGGGUUAUUACCAGUUGAUGUUUCUCGGGGCCCGAAGCUGUCUAAAUCCUUGUCUUGUGUGUUGAUUGCAUCACGUCUCUCGAUUCCGACCAACCCCUUCAAGCUACUGCAUAGAUGUGUUGGCCUCACGACUAAGUCCUCACACUAAGGACAUCUGACAUGACAAUUCCAUGACACUAUCACUUGUUUACCAUGCCUCCCAUAUUGCCAUGUCAAGCCUCUAACCCACCUUCCUAGUAAAUCGUUGUUUGGCUAAGUUCCCGCUUUUGGUCAGCCUCUCUUAUAGCGUUGUUAGUUGCAGGUGAAGUUGAAGAUUGCUCCAUGUUGGAACAUGAUUAUGUUGGGAUAUCACAAUAUCUCUUAUUUUUAAUAAAUGCAUCUAUAUAUUUGGUAAAGGGUGGAAGGCUUGGCCUUAUGCUUGGUGUUUUGUUCCACUCUUGCCGCCUUAGUUUCCGUCAUACUAGUGUUAUGUUUCUUAAUUUUGCGUUCCUUACGCGGUCGGGUUUAUGGGAACCCCUUGACAGUCCGCCUUGAAUAAAACUCCUCCAGCAAGGCCGACAUUGGUUUUCCAUUUGCCUAACAACCUACAACCCUCCCUUGGUGUCUGCAGCCCCGAGGGUCAUCUUUAUUUUAACCCCCCGGGGCAAGUGUUUCUCUAAGUGUUGGUCAACACUAGAGCCACUUGCAGCGCCACCUCGGGGAAACUCGAGGGCUGGUUUUUAGUUGUACGUAGUGUUCAUCCGGUGUGCCCUGAGAACAAGAUAUGUGCAGCUCCUAUCAGGAUUUGUCGGCACAUCUGGGCGGUCUUGCUGGUCUUGUUUUACCAUUGCCGAAACGUCUUGUAACCGGAAUUCCGAGACUGAUCGGGUCUUUCCGGGAGAAGGAAUAUCCUUCGUUGAUCGUGAGAGCUUGCGAUGGGCUAAGUUGGGACACCCCUGCAGGGUAUAAACUUUCGAGAGCCGUGCCCACGGUUAUGUGGCAGACGGGAAUUUGUUAAUAUCCGGUUGUAGAGAACUUGACAUUUGACUUGAUUAAAAUGCAUCAACCGCGUGUGUAGCCGUGAUGGUCUCUUUUCGGCGGAGUCCGGGAAGUGAACACGGUUUGGGUUAUGUUUGAACGUAAGUAGUCUUCAGGAUCACUUCUUGAUCACUUCUAGAUGACGACCGUUGCGUAGUUUCUCUUCCUACUCUUUUACUCACAUGUUAGCCAUCAUAUUUUGCUUAUCAAUUUCUGCAACCCCACCUCAUUACCACAUCCUACCCAUAAGCUUAAAUAGUCUUGAUCUCGCGGGUUUUGAGAUUGCCGAGUCCUCGUGACUCACAGGUAUUACCAAAACAGUUGCAUGUGCCGAUGAUAGCAGUGCAGGUGAUGCAAUUGAGCUCAGUUGGGAGUUUGACGAAGUCCUUGGCAGUUACUAUGUUUCGUUUUCUGAUGAUCAGUAGUGGAGUCCAGUUGGGACGAGCGGGGAUCUAGCAUUUGGGGUUAUCUUCUUUUCAGUUGGAUUUGUCCGUAGCCGGACUAUGUGUGUACUCUGAAUGUUGUAUGUUUUAUUUAAGUACUUGUGUGAAGUGGCGAUUGUAAAUCAACUCUUUAUCCCUUUCUUGUUCAUUACAGGGAUUGUGUGAAGAUGACCCUUCUUGCGAAACAACCACAAUGCGGUUAUAUGCCUCUAAGUCGGGCCUCAACACGUGGGAGUUAUAGCCACAUCGUGGGCGUUACGGGACGCUUGCCUGUUGUGCCCGCACUCUAACACUAUAUGCACGUGUUCGCCGCGCACUUGUCCUAUGUGGGUUGCCGGGACAUCAAGUAAGCCAAGACGUACUUCUUCCACAACGCUAUUCUGGUUUGUGUUGCACUAGCGGGUAGUGCGUGGCGGCACGCCGCGCUUUGCUUGUAGUUUCGAGAUUUGUUGAUUUUUGUAUUUUGCAUAAACUUUUACGUGUAAAAAUAGCCAGAUAUUAGAGACAAUACACCAUGCAGGUGGAUCAUUAAUUCAAGACCUUCUUACCACAAGAUUAGACGAUGGAACCAUGAACUUAAAAACUGUUAUGAAAUAUAGUGACCAAAGCAUGGACACAAUUUAUUAUCACUGUAGAGGGUGGCCAUCACUAUGCAUUGUUAACACGAAGUUAUUAUCUCUGAAAAAGUCUCAUGGAAAAGAAUAGAACAGUGGUAGAGAUUUCUAUAGAGCAUAGUCCCGCUUAAGAAUGUUGAACAAUCUGUCCUAUUUUUGCUUGAGCUUGGAAGAAUAAGACAUUCAAUAUAAUGAAUUUUAAACCAUACAAAAAUGUGGACCAAACUGAUCUUUGAAAAAAAAAACUUAAUCUCUCCUACUACUAAAUGUAUACAUUGAUUUUUUUUCCUCACAAUUUUGUUUACCCUCAGCUUCAUUCGAGCUAACAACUCAUAUAUUUUAUCAGUGCAGUUGUAAGAAAACAUAAAAGAGUUAUAAUUUUUUUGCUUCCUCUAACCCAGGUCCACAAUAAUCCAGCUAUAAAUUACUGGAUGAAGUAAGUGGGAUGACCGGUAAAGUUAUUUGGAACCAAAGCAUGAUAAUAAGCAAAUUAUCAUCAUCCUAUAGAUAACAAUCAAAUAAAACAGAAGGAGCUGCAUGAAGAAAUUUUGAGUCAAGACUGUUUGCAGCAAGUUCUAUUACUGAUCCUUGAAUAACAGAACAAUACAAUAAUAAAGUGUACAUUUGUCAGAUCCAUCACUGCUCACGCGUGUGCACCUGCACUUGGGACCACAGCGGUGCGGUGCACUAAGAAGUCUGAGAUCCACUCUCUUUCUCUCUAGCUUUCUCAAAUCUCCCUGCUCAUUCCCCACCUCCACCAUUCCCCCAUCUCCGUAGCGCAUUUGUUGCUCUCGCCGCCAGCUCUCGCUGCCCCAGCGUGGCUCAUCCGUCUCCUCUCCACUGGCAGUAGAAAUCGAGUGCUGCUCGCCCGCACAAUACGCAUCGGCAAGGCACCUCCUACGCCGGCUCCUCGCCUGCACAUCACGCAUCGGUGAGGAAUCGAUUCCACUCAAAGCAGAGGGCGGUCUGGAAAGGGAGAAACCGGCGGAGGAGGGAGGGUCUUGAAAGAGUAGGAGGAAGCGAGGCUGCGAGAGAGGUAGGGGAGAAGAGGAAGCGGCGGGGUACGGCGUGGCGGUGGCAAAAGCUCCGGCAUGCUCGCCAUUGGGCAUUGAUGGCGGCAAGAGCUAGCUAGGCACGACAAGUCCUGAUGAGGUUCACCGUCCACGCGAUUCAUAUCCUCCAGGAUGGUCUCGUCGAUUGAUUCUCUCCUCUCGGGUACCUACUCACCCGACUGCUAAAUAUCCAUCUGUCUAAUUCACCUUUUCUGCUAACUGCAAGUCUCACACCAUGUCAGUGCAACCCGCGGUUCGACAUGGGACUUCGUUUGCUUCGUCUAGAACUUCUGCAUCAUGAGCCUCGCAAAGAUGGCCGCCCUGCUCUUUAUUCCUCUGUCUAGGUAAGCUACAUGAACAGUUUUAGUCGUGAAGCAAGUACACACUUGACUAUAGAAAAUACAUCAUUUUUUCUUCAGUCCACAACACCAAAAGAAAAUACGGCGAUAAAUGCCAGCAAUUAAUCUUAUGUAGGUAAUAACAAUGCAUAAGCCUGAAAUUAUCUUCAGUGUCUUAAAUCAAUAGUACAGGAGCACUAUGUAAAUUACUGGAAUAUAUUGAAACAUACCAGGCCUUGUUAUAUCAACAACAGGGACAUACAUAGGUGUUUCUAAAUUCAGUAAUCACUAAAGCAGAUCAGCGUUGCUCGUACUCUUAAAUUAAGAAUACAUACUACCUAUUUAGAUUCUACCUUUGAGCAGCAUAUAAGGAGUGCAAAUAUUAGCAUGAACCCAGAACUCGCUCAAAAUUACAACACAGCUUAACUGAGCAAAAUCAAAUGGCAGAGGAAGAUAUAAUAUGUACAUAUAAAAUUCCUAUUAUGGGCAUCUGCAAAGGAAGAAGAUCAAUACCCACACAUGAUGGUACUGAAACAAAUUCAUGUAACAUCGUCCAAGAAUGUUAGCUUAAGCAUACCAUGAUAAUCACAAAUCUGACGGUCGUUGUCUCUGGUCCAAUAUCGACACCUGCAAUUGCAGAAGAUCAAUUCUCACAGAUGAUGGUACUAAAAGAAAUUGGCAAACGAAAGAAAAUACAUGUUGCAUGUACAUAAGCUGGUGAUAGUUUGUUCUCCAGGAGAUGCUUGACAAAAGUUGUUUUCCCCAUACUUUGUACCAAACUAGUGGGGUCGCCCGCGCAUUUGCGCGGCUAGAUUAUUGAUUUUGUUGUGAAAAUAGUUGAAGUCCACUUAUUUUAAUGCUAACAAUAUAUAUUAUAAUUCUAAUGGCCUUAUAAGUGAAACUUUGUAUCAUGCUUUUGGAAUAUUGGUGAUUUAUUGCUCCAAAUAAAUUCAAAUUUUAACAAAAGAAUUAGAAUAUCGCCUAAAAUAACGUACCCAAUUUGGAAUCGAAAUACAAAAAUAUUGCAAUUAAAGCAUUUUUAUAGCCAUAUAAUAGUUGCCGGACAUGUGUGCCAUGGGGGUUGGCGUGAAGUUCCAUUGAGGAACUUGGACUCUAGGCCAUGUGCAGCCGCUAGGCCACCUAAUCUCCUAUGGGUAGGUCAAUUAUCUCUUCCCUGCCACGUUAACCUCUCUUUCCAUUCUUCCAUGUUUGCCUCUCUUGCAACUCUCACUCAUUGUACAACCAUUGGUUCUAUUUCUCUUUAGCUUCUCAAGCUUCACCGUGGCCCCCUUUAGACCGAGGUGACACUUAUAUUGAUAGCAAUAACUCCUGAUCGAGCACCGCUGUUGGGUGGUAGUUAGCUUUGAUGGUUUCAUAUACAAAAUGUCAAAACUCAUUUGUCAAAUAAAAGAAGUUGUAGUCGGUGUCUAAAUCGUGAAAAAGUAUUAUGGACUCAAGUAUAUUUAUUUUAUCAUGUGUAGUAAGAUGUUAGCAAAGCAUUUCGUAUGUGACAACUAAAAACCAUAUUUGGGUUCACUUUUGGCACGCCCAACUAUAUAGUGGUGCCUAUCUUUUAUCCACAAUUUUAAGAAACAUCCCAACAAAAAAUAAUAUUUUAACUCUGAUGUCUAGAAUAUUUUCCAACUAAUGUAUGUUGCUUAGCCAUCUAAGACAAUAUAAACUUAUUUGCAUGUAUUUGAAAAAAAAAUCCAGAACUAACCUCACCUGCUAAAUAUUGCCUAAUCUAUGUAGCUGGCCAUUUUUCUUUAUUUUUAUCAUAGCACGGUUAUUUAUUUUCCUCAUAAAAGUUAUUAGCUUCUUUUAUCGUGGCAUUGCACACACUACAUUUGGUGGCAGCGAGCUGGGUAGCCCUCGCAAUGAUGUGGCUAGAUUGUCUAAUAUAGAGACUAAAACAAAAUCAUAAAAUGUAUAGUACAAACAAUUUAGAGAAAUAUGAUUGUGUACUUUCGGACAAAGGUAUUUCCAUUUUAGUGCAUGGAUUGUAGCCAAGGACAUUUCUAAGUUAAAACAAAGGAUAAAUGCUACAUUUAUGUGUGUCGCCCUUGAAACCAUAUACUGGGUUAUGCCUUUGUCUCAUCCAGUCCGCAUCCAUGGGCUAUGGAUUUCACAAUGAGUUUCUUAAAGACAUGCACUAUUUAUCCAACAAAUAAGUCACAUCCAGAACAAACAAAAAAAUAUUUUUAGGAAAAUUAUAAGGAAAUUCUCCAAUGCAUAUAUUUGAACUAAAUAUAGUUCAUGAAGAUUUUUAGUGCAUGUGCCCAGUUUUUUGCAGCAAAAAUAUGGGUUACCCUCCCGUAAUUAGAGAUAUCUUCUUUUUAUCCAUAUAAACACCUUAUACAUCUUUUCCUUCUAGUCCAUCAGGAGAAUGAUAUUUUUUGGAAGUGCACCUAUAAUGCGUGAGAUCUUGUACCAAAGAAUACACCACACGGGAAAUCAUUUUGUUACUGUUUUAUUUACCGAUUGUUUGCCCUCGUGUCAACGAUUGUAGUAUUUAGCUUUCCACGACAUUAGCAUUGGUACAUUGACCACUGUUAGUUAGAAGAGAAAAAUACACUAGAACAUCUCGCAGAAAGUAGUCCAAUUAUUUGGUGGACCAUAUAAAAAUUUACAAUUUGGACUGACCAGAGAAAAGGAAAAAUGCUAGAAAAUAUCAUUAGAGACAAAUAUGAGGAAAUUAGUUUGCUAACAUAAAUGCAUAUACCCCCGCAAAAAACCAUGUCGCAUAAACACAUGCAUAAAUGAUAUAUAUGUUGCCAAGAUGGUAUUUCCCCAUGUUGUAGAUGCUACACAUGAAGGAUCAAUUAGCAUACGUGCGUAUCAAGAGAUAGAUCAAUGAGCGCACCUGUUCACAUGUAAAUGCAUGCGUACGUGUGUGUUUUUGCUGUGAACGCCCGAAGCUCCUUGAGUCGACGUGAAUGCGCCGCCACAACCGCGAGUCAGCGACAACUCUGCCACGCCAUUGCGUUUCUCUCCUGUGACAUGCGCCUCUGCCGCUGCCAUCGGCCGUCGCCCCUGCUGCCGCCGCCGUCGCUGUUACUGUGUAGGCUAGCUUCUACGAUCAUACAUCGAUCCCGCCAGUAGCUAUUCAUAUUCCUCCGCAUAACGUCUAAUUGCACAAUUACAUACGUCUUUGAUUGUUGUUAUAAGUCGUACACUACCGCUUGCUGCAUGGCAGCAGCCUCCACGGCGGUGCACCGGCGAGAUCGUGCGUACCAUGAGGAGGUCAUGGGCCUUGGCUGAACCCAGGUACGCAGUCAAUCAGAGAAUAUCAAAUUAUUUUGCCUUCCCCAAGUCAUAAUAGAUUGCCUGUGCCUGUACGCUAGAGCAUGUCGUUUCCUUUCCAAAUUCCGUUUCCUUUCCAUGUAAAUCUUUUUUCUUGUCUACUCAUUUCAAAUUACGUUUCCUUUCCAUGUAAAUCUUUUUUCUUUUCUUUUUAGCACCCUGUCCUAUCCAUCACGUUUGGCUGCGGUUGGACAUACUUUUUGUACAUGUCGUUAUUACUUGCCUAUUGCUAGUUUCUUUUUACGUGUAUUACAUGAGGAAAUCUUGAUCGUUGAUACAUCUUAAUAUUAGAGUGUCAAAUCAGCACCGUUCGUUUUCUAUGGUUUUAUAAGUAUAUACUAGAUGAUAGAUUUCAGACAAAAUCUGCCCUGCUGCUCAAGAAUGUAAAGCCAUGUCAUUCAACUUGUUGUCAAUUGAUCCUAAUGGUAAAUACAAAUACAAUGUCACUUAAAAAGAUUAUGCCAUUAUAGUUUUCUGAAACAAGAAUACGCCAUAAUAGCAUAGUGCCAGAAUUAUUUCAGUCGCUAUACAGUUUGAUGCGAUUCACAUGCAUGAUAUUUUAAUGAGUAGGCAAAUCGAAAUAUAAGGCACGUAGAAGGAAGAGGAACCAGGAGUGGUGAUGUUGUGCUCAUCUAUACCAUCGCUUGUGAGCUAUGCAGUGGCAGCUGCCCUACAGAGAGGAAUGGUUGUGGCCCGGGAACAUGGCGCCUCAAAAGCAAUGUUAUAUGCUGUUGAGGAAGGGCGUCUCUGAUGGUCGCGCUGCGUCAAGCAUGUCAUCGCCGGUGCCGACAACAGGCCAACGACGGGAGGGAGGUGGCACACCGCCGCGGGAGAGCGGAGUAGAGCACAGGACAACGUGAGGAGGGGGGCAACUUACCAAACCUCCCGCCAUGGUCAUCCUCGAUUGGAUCCACCAUCAUGCACAUGUCGUCGUUGUCGUCCUACGCCAGUGCCUCCUUCAGGCACUGCAUAGCGGCCGCUCCACCUCACCAUUGCCUUGACACGGAACAGCCAACCAGGACGGAGCGAUAAGGUGUUGGAGCACCUCCUCGUGUCAGCUUCAGCGCCCGCUUAGCCAAGGCGGCAACUCCCGGGGACGUAGUGGGUGGUCGGCUCUGGUGGCAUGCGAUGGCGGGCUUCGGUGAUCUGGGCAGGCGAAAGGUCGAGGCGCGGGGUGGCUCGCGGCGUCGAGCAUGUGGCACGCUUGAACAAUGGGGACGCCGGGACUCCAGCACCUGAACGACGUGAGGUCGCGAGCUCGUGGUCGAGAGCAAUGGCAUUGGCCCAAGAUGACGUCAACAUCGACGAUGUGCAGCCGCGGCCUGAGUUUAGCCUACCGCGCGGAGGUACGCCGCCUUCCUUCCUCUCCUCCGUCAUGGCCUCUGAUCGUGGCGGGGGCGACGGGAGAGAAUUUUGGAGC
rnacentral:lncRNA from 1 species